GAAGUCGGAAGCAGCAUCCAUGGCUUCUUCCAUGAACCGCUCGGGCAUGAACUCCUCUGCACUCUCCCAGUAGGUGGUGUCCCUGCAUAGAGCCCACGCGUUGACGAUUACACGUGUCCCGAAGGGUAUGGUAUAGCCCUCCACAUUGCAUUCCGACUUUUUUAUUUUUUGAACUUUUUUUUGAAAGAUUCUUACAAAUAGGUCCUUGGCGAAAACAUUUCAAAAUCUGGACCCUUAGCUUGGCGCCACCAUCGUACACGUCUCGGCGCUAGCGGCUCUGGCGCCUAGGUCAUUGCGCAGCUGGUGACGUGGAUGCUGACAUGGCGGGGGCUUGGCACCAAGGUGGAUGACGCCAAGCUUCGUAUUUCAACCACCUGCCUCCUUCCUACCCGAGCCUUCCUCCUCUUCUUUCUCCUCCCUCUCGGAUUUUUUCUCUCCCCACUUCACCCUACAUCACGAAUCGGCCUAUUGGAUCUUGAAAACUUUGAUUUGAUCCGUGGAUCUUCGAGAGCAAGGUAUCCUCGCUCCCUCAUAGUUUUUUUUCACGUCGAUUCGGUAUAUAUUAGUCGGAGUUUUGAACUUAGGGUUCAUGCAACCGUAGGAUGUCAAGGCGUGGAAAAGCUAGGAAACUAAGGUAACCUCAACGCACGUUGUUAUGUUAUGGGUUCAUUGUUGUGGAUCGAAUGGGAAACCCUAGGUAUAGGUUUAAUGUUAAUUGCUUUCGGUUCUUACAACGAAAUGGACUAAAUUGUAGUUAUGGCGGGAUGACUGGAAAUGCCUUCGACCCAUUGCCUCUGCCAAGUGGUGUUCCAGUGCCCAUGUGCUUUUACAGCGAUCCUUGCAAGGUAGCCAAGUCCGAUGCAGAGGACACGUAUAGGAAGAGGUAUUGGAUGUGUUCCAAUUUUGCGUUUGAGCCUACACUUCGUCAGCGCCGCAUUAACAAGAUGGUGAGAAAUUGAUGUUGUCUAAUAAUUAUUUUGUUUCGUAUGACAUCUUGCAUGAUUUUUUUAUUUUCUAACAAUUGCAUUUGUUGCAAACCCCUCUACUGCUCUGUGAUUUUGAGCAGUGGAUUGACACUGAGAUCAAGCCUGAAGAUAAGGAGGAGAUGCAGGAAAUGUUGCGGUGGGAGGCAGAGAAGAAGGAGACAACGGAGAACAGACACAGAGAGGAGGCUGCAGAAAAGGAGCACAAGGAAAAGGAGAAAAAGAGGCAUGCUGCUGCGAACAGGGAGGAGAGGGAGAAGAAGCUUGAGCGUGCACGCUGAGCGAAAGCAGCGAUUGAGGAGAAUCCCAAUGCCCUGAGGAAGGGAAAGUGGCCUCGUUGCACACAGUAGUCUUCAGUACUUGCUAGUUCUAUGGUUUAUUCAUGAACAAUGUUAUCUACUGUUGGACUUUUCAUUGUGUUGUCAUGUAAUGGACUUUAAGUAUGGAUGAUGAUAAAAAGAAGUACCGACAGAUGCUCAUCACUGAAUCAACACAUGCCAUCGAAAUUUUGGCAGAAUUUCCCCUAUUAUUUUUACACAAUCCAUACAUGUAAGUGAGAUGAAUUUUUAACCUCAAUACAACAUGUUCAAACAUACAAAUAUAUGCCACAUUCAUAAUGAAAGUCCACAAAAUGCAUAAUGAAAGUCCACAAAGUUCAUAAUGAAAGUCCACAAUAGUACAUAUACACAAUAGUUCAUAAUAAAAGUCCAUAUACACAUUAGUUCAUAAUAAUAGUCCAUAUACACAAUAGUUCAUAAUGAAAGUCCACAAAGUCCAUGUUAUUACAUAAUAACAUCUACCACAAACGUUCACUACCUCCUAGUCUUACCCUUACCCUUGUGACCAAGAGUGUCGGUACCUGGAGUGUAAGGGGAAGGUGGACGAUAUCUCCUAGUGCCUGCAAGCUGUGUAGGCUGAGUCAAGGGAGCGUCCUGGAGCUGAAACGGGCCAAGCUCUUCGUGCCUCUCGUCAUCCUCAUCCUCGUAUGCAAUGCCUUUGGCCUGUGUAGCUGCUUGGCUAGACGAACCUAUGCCUCCUCUGCUUGAGGAAGGAACAUGCAUGUCUCGCAUUGUGGCUGUCCUGCAACCACAAUGAGCAGCCGCACGGCGUAGCCGACGUGAUAGUCUCUAUUGUACAAGAAAUAGGUUAAGUGAAAGAAUUUAACGUAUUAAUAAUAUAUUUGAAAGCAUAUUUAGAAUCUUAUGUCUAGGAAGCUACGCGUCUCGUCGUCUCUGACUCUCGGACGAAACUGCUCAAUGUCUUCAACCGAGGUUUUGAGGGUAUGGCCCUACAACAAAGUAAAUGUACCAUCAUUAAAUCACUAAGUCACUAUCUACCUAAAUCACUAAGUCAGUAUCUACCUAAAUCACUAAAUCACUAAAUCUACCUAAAUCACUUAAGUCAACUAAUCACUAAGUCACUUAACAUAGAAAAAUAAGGCAAUUGACUUACCAAUCUAUCCAAGAUUGGUCCUGCCUCCACUUGCCUUCCUACACAAGUACUUCGGUCGUAUGUCGUGUCUUCAUCGUCGAAGGACUCGAUGUCGCUGUAGUCAUCUUGUGUCCAUUGUAGCCUCAGCCUGCAACGGCUCGCACCUUGGUACCAAGCUUGGUAUCGCAUGUACUCACUGUUUGUGUGCGGCUCGUUGUUCUCAUCCACGUUGUCGUGGAACUCCUCCCAUUGCUCAAUGUAAGGCUGGUGGUAUACAUGUCACUCAAAAACCUUCCUGUUCUUCUUAUGAUCCAACCUGCACGUCACGUAAGAUGUAUAACUGCCCAUAGUCGUAUAACCUGAGUUAAUGUAAGGGACCAUCAUGAGAUAAUUGAAAUAGCAAAACACUUCCUUGUGUAAACUCUACGCCAGUCGAGAAUGGAGCCGUUGGCCCAAAUCUGUUCUCAUGCCAAAUUAGAGUGCAACUCGAUCAGGCUGGGUGGAACUCGACCGGCAUAGAAAACAUAUAAGAGGGCACCUCAUCUGUAUAAAGUCAUCCAUCGCUCGCACACAUGGUGCUCAAAAGGAAAAGUAAGUGCCCCCUCUCCCUAUGUAUGGCUCCCACGACACCUGCAACAUGUCCAAACAAGAUGUCAGAUGAUAUACUAAAACUAAUUGAAAUCAGCAUGGGAAAUAAAAUGUACUUACACUAGACACCGUGAGCGUGUCUAGCUCGUUCGUGAAAUCAUGGUACGCCCACUCCAACAUCGUGUGUAGAACCCUAACCUGGUCCCAAAGGUACGCCCACGUAGGAUGCUGUCUCGGAGGCUGACCUGGGAACCACUCAUGGCGAGACAGAACCUCAGGACGGCCAACUGGUAGACGCGCCCACAUCCACAACUGCUGUAGGUACACACAUCCACCAAGUGAUGCUGAGGAUGAAGACCGACGACAAGCCUCGCACAGCUGCAGGUAGAGAAAACCCAACAUUGCAGAGCCCCAGCUGUACUGACCCGCCUGGUGCCAGUCGGUGAGGCAGUGGAUCCAAAACCACAAUGUAGUGUCACCCGUGGCAUCGGGGAAGAGAAUGCAUGCAAAGAGGUGUAGGAUCCAUGCCCUGCAGUAGUUCUCAACUGUUUGCUCAUUUACAUCCUCGAGGCAUUGUGCAAACUGUUGCCGGAGCCAGGAGAUUAGAACACCAGAAGUGUGAGCACCUUGCUCGUCAACCUCAUGCCCAAGGAAGGCUGCUACUCGUUCUCUCCAACCAUCUGACCUGCACGGCCCAGUCACUGCAUCACCGCGAAUCGUCAAACCUAACAUCUUCUGACAGUCCUCAAACGUAACUAUUAUCUCUCCGAAAGGCAAGUGAAAGGUAUGAAUCUCAGGCCGCCACCUACAGUUUAGACAAAGGAAGAUUACAUGUCAAAUAGGCUAGGGCAUGAACGAUUGGCUAUGAAUGGACGCAAUGAUUGAAGAUAGUACCUGUCAACCAACGCUGUUAUGGCUGCUGAGUUGAACUUGGGCAACCCAUGACGAACCUGAAAUGAGAUGACAUCUAGGCCAGCAGCUUGCACCAUAGGAGUGUACCGGUCGUCGUACCGCAUGUCCAAGAACCCAUCGUGGGUUCUAGAACCAAGGAGCGGAAGGUCAUGCAUGCAAUGAAACAGAGUCUUCCGUUAUUUCACGAACAACACAUGUACGCUUACAAAAAAUCAAUCAACACGUACAUAUUAUUACUACCCCCCCACCCCCCGCUAUGAGACAUCCUUGAUGGGUCUGGUCGUACACCGGGUCGAGCAAGUGGAGUUGCGCCAUCCUACAAAAAAUCAAUGAAAUAUAAAUUAAGUAUGCAGUGAAACAUAAACUUAGAAAUGUACAAAUAAUUGACACAAUUGCAAGUAUAAAUUGAGACAUGCAUAAUUAAUUGAGUGGAUACGACAUAUAUGAAAUAAUGAAAAGAACCACUAGUCGCACCUCACUACUCUGCCAAUGGCACGUGCAUGAACUGUGGUCCAGUCUACCGCACUUGCUGCACUCGUUCUGCUCGGGGUCAGUAAGAAAUGGGGUUGCCCUACCACGCCUCGCUCUUCCGGGUAUUUGAUCCAUAACCAUCAUGUGCCUCGUCCUCUUUCUUGAUCCACGCCUGUUCCAACGGUAAGCUGGAUCCGCAAUGUACUUUAGCCCAUCAUCAACAUGAGGGACAUGACUAGUAUUCCAACAGAUGCGCUCCUAUUCUUUCUGCACUUCUGCUCCCAUCUCCGUGUCAAAUUGUAUUACGGGUGUAGUUUAGCACUGAACAACAUGAUUUUGUGGUGCUGGGAUUGAAUCAUAGGAGUGCUAUUUGUGUGUCCGGAGCCAACUUUGACUGAUCUGAAUUUUGGUAAAAUUUCAUCCGAAUUUGUUUAAAAUCCAGUUGAAUCCAGGCCCGAAAUUUCCUGAAUUUCCGAAUUUCGUCCAUUUCGGAAGGCUCCGAAUUUUUUCAACUUUUGAAUCCCAGAACCUUGGUUGAGAAGCGGAGAGAUGGGAGACCUAGUUUUCAUCUUCGUUGCCUCGUUGGAGGGGAAUACUGCAUCUGGAGGAAUCGCGCGGAGGACAAGCUCAUGGAAGGCCCCGCUUUCGAUUACAGAGAAAAUCUUCGUUGGUCCGUGGGAUUUGAUUACAGCGAAGGCGAAGCAAACAUGUUUAACCGGUAUCUGAUUACAUGGUACCAGAUACGGAGCGAUUUUUACUGAAACAAACAUCACCUAGAGCUGACUAUUAUAUUCAAAUACUGACAAAAAGUAGAAUACUUCUCAGACAAGCCAGCCAUUACAACAAUAACAACACAACAACUGGAUUACCGGCGUGUCACAAUAACACACAACAAGAAGCUACGUACCACGAAGCAACAGAAACAGCACUCUUGCAAAUUAAGGGAUAAACAACACCCCCAAGGAAAUGGCGAUGAAAUUAAACCAGGCCCCGCCUGCAGAGCUUUGAGCACCUACACAUAUAUAGCAGGUGCAUGCAGCUCUCUAUUACAGAAACAGUAGAUCGAAAACGACGAGCAACCAAGCAUCGAGCAGCAACACUACUUACUUCUUCUCUCAAUGCAAGCAGGAAGAGAAGGCAAGCUAGCGAGCUGAUCAGCAGAGAAGUCGCCGGGAUUCAGAUGACUGCCGCGGUCGGCGUGCAGCGGCGCUCGCAGAAGUUUCCAGCAAAAUGCGGAACUUCAAGCGGGCCGGGGCUCCUAGAUAGCAUGUACAUCUUUGGGCUUGUUCGCUUCAGCUUAUAAGCCGGCUGAAAAGCUGAAACGGCUGAUUUGUUGUAAGAGGAAAACACUGUUUGGUGGCUGAUAAGCCGGCUGAAUAAGCUGAAGCGAACAGGCCGUUUGAUCCAACAGCAGCCCAUGAACAACAAACAGUAGCAGCAGCUAGCGUAUGAGGGUGGUGUGUGGUGGGGCCAAAGGCCAAUCUUGCAAGACAGCAGGAAGGAGCGUAACAUGCAUGCCCGUGUGCAGUACUGCCGUGGGUGUUGAGCACUUUUUUUUCUUGCUCCCGUUGUACUCAUGGAAACAUUUCAAAAGUAUAGAUUCAAUAUUUUGCAUAUUAUUUAAACAUUUCAAACAUUUAUGGAAACCACAUUUUAGAUAAACUGGUUCAAUAUUUUGCAUAAUAUUGUUGAAAUAGUGUACCUUAAACGUUGAGCUAAAUAUAUAAAAAUGUUGAGCUAAUAUAUCUAAAAUGAUGAAACUAAGAAAAUAAAGAUGAAAAAAAUAUAUACAGUCAUGUGGGAUCUCAAUCCGUUAGAAAAAUUUCGAAAAGGCUCAUAGUUUAUUCGGAAUUAAAAUUAAAUGAACCGUUAGAGAGAUAAGUAAGUUGAAAAGUUCGAAAUCAAAACUCACAUCACCCAACAAGUAGCUGACACCUAUCCGUCCUUUCAGCAGCUCCACCCACCUCGCGCCAGCAUACUAGCACAUGGUGGUCCCCAGCCACCUCUCGCCAGAUCGCAGUGCCCGAUGGGAGAUCCGGCGAUGCCGUUGCGUCGAAGGAGAGGGCGGAACCGACGAGGGUCGCCGGCGGCUCCCACCCCGAACGCGUCCUGACCCACUCCGGCAGGGCCUCCCGCAGGUACGGUGAGCGCUUCCAUCCGUGGUCCGCAAGCAGUAAUGUCUGAUUUUUCGCUUUCUUCUCCGGAAUUCGUCACAUAUGUCAUCGUCCUGUGUUUAUAUAUCCUUUUUAUGCUGCAAAGCUUUCACGAUUUUGAUGAGAGAUUUGUUCAUGUUUGUGCCCACAUAGUAGUCAAUGUGCCACUAGUACUGAUUGCAAUACGUACGGAAAUUGGUUUUGUGUCUGUUCUUUCUCCAUCUCAAUCAUCAAUCAAAUGGGGGUAGUCGUCGGUACGCCGGGUGGGCCGAGUUGGCCAAACUGCACAGUGGUGGUGGCAGCCAAGGUGUUGUUCAAGGUCGGGCUGGCACGCACACGGCCGUACCACAUCAGGGUGUGUCCUGCUUCCCCGUCAACUUCCUCAAUACGACUCGGUACGCCACUGUACCUAAUCCUCCAAAACUCCAACUCCAAAGGCUCGCUGAACGGAAAAAAAUUCUAGGAGGACGGUCCCCAAAUCCUUCUCCGUGAGGAUCCACUCCCGAUGGUUGCAGGCAUGGCAACAUAUAAUUGAUCCGCCGCCACCAACGACUGAGGUUUCUUCCACCUCGUCAACUACCACCACCUCCUCCACCCACCUCUCUUCUUCUCCGGCUACCCUGCGCGCGCCCUCGCCGCCGUGCGUGCCUCCAGCGAGCUCCCAGGCCCCGACGGCGCCAGCACUACGGCCGCGCCCCGGUGGCCGGCGGCGUCUCCUACUCCUCUAACGUGGACCUGUUCCGCUCGCCUUCAGCUGCCGUGGGAGCCGCGUAAUGGAGGAGGGUGGUGGGCCAAGCGACAGCUAGCUGUGGUGUGGUGGGCAUCCUCAUUUACUAAUCUCCACCCACCUUCCGAUGAAUAAAAAUUGACCUCUUUAUGCUGCCUUUGUCAUNNNNNNNNNNNNNNNNNNNNNNNNNNNNNNNNNNNNNNNNNNNNNNNNNNNNNNNNNNNNNNNNNNNNNNNNNNNNNNNNNNNNNNNNNNNNNNNNNNNNCAUCUAAGGUUAGCAGCCUCUUUCAGUGUACAAAUGAUUAUGCACCUAAUACUUUCCUCACCUUUGCAGUGCCGUGGGCCGCCACUUCCCUUCUGGCCCACAUGUCAUGGAGGCGCGCGAGGAGGGGGAUCGGUUUCACGUAUGAUUAAUAAAGAAAGGCCCAAGACACGUCACGCUGCGGGGGACAAGGGAAGACACCGCACCGCACGCACCUCCACCACUUGCGUUGCCUUUGCCUUUGCUUUUCCCCUAGCUCGCCCGCCUAGGAGCUCCAGCAGCCGGUCCGCUCCGCCGCCGGUGCGGCAACCACGCCGCCGUCAGAUCGCCUCGCGCGGCCACGCGGCCACCGAUCGUCCCCGCGAUACACCGCCGCCGGUGCGCCGUGCGCGGCGGCGCUGUCCCGCCGCUCCUCCGCCUACCGUCGGCCUGCGCCACCGCCAGCGCACCGGCAGCACCGCGAGCUGCUGCGCCGCCCCGACGUUGGUCCUUCCUGAGCCCGGUGUCGUCACCAGCGUCGCGGAGAAGCUAAUUACCUGGAGCAAUUUGUAGAAACAAAUAGUACUGGUUCGUUCACUUAUUUCUUUGCUCAAACUUAAUUUCUGCUUAGAGUUUGUGCCUAAAUUAGCUGCUUAUUCUGCUGGUUGCACGCAGGAGAUCGAGCUGCGGGCGUACGGCCGGAUCGGAGGAGGACAUAUCAGCCGGGUUCCUGUUGGUUGUGUACUUGUGUUCCUGCCGGCGGAGAAGCAACCAUGGCCGAGUUACUGAUCGGGCCACUGAUCUCCAUGGUGAAGGAGAAGGCAUCCAGCUACCUGCUGGACCAAUACAAGGUGAUGGAAGGCAUGGAGGAGCAGCGCAAGACCCUGGAGCGCAAGCUGCCAGCAAUCCUGCACAUCAUCCAGGAUGCGGAGGAGAAAGGAGCCUCCCGACCUGAAGUUGCAGUUUGGCUUAAAGACCUCAAGACAGCGGCCUAUGAGGCCAACGACGUCUUUGAUGAGUUCAAGUACGAGGCGCUUCGGCGAGAAGCCAAGAAGAAGGGCCACCACAGCAAGCUUGGAAAUGAGGUAGCAAGACUCCUAGUCCCCGCUCGUAAUCCCAUUGUAUUCCGUUACAGGAUGGGCAAGAAGCUACGCAGGAUUGUGCAGACCAUCGAGGCCUUGGUCACCGAGAUGAAUACAUUUGGUUUCAGGCACUUGCAGCAAGCACAGCCAUCAAGGCAGUGGCGACAGACAGAUUCCAUAAUCAUUGACUCCGACAGAGAUAUUCUUAGCAGAUCUAGAGAUCGGGAGAAGAAGAAAAUCGUGGGGAUGCUCCUUGAUCAAGCUAGCAACAGGGAUCUCAUGGUUCUUCCAAUUGUUGGGAUGGGUGGGAUGGGCAAGACCACCUUUGUGUUGGAGUUGUUCUAAAUUCACUCCAGGAAUAAAGGCCGACCUUCCCGACCCUUGACACUCAGGGUCGGGCGAGGCGGAGAAUCUCCCGACCCCGGGACUCGGGGUCGGGCGAGGCGGAGCGUCUCCCGACCCAGGCUUGAGGUCGGGCGAGUCGGAGAUCGACCCUCAAGGGGUCAGGCGCAUCCGACCCCAGGCUUGAGGUCGGGCGAGGCGGAGUCCCAGGCGCAUCCGACUCCAGGACAAAGGACUCAGGGUCAGACGAGAAGGAGUUCCAUCCUUGUACGGGACCAAGAGUCCGUACAGCUCAAUACCCCCUGUCUGGGGUUUCGGUACUAUAUAUACAUACACCCUUGCUAGGGUUUUGGGUGGUGACAGAAGAGAUAGAAGAGAGAGAGAUUAUCAGAUUCUCUUGUAAGCCGCCAUAGGCGUGUAGCCCUAAACUCUUGAUAUAGUGAGAUUGUUGCCGGCUGGUGCCCGUGGUUUUUCCUCUUCACAUUGAAGGGGUUUUCCACGUAAAUCGUGUGUCUUCUUUUGUGGUUUGAUUCUUUACUUCAUAUUCCAUACGUCGUACCUAACAAGUGGUAUCAGAGCUUUGGUUGCUGUUUGGAUUUCAUGUCGACGUCGAUGAAGUUUGAUCUACCGCUGCUGAACUACGACACGCGGUUCUCUCUAUGGCAAGUCAAGAUGAGAGGAAUUCUAGCGCAAACUCAUGAUUAUGAUGAGGCGCUGGAUAGCUUCGGAAAGAAGACAAAGGCCGAGUGGACUCCAGAAGAGAUCCGCAAGGAUCAGAAAGCACUCGCCCUAAUACAGUUACAUCUUCAUAAUGAUAUUUUGCAGGAGUGUCUGAAAGAAAAAACUGCUGCAGAACUAUGGCUGAAACUGGAAUCGAUCUGUAUGUCCAAGGAUCUAACCAGUAAGAUGCAAAUGAAGAUGAAGCUGUUCACCUUGAAGAUGAAGGAGGAAGAUUUAGUGAUGAACCACAUCACUGAAUUCAAGAAGAUCGUCGCCGAUCUAGUAUCAAUGGAGGUGAAGUAUGAUGAUGAGGACUUAGGUCUUUUACUGUUAUGUUCUUUGCCAACUUCAUAUGCAAAUUUUCGUGACACCAUACUCUUGAGCCGUGAUGAACUAACCUUAAAGGAAGUUUAUGAGGCUCUCCAAUCAAGGGAGAAGAUGAAAGGUAUGGUGCAGACUGACAGAACGUCGUCCUCCAGAGGCGAUGCUUUGCUUGUGAGAGGCAGAACUGAUAACAGAUCCUCCAAUGAUGAUGGAAGAAAAAACUAUGAAAGGAGAGGCCGUUCAAAGUCCAAGCCGCAUGGUAACAAAAAAUUCUGUGUCUAUUGCAAGCUAACAAAUCACAAUGUUGAGGAUUGCAGAAAAGUACAGAAUAAGGAGAAGAAGAAAAACAAGUCGGCUGGUAAGGUCUCUGUUGCUGCUGCCGUGUCUGAUGAAGAAUCUGGAGAUGGUCUGGUGGUAUUUGCCGGUUGUGUUGCUGGUCAUGAUGAGUGGAUCCUUGAUUCUGCAUGUUCAUUUCAUAUUUGCAUUAACAGAAAUUGGUUUAGCUCUUAUAAGUCUAUGCCGAAAGGAGAUGUUGUGCGGAUGGGAGAUAAUACCCCGUGUGAUAUUAUGGGAAUUGGAUCAGUUCAGAUCAAGACUCAUGAUGGCAUGACACGCACUCUGAAAAACGUCAGGUACAUACCAGGGAUGUCCAGAAAUCUUAUUUCAUUGAGCACGCUUGAUGCAAAAGGUUACAAAUAUUCCGGUUCGGAUGGUGUUCUGAAGGUAUCAAGAGGUAAUCUUGUCUGCUUGAAAGGUGAUCUCAAUUCUGCAAACUUAUAUGUCCUUAGAGGGUGUACUUUACCUGGUUCUGAUUCCGCUGUUGCUGCUGUUACUAAUGAGGAACCUAGUAAAACUAACCUUUGGCAUAUGCGUCUGGGACAUAUGAGUCACCAUGGUAUGGCAGAAUUGAUGAGGAGAAACCUACUGGAUGGCUGCACUUCGAGUAAAAUGAAGUUAUGUGAGCACUGUAUUUUCGGGAAGCAUAAAAGGGUACAUUUCAACACUUCUGUUCACACCACUAAAGGUACUCUUGAUUAUAUUCAUGCUGAUUUAUGGGGUCCUUCCCGUAAGUCCUCGCUUGGUGGUGCUCGUUACAUGCUCACAAUUAUUGACGAUUACUCUAGAAGGGUGUGGCCUUAUUUUCUGAAACAGAAAGAUGAUACCUUUGCUGCUUUUAAGGACUGGAAGGUCAUGAUUGAAAGGCAAACUGAAAGGAAGGUGAAAUUGCUUCGUACUGAUAAUGGUGGAGAAUUUUGUUCGCGUGAAUUUAAUGAUUAUUGCAGAUCAGAAGGUAUUGUAAGGCAUCACACCAUACCCUAUACUCCACAACAGAAUGGUGUGGCCGAACGCAUGAACAGAUCCAUCAUAUCCAAGGCCCGUUGCAUGCUGUCUAAUGCCAGGAUGAGCAAGCGUUUUUGGGCUGAAGCUGCUAAUACUGCCUGUUACUUGAUAAACAGGUCACCUUCUAUUCCACUAAAUAAAAGAACUCCCAUUGAGGUAUGGUCUGGAACGCCUGCUGAUUACUCACAGUUGAAAGUUUUUGGAUGCACUGCAUAUGCUCAUGUUGAUAAUGGAAAAUUAGAGCCUAGAGCUGUUAAAUGUCUUUUCCUUGGUUAUGGUUCGGGUGUCAAAGGCUAUAAAUUGUGGAACCCGGAAACAGAAAAGACCUUCAUGAGCAGAAGUGUUAUUUUCAAUGAAUCUGUGAUGUUUACUGACAGCUUACCCUCAGAUCAAGUUCCAGACAAAGGACUGCAGCGUAUGCGCAUGCAGGUGGAGAACGCUCGUAAUGAUGUUGAUAACCCCGACCCCUUGGUCUCGGGGUCGGAUGCGCCAGACCCCUUGGCUCCAGGGUCGGCUGAUGCUCAAGCGCCAGACCCCUUGGCUCCGGGGUCGGAUGUUGCUGCGCCAGACCCCUUGGCUCCGGGGACGGAUGUUGCUGAUGCGCCAGACCCCUCAAUCUCGGGGUCGGCUGAUGCUCAUGAUAAUGUCCAGCAAACUCCAGAGGAGGAUCUACCCAUUGCUCAACGCAAGUCCAAAAGGACAGUUGCCCCUCCUAACCGCCUCAUUGAAGAGUGUAAUUUGUCUUACCAUGCUUUGAGUUGUGCUGAACAGGUGGAGAAUGUUCAUGAGCCAGCAACCUAUAAAGAAGCUAUUCAUUGUGGCGAUACUGAAAAUUGGAUUUCGGCCAUGCAUGAGGAGAUGCAAUCUCUUGAGAAGAACAGUACAUGGGAACUUGUACCUUUGCCUAAGAAUAAGAAGGCCAUCCGCUGCAAAUGGAUCUUCAAAAGAAAGGAGGGUUUAUCUCCAAGAGAGCCUCCGAAAUAUAAGGCAAGGUUAGUUGCAAAAGGCUACAGCCAAAUUCCGGGUGUCGACUACAAUGAUGUUUUCUCUCCAGUGGUAAAACACAGUUCAAUUCGCACUUUCCUUAGUGUUGUUGCUUCACAUGAUCUUGAGCUUGAGCAGUUAGAUGUGAAGACUGCGUUUUUGCAUGGAGAGCUCGAGGAGGACAUAUACAUGAACCAACCAGAAGGUUUCAUAGUGCCUGGCAAGGAGAAAUAUGUGUGCAAGUUGAAAAGAUCCUUGUAUGGUUUGAAACAGUCCCCUCGACAGUGGAACAAGAGGUUUGAUUCAUUUAUGUUAUCACACAGUUUUAAAAGAUCUAAGUAUGAUAGCUGUGUUUAUAUCAAGCAUGUUAAUGGAUCACCUAUAUACUUGCUGAUAUACGUUGAUGAUAUGUUGAUUGCUGCCAAGAGUAAGACUGAAAUAAAUAAGUUAAAGAAGCUAUUGAGUAGCGGUUUUGAUAUGAAAGAUCUUGGUAGUGCUAAGAAAAUUCUUGGUAUGGAAAUUAGUAGAGACCGAAAUUCUGGUUUGCUAUUUCUUAGUCAACAGAAUUAUAUCAAGAAAGUUCUUCAGCGUUUCAACAUGCAAGAUGCUAAGGCUGUAAGUACUCCUAUUGCACCUCACUUCAAGUUGUCAGCUGCUCAGUGUCCUAGUACAGAUGCAGAGGUCAAAUACAUGUCAAAGAUUCCUUAUUCUAGUGCUGUUGGGUCCUUGAUGUAUGCCAUGGUUUGCUCUCGCCCAGAUUUGUCAUAUGCUAUGAGUCUUGUUAGUAGAUAUAUGUCUAAUCCCAGCAAAGAACAUUGGAGGGCAGUUCAGUGGAUUUUCAGAUACCUCAAAGGCACAGCAAAUUCCUGUUUAAAGUUUGGAAGAACUGAUGAGGGUCUUAUUGGCUAUGUGGACUCAGAUUAUGCUGCUGAUCUGGACAGGCGAAGAUCACUCACAGGCUAUGUGUUUACUGUUGGCAGUUGUGCUGUGAGUUGGAAGGCUACUUUACAGUCGGUUGUUGCUUUGUCUACUACUGAAGCAGAAUAUAUGGCGAUUUGUGAAGCGUGCAAAGAAUUGAUUUGGCUGAAAGGUUUGUACGCCGAACUUUGUGGAAUUGAAUCUUGCAUAAGUUUGCACUGUGACAGUCAAAGUGCAAUUUACCUCACUAAAGAUCAACUGUUCCAUGAGAGAACUAAGCACAUUGAUAUCAAGUAUCAUUUUGUGCGUGAUGUGAUUGAAGAAGGUAAGCUAAAGGUAUGCAAGAUCAGUACUCAUGAUAAUCCUGCCGAUAUGAUGACAAAGCCUGUUCCUGUUACUAAGUUUGAGCUGUGCUCAGGCUUAGUUGGUUUAAUUGGAUAGUCCAAGAGACUAUUAUUGGCACCAGUGGUUUUUCCUGUCUUUGUUCUGUUCAGAAUGAAGGGUUGAUGAUACAAGAUGAAUUUGUCUCAAGGUGGAGUUUGUUGGAGUUGUUCCAAAUUCACUCCAGGAAUAAAGGCCGACCUUCCCGACCCUUGACACUCAGGGUCGGGCGAGGCGGAGAAUCUCCCGACCCCGGGACUCGGGGUCGGGCGAGGCGGAGCGUCUCCCGACCCCAGGCUUGAGGUCGGGCGAGUCGGAGAUCGACCCUCAAGGGGUCAGGCGCAUCCGACCCCAGGCUUGAGGUCGGGCGAGGCGGAGUCCCAGGCGCAUCCGACUCCAGGACGAAGGACUCAGGGUCAGACGAGAAGGAGUUCCAUCCUUGUACGGGACCAAGAGUCCGUACAGCUCAAUACCCCCUGUCUGGGGUUUCGGUACUAUAUAUACAUACACCCUUGCUAGGGUUUUGGGUGGUGACAGAAGAGAUAGAAGAGAGAGAGAUUAUCAGAUUCUCUUGUAAGCCGCCAUAGGCGUGUAGCCCUAAACUCUUGAUAUAGUGAGAUUGUUGCCGGCUGGUGCCCGUGGUUUUUCCUCUUCACAUUGAAGGGGUUUUCCACGUAAAUCGUGUGUCUUCUUUUGUGGUUUGAUUCUUUACUUCAUAUUCCAUACGUCGUACCUAACACUUUGUGCAACUCAUUUACAAUGACCCUGCAAUCGAGAAGCACUUUGAGUUUCGGAGGUGGUGCUGCGUGUCAGAUGAUUUCGAUGUCAGUACCAUUGCAAGCAACAUCUGCCAGACCAAUGAGAAAUAUCGUGAAAAAUCAUUGCAGGAGCUCCAGAGUACAAUAAGUGGGAAAAGGUACCUCAUUGUGUUAGAUGAUGUCUGGAAUCGGGAUGGUGAUAAGUGGGGAAAACUAAAGGCCUGCCUUAAGCAGGGUGGCAAGGGCAGUGCAGUACUAACAACAACUCGUGAUGCAGAAGUGGCUCGCAUUAUGACCAUGGGUGUAGCUGAAGCCCAUAAUAUCGAGAAUCUGAGUGACGAGCAUUUAAAGGAAAUUGUCCAGAGCAGAGCAUUCAGCUUGCAAAAUCCAAAUAUGGAAGAGCAAGAUGGCAUUCUCAGUGGAUUUGUUCGUCGAUGCGUUGGAUCUCCCUUGGCUGCCAAAGCCUUUGGCUCUAUGUUGAGUAACAGGACUAGUGUAAAUGAAUGGAAGGAUGUAUUAGCUAAAAGUGACAUUUGUAGUGAGAAAACCGGAAUUUUACCGAUCCUCAAGCUCAGUUUUGAUGACCUAUCCUCAGAUAUGAAGCAGUGCUUUGCAUUUUGUGCUUUAUUUCCUAAAGAUUAUGAGAUUGAUGUGGACCUCUUGAUUCGACUGUGGAUGGCACAUGACUUCAUACCUGUGCAGGAGGAUGACAAUCUAGAAACCGUAGGAAAAUAUAUUUUUGAGGAGCUAACUCGGAGGUCAUUCUUUCAAGAGGUCAGGCAAACACUUCAAUUUGGCUAUUUUGGAAGGUCGUCACUUCGUAAGUCAACCAUAUGCAAGAUACAUGAUCUCAUGCAUGACAUUGCUCUAUCUGUUCUGGGGAAAGAAUGUGUCACUAUAGUUGGUAAGCCGAGCAUCAACAAGGUGUUGCUAAAUCCGACCCGCCACGUCUUCUUAUCAACAAGGUGUUCUCAUUUCUGGAAAGAACAGGUUACAAGUCUACUAGAUCAUCUAUUGAAGAAACAAACUGCAAUGCUCCAUACGUUGUUUAUCAAAGGUUAUGGUCAACCCCUUGAUAUAUCAAAGUACACUUCACUGCGAGCAUUACACCUUCCAGCAUAUAUAUAUAUACCAUGUUCAGGACAGGAACAGCUUACAAGACACAUACAACACCUAAGGUAUCUUAAUCUGUCGUCACAUGAGUUCGAGAAACUUCCUGAAGGUAUAAGCAUUAUGUAUAAUCUACAAACGUUGGACCUCUCAUAUUGCAAAUGCCUUCGUCAACUUCCAAAGGAUAUGAAGUAUAUGGCAAACCUCCGACACCUCUAUACCCAUGGAUGCGAAUCAUUGACAUGCAUGCCUCCAGGACUUGGACAGAUCACUUCUCUGCAGAAUCUAACAUGUUUUGUUAUUGGUGAUGGCUUGGGAUGUAGUACUAUAGGAGAACUUCAAAACUUAAACCUUGGUGGAGAGUUAGAGUUAAGUGGUCUGCAAAAUGUAACAGAAGUGCUUGCAAAAGCUGCCAGUCUUGAAAAUAAAGAGAAACUCACACACUUAUGUCUCAAAUGGAAUGAUGAUGCCCGUGAGAAACCAGAUUCUCAUAAUGAGGUGUUAGAUGCCCUUAAACCUCAUCAUCGGCUGGAGAUGCUAGGCAUAAAGUCCUACAAAGGCACCAAUUUACCGUCAUGGAUAACAGAUCUUAGUCUGUUGCAGCACUUGACUGAGCUCCAACUGGUUGGUUGCACGCUGUGCGAGGAAUUUCCUCAAUUCUGCCAUUUCAAAACCCUUGAAGUUCUGUAUUUGAAAAAGUUGGACAAAUUGUAAAGCCUAUGCAGUCAUAUGGUGUCUACGCCAUUUCCAGCACUGAAGCAACUCCGGUUACAUGAUUUGGAGAGCUUGGAGAGAUGGGUCGCAACAGAAGGAAAAGAAGAUGAAUUAACCUUUCCUGUACUUGAGGAGGUUGAUAUAAAAAACUGUCCAAAGUUGACUAGCCUACCUGAAGCACCAAAGCUCAGGGUUGUAAGUCUGGAUGAAGGCAAGCCGCUGCUCUCCUUAGGAAUAGUUAAAUCAAGGCACAUGUCUUCAAUUUCUAAGCUAAUCCUGUGUGUCCGUGACACAGAAGCACUGCCUCAGAUAGAUUAUAAUUGGGAUUCAUCACAGAAACUGGAACUAUCCUUGGGUGGCACAGAAGCCGCACCUCUGUCACAUCUGAACAUAUCUGGCUGCAACUUUUUCUUCGUAUCAAGCCAGUCACAGCUAACACCUGGGGUCUGGAAAUGGUUUGAACAUCUUGCAGUUUUAGCAAUCAAAAACUGUGAUGUGCUCAUCUACUGGCCAGAAGAAGUGUUCCAAAGCUUGGUAUCUUUGAAGGAGUUGUGGAUUGAGUCCUGCAACAAGCUAAUAGGGCCCACACAAGCGAAAGGUGGCGAACCUACACAAACGACAGAUCAACUCCUGCCACAUCUAAACAGGAUAUGUAUACGCAGUUGUGAAAGCAUGGCACAGCUCUUCAUUCUUCCCCCAUCUAUCAGAAUUAUUGAUAUUAUGGAUUGCCCUAAGCUUGAGUUCAUAUGGGGAAAGGAGGAGCAUCUUGACACAUAUACAUCGUUGGAACAUUGCCGCGACCCUGCAUCCACUACUGGUACCCUAGAGCAAUCGCCGUUUCCAAUUAUUCGUCGUCCAUGCCUUGUACGUUUAUCAAUAAGAUUGUGUGAUAGCCUGGUAACACUUCCAAAUCUACCACCGUCCCUCAAGGAUUUAAGCAUCUACAGCUGUGAGAAGCUCUGCUCUGUGUCAGGAGACCUGUGUGCACUCGAGGAGCUACAUAUUUAUAACUGCAAUAAGUUACAGUCAGUCAAUUCCUUGGGAGACCACCCAUCAUUAGAAACACUGAUUCUUUAUGACUGCCGAUGCCUUGCAUCUUUAGGAUGUGAUGGUGGUCGUGGAAGUUACUCUGCUCUUCAGAGCCAUAAGAUCGAAGAGUGCCCAGCCAUAGACAUGAAGCAGUUUUACUAACGCCAUCAAACAGCUGCUUGACAGCUUUGAAUAUGAAGACGUAUCACACGUUCAUUCAAGCAGCUCUGAUGAAGGUACGACCUUUCACUUUCCUCUUAUUCAAUUUGUUUCCUUCAAAUUUCCCUGCUUUGCAUGCCCUCCUAUUUCACUCAUGUAACCCCACAUGCAUUUCAUUUUUGCUGUGCAGACAUGACCCAUUUGUCCUUAAAAAGCAUAAAGGAGGGCACUCACAUGUACACACGACUGCCAUCUGGAAGCUUCAUUAUUGCGAGCCUCUGCUAACGAUGACAGGCCUGCAAUGGACGACAAAAACGACAAAGUUUGUUUUCACGGCACUACCAGCUAGCUGCUGGUAAUGCUCUUGUCACUAAUGUACAGUACUCCAUUCUGUCAUCCAUGAAAGUCGUGGAGAAUGGUCUAUGAUGUUACUCCAUUCUGUCAUCCACGUGAGCCGAUGAAGCAGAAACAAAUGAUGAUGAUGAUGGAUGAUAUAGCUGCCGGGACCCACUGCAACCUCGUGCAUCAAUCAUGACGAUCUCUAACGGCAAAGGCAUGCAUCCAGUAUGGCCUGAUGAAGUAAUUUAGUCUGCCAAAUUUCUUUCUGCUCGUUGCGCAUAGAAGGCGUAUUUUCUUUUCCUUUUUUCCACCCGAGAAGGAAGAAGAAGAAGAAACUGCUGUGGCCAAUUCAAUCCGGAUCAUCAAAACAACAGCCCAUUCCAGACUAGAAGAAUUUGGUCACCAAAUUCGGAUGGAGGUAAAAAGUCACUAGUUACCUGCAGCACCGAAUAGUACUGGUUCGUUCAUUUACUGUUUCCAAAAACUUUCUGCUGAGAGUUUGUGCAUUGUGGUGACACUAAAUAUGCGCGUGCGCGGUUCGUAGGAUUCGAACCCACAACCUCCAACCUCGCGCGUAGCUUUCUUGCCAUCCCACCUACACACCACAUCUAAGUAUGUAGGGGAUCCUAUCCUUUUGUAUUAACUCGUGGGGGACCCUUUUAUCCCGGUUGGAAACACCAACCGCGAUAAAAGACCCCCUUUUAUCCCGGUUGGUAUUACAAACCGGGAUAAAAGGGUUCGAGGAUUUAAUCCUCUUCCAGCCACCUUCCAGUCACCUCGUUGGGGACCCUUUUAUCCCGGUUUGAAACACCAACCGGGUCAAGAGCCUUUUAUCCCGGUUGGUGUUUCAAACCGGGAUAAAAGGCCCCUCAGAGUCUUUUUUCCCACUAGCCUUUGCAACCGGGAUAAAAGGUCCCGGUUGGUGAGCCCCCCACCAGUGACCGAGUUUUAAUCCCGGUUGGUGAACCUUUGUCCCGAGCCAACUUUAAACCGGGAUAAAAGAGGGCGCAUGGAAAGUUAAUUCUCUACUCGUGUUUGCGGGACACAAUCAUUUCAAGCAGGAGACGGUGGUUCAUCUGGAUGGACACCGGCCUCCGAUCAACAAUUUCCCCAGUUUCCCGUGUAGGCAAGGGGGAAGAUGGCAGGUCGCCAAGAAAUAGCAGCAGAUAUGUCCCUUGUCAAAACUUCAAGCCAGUAGUCUGUAAAAUAGAAAGAGAGAUUUGUUCCACUUAGGCUGCUACGCCUACAACAAUAAUGACUGUGGGGAGCUAGGAAAUAGCAUCAUGCUGAUAAGCCCAACAUCAUUGGAAUACAGUAACAGCGUACUGAAAACAAAAGAGGCUACAUCAUGGGCCAACUGAAAUUGUGUUAUCCAUAACAUUUUUUUUUAGAAAAUCCUCAGCCAUCAACACACGCAACCAAAUUAUUACAGAAUCUUAAGCUCAGUUGCUGAUUAAAAAAAUAAAAAGAGAAAAUAAUUAUAAGCAAUGUUUAAUGUUGCUUAUCCAUCCAUUUUUAAUAGAAACUUUCCAAAGCUUUCGUUGCUCUACUAUCGAACGGACGGUCUCCCUUAUGUCUUCACACCACGUUAAUAAAUCGCAAUUAAUAUGUUCUCCCGAAGGUAACCUUCAAAGCGAUGAAUGUAGAUCACCCACGAGCAACCGAGCACGCACAAGGGAUGCUGAAACACCACAUGGAUCUCCAUGACAACACCUUCAACAAGAACAUGACGCUAAUGACACCAUUGUCAUUGGCCCAAGUAUUGGGUUGGGUUUACACCCGGAGAAUUAAAAAAUCACCAUUCGGGGGAGGUGCAAACAAAGUCGCCUCCAAGGAGGCAACGGCACCCGCAAGCGUCACCAUCCACACUUUCAUCCCGACCUCCACCAUGCCAUGCCGGCAGCAGCCUGAGCAGAAAUCCACUCACCAAGCUGUUGAUGGUGCUGAGCAAGUUCGCAAGUGCCAGCCAUCAUUAUUGAGAGCCAGCUGCUGCCGCCGCAAACUCAUGCCCAUUGCGCUAGGGCUAGGGCGCCGGCCAUAGCAAGGCCUAGAUGCACGUGUUGCGUCAUGGCUGGCACCACACUAAGCCCACCAUGUCACCAGACUGUCACAGCCGGAAGGGCGCCGGUCGUCAGAUCCGACCCCCAGCGCAUGGAAUCCACCGCCUAGAAGCUAAUAUCUCUAGAGUGAAAAUCAACACUUCAGAAGAUCCCUGAGGGAGGGGGAACGUGAAGGAGAGGCUCCCCGAGUGCCGUCAGCAUCACCGGAGAACCCAAGCAGCCACAUAUCCAGGGGUCUCCGAGGGACCCGUCGUCGGAUCCGGUCACGCCAAGGGGAAGCACCAUCACGUUCAAAGGUUUCACCUCUAUGUGUAACGCUGCACUGUCCGACUGCCCGAGUACCUCCAGCAUUGGAUGGAGUGAUGGCAAUCUUAUUAGGGGGAAAAGAAACUACACACACCAAUGACAUAUGGUAACAGCUUACAAUGAUGGUAGUGGAUAAAAGAAAUGGGAGCACCAGAAACAAAAUCUAGAGUCUCAACAGUCAAAAUCAAAUUAACAAGAUCAAACAAUAAAAGUUAUGAGUACCACAAGAGCUUACACUGUCCGACUGUCCGAGUACCUCCAGCGUUGGUUGCAGAGCACCAGGGGGGGGGGGGGAUCAUUUCCAAAGUGGAUGCAUCAGUGGAGAUCUCUCAAUGUUUGUCACAUAAGCAGUGUGGUGCCCUCCAGGUGCCCAGGUUGGUGUGUUAAACUGCCUCCGAUCCACAGCCAUCUUAGAACACUGCAUUCCAAGUUUCCAACACUUUUCAUGGUCUCAACUCUACUUUUACAUUCUCUCAGGGGGUGUUUGGGAACACCGUGCUAAACUUUAGCACCUGUCACAUCGGAUGUUUGGAUACUAAUUAGGAGUAUUAAAUAUAGUCUAAUUACAAAACUAAUUGCACAGAUGGAGUCUAAUUCACGAGACGAAUCUAUUAAGCCUAAUUAGUCCAUGAUUUGACAAUGUGGUGUUACAGUAACCAUUUGCUAAUGAUGGAUUAAUUAGCCUCAAUAGAUUCGUCUCGCGAAUUAGACUCCAUCUGUGCAAUUAGUUUUGUAAUUAGCUCAUGUUUAGUCCUUCUAAUUAGCAUCCGAAUAUCCGAUGUGACCCUGCUAAAGUUUAGCACCUCGUAUCCAAACACUCCAAUGUGCUUUAUCUUGCUCCAAUCAUCUCCUGACUCGCUGCAUCUUUGCUUAAACCUCUUUGUGCAUUGUGACAGUGUCAAGGUAUGCAAAGAGGUCAGCCUCUCAAUGCACGGAGGCAAAGUUUUCAUCCAGUAGGCCUCUACUUUGAGCUCACGGAGAGAUGCCAUAUCUCCCAACCAUUCUGGCAAGGUUUCCAUGUCCUCACAGUUCAGUAUCUCUAGCUUCCUGAGGGAUUUCCAGCCUAGAAUGCACUUUGGCAAAGGUACAGGAUCGAUGCAACUGUCAACAGUUAAUUCUUCAAUGUCAAGCAGUUGAAGAGAAUCAGAGUCAGAAGAUAUAUUUUUGAUGUACUUGAUUUCCAUUUUGGAUGAUAAAGCAGAUGUUGAUAGCCCCAUGAUCGACUUGGUAGAAUGAUGGCCAAUUGAAUAAGAACGGAUAUUGUUUAAUUCCAGAUAUGAUAUACCUGGCACUCCAAGGGAUUGAUGGUUCGAAUCUUACAUUCAAACAACAGUCUAUCUCCACAGUAACUUCCCUACUCUUACUAUUGUAACUCUUCUGAGAUUUUUCACUGGCUGUGUGAUCAAGAUGCAUAUCGAUGAUUUGGCAUAUAGGUUCACUAUAACUUCACCAUCCCCCACAAGCAGAGACACCGGGACAGACGAGAUAUACAAGUCUUCAAGAGAUUGUAAAUAAUCUAAAUGGAGGUCACCAGAUUGAACAUUGAAAAGCUCCAAUCGUACAAGAUUUGGUAGCCAACGUAACCAGUUAGGAAAAUCACCACCAACAUAGUUCUUUAUGCAAAGCCUUUUAAGGUUUUCACGAGGCUGGAGCUCUUCUAACGCGACCUUGUUCAACACUGGCCCACUCCACUCCAAACUUAAAAAUUGGAGCUCCUCUUUUUGCGCCAAUUCAAUUAUGUUUGCGUCUGAGCUUGAUAGAUCUUCGAGAUGUUUAAUAUUAAGUUCAGUAAGCUGGUGACUUGUAGUCUUUUGUAGAAGAGCCAUGUCCUUUGAUGAACUGACGGCGAAACUAGGGCCCUGCUAUUUUACAAAAACAAAGAAAAUGAAAAAUAAAACAUUCUGCUUUAGUCAAGAUGGCAUGCAUACUAUAUAAAACCAUCUCUAGGUGCAAACAUGCAGCUUAGAGCAUCUCCAAUAGUCAUCUAAUUAAUGUUUCUAGAUAACUAGUUAAUAGGGAUAUCCCGAGUUGCUUUUACAGUCUUCUAUAACCUCAUCCCAAUCUAACUACCGUUGUUGGGAGAGUCACAGCUCCUCAUUUAUUUGGGGAGUUGGGGUGAAUUAUUUGUCGAAUAAUUAUUGUAAAAAAGGAAAGGUAAAGGGAGUGUGUUAGAGCACUAUUUUUUCACAAACUCUCCAAAUAUGGUAGUUGUAUUGGAGCACUGAAUAGUACUGGUUCGUUCAUUUACUGUUUCCUCAAACUUUCUGCUGAGAGUUCGUGCAUUGUGGUGACACUAAAUUAGCUGCUUAAUCUGCUGCAGGACAUCAAGCAGUGGGCGUAUGGCGCACCUAUCAGCUGGGUUCCUGUUGGUCAUCUUAAUUCUUGCUUGUGGUAGAGCAAACCAUGGCCGACUUAGUGAUCAGGCCCAGGGCCGGCUCUAGGGGAGCGGCAGGCCGUGCGACCGUCCGGGGCCCAUGAAGCUGCGGGCCCAAAACCAUAUAGGUAAUCAAUACAUAUAAUUUGGUUGGUGGACUUUGUUUCGGCCUUUCUAAAUGGCCCGCGUAACAACUGCGGCCUGCCUCCGUCCGUGCCAAAUCAGGCCUACCAAAUUGCUCCAUGACUAUGCUGUCCCUGAUUCUGUAUACAUAUACGCUCCUGACUCCGUGGUUGUGCUGUCGCUGAGCACCGCGUCUGGAGCGCGUCAGAGGAUAUAGGCGAGCCGCGAGCACCGUUAGGGUCAGAGGCGAGUGCUUAUUUGAAGUUCAAUCUUUGUUUUCUUUUUCGCCAAUUUCGUCAAAAAGCAAUCAUUUAAUUAAUAUUAUUUCUUUCGUGUAGUAAUUCCAUUCUUCAUCAAUUGCGUAGAAGGAGCAAUGCCUUACGACAUUGAAGGAGAAUCUUGGUAAUUCUAUCGUCAAUUGCAUAUCAGAUUCUCUUAACUAUUCCAAUGACAGUAGUAUCAGCCGAAAGUAGUUUCUCCAUUUUGAAACUAUUGAAAAAUUAUUUGAGAUCAACUAUGUCACAAGAAAGAUUGAAUGGCUUGGCUAUGUGCAAUAUUAAGAAGGAUGUUUUGGACGACAUUAAUCUUGAUACUGUUCAUGAAGACUUUGCAUCAAGAAAUAUAUCCGAAGAUGUUUUUCUACAAAGCACUAAAGCAUUAUAUUUUUAUUUGAGAUAAUCAUAAUGGUUAUUGUUUUUAGUUUUUUUGUUACACUAUUAUUAUGUUUUAUGAGAGAUAUAUAUUGCAAAAAUGAUGCGUAGCUCUCCUGAAUAUAUAUAUAUAUAUAUUGCAAAAUAAUUUUUAUUAUUCGUAUUAUAUACUUUAGUUUUGAUAUUAAAAAUAGUUCAACGGGUCCUUAUGUUUGCCCAAGGGUCUUCAAAAUUAUAGAGCCAGCCGUGAUCAGGCCAUUCAUCUUCAUGGUGGAGAAGGUGAUCGAAGGCAUGGAGCGCAAGCUGCCAUCAAUCCUGCAUGCACAUUAACAAGGAUGCGGAGGAAAGAAGAGCCUCCCGACCUGAAGCAGCAGCUUGGCUCAAAGACCUCAAGACAGUUGCCUAUGCGGUGCUGGCCGGUGGCGCGAUCCAACGCUCUUGGGCAGCGGUAGCGAUGGCUUCCUGUUCCGCGGGCAGCCACAGCAGCGGCGACGGCGCGCUCAGCGGCCUCAACCCGUGCGCGGGCCCACUAGGAUUAAAACAAUCUAACACAUCCCAAUCUUAAGGAAGUGCACCAGUAGGUUCUUUUGUAUCACUUUUGGAUAGUCAUCGAAUUGCCGAACCUUUGAGCAGCGGAUCGACCCCCGCAUGCACUCAUGUCACACCCGAUUUUAAGGACAAAAUCGAGUGCAUUAAAUACAUGUGUGCCAGGAUCAAGUUACACACAUGUACGAUAAUAGUGAAUAACAAAGAUAGUGCUAAAACGAAUAAAGAGAGUAUUAAACAUUAUUACAUGACCGAAAGUCUCAAUAAACCAUAAGCCUAAUUUAUUAUGCAGCGGAACUCCAAGGACGACGACGACUCCACAGGCAGCUGACUGAAGAAACGUACGCCUAGAACUCCUCAAAGUCGUGUAGGUACUCCUCCCAAUUAGCUUAGUCUGAACAACGGUUUUGCAAGGGUGAGUACUGUAACAACUCUACCUAAAUUAAGUACUUUUAACUCUAAACCAGUGAUAAAUCCCUAAGUUAAGAAGUGAAAUGACCUUUAUAAACCUAAGAAGCUCGUUUUGGAGUUUGAAUUAAAGCUUGAAAUUUUGUAUACAAACCUGAGUUUCUGCCCAAGUAAGAGUUGUAAAACUUUUUAAUUCCAACAACUUUUGUUAAAGUCACUUUGACUAAUUCGGAGUGGAAGGAAGUCAAAAACAUCAACCAAAGCCAGUUUUUCUAAAGGACCCUGAAAAUCUCUUAAGUCCUGAAAUUCGAGUUUUCCUCCAUCUUGCAAGCUUUCAUCUCCUGUUUUCCCUAUCUAAACUCAAGUCAGGGCCUGAAUGAAAGUUGUAGUACCUCAAGAUUGUUCCAACUUUGUUACACUGAUCCAGAUCCAAAUCGGGCCCGAACUUGUUCAAAACUCCGGUCAAAGGGAGGUAAACCAGUCAACUCACCCCUGGUGCCUUAAAAAUCCUAAGUCUGGAAUCCCAGAUUUUUGGCUAACUUUGACCGGAAAUAUCUUUGAAUCCUUUCACAAUCUAAACCAGCACCUUAAACAAAGUUUGAAGAACAAUCAGAGUUGAGCAAGUUUGUUUAAGGGAGUUUUGGAAGUUGUGUUGAAAGAUUCGGAGGAAGGAUCACUCCAAAGCUGGUCGGGCUUGUUGCCCGAAGGGAGCCUCGACGCCCGCGCGCCAGAGCACGUUCACUCGCGCGCCGCGUGCCGCGUGGCCGCCGGCCACCGGCAGCUCGCCGGCACCCUAUCCCCAGCACGACAGCGAUAGGACGAGAGCCACGGCGCCCAACCCGCGCCCGCGACAGGACGGAGCGAGCGCAGGGCUAGCCAACCGCCAGCCGCGCGCAGGUCGCCUUCCGCCUGCCACGGCUCUGCUCCGCCAACCCUGUUCCGCCCGUCCGCUGAGAAAGCUGACACGCCCCCGACGUCCCGCGCCUCCGCCCGUUCGCCCAACCCCCACGGUAGCCCUUCCGUCUCGCCCGCCCGACAGACCGGAAGCCCUAGAUGUGCGCCGCCCAAGGCCAAUCGCCGCCGAAGACCACCCGGAGCUCCGCCUCCUCUGCCCAAUGGCGUUGUCGGCCAAUGGCCGCCUCGCCUGAGCACUCGCCGCUCCCGGCCUUAUCCUUUCCCCACCGGAGCCCCGCCUCGACCCUCCGCCCCACCACGACCCUAUAAAAGAGAACCCCCUCACCGGCAAUGCCACCCCUUGCCACCGCCUGCACCUGCGCCACCGCUUUCUCCUCUGCGCCCCCGCUUUCUCCUCUGCGCUACCGCUGAGCUUCCGUGGAGCUCACCCCUUUGCGCCACCCCACACUCCGGCGAUUUCGCCGCCACCCUCUUGAGAAAGUUCCCCUCUCCGCUCCAGCCGCUUCUUCCAACCCACCAGCCGCCCGCUCCUCCGCGUGGUACUCGAGCUUGCUAGUGUCCGCAAGAAGCACCGCCGCCGCCGGAGCACCGUCGAAGCAACGCCGCCGCCGGACCACCGUCGAAGUCUCGCUGCUGCCCAAGCCUUAGCGCGUACAACUUCCCGCCCCAGCCUACUCCUGUUCGGCCCCAAGGCUUCACCGGUAGACCUGGAGGUAAGUGACCGACCCCUUGUGUUCCGUCUCGACCGACCCCUUGUGUUCAGCCUCAACCGACCCCUUUUCUUUCCGUCUCGCCCGACCCCUGUCCUUUUUGUUUCGCCCGACCCCUGUCCUUUUUCGUUUCUCCCGACCCCUUUGUUUCGGUUCGCCCGACCCCUUUUCUUUUCCUCUCGCCUGACCUUUUUCCCGUUCGCCUCGCCCGACCCUGCCAAGUUUCGCCGACCCUUUCUCCGUCUCGCCCGAGGGCUCGGCUGUAACUUUUUCUUUGACCCGAGGGUAUCGGUGAAAUAUUUUCGGGGAUUCCUCUGUGUUGAGUCUGAGGACCUCGGUACGGUUUUCCUUAAACCUGAGGGUCAGACCCUAAGUUUCCCCUAAUCCGACCCUCUCAUCCUGAUCUCCUCCAACAGAAGUUGAACUCCCCCACCUUUCCUGUAGCUUGGCUACAAGUGUCCGUGUUAAAACAUUAGUGUGUUGAAAUAACCAUCUAAAAUGUUUAACCCCUGCAUUGCAUUUCCGUGUAGAGUUGAAUCUCGCCGAUGGAACGUACGAGCUUCACCCGGCACCGGAAGAAGACCCCGCCGAGGAACUGCAUCCCUUCGAAGGAGAGCCCGAACCGGAGCAAGACCCCGAGGACCCGCAAGCUUUUCCUGAAGGCAAGCCCCGGAGCAUAAAUUCCUAUCUUGAAUUCAUGCAAUAUUAUUGAUUACUUGAUUGCGCAUUUACGUUUCGAGGAGUUGUAAUGGAACCUUAGAUGCAUAACUUAGUACCUUAUUUUUGAAUACUAGUUGCUAAGGCCGAGUAGUUGCAUUGCUUAAUAGGUUCCGGUAAAAGUCGAGUGAUCUCCUGUCACUCGCGAGUUAUAGGAGUUGAAUGUUUCAGAUAUGUCGCAACUAUAAGGACGACGGACGGGGUCAGGCUUAUGUUCGAUACUUGGUGGAUUGCCCCGUCUGUCUAAAUGAAAAUGAACUAAGGUCGAAACGUGUCGGCGUUCGUGAUCAAGUGUUUGAAAGUACUAAUCUCAUACCUAGUAUGGGAUGGGGAAGCCUAGUACCUGAUUGAAUUGGGGCGUGGCAUACCCUCCGGCUGUCCUUGGAACGUCGUUCCCAUGGUGCAUCAUGUGGGUGCAAGUGCGGUCACAGUGCAGCAAUAGGCCGGGACUGUGGAGCAUUGCAUGCCAAAGGAAGUUGGCCCUGACACGUGCCUAAGGGAUCGAUGGGGACGGCUGAUAAAUGAAGCGACCCUUCGUGGUGCGCGGAUGUCAUGAGAUUAGGUUUGCCAUGCAUGGUUAAUAAAUUCGAAUCGAUUCAUCUGCCUCUCAUAGAUUGGGACUACUUGAUCGCUAUUCUGCACUGAGUAAAGAUGGAACAUGAUGAUGAUUUUAAUCUUGAUGCUUGUUAAGUAAUUGCUUGGAAACCAUGUUUGUUUAGUAUAAGUUGCUAAUCUGGAAUGGAUAAAGAACAUAGAACAUGAGCUAAAAUGUUGAAAGUAAGGACUGACUUUAGACGCUUUUGGCAAAGAAAACCCCAGAGCCAGAAAGCCUUGCAUGUCUAGGUCUCGGUCGUGUCUUUUCGACAGGUCAGUCUUGCGGAGUACUAGUUGCUCAGCCUUGUUGUGGCUAAUCUUUUUCAGGUAAUGUCAAUAGUUUGGGUGUUGGUACCACUUGGCCGACCCAGCUUCCUCCAGGUUGGACCGUCGAGUGGGAUCCUUCCUUGGAUGGCGAAGGAAGAAAUUUUUGAUGUCAUGAACGGCUCCGUCGUGAUGUCAUGUAUCGACGUUUAGUUUUCGCUAUUUUCCUUUGACUUCGAACCAUGCAAAUUUCGAUUUGAAUUUCAGAAACUCUGAUGUAAUAAAUUGUUGAACUAUGUUGUCAUGAUGGAAUGUUGUAACCUCUGUGCUACUCACCUUCGCGUGAGCGAUGCUUCUCGAUCCUGUUUAUGUGGUUUAUCGGAGGAAAUCCGACGGUCGACCAAGUUGACUUGCUUAAAGUGCAUAAUCGCGUGUCAGACGACUUCAAUGCAUUUUAGUCAGGUUAAUUUGGGCGGUUCCGCCACAAGUACACUUAUGGUUGGUACUCAACAAGUCGUGGGGAAUAGUGUAGUGUAAGGCAAAUCAAGGUACGGCUAAGGCAUAAUUAGCAUUCGCUUUUAUUUAAGUUGGUCAAGUUUUAUUAGCAAUUAACUAAGUAUAAGUUCGUACCACUCGAAAUUAAACAUGAUCAUAAAUAAAGUAAACAGCAUAUGCAUGAAAUGACAACAAGUUAAAUCCAUCUUCCGAUAAAUAUUAUCAUGUGAGGGUCCAGGCCUCUCUUAACCGUGAGCACGGCUGAUCGAUCAGUUUUACACUCUGCAGAGGUGGCACAUCUUUACCCACAAGUCGCGUAAAAGUUCAAAAGAACUUUGGACCCAACCAUGCGGUGUUUGCAAGGCACCAUACCACACUUCUGAGGUGUGAUUGCAUAGGGACGCUACGAGGCCUUUACAAAGAUUCAUUAGUCAGUGGUAACCCGCUAAGGUUUCGAUGUCUGGCGUGCACCACCCAUCCCAGGCAAAAAUGCAACGACUCAGUCCCCCCUCUUGCCUCAUCAUGAGUAAGGUCACCCUAGACUAAGGUUUCUAAUUAUUCAGCCAAGACCAGAGCCAUUUAGUCUUGUGGUAGCACUAUUUUCCUGGGUGGUCGCUCCAUGUUACGAUUAAUAAUACAUGAUCUUAUAUUAAUGAAAGGUAUAACAGAAGUAAAGCAAGAUUAAACAUUGUUUUUAGUUAAACCACCAUGUACCAAGUAAGCGCUAAGCAUGAGCUACCCAACAAAAAGUAAACCGGUUGAUCAAGGCAAAGGUAAUUCAAUCUAGGCGAACCUUAAUUGGGACCCAUCAAUUCAAUCUUAACAUGUGCAUAGCAUAAAUGUUGAGUACGAGAAAGUAAAGGUGUAUAGGAUGAAAAGUAGUGAUCAAGGACACGACUUGCCUUCUUGGCCUUGCUCCUACUGUUCGUACUCCUCGAAGGCUUGGUCUUCAACUCCCUCGAACUGCGGGACGUCUACACGCGUCACACGAGCACAUACAAGCAAACAUGGGCAAAAAGUAAGAAACAGUACACCAAUCACAAUUAAACAGAGAAAACAAGCUUGAAAAGUUGAUCUACGCUUUAAAACGAACACGUGGAUAUAAAGAACGCGAAAAACGGAGUUAAGAUGCAAAAGAGAUGAUUAAAACAAGAUCCAGGGGCUUUUCUGUGAGAAAAACAAAACUUUUAGGGCAAAACCGCAAAAACCGAGGGCUUAUACGUAAAUACGCGUAUAAACCAAAGGUCUAACGCGCAAAAACUCCAAAACGGACGGCGGGUUGAUUUUUAGAAAACUCGGGGUUUAAACCGAAAAGCACGAGGGCAGAUCUGUGAAUAUUUUCAACGCGAUCUGGACCGCGGGUUGAUUUGCGGAAAAGGCAGGGGCUUAAGAGCAAAAUGGCGCGGUGCGGCACGGUUGACCGUUACGCGGUCUUGUUUGACUCGCUAUCGGCCGUCGGAUUUAGGUCCGACGGUCACGGUCGGCGAUGACUCGCGACGGCGACGGGAAAAGGGCAGCCAGCGGCGGUGAGCGACGGCGAGGUCGCCGGAGUAGGCCGAAACAACGCCACGGGGCUCGGUUUCGCGCGCGGAAAGCACCAGAAGAGAGCGGGGAACAUGGCGAACCCGUUUAGUGCCUUGGCGGGAGCCACGGCGCGGCGGCGCUCACCUUUUGGCGGCGGCGUGCGGCGGAGAGAGGCAGCGGCGCAAGAGCUUGCGGCAGCUAGGGUUUGGAGGGUGCUGGCACGGGUGCUCGUGGCCGGGGGAGGCGGCAGCUUAAAUAGGGGCGGACGGCUUGGAGAUAGAGGCGGCCCCGGAUUCAAACCGGUCGGGGAAUACGGCACCCACCCGGAGAUCUCGCGCGGCGGUUGCGGGCGGAGGAGAGUCUGGUCGGAGGUGGGAGACGAUGGCGGGUCCCACCUGUCGGCGGUAGCGGGCGGUAGGCGGGCCGUAGCGGCUGUGGGCUGGCGCGCGCGUUCGCGGGCCGCGGGAAAGGGGCGAGCGGAGAGCUUCGCAGGCCGGCUGGAGGUGGAGCGGUGGGCCGCACGGGCAAGGGGGUUCGCGGGCCGGCGAAGAAAGGCGGAGCGGGCCGAGCGGCUGGCACUGGGCUGCCGGCAGAGGAGGAGGCGCUAGGCCGAAAGAAAAAGAAGAAGAGAAAGGAAAGCAAGGUGCGGCCCAGGAGGAGAAGAAGAAAAAGAAAAAGAAGAGGGAAAAGGAAAAAGGUUUUGGAGAUUGAAUUUAAAUUUGGAAUUCAAAUUUUUGAUUCAAACCCAAGCAAUCAAAAUAAAUGCAGCAGCAUGAAUGCACAAUUAACUCCUAUGAUGAAUUAAUUAAAUUAAAGAAAAUGAAAUUAAAUGCCUAGAAUUUAAAUGACACCCUAAUUUGAGUAAAUUUUAAUGAAUUUGAAUUCUCUAAAAUUUUGGGUGUUACAACUCAUGAAACUAAAAGGGAAAUCCUUUUCUCAUAGCUGGAUAAUAGCGCGCGGCGACAGAAAAGCCAGCAUCGUUUCUGAUCUCAUUCACGUAUAUACAGCCAGUUGCUCGCUUCCGACCAUGCAGCUGCAUGAAGAAUAUGGACCGAAUGUUUAGUCAGUAAGCAAACACUGCCUAAAGUAAGUUUACAGAGCUACAUGCUGGGCAUUUCAGACUUGUUUAAACAGAGGUGCAAACAAAGUCGCCUCCAAGGAGGCAGUAGCACCCGCAAGCGUCACCGUCCACGCUUUCGCCCCGACCUCCAUGCUAUGCCAUGCCAGAAGCACCAUCACGUUCAGAGGUUUCACCUCUAUGUGUAACGCUGCGCUAUGGAGAGAUGACAAUCUUGGGGGGGGCGGGGGGGGGGGUACCAAUGACAUAUGGUAACAGCUUACAAUGAUGGUAGUGGAUAAAAGAAAUGGGAGCACCACAAACAAAAUCUAGAGUCUCAACAGUCAAAAUCAAACAAGAUCAAACAAUAAAAAGUUCUGAGUACCACAAGAGCACCAGGGGGGGAUCAUUUCCAAUGUGGAUGCAUCAGUGGAGAUCUCUCAACGUAUGUCACAUAAGCAGUGUGGUGUCCUCCAGGUGUCCAGGUUGGUGUGUUAAACUGCCUCCGAUCCACAGCCAUCUUAGAACACUGCAUUCCAAGUUUCCAACACUCUUCAUGGUCUCAACUCUACUUGAACAUUCUCAAUAAGCUCUAUCUUGCUCCAAUCUUCUCCUGACUCGCUGCAUCUUUGCUUAAACCCCUUUGUGCAUUGUGAUAGUGUCAAGGUAUGCAAAGAGGUCAGCCUUUCAAUGCACGGAGGCAAAGUUUUCAUCCAGUAGGUCUCUACUUUGAGCUCACGGAGAGAUGCCAUAUCUCCCAACCAUUCUGGCAAGGUUUCCAUGUUCUGACAGUUCAGUAUCUCUAGCUUCCUGAGGGAUUUCCAGCCUAGAAUGCACUUUGGCAAAGGUACAGGAUCGAUGCAACUGUCAACAGUUAAUUCUUCAAUGUCAAGCUGUUGAAGAGAAUCGGAGUCAGAAGAUAUAUUUUCGAUGUACUUGAUUUCCAUUUUGGAUGAUAAAGCAGAUGUUGAUAGCCCCAUGACUUGGUAGAAUGAUGGCCAAUGGAAUAAGAAUGGAAAUUGUUUAAUUCCAGAUAUGAUAUACCUGGCACUCCAAGGGAUUGAUGGUUCAAAUCUUACGUUCAAACAACAGUCUAUCUCUAAAUAUUGAAGUCCAGGAAAUAAUGUGCGCUGGUUGGAGGAUUCCCUGCCACUAUCACUGUGUCUUCCUCCCUGCUGCUCUCUUUGAAAUACGUUCUUAUCAUCCUUCUGCUCAAUACAAGGCAACGUCGAUGUUUUCCACAGUAACUUCCCUACUCUUCCUAAUGUAACUCUUCUGAGAUUUUUCACUGGCUGUGUGCUCAAGAUGCAUAUUGAUGAUUUGUCAUAUAGGUUCAGGUCAUUUGGCCUAUUAAUCACCGGGAAAGACGAGAUAUACAAGUCUUCAAGAGAUUGUAAAUAAUCUAGAUGGAGGUGACCAGAUUGAACAUCGAAAAGCUCCAAUCUUACAAGAUUUGGUAGCAAACGUAACCAGUUAGGAAAAUCACCACCAACAUAGUUCUUUAUGCAAAGCCUUUUAAGGUUUUCAUGAGGCUGGAGCUCUUCUAAUGCGACCUCGUUGAACACUGGCCCACUCCACUCCAAACUUAAAAAUUGGAGCUCCUCUUUUUGCGCCAAUUCAAUUAUGUUUGCUUCUGAGCUUGAUAGACCUUCGAGAUGUUUAAUAUUAAGUUCAAUAAGCUGGUGACUUGUAGUCUUUUGCAGAAUAGCCAUGUCGUCUGAUGAACUGACGGCAAAACUAGGGCCCUGCUAUUUUACAAAAACAUAGAAAAUCAAAAAUAAAACAUUCUGCUUUAGUCAAGAUGGCAUGCAUACUAUAUAAAACCAUCUCUAGGUGCAAACAUGCAGCUUAGAGCAUCUUCAAUAGUCAUCUAAUAAAUGUUUUCAGAUAAAUAGUUAAUAGGGAUAUCCCGAGUUGCUUUUGCAGUCUUCUAUAACCUCAUCCCAAUCCAACUACCGUGUUGGGAGAGUCACAGCUCCUCCUUUAUUUUGGGAGUUGGGGUGAAUUAUUUGUCGAAUAAUUAUUGGAAAAAAGGAAAGGUAAAGGGAGUGUGUUAGAGCACUAUUUUUUCACAAACUCUCCAAAUAUGGUAGUUGUAUUGGAGAAUAGGGAUCUGCUGGAGAUACUAUGUAAACCAUUGGACAAUUGAAUGCUGAUGAGGCUUAUGGAAACAGAGCCAGCCAAGGAUCCCUACCUAACUCUACCAAUCACGGGUAUGCACAGCAGAUAUGCUGGCAACAGAUCCUACCAGUAAGUUUUUUUUUCCAAAAAAAACAUAUCCUACCACGUACACAGCACAAAAAUACAAUUCUAAAAAAUUUGAUGUUCGCCUGGUAUAUCCCAAAAGUUGCAUGACUAUUUUAAUUUGGAACUUGCUUGGCUACUCCUUCCAUCCCAUAUUAUAGGUCAUUUUGGCAUUUCUAGGUUUAUGAUUUUUUGUUGUACACCUUGAUGUAUAUUAUAUCUAGAAGCUAUGAAUCUAAAAUUGUCAAAACAACCAACAAUUUGGAUAAUUUGGGAUGGAGGGAGUAUUUUAAUUUGGAGAAUCAGGUCUACUAUAAGUGCCACAAUUAAGCAAGGUAGUGGCAUAUCAAACAAUAAAUUAAAUAUUUAUGUUAGAAAGGGAUUCCAUUAAUUCAUUCAUAUAUACGAUAUUCACUCCCUAGAAUUAAUGAAAAUACAGUAACAAAUCACAUGCCUGCAUGAUAGAUUGAGCCUCUUGUUAUGCAACCGUAAUUUAUAGUAUACAUUGUAGAACAAAAAAAGUAAUAAUUAAAAACAGUGCAUAUUACCUCAUGUGCAUAUACAUGUUUGAUGGGUUUAAUCUUGUCGUAGUCCUCUCCUAAACGGCUGCAGCAUUCACGCAGUUUGUAAUUGCACUUCUUAAGAGUUAAUGUCUUCAAGGAGGUUACAUCCUUGAUGGAGUGAGGCAAACGCUGCAGUUUGGCAGAAUAAACUUCUAGAUGCUCCAGAGAUGCCAGAUCCCCCAACCAAUCUGGGAGUGCCGCAAAAUUACAACAACUGUCCAAUAUCUGCAAGCUCCUAAGGGAUGAUCUCCGGCAAGGUGAUCAGAUCACUGUCAGAUUUAAUAGUUAAAUACCACAAGUCGGUGCUGACGUAUUGGAGAAAUUCUGAAGCGUCAGAGAAGCCAAACAUAUUUGGUUCCAAUUCAAGUGUAAAAAGGUGUGAAGAUCCAACAAGUAUCACGGGUGAUAGUUCUACCUUACUGCAUGAUGCAACUAUAUGCUCUAUGUAUCCUUGAAAAGCUGAACCGAGGGUCAACGUGGAAAUAUUUCAUCUCCUUGCACCUUCUGUUCAUCAUCAUCCCAAGACAUCUCUCUAGCAGACAGCUCCAAGUUCGUGGACAGCACCUCCAAAUUCUCCAUCUUAUUAAUACAAAGUUCCCUUAAUUUCCUGAAUGGGUUCCUGCCUCCAUAAAAACUAGUAGCCACUUCUCGAAUAUUAGGCAUAUCUGAAAUGUGCAGUUCUUCAAGGUUUGCUAACUGUCCUAGUGAAGGGAGGCGUGCGCACCUUGGCUGCCCAUCAGCACUAUCUUCACAAGAUUUGGAAGAUCGAGAUUUGGAUCGCUCAUCCAGCCACAAAAUGUGGCAUCUCCAUAACCUUCUAUUUCAAGUGUUGAUAGGUUAGGAUGAGGAUGGAGUCUUUGGAGAACUGAAGAAUCAUCAGCUCUGGAGAAUUUUUUGCUCAGAUUAAGAUAUACAUUGUUAGGCCUAUCGUCUGAUCCAGAUAAACCAUUGCUGGAAUAAGAGUUUGCGUCAGCGUGCGCAGCUGGUCAUAUGUAGCCAACUCUCCAAGGCCAACUUCAUCAGCGCUAUUCACCUUCUCAAGAUUUGAAAUAAAUAGGUCUGUGAUUCCAAAGUCUGUAUUUUGACAGAGGAGAAAAUCACUUUCUUGUACUGCAAAAUACACUCCCUGUGAAGGAAGAGACAGAGUUAGACUAUUACCAAAUGCAACGAAAAUAUUUAUGCAUCCAUUCUGUUCUAGAUAAGAAUUAGAAAAUGUCCAUUGUAAAAGAGGAGUAACAAAGCACAGCCAAGAGAACUUACCUCAUUUAUCUUGAUGCAUUGAAUGUGAGGAAUAGCCUGUAGGAUUGCAGCUUUGUCUCUGUCCAAGAAAUUCCCAGGAGAUGACAAAGUUAGCUUCGCCAAACGAUCCAUGCAUCUCAAUUCAUCAAAACGGUCAAACAUCUCGAGGCAAUCAAUUUCAAGCUCAUGUACUGAUUGAAUGCCAGGAAGUUUCUGAAGAUCAUAGCUCUUACAGUUCGAUAUCUUGAGUUUUUGGAUGGUUUGUGUCAAUAUAGGGGUUUAUGACCACAGAUUAAUCUUGGAUAAAUCACUCUCGUUGAUGAAUAACUCCUUGCUGUUGGGGAUUCUUGGAUAUAGUUCCAGAUAACCGCAGUGUUCUAUCUGCAGAUAGCAAAGCGGAGGGAAUUCUUCUUCAUCAGUGUUCAUCAGUGCGGAAGAAGAUACAGGAACGUGUGUCAUCAGUGUUCUCUUUUUAGUCACUCCCAAAAAUAUUUCCAUCAUGUUCCUAAACUUUGCUUUUCCUUUUCCUCGGGAAGGAUCACCAGACUGCGCCCUGAACAUUUCAAGCCUCUUGAAUUCUUCUAAAGGAUCUAUUUCCAUGUCACGUAUCUCUUCACCAUCUUGGCAAAACCACAAGGUGCAUCUGGAUGCUAGUUUAACAAGCGACAGUCGCUUUAGGUUUCUGCAUGGUGCUAAACAUGCUUCCAUAAGUUUAGGCAUAUUACGAAUUUCAAGCUCCUCUAAGUUUGAUAGAUUUCCUAGAGUUGGAAGCUGGUCACACUCUACGAGAUCAGACAAUACCAGUUUCACCAGAUUUGGGAGUGUAGAACAUAUCUUCCUCAUCCAACUAGGAAACAUACUGUAAUUAUAGCCCUUUAUAGUGAGAUGCUUUAAAGCUGGAUGAGGCUUCAAAUUUUCUAGCACAUCCAUUGUCGUCACUUUGGGUUCCUCUGACCAUUCUAAUAAGGACCACUCCAAACUCAAAGAAGCAAGCCGAUGUCUCCUUCCCAAUUGCACCCCCUUUGCUUCCUCUGCAGACUUCACAACCUCAAGGCAUUUGAUAUUUAGUUCACUGUUUGUAGAAUCAAGGAUAUUCUGUAGAAGGAUAAUGUUGCUGCAAUCACCACUGCUGCCACUUUCUGAGACCACAAAAUCCGGUAGGGUUAGUAGGUCACUGGAGAUGCCUUCCUUUCAGAACAGUGACAUCCCUCCAACUGAAAGGUACUCAAGACGAUGCAUGUUUUUCAAUGUGUCAUGCAGCAUUUUCAGGCUCAACUCCUCACCAGAAUAAUCAGAGGAAUGCUGUGUAGAGGAGCUUGGAGCUUCAGAAUCUUUUCUUACAUCAAAUCCUGAUAAUGCUGAUAGGUUUAGGUACUCCAAAUUUACAAAUUUACCAAGAAAGCAGAUAAUUUUCAAAAUGCAAGGACAGCCAGAUAAAUUCAGAAAUCGGAGUUUAUUUAGUCUGGCACAAGAUUCAGAAAGAUCAAUAAGCCUCGCACAAUCAGAUAAAUCCAAAAUCUCCAGGUUCAGGCAGCCAUUGUUGCCCACACAAAAUUCAGGAAGUGCCUCAAGGCAAGUACAACCAGACAUAUUAAGAUAAAGAAGUCCCUUCAUUCUAUUGAAUGACAGGGUACGCAGUUGCUUAAGCUGGCAGCAGGAGGACAGAUUCAGAUGUUCCAAAUUUUUCAGUAGACUGAAAGAGUCUGGAAGCAUCUCAAGCUUUGAACAACAUGAUAAGUUCAAGAACGAAAGCUUUGGCAGCUCUCCAAAUUGUGAAGGUAGCUUUUGUAGGCUGGUACAACCUGAUAGAUCGAGGUGUUCCAAAUUUUCCAGUAGACUGAAAGAGUCUGGAAGCAUCUCAAGCUUUGAACAACAUGAUAAGUUCAAGAACGAAAGCUUUCGCAGCUCCCCAAAUCGUGAAGGUAGCUUUUGUAGUCUGGUACAUCCUGAUAGAUCAAGAUGUUCCAGGACUUGGAGUCUGUGAAUGGGACCUGGAAGUUCACUAAGAUUCGAGCAGCCAUGUAGAUCCAAAUAGUGAAGCUUCUGAAAGUCACAAAUGGAAGUGGAACUAUGGAGCUUUAAUUUUUCAGAAAAGGAGCUAUGGAGCUUUUUGAGGCUGGUAUUUUCUGAAAGAUUUAAAAACUGCAGGUGGUGCAAGUUUUGCAUAGAACUGGGUAGCUGGACAGUUUGCAUGCGUGGGAAGUCCAAUACACGCAGCCAUUUAGUUUCUGAAAAGGCACCCUUCGAAGGCUGACAUCCUGUGCAGCCACUAAAAUGAGCAGCCCUUGCUUUGAAAGGCGUAUCUUUGCAUUUUGGGUACUGACCUUUGAAAUUCAACAACAACGUGUAUCGAUAGUUGUCCUCUUUACCGAAGCUUCUUUGUUUGCCAUCACAGAUGGCAACUUCCUCAAUAGCAACUGACCUAGCAAGUUCAUGAACUAAAUCGUGCAUUUUGAAUAAUACAUUAUGCAUAUGAGGGUUAUUAAGCUUGGAGUAUCUUGCAGAAAUCUGAAAAGCAAAUUUGCAGGUCGAUUAGUAGUGCACUAGAUAUUUUUUUCAAGGACUCAACGGUAGGUCAAAAGAAAAAAAUAUAUAAAGAGCAUGCCAAUUUCACAUUUAGAAACGAGAUUGAUCAUUGCCACAUCAGCCGUCCCGCAUGGAGAUGCUAGAGCAGUCAAAGGGAGUGCAAAGGGUUUAAAAUUGCAACGAAUGAACAUUAUUUUCUCUCCAGUAGCAAUUGUGUCAAGACAACCAAGUUGACGUUUCUUCUAUCUGAAAUGAAAGAACACUGCCGAUUUAUUUAUUGCUAUAUCCAAUUUAUAGAAUGGAUAUACCAUUUAAUUGAUAUCUUUUCGUAAAAAUGAAACGCAUAAUAUGCAUCCACAUUUCAGCUUCGAAUUUUACUGGAUAGAGAUACAUGAUCUAGGCUAUUAAGUAGCGACUCAUAAAAGCUAAAUCUUGUAACCAAUGGUGGGUCAAUAAUGAUCAUUUUUGUAUAUAUGUAUCGACUGUUGUAAAAAAGUGAUUCGCUUUUCCUAUGCAGUAACCUUCUGCUCCUAAAGAAUGCCAGGAUUGUGUUUUAAUUAUUGCAAUUACUAUUCACUUAGUAACUUAACUCGCUGUCUUGGCAAUGUUGUAGAGCUUAUGCCAAAAAUACAGCUCAGCCCUUUUUGCUCAGAUUCCAUGACUUUAUGCAGAGAAAACUUGACUUAAAACAAAACUUAGGCUAUGUUACUAGUAAUUUGCAACCUCAGGGAGUUUACUUGUCAUGUUUAUUUGCUUGGUUGAUUUCAGUAAGCAUAAAACUGGCAACUUAAGAAAUAAUGUUCGUGUCGCUAUAUUUAUCUUUUAAAUAAUGUUGACUCAAAUAUUUAUAAGGUGUUAGAAUUGAGGAACCAAUACAACCAUGUCCGAAUGAUUCAUCGUAGGAUCACUCCAUGAAUUUUACACCUUGAUCAAUAUGCUUGUGCGAAAUGAAGUGGAUUAUUCAAAACUAGAAUCAAAGGAUUUAUGACUAUCUCAUUCUUCAAACCAAAGAUUAUAUUGAAUUAGUAGUAGAUAAACACCAUAUUCUGAAAUAAGAUUAAAAUACUAAUAAAUCAUGCGAGAAAUGACAGCACAACUCGAUACAAGGAAAAAAGUUAACUGUACCAAGCUUGGGUAUAUAAUAUAACUCACCGAGAUAGAGUCACUUGAAGCCUCCAGGAAUGACAUCUGACAAAGUUCUAGUAGGUAUUCCUCAGCACGAUGUGUGGUCAGAACAAAUCUCAGAGCAAUCCACUUAUGAAUCAGUUCUCUCUUCUCUAUGAUGAAGCCUUUUGGGAAGGCAGAAAAGUAUACAAAGCAAGGUCUCAGAUAAUAUGGCAUGUGGUAGUAACUAAUCUUCAAGGAUGGUAAUAUUAAAGUAGAUGUUGUUCCAGUCGUUGGAUCGCAUUCGUCUUCCCACAGGUCACUCUUCAGUGUUUCUUCCUACUUGUGCAUCGGCAUAUCUAGCAGACGAUCCCCAAGAGACUUGACUGCCAAAGGCACUCCACCGCAUUUCUUUACUAUUUUCUCCCCCAUAUGUACCUUUGCCAUUUCAGAUUCUUUAAUUCCAUUUGGAAAUGCCUUAGCUUUGAACAGCUUCCAGCAGUCAUCGUACGGCAAGGCACCCAACUUGAAUGGCAACUCACGAUUCAGCCGCUUAGCAACCUGUUCACUUCGAGUGGUCACAAUUAUCUUUCUGCCUGGUGCGCCACCUUUCAACAUCGCUUCUAUCUUUUCCAAUUGUCCUGUGUUUUCUUCCCAUAAGUCAUCUAAAACAAUAAGAUACUUCUUUCCACGGAGGAUCAUCUCCACGCGCAUCUGCACGGAGGACAGGUCAUACUGGUUACUCUGUCCAUCUACUUGGGAGAUAAUUGAUCGACCAAUCUUUUCAUCGCUAAAACUUGUGGAGACAUAAACCCAAAUCUGGAUAUCAAAAUCUCUCUUAGUUGUAUUGUCGUCAAAAACCAUUUGGGCGAGAGGUGGUUUUACCCAGACCACCAAAGCCAUAUAUAGGGAUGAUGAUGUGUUUGCAAUCUUCUUGCAGCAACUUCAUCAACUCUACCUUGUCCUUGUCCCUCCCAAGUAUACCUUCUACAAGGCAAGGGCCUGUAGCCCUUGUCUGGAUCACGUCCUGGUCGUCAGAGCUUGUGUCCACCAUCAAGUCGAACUGCCUCAGCUUUUCUAUGUCGUCCAAUCUUUGCUUCAUGGCCUUCAACUUGCUAGGCAUGUUUAGCCGCAACUUCAGAGGAAUGGAGAUCUCCUGCAAAUCCAUGUCGUGAAUUAGAAAAGGGACGAGAAAUGGAAAUGGACAUAUCGACAUCAAACACACUCGAGACCUACCGUUGUAGAUUUGUUAUUCUGAGAGCCAUCUUUAUUACUCAGGAUAUCACCUUCCAAUUCCAAUAAUAAUGUCCUCCAUGUCAUAGGCUGCUGCCUUUAGCUUCCUCAUCCAGACGCAGACGUCACCAUCUUUCAUCAGCCGCUUCUCCGCCCUAACCAUGCUAUUUUGGAUGGUAUCCACAGUAUCCUUGAGGCCUUUGAGCUCAUCACCUAGCUUCAGCUGCGAGGCGAUCGCCUCCCAGAUGGCACUACCUAGCAUGCCGCCGACCUUCUUCAAUGCGGCCGAGGCAAGAAACUCCCCUACCCCCACCAUGUGGCUGAAGGGGACGCCAAUCACACAGUGUGAUGAGUGCUUGACGUCAGGCCGGGUGAGGAACAGUCCCAAGAGAAAACUGGAGAAGACACAGCGAGAAAUUGUCAGAGUCUCUCUGUUUUUGACCUGAAAAUCACAACCCUUGCAGCAAACUCUGUAUCAAGGACAGGCAGGAAAUAUUUACAAGCAAGGAGGAAAAGGGCAAAUAUUUCAGUCAGAAUUGAGACAAAUAAUAGCACCCAAGGUGCGCUUUAGAUCGCACUCUGUUUCAAUUAAACUGACUCGAGAUGGAAACCCCAAUUCGGAUGCGAGGUGGAAGGAAAGAAAGGUGAUUAGUUCUCAGCUUUUACCGUGAGGGUGGUGUGUUGUGUCCAGCACCCGAUGGGAUGGCAGGUAACUAAGGCCCCGUUUGGGAGGGCUUCAGCUUCGGCUUCUCUACUGGCCGAAGCUUGAGCCCUACCAAAUGACGAGAUGGCGAAAGGCUUCGGCGGAGAAGCUCCGCGAAUCGCUCUGACUGAAGCUGAUUGAGGGAGCGGGAGCUAAAAAAAAUUGGCUCCCCGCGGCUUCUCGCGUCGUUGGACACCCUUGUGCUUCGAUGGGGCCCGCGGGUGGAGGUGGCUGGCGGUGGGCGCAGACGAGGCAUGAGGAUGGCGGCGCGGGAGCAGAAGUGGCCGGCUGCGGACAAGCCGCGACAGAGGACGGCCCAGGACGACCGGCGGCGGUGGGCACGGGGCGGAGGACGUCCGGCGGCGGCGGGCGCGGGGCAGAGGUGGCCGGCGGCGCGCGCUGGGGCGUGGGCGCGUGAAAAGGGGAGGCGGGGGCGCUAGGGACGUAUCUCAGAUGGCAGCGGUGAGAUUCAGCCGGGAGAAGGAGGCCGGGUCAGAUCUUUCACCGGGUGAGAGAGGGGCGCGGCGGAUGGAACGGUCGGUGGUGGUGGAUGGAACGGCGCGUCAGUGGAUGGAACAACGCGUCAGGGUGCCUGGGAAUCAGGGGGUGAGGAGGUGACGAUAGGGUUCGGGGCGCGAUCGAUCCUACCUCAACGUAUGCGUAAGUAGAAGAAUGCAGUGGCGAGAAAUGCGUACGCGAUGGAGAGGGCUAGAUCCAGAAGUAGCAAGUUGCCGAUUCGUAGAAGCGGAAUAAUAAGCUAGUGAUGAAACAAUGCGUUAUUAGCUCGCGUUACGUUGUUUAGGUCCAGAGAGGAGCAGCAAACUCCAUAGCUUAUAGUUUUAAUUUCUCAUUGUUUAUUGCGGCCGGUCUUUUGACAGUCUAGGGACACAGUCGUCGUAGAUCUCGGGAGCCCUGGUGGAAAACAGAUCAGCUUGCGGUUGUUUAUGUAGAGUCUCUCGAGACAAGGCAUGCAUGGCUAUACUCCCACUCACCAAGCCCAAACAGUGCCAGCUCUACUAGUUUAGUUAAUAAUGUUUUAAGUGACUUUUGCCUUUGCAGAAUAGCCCAUUCUACUACGGAGAGGCGACGAACAAGCUGACCAUGUACGUAGCUGCCUGCUUGUCGUCGACCACCACCGCAGAUUCUUCUCUUGCCAUGCAUGUACUCAGCAAAGGAGCGGACCACAUCGUCGUGCAUCUCCAGUUAUCCAGUUGCUCAGGCAGUCCAGCUACUGACCAUGCAGGACUUGUCAAAACAACAUUCCACUCACGCUCGCCUUGCGUAUCUUGUGCUUAAGAGCCCUCCAAUCGCUUUAAUUGCAAGUGGUAAUUAUGCCUUCACACUUCUCAAGAAUUUCCAUCCCAACGUUUUUUAGGCGGUCAGUGCCGACUACCUGCCAACAGUUAAUUAUUUAUUGGAUUAUUAUUUCUGACUACAGUAAGGUCGUCGCGGCACUACUUGCUUAAGUACAUUUUCUUACGUUCCUGUUGUAAAAAACAAUUGGUCAUCAUUUUUUUCAUCCCUUGCACAAAGCAUGAACAGACGAUCCAAUUUCAAAUGGGCUUUACAAGGAUUUUGCAUAAACCGCCACAAAAGUUGUAACGAUCUUACGUAAAUCCUGCAUUCCAAAUGGGGCCUAAACAUUUCAUUUGGGACCUUGGAAUGCAGACUAGAUUGUGUUCCAGUAGCUUGUAUCGUCUUUCAUAAUCACGUUGCCUUUUGUUUUAAAAGCAACAAUUUCAACUAAUAAUGCCAUAAGAUCAAAUUUGUCUACUCCAUCUCAUUUCAAAUAUAAUUCAGUCGAGCUUGUGCACAAGAAUUCAUAAGGUAGGUGGUGAAGUGACACUACUUGCUUAAGUACAUUUUCGGGCAAAAAAGAUUUGGCUACGUUCCUGUUGUAAAAUAAAACAAUUGGUUCACCCUCAGCAUCAGUUCAACAAUGGCCGACUCAUCAAACUCGGACGUCAUCUUCUGUAUAGAACUUGAACUUGAACCCGGACUCAACAGUUAGCAUCCUCGGCUCCGGAUUGAACUUGAACUCGAACCUGUCUGCCUCCUUGUGGAUGCCAUCAAGCCUCUGGUUGACGUCCCUGAUGCUGCUGCCUAUCUCGUGGGCGAACACGGGUUACGCAGGCAGAAGAGCAAUCGCUGGAAGAAAUCCUGCAUCUUUUCUAUGCUCCUGCACGUGAGGGUGAAGAUGGGGUUCCGUAGGCACAUCAACCUGCACUCAUCAGCCUUGAGUUGGCACAGGUCUAGGAUGUCUGUGUGGCAUCGUACAUGGCGUCCUUGAGCUUCCUCACCCAUCUUUGCACACUCUUGUCAGUGACGCGCACCUCCUCUCUGCAUCCGCGAGGAAAGCUUUGAGGCAUCCGGGAUGGCGGCCAUGGCUCCAGAGUACGAUCUAGCUAGUACACAAUACAUGAUCCCUCCGUUUCAGUGGGAUGAGCUCAACCGGAUCUCAAAGGAAUAUACUAUAAGGGUUGGGAUUCAACUCACACUCCUUUGCAACCAGAUAUGGGUUGAAGCGGGUCGAACCCAUCCUAACCCACUUUGACUCCAGAACCAAACACAUGAAAAAAGAUUGCACGAGGAAAAAGAAGGAAAGAGAAAUCGGCGACUCGUAGCAGGGAUGACUGUACGUUGAUUUGGUUGGUUCGGAGCUAAUGUCUUAGAAGAAAUAUCUCUGUAGGAUAAAGGAGAGAAAGUAUUUUUAUUGUGUCACGGCAGGAAUAGAGCAUUCGUCUAACGCGUUUGUCGUUGUCAAGAUUAGCGGAUCAAGACUUAGACUAGUAAAUUUCUUUUAUGCGCGUAAGGCUUCGGAUGGUGGCGUGGGAGACACGGGGUUUAGACUGGUUCGGGCAAGGGAAUGCCCUACGUCCAGUAUCGGGAGCUGCUCGUGUUGCCCACGCGGGGUUCUGUAGUAGGGGUUACAGGAGUGCGAGAGAGGGAGCUGAUCCCAGGUCUCUUGGGUGUACACUGAUGCUCUAGGUGGGUAUGAGUGUGUUUUGUGGCUUGGAGAACCUCCUUUGUCUCAGGCCCCCGGUUCUCCUUUUAUAGCGCAAGGAGGCCACCAAGGUUACAGGCGAGACCGGGUGUAUGGAGAAGUAAAAGAAAUAAACAAAGCUAGGUAAAAUACAACACAAGGGGAGGGACCAAGUCCCCAGGCCACCGGCAUCCUCGCCGGCCUUCGGCUCCUGCCGGCGCGUCUGCCGGAGGAGGGCGGCCGCCGUCACGUCCCGUCGAUGGUCUCCUCGGCGGCUGUCGCCGCCAGGCGUGAUGAUGGUGUUUUGUUGUGGCACCUGUGUCCGUUGGGGCAUUAACGAGUCAAAGUUAAUGCCCUCUCACCGUGUUAUCUUGUCUAAGUUUAAUUACAUAGUCAUGAAAUUGAUUAGAUUUUGUUAACUUAAUUGGCUUGUAAGCGGUAGGCAAGAUGUCUUUGGUGAUUGUGCUCUAGUCUUUUAUGUUGAUAGAUUGAGGUUAAUUCCCUCUCAUUCGUGUUGCCUUGUCUAAGUUCAAUACACUUAUCAAGACAAUUAUUAAGAUCUAUUAAUGUAUCUAGGUUGCGUAUAGUCAGCAUCGGCUGGUCCUUGUUGUUAUGUUCUAAUCUUUUAACUUAGUAGAUUGAUGCCAAUACCCUCUCAUUCUUGUUACCUUGUAUGAGUUCAAUACACUUGUCAAGAUAUUGGCUAGAUCUGUUAGCUUAUCUGAUAAGCAUGUGGUUAACAAGGACUCCCCUUUAUGGUUGUUGCGUUACAAUGCUUUGUCUUAGCGCGUCGGCUGAGAUAGCCGAUGGCACAUGCCAUUAAUGUUUUAUUUAUUUACACUGCAUGCUUACAUUAAAUAUCUAUCUGUCAUAGUGUUUAUUCCAAGAAUGCCUACCCAUGAGUUCGAAAGGCUUCGUCGCCGAUCGGCAAUGUUUACCUUGUCAAUUUUCAGGUCAAAUUGACUGACAGGCCUUGCACCAUUCGCGAGCUGAUUUGGAGCCUGCACUGGAGGUAAGCAGAUCUCCCAGAUCAUCCGUGUUGUUCAACGCAGAAGCCUGAAGUCCGGAUUUUGCAUCAACAGGUAUAGAGAAACAAAAGGAUCUAAGGAAAUAAAACAAAAGAAAAUUAAAGGGUAUUGAGCUACGCAGACAUAGCCAGAAUCAAAGAGGGUUUGGCUCUGAGCAACAGUAAGGAGAAUUCAGACAUAAAUUUUCUUUUACAAGCUUCGAUUAUAGGAUCAAUGUUACUGAAAAUCCGUUCGUUUCUAGUGGACCAUAUGCUCCAUAACAUUAAAAUGAUGACCUCCAUGAAGAACUGGACUUGAAGCUUGUCUUUGAUGAGCUUGAAAAUUUGAAGGAGGGGCCUUGUUGUUAUGACUGACACCCCUAUAGAGGCCCGUCAAGCCUUGGUAAAGUUACAUCUUAAGAACAUAUGGGCAACCAUUUCUAGCUUUUGAAGGAUUCACAAGUCACAAGUAUAAGAGUCUAGGAUCAUGUUUUUUCAUCUAAGAAACUCUCUUGUGCUUAAACGGUCCUUGAGACUAACCAGAAGAAUACCUCGUGUUUCAUUUGGCAUUUUGAACGUUUUGAUGUCCAAUGAUAACGGGAAGCGGCAAGACGGUGAUGUCUUGCAGUGUAGCAUUGUCAUUAGUUGACGGCCAAGAGCAGAAAAAAUUAUGAGAGAAGGAAUGAUAAUGAUUUAGCCAAGGUUGAGUGCCGAUGUGAUAUACAACAAGGGAGAACUAGGAAAUCGAUGUUUGUCAUGCACAUCCAUCCGUAGUAAGCUGAAUGAAGUGGUUGACUAGAGAGAAUGAUGUGCCCAGUAAGUGAUGCAUAUUCCAUGACCACGGUAUAGCUGGCAAAGAUCACAAAGGAGAACUCUAUCUUACUAUUACUAAUUGGAGGCUCCUUUUGAAGCCUCCAGGUGAAGCCACCUAGGAUUACUAGGUGGACACUCUAAAAAAAGAGAGAAAUCCUAGAAAUUCUCACAAAAAAGCAAAACAUCCAACCAUCAAUCUAUAGCUUCAAAUCAUCAUAGCCAUUGGAUCUAUUAUAUUUUCUAAAAAAUUACCCACCUAUGCCAUUAUGAAAAUAGUCUAAAGUAACCCCCUAAAUCUAUAUAUAAAUUACCCACCCCACCUCUGCCAUUAUAGAAAAUAAACUAAAGUAACCCCUAAUCUUAAUCAAAAUUACCCACUUAUGCCAUUGUAAAAAAUAUUUAAAAUAACCCCCUAAUUUGCGACUGAAUUGCCUACCACUAUUACUUAAAAAACUUAAAGUAACCCCUUAAAUUUGCAUCUAUAUUACCCACACAUGCUAUUAUUAAAAAUAACAUGAGGUAAUAACCCUACGUAAUGUACAACAAUAUAUGAUUCUAAAUUAUCUAUAUCUUGCACUAUUGGUAUACAAUAUAAUAAUUAAGAUCUAUACGUAUGAUGUGUGUCACCAUUUAUAAUUAAAGAUAUAAAAUGAUGGGAAUAUAGAUUUCUAUGCUAAAUUAAAGAUAUAAAGUGAUUGCAUAGAGUAAUUAUUAAUUAAAAAUUAAUCAAAACUGAAUAAAGAUAGGUACAUGUAUUAUGUUGAAGUAUUGAAAAAAUAAGAGAGUAGUAGGUAAACAAUUUUGAUCAUUAGCUAAGAGUUUAACUUCUAAAUAAUUUUCAAAUACAAUAGCUUCUAAAAAUAUUAGUCCGUGCGGGAGCACGGGUUGAUGGACUAGUAUGUAAAAUAAUAUGGGAACAUUUAUUUAUGGGGCUACAACCACCGGAUAUUGGUGAUCAAAGUAAAGAAAGGAGAUUGUCACACCCGGUUUUAAGGACAAAACCAAGUGCUACCUAUAUGUAUGCCAGGAUCAAGUUUCAUACAUAUAGUGACAUCAUAAGUGAAUAACAGCAACAGUAUCACGUAAAAAGAUACAAAUAAAGACUUACGAGACCAUCAGAGAUACACAGCUUAAAUACUGAAAACGGAGACUCCAAACUUCACAGGCAAUCGACUGGGGGUUGCGUACGCCUAGAACUCAGCAUCAUCUUCGGAACAUUUCACACACCUUCUUCUUCUGAGCAGCAGUAAGCAAGGGUGAGUACACUUAUGGUUGGUACUCAGCAAGGCCACAAGAAAUAACCAGAAUAACGAUUUGAGUCCAUCUUCAAGUUUAAUUAAUCAUGUGAGGGUCCAGGCCGCUCUUAACCGUGAGCACGGCUGAUCGAUCAGUUUUACACUCUGCAGAGGUGGCACAUCUUUACCCACAAGUCGCGUAAAAGUUCAAGGAACUUUGGACCCAACCAUGCGGUGCUAGCUAGGCACCAUACCACACUUCCGAGGUGUGAUUGCAUAGGGACGCUACGAGGCCUUUACAAAGAUUCGCUAGCAAUGUGGUAACCUGCUAAGGUUUCAGGUCGAAGCAGAACAUAGCAGUCCCCUAGUUGGUAUAGUGUCUUAGCAAAGCCCACUUCCCCCAAGAGCGAGUGCUAUAUCCCAUCAACGCCUCCCCUCUUGCCCUUUCGGUAAGAUCACCCCAGACUAGAGUUUCUAAUUAUUCAGCCAAGACCAGAGCCAUUUAGUCUUGUGGUAGCACUGUUUUCCUGGGUGGUUCUCCAUGUUCCGAUAACAUAAUCAUGAUAUUAUUAACAAAGCAUAGGUAGAAGGAUGGUUAGGGACACUUGCCUUUCUCCAACAGAAAGUUACUCUUACUGCUUUUCAGCUCUUGCUCUCUUGAAGCUCUUACUCUUCAAAACUUCCGAAUAGGGAUCCUUCUACUCAGAGCAAACAUCGGCACAAACAUGCAAGCAACAAACAAGUACAACUAAGAACAAUACACCAAAAUAAAAGGAAAGCUUUAAAAGAGCGUACUAAACGACAAGGCUCGAUCUAAGGUCACGCGAAUGUAAGGAACGCUUAAAACGGAACUAUGGUUGAAAAGAUAAAGCUAUCGAGCAUUUUAAAUUAUAAAAGAAAGAUGAGAGCUACAAGCUUCAUUUAUUUUAGUUGAGAAAAACAAUGUAAAGAUAUUUCACAGAAAUAUCCUUAGUUAGAAUUAAUCAAGUCAUAUUUAUAUUUUCAUAAGAAAAGACGGUGUAAAGCUUAGUCCAAUUUUAUUUAUAAAUAUUUAAGUAUAAUUUAUGCAAUUUAAACAUUUAAUAAAAAAAAUACAUGUAGACAUCUAAGCGUAUAGCUUUACAUUUCGACUUCAACUAAGUAGAUUAAAUUAAAAACAUAUUUAUAUUUAUAUUAGCCAAAUUAAUAUUUAAUUAUGAAAACUCGAGAUAUAACCUAUAUAUAUUUUAUUUAGAAAAAAAAUUAAAUAAACAUUAAUCAAAUUGAAUUUAAUUUAUGAAACACCAAGGUAUAACUCUAAGUGGCUUUUAAUUGAAAGAAUUAUUUGGACAGGCAUUAAUCAAUUUAAUAUAAAAUAUAUUUUCAAAAACAUGUGUGAAGGAAAACUUUACCACUAACGUGUAAUUUACAUCAUUAUGAAUCUAAUGCAACUUGAACGGACAAAAACGGAAUUAAAACGUAGAAUCUAUGGUUUAAACAAGGUUGUAGGGGUCUAAACAUAAUUAACCGUAUACUUGGAGGGUUAGCUGAGAAGAUUACCAAGACUCAGAGAAUAGUCACUGCGAAUAGAUGGAUCUUCGGGGUUAGAUCUGCAAAAGAGGAUGGCUUGGAUCAGAUUGCAAGGAACUGAAAGUUACAGGGGGUUUUCUACAAGGUUUGAAAGACACAAGAAAUAUGAACAAAAAUUAACAGAUUUUCCAGGGGCUAGAUCGAAAAGCAGCGCUUCAUCUUCUUCCUCACGCCAGGAGCAUGGUGCAGCUCCUGGCCGGCGGCCUGCCGGCGUUCUGGUGCGGCGGACGCCCGGGCGGGUGGUGCAGCGCGAUGCGCAGGGCAAGGAGGCGAUGGUGCGCGUGCAGGCAAUGGCACAAGCGAGCCGGAGGUGCUGGGCGAGCAGGAUGAACGGACCAGGCGUGCUGGCCCAAGUUGCGUACAGAAACACAGAAACAGGAGGGAAAGAGAGAAGGAGGGGGUAGCCGGAAACGAAAUCCGAUCUCGCGCAUGAACGGCAAAAUGGAACGAUAUUGAUGAGACGAACAAGAUGGUGUGCUCACCUUCGGCCAGAGACGAACAAUGGCGGCGGAAAAGCUCGCCGGAGUUGGGGAAGACGACGGAGCCGACAUCGGAUUCAUGCAAUUCACCACACCACGGCGUAGAGCUCGAAGAGAGGAACUCCAUGGUGGUGUCGGUUUUCGCCGGAAGUCCACGGUUUCGCCGGAAAAGCUCGCCGGAGUUUGACGAAGACCGAACUUUGACUUCACAUCUACGGAGUUAGGAGAUGCAACUCGUGAAAAGGUUUGCAGAUCUGAAAUCCUCGCGUCGAGACGAACGCGGUGAUAUAUAUAUAGGCCACACUCGGAAAAAGAUAUUUUCGAGUUGACUUUUUAUUUUCGGAAUUUCUGAUUUUAUUUAUCUGCGCGAAAACAAUUCCAGAAAUAGCUGGACUCGUUUUCUAAAGCGAGAAAAAUACCUAGAAAAUUCCGAAAAAUCUGAGAUAAAUCUCAGAGAUGGAUUGGGAUACAAAGAAUCCAAAUAAAAUACUUGGAGCUCGUGAAAAGGAUUCUAAAGCCUUCCAAAAAUUGGAUUUAGCUCUAGGAAAAGGAGAAUAAUUUUCAGAAAAAGAUGGAAAAAAUCCUCACAAGGGUCUGGGCAACGUCUAAACGCAUUUUUCAAACUUUUACACUCAAGAAACACCAAGAUGCAGUGACAUGAAUGCACAGACAUAGAACAACAUUAUUUAAUUUAGAAAAGCAAACAAUUAGUUUCCUAUACUAAAUUUCCUGUAAAGAAAAAUAAAUGUUGGGAAAAUUUUAAAAUGAUGAGAAAAUUAUUGUUUAUUUAUUCUUUUUAUUCACAUCCUGAAAUUUGGAAAUUUCAGGGUGUGACAGAGAUGAUUACUUCUGGUGCUAUACAUUGAAUCACUAACCUUAAUCAUGCAUUGUACCUCAAACUCUCAAGCAAAAAUUUACAUCACCAGCCAAAAUAAAUGUCAUAUUCAUGUUAAAUAUAUAUAUAUAUAUAUAUAUAUAUUAUUGUCAGUACGCACCAAAAAGUGUGUGUGUGUGUGUAAAAGGUACUCCCUUUUCUCUCCUAUCAUGUUCAAAAAAUACAGAAUAUAAUGAUGGAAAAAAGCAUAGACGACACUUUGGUCUGGGCCAUUAGGACAAAAACAAUUACAAGGAUAUGACUAAACAAAACUAUUUGCAUCCAUUUAUUUAUAAAUAAACAUCCAAAAGUAGGUUAAAAAAUAGUACCCACCCUAUUUGUGCGGGCCACAUUGCUAGUUUGACUCACAAGACUGAUCAUUUAUAGCAUGGGGAGAUGGAAAGGGAGAAGAACACAGCGCUUUUAUAUUCCCCAGCAUGCAGCUGGCAAGAUUGUGGAUGAGCAUGACCAUCACGAGCUGGUUAAUAGCCAUGGGAUCGACGACGAACCUGGUUCCUCCAGCCUCAAAAUGGGUUUUACGAUUUCUCCGGACCAUUUGGCAAGCUCGCUCUCCAAGUGUUGCUUGAGGCCGUCAUCAUAGGGACUGCUAAGCCAGACUUCCACCAGACCUUUUAUCUUCUGUAGGCCAGAGAACCGCAGUGCUGACACACACCUGCAGCGAAUCCUCAGCACCUUAAGAUAAAAGUCAUCGUGAAACGUUAUUGUAGCUGGCAACCUGGCGUCAUAAGAGAUCUCGAGGAAGGAUAAGAUGACAGGAUUUUGUCUACCAAAAUGGAGGUCAUGAAACUCUGACAAAAAAAGACGUGUAUUCUCCGGCCAACCAGGACUGUCAACGAGAUCUUGCUGCAACAUAAUCAUCUGUAAACUCAAUUUUGUGAGAUUCUUAAGCUUUUUGGUCCAUACUGGUAACUUGCUUACCAGCCCGUAUAACUUAAGACUCCGUAGGUUCACUAGAUGUUCGAAAGAGAUGCCGUCCAUGGUGCCAGCUUCAUCGUCCUCAUCGACCUGCAUUCUCAAUGACAACGAUUCCAGAUGGGCAAGACCUGAGAUGGCUGAAAAAAGCUUCCAGAUGUUGUCCCGGUUAAUGCCUGACACUCCAAGUUUGUGCAACUGAGUAAGCUUCUUGAGCUCCUCUAGAAUGGCGUCCCCUUUUCCAGUGCCAAUAUCAACGUCACCCAGCGUGUGCAAGUUAGAAAGUUUCCCAAUACCUCUGGGCACCUUCACGCAAUUAUGAGAGCCAUCGUCGAGAUGGUGGUAUCUGCUCAACUUGGACAACAAGCAGGACCCCAGCUGAGUAGCACAUGGCCAGCUCAUUGGCGUUGCGGUUAGUGAUGGGUUCUCUGCUGCUUCUGUAGCUUGAUGAUGCUUGGUGGUACCAGCACGAAUGUACUGCAGUUUCUCCAGCUUGAUGAUGCUCUCUGGUAGCUUCAUCACAGAUGUUUCCCUGAUAUCCAGAGUUUGGAGGUGCUUCAGAUCGCCCAGGGAAUCUGGCAGAUGAGUGAUUUCUCGGCACCUUCUCAGGGAAAGGAACUUCAAGCAGGGCAGCAGCUUCACCAUCUGCUCGACGUCACCAUUUGUUACACCUGAAGACACGUCCUCCAGAUCAAGCACACGGAGCAGCCUCAUCUUUUCAGAGAUGAAGAACGAUUUCCACUCACCAAACACUGUCAAAGAUCGCAGCCGGGAAAAGUCAAUGCUCUUAAACACAUUUCUGUCUCUGUCCCAGCUUCGAUCUAUGGCAAGGUGACGUCCCGUGCGAUGGAAGUUCUUUUCGCAAUGGCCCUCUAGUGCAAAGACAAGAUUAUCUUCCAUCGACUGUGAUAUGAUGUAUUCACGGAAGAAACCAUUAACUUGGCACAAUGGCAUCCUCUUGGAUUGCUGAACUGAUGCUGCUGUUGUUUCUGUUGUUCGUGGCACCUGGACCAUGCUUAGACUGACGAGCUUGGAAAAGGAUAUCUCCCCGUUUUUCUCUGCGGUGUUUUCUUUACUGUCUCUAGAGUAUCCCUCCGCGAUCCACCGUCUCACCAAACGCCUCCGCCGGAUCGUGUGGUUCAGAGGGAAGAUUGACAGGUAGAAUAUACAUGGCUUGAGGAUAUCUGGGCAGGAACGGAAGUAGGAAAGCAACCAGGCAAACAGAUCUUCUAGGCUUGGUUUGUCCUUCAACGCAGACACAAGGUUAUCUUUUCUGAGAAAAUCCCAAAAGAAAUUGCGUCGCGAUCAUCACCAGCUAUAGCGCAUAUAACUUUGGGAAGUCCACCACACUUGUGCAAGAUUUGCAUUUUGUCCUCGGUCCCUUGUCUCUGAAGGUUAUAUCUCUGAGAAACAUAUUGUCCAAAUGAUAUAUAUAUAUAUAUAUAUAUAUAUGAAUAAAUUUAUUUAUUACCAAAAAAAGAUAACCAUAACGAUGGCAUAAAAAAGAGUGUAAAAUUUCUCUUAAAAAAAAACCAAAAACAUCCCGCCCUGAGAUAUUAUGCAGCUACCAUGCAAAUUUGGCAUGUAUAGAUUACUGCAUACUACAAGGUCAGUCUUGAAUUGGAUUUUGAAAAUAGACUAUUUGCUGGAUUAGGUACAUUUGUUAGUUACACCUUCCAAUAAAAAUGGACUAUUAAUUUGACGCAAUACAUUUAUGAGACAAACCUUUUUCAAGAUAAAUGCUAAAGUUAACUGUUGAAUCUAGCCGUGCCCUACAAAUGCACGGGCCACCCCACUUGUUAUUUCUAAAUGAUAUAAGUUUGAUGCUGACAUUGUGCGUUUUUGUUGAUGUCUAAGCACAUGGACAACAUUGUAAGUAAUAUGAUUUAAUUAGGAUAAAUAAGCUGUGAUGUGGUCUAAGACGAAGAGGGAACAUAUGUUGUUAUGACAAGUAUCAAGUCGUUCUCCAGAGUCCAAAAAGUAAAAUAUGACCUUCAUUCCUACCUUGAUCCCAAAUAUCAGCCUAUUUCAAUUAUGUAUAAGAAUUUAGGUGGUCUACCCAUCACUUAUUGUUGCAAACAGUAAGGUAGUUGGAAUGUCUAUUUCAUUCAAUAAGCACAACUAUAUAGGGGCAAAAUAGGAAAGGGUGGGGUCAAAUAGAGCUGCCACGAUGUUUGCUGCUGGACAUGUAAAUAUGGCAUAUAUAAGAUGCCAUGCAAGAACGUUUAGUCUACAUGACAGUGACUAAACGAAGAGAGAGAGCAAAACUAUCUCUUCACCAAGAAAUGGAUUUGGCACAUGAUAUGAUGACCAGCACAAUUGACAAUGUUAUAUAAACAAUGCUCUACCAUUGUAUAUCUCGUCUAUGUGUCAUCAUUAAUUAGUAUAUAAUUGUUGAGAAACGAUGACAUAAUAAAAAAAUCUCAUUAUAUGAGCUAUUUAUAUUACUGUCUUUAUGUGACAUGACAAAAACUUUUAGAUGGUUGUUGUCUAACGGUUGUACAUGCCCUAAUUGUUGAGGUAAUAGAUAUGCUAGAUGGACUUCUAUUGGGGAUAAUAUAGUUCUCCAUUUUUAUUAAAGAUUUUCUUGGUUUAGAAAGUGCUUGCAUGAAGCUAACUAAACAAGGAAUUUUGUGCAUAAGAUGUUAAAUCUAAUUCAAAGAUGGAACUCAUUGGUAUACUGAAGGAAUUAUUAGAAUUGCGGAAUGCUUAUUGCGAGUAAACGGACCUCUGCGAUGAGUUCAAAGGCGCUGUCAACUCCGAGACCUUUGACAUUCCACACAUUCUUGCUGUUUGUUGCGCAGUAUUGUGCGACACAUUCUUCAUUGGUAAUGACAAAUAUAUCCAAGCCGAAUUUUUUGGUUCCUAGUUUCAAGGCAGCUUCUAUCAUGUCCCAUUCUUCUGUAGAUUGCAGACCGUCGAUAACAAUUGUGCAUCCAAAUUGUUCAUGUAGAUAUUCACGGCACUCUUGAAUUAGGUCUUUCAUCGUUGACAUCUGGCGGUCAUGGAGAUAUCCAGGAUUCAAAUCCAAAAGUAAGCGCCAUGACAAGUCCAUCAAAUCGAAUGGAUGGGAUACAUUCACCCAACCGAACUUGAUAUAAGGAUCUUCAAUCCGCAUCUCGUAGCAGAGAUGUUUGACAAGAAAUGAUUUGCCAACACCAGACAUCCCCCACACAGAGGACACAGGCCCAGUACGACGAGACCUGCGCAUAGAGAAACAAAGUAAAUCCGCCUCUUGGCCAACAAGUGGAUGUUUGUCCAGCCAUUCACGAGCAGUUUCCCGCAAGUCCGCCACGGUUUGCUCAACUUUUCCGGGCGCAUCCUGCAAAGAAUUGGAAAGAGCAUUGUCAAUUGGGUUUAUUUAUUGUGUCAAAAUUACAUCCUUGUAGAAGACAACAUACAUGCUCCGAGUGAAGUAAAAUGCAUCCAACAAAGACAAACAUACACGCGUGCAGUAUUAUGCUUUAUUUGUAGCAUCCAUGCAGCAAAAGGUUAAGAAGCAUGAAUCAGUUUUAUAUCACCUGGGCAAAAUGAUCUGAGUAUUCAAUAACACACUUUGACUAUCAAUAUAUAUCAUAUAUUAUAAUACUCAUGACCAUAAAAUUGGCAUCAUAUGAAAGUGCUUUCAAAUUGGAAUGAUAUGAUAAAAGUUUGUACGGUAUAAAAUUUACAAAUCCUUGAUAAUCCAUUGAUACCAUGUUGUAUAGUUAGAAAAUUUGAAUGUUGGAUCUUCGAAACACCCAGUGUUCGAUAGGCACAUCCUUCUAGAUAAACCAUUCUUUACUUUAGAGGUCAAAUCAAAAUGUUGGAUAAUUCUGCGAUCCACAAAUUAAUCACCUAUGUACAACCAUGCCAUAUACUACACGAUGCUAACCGCAAUUUGUGGUUGCCUGAACACUUGCGUCUCAGUCCCACAGACCAUCCGUUGCUUCCACAGUUUAACCUAGAGUAAUCACCGCCAUCCGCAGCUUGUUCAGUACCCCUUUCAUAGUUUUUUCUUUUGCGGAAUUCAUAGUUCUUCCUCGUGAUCCUAUAAUUUAACUGUUUUGAAUUUCUCAACCCCUAUGCAUCAACUAUUUACAAACGCAAAAUGAUGAAAAAUAAUAAUGGCAUAAUUGGCAUGUAAACUAAGUUUUGUAGAAUUACAUUAUGAAGCACAAGUCAGGAAUGUGAUAACAGUCAAAUACGUGCAUUGCAGACCACGUUGAUGCAAAAAUGUAAUGGAAGUAGAAGAGCGAGUAUAUCAUUUUAUUGGAAAUAAUUGAGCAUACCUCCUCGACAAGGGCAUAGACAGAGUGAUGAGCCGAGAUUUUUUCAAGCUCCAAUAGUCGGUGUGGAUGCCUGACACAAAGGCUUGCAACUUCAAACUGAUGCGUGCUGACGAUGAUGCAGCUGCCGUUCUUGUUGUCUGGCAGGUAAGCCCUUACCGCCUCCCAGUCAUCCAUGGUGGUCACGUCUUCAAGGACAACAAGGUAAUUUUGACGGCACAUUUGCUUCAUGAAUUCGUUGAUCAGAACGCCUUCUGUGGCCACCGUCAUCUUCACAACAAAAUCUACGGUAGCGCUUUCUUGUGGACUAUAGCUUCUGCAAAAUUGGGCCACCAAGCGCCUGAUAAAUUCCCGGGCAUUGAAAGGAUGCAUCAGCUUCACCCAGGCGCGGCAUCUGAAGUUGGUGCAGAUUUGUGUGUCUUCAUAGGCCUUCUUGAUGACGGACGCCAUCCCAACUGUUCCUAACAACGAGAUCACUUGAAGGGCAUGGUCACCUUUCCCGCUGAUCAACUUGACGAGUGCCACAGGUGGCCAGAUGGGCUCCCUGGCGGCUUCCCUCGCUGUGGCGGAACGAGGGAGGAUGUUUGAUGCUGUUGCGCUGGCCGCACCCUGCUGAUGCGUCUGCUCGGCAGGCUUGGAGCCAGGGUUACCGGUGUGGUUGUAGCGCAGGUUCCGCUGACCCAUGGCCUCGACCCUAGCCUUGAGUAGCUCUAUACCAGCGACAGCGUUGUCCAAGGCCACGGCCGGCGCCGCCGCUGGUACCCAGGAGGGGAGCAUGCGGCGCCACCAGCUCGAUUUGUUGUCCAGGUAGAGAAUGGAGUCAAUGCAGUCCUCCACGUCCAGGGCCAUGUCGCGGACCUGCCUCACGCAAGUCGUCGUCAUAUCGUCCGCGACACGAUCCUUGGCAACGUUGAGGAAGGAAUGCAUCAUCUCGAACUCGUCCGAGACAAGCAUAAGGUCACGCUGAACGCUCUUCUGCAGCUGCUUCUCCUCCUCAAUAGCGGACUUGGCAAUAUUCACCGUCUCCUUGACCGCCGACUUCGCCAAACCCAGCACAAGGUCCGCCAUUGCACUCCCGUUCACUCUUCGAUCUGUGUGAGGGGAGGUGGGUGGGUGGGUGGGUGGUGUACAAGAUAGAACCUGGUGACGAUGCUUGCAAAUAUAUAUUAUGCUUCAAAAUCAUGCAUGACAUCGGCUGCAAGACAGAAAAUUUGCACAUUAUAAAACAAGAGUGUCGCAGUAAAAGAAGCCAGUUAGAUUCCCUAAUUAAAUUAACAGUGGGCUUUCCCUUAUGGUCUUAUUUUUAGGGCUAAAAGUUGCUUAUUUGGAGGAACUAACCUCAAUCCUACCUGUUUGGUUCCAUGAGCAAAACAACAUUUAAUAAGGUGAAGAAUGAUUUGUUUACCUCUAAUCAUUGCGACGCGUGGGGGGAGAGAGAGGAAUCAGAUAGGCAUUGAAUGAGAGCAAUGGGUGUCCAGUGCACCUUUUAGUCCAAAUAAGCAACCCAAAAUUACCUUAUGGACUAAACUUUAAAAGCUAAACUUUAACUUAAAUAAGCAAGGAUGUUCGGCUCUUUAUUUGGUACUAUAAAAGGGACUAAAAUUUAAUCUCUAAAGUUUAGCAAGGGUACAGCCCCUUAAUCUUCGCCGGCCAAGCACUUAAAUUAAGCUAGGUCAGACAGCUGAUGCAUCGAACGCAGCAGCAGUGAAAAACAAAUAAAGGCCAGUGUGCUCUGUAAGAAAUAUAAACCAAUAAAAUACAUCUUGGCAGAAUGGGGUCAAGUGGGUCUAUAGUCUAUUCUUGUGGCAGUAAGCUGAUCCUUUAUAAUACCGCUGGAUCGGAUCUCGAUCUCCUUGAUUAGCGCUCCACUAGCCCACUAAUGCUUGUCUCGUACUCCAACCACCGAUACCCAGCCCAAAAACUAUGCAUCGGGGAUUCACUUAACUUUUUAUUAUUUCGAGGUCUAAUUAAUAACACUGUUUGGAUUACGUAUGGGUUGCCUGCUGCUGGUAAAUACAUCUAUUUAUCUUUCAGCAAAAGCAUGCCUGCUGGGAAAUAUUAGUUCUGAAAUCUGAGCGCAUACCAGCUGUCAGUUAACAUAUUGUCUGUCAGCAAAUCCCUGCCAGAGCUUACGAUAAGUGGUCCGUCAGCAGACGUCAUCCCCCAACGGAUAAAGUACCCCAUAUUGCCUUCUUCAAGUUUCAUGAUGAAUGCAAUUCUCACACCUUGAAAUUUUUGGAUCUCACGAGGUGAUUAGGAGGAAUAAUUAAACAAUCAUUUUCUCGUAAUUUUAAAAUUUUUCAACAUUUGUUUCUUGACAGAAAAUUUAGUGUAGGAAUAUAAUUGGUUGUGUUUCCUAAACUAAAUGAGGUUGUUCUAUGUGUGUGCAUUCAUGCCCAUGCAUCUUGGUGUUUAUUGAGUGCAAAGGUUUUAAAAUGCCUCUAGACGACGACAAGGUUCUUCUGAGAAUUUACCAGUUUUUUCUGGAAAUUAUUCUCAUUUUCCUAGAGCUAAAUUCUUUUCACGAGCUUCAGUUAUUUUAUUUAGACUCCUCGUGUCCCAAACUAUCUCUAGGAAUUUUUCUGGAAUUUUUAGGAUUUUCAGAGUAUUUUUUGUGGGUUUUAUUGAAUUAUCUGGAUUUUCCUUUAUACGGGAAAUUACUUCUGAAAAGAAAAAGAAAAGAAAACCUCAACCUACCCUUUUGGGUUAAGCCCGCACCCACAAGCUCUACCAUGGCCCAACUCUCCUUCCCACCCUCGGGCCUCAUUGGCUCAGCCCAGUCCAGGCCCGACCAGCCCAGCCAGGCCCAACCGGGACCAUCUGCUCUACAGCUCUCUCCCAAGCUGCACAGGCAAGCAACGCCACCACCAAACCUUUUUGGUGUGUGUGCCACGCCAGGCGCAACCACCGGCGCCCUAUCAAUAGCGAAGCCCGACCCCCGCACGCCACUGCCAUCCUCGCAAGCCACCCUGCCUCGCCUGUGCUGCACCGCCGCCUUGCAAGCCCGCCAGCCGAGUCGGGCACCGCCACCGACUUUCCACUCGAUUCACCAGCUCCGCUGCCCGCCGGACGAAGCCGGCCCCUUCUAGAGCUUCGGGACGUCGUACAACGGUAGAAGCACCAUCGGUGUAGCCUGGGAGGAUGAGCCACAGCGACGGCUGCGUUCUCUCACCGUAUUAACUCACGUACACGUAAGAUGAACUAGCUUUGCUGGCGGUAUACAGACGCCCUCGCAACCACCGUGUACGUGCCCUAAUCUGUCCUGAAAAUUCUAGAAUGCCUUAUAUUAGGAUAGAGGGACAGAGGUGGUACUCUUCAAAUAUCUAGCCCAAAAACCAUGUCAAGAACUUACAACAUGCCUAUAAAUACCCGACUCAAUUCAUUGCAUGCUGCGACACUCCUACCUUUUGCCUUUUUCUUAACAAAUCCUUGCAAUGUAAAUAUAAAUCAUAAGCAAAUCAAAUCAAUCGAAAUUUUUUAUAUAUCGUUUCUUUGUAAAUAGCCACACCAAGAACAAUGUCUUGUAGUCUGAACAGACGAAAAUGGUGGAUGCCUUGGCUUGCUCAGGUGGCUUCUCAAACUUGUAGUCUUAAUUGAUGAAAAUGGUAAUUGCUUUGACUUGCUCGGGUGUUUUUUUGAGCCCUGGCAACCUGCCAAUUGCCUCACCAAACAAGUUGAUAGCUAGAGUUGCCCAAGCUCAAAAAGAUUAUUGUUCUUUUCUCCUUCAAUAAUGAUUUUGCUCCCAUGUUUUGUGAAGCGCUUUCCACGAUUGUUUUCACAACAUGUUCCAUACUUAUAGCUCAAUGCAAUGCAAAAGCAUCCACAUAUUCCAAUAUUAAUUCACUGGUAUGUGGAAUAUCCAACACCUUCUUGGAUUCUAAAAAUUUUGUGCCCAAGUAUCAAUAUCAGGUGCAACAUUUUCGUGUCAGUUUACCUGUCCGCAUUGCUUCACAUAUCCGUACCUUGUCAAGAAAGGUCUAUUUUCCUGACAGAGAUUUCAUUACCGUCAGUGCAAUGUGACCUUCCACAAUAGCCUGUUGCCGCUUGGUGUCCAUUGUGCUGCCACGGACGGAGUGAUCCCUUUUACAGUUUCUUUCUUUUGUUUUCUGUGGAGGACUUGAGAAGAGUCCGGUUUUCUAGAGAAUACUUUGUGCAAAUGAACAGAAGUAAUGUUCCUCCCUUCUAUACGAAGUUCACGUUAGGUGAGUACUCGAUCAUGUUAUUAAUUUAAUACUAGAUACUCCUCGCUCCAUAUGGUUGCGUGAGUCCGCGAAACUUGCUGACAUUGGCUUCUAGAGCGAGGAAAUAUGUUAACAGGAAUGAGAAUAUAUAACAAGCAGCUCGUACAACUAAGUGCGCGCCUUAUCACCUAAUCACCUAGCCAAGCAUCUAAUCACGUGGGGUACCUUUUUUUAUUUGUCUCCUCUUUGAGUAUCCUAUGCUUGACUUGAACCUAGUCUUGCGUAACCAAUCCAUCUUCUCCCGGGUUACUUUACAAGUUUUGAACUGAAUCAACAUAAGGGGCCUCUCAUAUCAGAACCUCGCUUUGCUCCCUUUCGUUGUGUUCUCCCAGCUAGGAUCCCUCAACUGUUUUUCUCGGCCCCGAGGUUAGUACCUUUAAUCAAGAAGCUGGUGUUUUUUCUGUUCCACAAACAGUUAAACAUAUCUAUGUAUAUUUUGUAAUUAUGUCUAGUUGUAAUACAACUGUUUUGUUUGGAUAAAAGAUCUAGUUGUAACGAUAUGAGUUGUAGCAGCUUAAAUCUAUAUCUAAAAUCAUCAGAAAUGGACACUGGUUCGAGCACGCCAAGCCUGCUGAGUACAGUGCCGAAGGAUCUAUCAGCAGCAUUCCUGCGUGAUAUUACGGAUGGUUUUUCCACUGACAGAGAAAUAGGACAAGGGGCGUUUGGAACAGUUUAUAAGGUAUGUUUACGACCUUUUCUGCGUUUUUCAGAAACUGGUAGGCAUGCCAAUAUAUAGUAUAUGGACGGUUAAACAGGGAAUCCUCCCAGAAGGGGAUUGUAUUGCUGUGAAGAAGCUUGUGGAUGAGGACAUAUAUGACAAACAAUUUCAAAAUGAGAUUACGCAUCUUAUGAAUGUCUGUCAUGAAAAUAUUGUGAGGAUAGUUGGCUUCUGCCAAGAACGUGAAAAGAAAGUUGUGGAGCAUAAUCGAAGAUAUAUUAUUGUAGACUCAGUUGAAAGAUUUAUCUGCUAUGAGUAUUUACCAAAUGGGAGCAUUGAUAAGUGUAUAUUUGGUACGGUAAUUUUUUAUCUUUUCUUUCUUUCUUCACUCAUACUUUUUAAUUUGGAGUGUGGAUAUCAAUUGUUAUAUAUUACUUCAGUUUCCUGCACUAAAAUAUUAUUCUCUCCAUCCCAAAUUACUAUUGCUUUUGUUUUUUCUAGAUAUAUAGUUUUUAUAUGCACCUAGAUAUAUAUUAUCUCUAGGUACAUAGAAAAUGUUAUGUAUCUAGAAAAGUCAAAAUGAAUAGUAAUUUGGGACGGAGGGAGUAUGAUGGAACUGAUUAUGGUUCAGGCUAUGAACAUACGCUUUCUAGUCACUAUGUUAUGAAAAUUGAUGUUUUGGAGGUCCUUAUACCAGAUUACUCAUAGAGGAUCUAUCCUUUUUUCUUUCUUCAGAUGAUACACUUAAUUGGGCUACACGCUUCAAAAUUAUUAAGGGGAUCUGCCAAGGUUUACAUUUCCUACAUGAGGGAAUGGAAACACCUACAAUUCAUAUGUCUCUUCAGCCUGCCAAUGUAUUGUUGGAUGAUAGAAAGGUGCCUAAAAUUACAGAUUUUGGUUCGUCGAGAGUCUUUGGUCGUGCUGAUAAAUCAAUGAUGAUCACACAAAACCCUGUGGGAGUAAUGUAAGUUUAAUUCAGAUAGUGCAAUAAGAGUACUUUCCCAUCAAGUAACAAUGCUUACGAAACUCUUGUUGGUAAUGUCAUUCAGUGGAUACAUGGCUCCAGAAUAUCUUUAUAGAGGUGAAAUCUCAACCCAAGCAGACAUAUAUAGCCUAGGCUUAAUGAUAAUCGAGAUCACAACUAGGAAGAAGAAUUAUUCAGACGAUCGAGACAAGUCUGCCCAGAGAUUUAUUGAUGAAGUAAGGCAGUGUUGAUGAUUAGUUGAUUACAAAAUAAUUUUCAUAGAAGCAUGUGUUACAUUUAUUUCGUGUAUCCGUUUUUACAAAAGAUAUAUUUUUAUUUUUAUUUCGUGGUUUAUUAGUGAGUAUUAUGAGUUGAGUUAUGUAGGUGCGCCAGACAUGGACGGAUGAUGUGUACAUUUUAUCCAAAUACUCCCAAUUGGAUGCAGGCUUACUGCAAGAAGUAAAGGCAUGCAUUCAAACUGGGCUUAAGUGUGUGGAUAUUGAUCGCAAGAGAAGACCUUCCAUAUCUGAAAUUGUUAGACUGCUCAAUGCUGCAUGGUAAACGGUGGACGAGGUAUGACUAGGAAUAGCAUACAUUCCCUCUGGUCUUUGCACAUACUUACCAAAUUUUACUUUGCACAUAUAUAUUUAAAGUCCUUAAUAUUUAUGGGAUUUUGCAAGUGUUGCUCAAUACAAUUCCACAAAUACAACUUGCAUGCUUUCAAACUUAAUAAUGUAAAAGUUAUUGAUGUUUUUAAUUUUUAAUCUUUGACAAAACCUUGUCCUAAACAACAUGUUUUUUAUGACUGGAGUUACGGGGUGUUUGGAUACGAGGUGUUAAACUUUAACAGUGUCACAUCGGAUGUUCGGAUACUAAUUAAGAGAACUAAACAUGAGCUAAUUAUAAAACUAAUUGCAGAACCCUGUGCUAAUUCGCGAGACGAAUCUAUUAAGCCUAAUUAAUCCAUCAUUAGCAAAUGGUUACUGUAGCACCACAUUAUCAAAUCAUGGACUAAUUAGGCUUAAUAGAUUCAUCUCGCGAAUUACACUCUAUCUGUGCAAUUAGUUUUGUAAUUAGCCUAUAUUUAAUACUCCUAAUUAGCAUCUAAACAUCCGAUGUGACGGGUGUUAAACUUUAACACCUGGUUCCAAAUAGGCCCUUAGUAUAUGAUCACUAAUAGUUUUCUUAGUUUUUUGAGAGGAGAGGAGUUUUCAUAGUUUUACAUGCAACAACUACAUAUGAUCACUAUUAGUGGAAUCUUGUACUUCUAUAUAUGGCAAACUGAUCAGGUGAUCUUAACAUGCUAUCUCAAACUACAGGUCUACAUAUAUACCGUGUUCGCAUCAUGAAUAAAAGUUGUCAUUGUGGAGAAGACAUGGCCAAGAUGAAAUAAAGCAUGCUCUAUUAUUUCUAGAAGACCUGAACUUUUCUAUCACAACUAAGAUUCCUUUGAUGUAAUUUCAUUGUGGAAGCUACAUUUACUCCUCUUUUGGAGAUUGACACUCCAAAAGUGAUUUUCGAAGACACCCCAUUUACGGCACAGGUGGUCCACAAGGGAAUACGCUAGGGUCCUCAGUCAUGGAAAGCCUAUAGAAAUGAGUUUCCAGAGAAUGUUGGUUCAGCCGAUCAUGUCUGAAAAAGGUUGCUGACUUAAGUGACUGCGUUAGGAAAUCCCCAUUACUAGACGUAGACACUUAAGCUGAUGGACUAGAAAUUGAUUUCAAGAGAUGGUUCCUCAAUUUGGGCUGCCUCUAGAAACUGUUUUCCACAAGAGGCAAAAGAAAAGGUCAUCCCAUUUCCGUUAUCAAUAGGUUUGUGGUGGGAUGGCAAGGGGGGAUGUUGUUGUGGGUUUAAAGGUUGACACCCCCCCCCACACACACACACACAUUUCACGCAAAAAAUUGCAUGUGUGGUGCAGCUCAAUGGUUUUUACAAAUCUUUUUGUAGUUUUUCCAUGCCCAAUGUUAUCGUAGACAGACCGACAUAACCAAUGUCAUGUGGAAAUGCAUUUUUAGAGGUAAUUAAUUCCAGAGGUAGUGAACUUAGGGAACUUCCUCUAAAAAUGUCUUUUCUUAAUACGAUUGAUUGUCCACCUAUGAAAAUGCACCAUUUCCAUAUGCGAUGUCACACCUGGUUUUAAAAAUAAAUCAAAUGUACACCAUAUGUGUGCCAGGAUCAAGUUUCAAACAUACAACAAGCCAAUAGUGAAUAACAGAUACAGUAUCAUGUACUAACGAGUUCAACUAAUACAAAGUGACAUAAAUCUCUAAACAAAAUAAACAUACAAACGUCUCCUAGCAGCGGAUUACCAUUCUCCAUAGGCAUUCAACUGGGGGAACAUACGCCUAGCACUUAUGGAAAUCUUCUAAUACUAACAUCCUCUUGUUCUGAGCAGCAUUCAUUGUGUGGUACAAAUAUAUGUAGGAAAUAGCAAGUGUGAGUACAUGCCGUACUCCCACUACUACAGAAGAGGCCAUCACCGCUGGGCUAUCACCACCAGUUAUAGAUGAAUCAUUUGUGAUGCCUUUUCACUGUCGGUUUUGGAGCAAAUGGGGGCAGCAGCCUUUACAACCGGCGGUGGUGCUCGUUUUCAUUGCCGGUUCCUUAUUGAGCCGCUAGUUUCAAGCAAGAGCCAGCAGCGAUACUCGAUGCGAACCUGAAAUUUUUCUUCAACCCAAUUUAGAAAACGACUUUGCGUCCACUUGCCUCCCUCUCCCCACUCCUCCCCUCCCCCACCCUCUCUCCACCCCCUCCCUCUCUCCCUCUCACCCCAGCCCUCUAUCCCACUCUCCGCGGGCCCCCUCCCUCCCUUCCUCUCCCGCCGGCCCUCCCCUUCUCUCCCUCUCCGUUCGCCGCCCCUCCGCUUGCUUCCGCACCCCCCCCUUUCCCCCUCCACUCGCUACCCCCUCGGCCUGGCAUAGAGGAGCGCUGGCAGCGUGCAGGGAUCCGCAGCGGCAUGGCAGGAUCCGCGGCUGGCAGUAGGGAUCCACAAUGCAGCGAGGCUCCAGUGACAUCAAGAUGUGCGGGGUAAGCAGCGGCAGUGACAAGGCCGGGUCAACGGUGGCGGCUGCAGCGUGAGUAGCAGCAGCGAUGCUACCUAGGGGCCCACGGUGGGCGCGGUGCGAUGGCGGUGGGGACGCCAGGUAUAUUUCUUCUUUUUUUUGUGAUGUGCAUCACCGUCAGUUCCUGGUUUAGCGGUGAUAGGGACUCCUAUCACCGCCGACCUAAUAAUGUCCUCACUCAAAAUGAGGGUUGCCUAUAUCAUAUUGAGAUAUGAGAUACAUCCCCCUAAUGCUGUUCUAUGGACAUUCUUGAGGCACUGACUCUGGAGCCAAAAAAAAGGUUUAGUCAACGAGCACAAAAGUUUCAUACUAGAACCACUAGACCUAUGCUAGUCAAUUCACUGUGCUAAGGGCACAUGCAAGAGCUACAACCACCCUAUGCCCAUUGAUCACAAUUAAUUUGAAAGGAUGUUUAUGGAUGCUUUUGUUUACCAUAAGUGUAAUAAAUCUUGUAGUCAUUUUCGGCACAAGUCUUGCAGCUAGCCAAUAUAAUCCAAGUUUUUGGUACCCUAUAAUCCAAGAUAAGAUAUAAUCUCCUACUGUUUUCAAAUCUCAGAAUCUUUUGCAGUAAUCUCCUACUGUUUUCAAAAAGUGGUAUGUCAAUCGUAACAGGAUUAGACAGAGGGAAGUACCGAAUGGUUGCUUGCAGAUGAGGUGAUUCUAACUUUAGACUUUGCAUGUAGACGGCGUGGAGGAUAUGAAUAGUUGCAUGCAGAUGAGAUGGUGCUGACAUUAGCCUUUGCAUGUAGAUGGCGUGGACGAUUUGAGGUAAAUGACACAAGAACACACACCAUAUAUAUAGUGGCAUUGUUGGACCUUGUUUAGUUACCCCAAAAUCCCAACUUUGGCACUAUGCAAAAAUAAGAUUCCCCAUCACAUCAAACUUGCGGUACAUGCAUGGAGUACUAAAUGUAGACGAAAUAAAAAACUAAUUGCACAGUUUUGUUGUACUUUGCGAGACGAAUCUUUUGAGCCUAAUUAGUCAAUAUUUGGACAAUAAUUCAUAAAUACAAACGAAACACUACAGUAUGCUACAGUGCUGGCACAGUGAUUUUGGUUGUCCAAAAUUGGGCAACUAAACAGGGCCUCGUUCUCUUCUCAUUAAUUGUUAAUAGAAGUUACUACAUGUACCUAGAACUCCUAAACUAGGUGUCCUAUCAUAUGAUUUGCAAUUAAUUCCAUUAAGCUUGAAGCAGGUGGAAAGGGCACUUGCAUCGAUAGGAGGCGCACGUGCACAGAGAGUCUGUUAUGUCUUUUAUCUUUUAAUGAAACUAGGUGGCGUUGGGGCUGCUGGCCUUUCCUCGCUGUUUAGCAUCCUGAGAACAUCCGGCAUGGUUGGCCGCUCCCUUGGAUUGUCUUGGGUGCACAACAGUCCGAUAUGUAUUCUUCUUUCCACUUCCUGUAGCUGUGACUCUCCACAAGAUGCAGAGUCAAAUAAAUCCUUCAGACUCUGAGCUUCCCGUACCUCCCAAGCCUGUGAAAAAGGUGUCAGUGUGUAUAACAAGGCAACAAGUAAAACCCAUUGUGUAACUGAAGUUCUUCAUGUGGUCAGCUAAGUUGCCAUUUUCUUCAGAUCCGUCUAACCAAUUUUGAUUAACGUGUUGGAUCAUUAACACACUAUUGCUUCUUGACUGCAUCAUUUUGGUCGAGAUUGGUCACUGACUAGUCCUAAGAUGAACAUCCACAAAUUCAAACAAUGAUGACCUAUAUGCUACGUUAUUGAGACUGCUAUUUCUUUGAUAAUCUUAUACUUGUCUGUAUUGAAAGAUCAUGUUGAUGUUUGGUGUAGUAAAAUUUGGAAAGGUAAGAGAACUUUUGAGAUUAUACGAGGCUACUACCCAAAGUAUGAGGUGGCACCCAAAUAGAACGACAUAUCCUUAAAAGGAACAACAUGACAUGAAGAGAUGAGCAAUUAUAAACCAAUCCAGUUUUUUAUGCUCAGAAAUUAUUGCUAGCGCUGACAGCGAGCAAGAUGCAGAAUUACCAAAUAAAGUAUGACCUACAAAAGGAUUCCUCUUUUUUUUGUGUCACAGCUGAUUACACUUUUUUCCCUUGUUGAAAAAAGUGGACAGUUUAAGGCCAAUAUCUCCACCGAAGUAUGGAUAUCAGAAUAGAUCGAAUAAUGAUGAAUGCAAAAAAGAGAAAACCUUUAUCUGAACAAGUUCCUUGUGAAGAUACCCAACCAAUGCCUGCCUAUAAAUGUUUUACGUACCCACUCAAUUGAAUGUUGGAGAAGUCCAGACCUGCUCAUUCCUCUAAUGGUAGAUAAGACUAAGAGGCCAAAACUGUAGACAUCAUUCUUGGCUGAGAUGACACCUUGAGCAAUAUAUUCUGGAGCCAUAUAUCCCCUAAAUGGUGAAAAAAUAAAUAAAUGGGUCAGCAGAAGGGGGGAAGCGACAAGAAGCUUGAUCGUGCAUGUCAUGGCAACAAAAAUACAGUAUAUAUGGAAAGUCGUCCUACAGGGUGCCUGCUAACUCUUCCGUGACUUCUUGAGUCACCUCUUGAUCAAAUAUUUUGCACAUUUCAAAAUCACAGAUUUUAGGGUUCAUAUUAGAGUCAAACAGGAUGUUUUCUGGCUUCAAAUCCAUAUGGAUAAUGUUUUUCCAGUGCAGAUGAGCUAUGCCUUGUGCCAUCCCUUGAAUUAUUUGGAAUAUGAUAGACCAAUCCAUCUGCGGACACUGUCCUGGAAAAUUAAAAAAUCAAACAUCCUAUAGAGUUAACAUUGUUAAGCUAAAUUUUGCUCCAAAUGAUAACUGGAGUCAUUCUUUAAGUGGAAACAUGCCUUCGAUAAUGUCGGACAAGUUUCCAUUCGGGGUGUACUCUUCGACCACUAUCAUACUAGUUAUUUCAGCCUCCACAUAGCGGCCCUUGUAUAGCAUCUUCUCGUAUGUGGUUUCCUGGCAAUAUCCGAGAAAGCAAACUAUAUUUUGGUGCUGACCCAGCAAUGCAAAGACAUUCACAUAAUGAUCUACAUCUCUUCGUAAGUGCCGAGCUGCACAAAAUCUCUUUAUGGCAACCAAUACGUCAGAUAUUACACCCUGGAUCAUAGGCAGCAAUUUUAAUCACGAAUGCAGUUAACGUGAUAUUAUAAUUUGAAUGCCUCAAACAUAAUUAAAAUACCAAGCAUAUGGAGUACCUUGUACACAGUAGCACUGCCACCUCUCCCAAUCAGGUUGUGUUCCGAGAAGUUAUUUGUAGCGGCCUUCAUCUCAGAUAAACUGAACAUUCUAAAUCCUGUCAUAAAAACAGGUACACAUACAGGCAUAAAUGAUGUUCUGCAAACACACACCAGCAAGAUCACUAUCACUAGUGAAUAAUAAAUAGCUCGAAUUCAAGAUCAAAGAGGCCGGUAAACAAAUAUGUGAUCUUACCUGAUUGGUUGAGAAAGUGCUCCAUACAGGCUGGAUCACUUUUUCUCUCACCAUCAGCUCCAAAUCUGUCAUCGUACAUUCGAUAAGCAAAAUGAGUGCCCUCCGAUCGAUGUAAUAAUACUGAAUGGAGGUAGACCAAUGGUGGUAGCAUAAUGGUAAGGUUUUAGAUGCUUCCUCCAUCCCAAUUGUAAAUCGUUUUGGCAUUUCACCUAGAAAUGCCAAAACGAUUUACAAUUUGCGACAAAGAGAGUAGUUUACCAGGGCUUUUAUGGAAAUAAAAGCUAAAAUUGCGCAAGUGCAUACUUUGAUGGUAUACAGACUUGCCAAGGGAAUUACAGUUUUUCGUAAUGGUGAUUAAUUUCUAUGUUGAACUCACUAAGUAUUACAACAUAUAAUUUACUAUGCUACAAUUGGAAUGGCACACUGUAAAUAUCAGACCUAGUAUCAUUGUUUGACGCACUGCUAGACGAGCUCUCCACUGCCCCUAGAUGGCCAGCAUCCUGAAAUAGAAAACCAAAUCCCUCAAGGUAUUAUUGAUGAAAUUUUUAUCCUAUCUUAUUAGUUGAAAUGGAAGAGCUAGGAAGUACCAAUUGAAUGAUACCCCUGAAAUAAAGAAACUAUCUAAAGGUUGCUGCGAAACAAAAGAAACUGUCCGUAUAUUGAUCUUGACGAGGUGAGGUGGGACACUUAAAUCUGUUAAUGCCGGACCCAACACCUGGGUCAACCGUGCUUGCGGUAGAGGCAUACAUUCUACAAAUAUGAUACGUACAGGUUGCAUCUGUCCAAUUUUUAUUCUUAACAAAAUGAGUCUAUCAACCCAAAGCUAAUGAAAAACAUGGAGAAGUUUCUCUAAAAUGGUGGAUAGAAUCGUAAGGAACAUUAUAUAUGGAAGUGACAAAAUUAAAAAUACGCUGUAAAGAUGUAGUACCUGUGUAAUCCAGUUUGCGGCCGCAAUUUGGUCCAUGAUAACCUGGUUUACCUGGCGCAACUCUUUGGUCAGGUAUCCAGUUGCACCCAGGUGAAUGUUGCGCGUCGACUGGCAGGCCCUGACAAGCUUCAGCGCCCGAUACAGGGUCUCCUCGAGGUUCUCAAGCGCCUGGAUCAUCGCCUGGUCCUUCACCAUCUCCAAAUUCUCCAUCUUUGACAGGAUAGCACUUAAUCUGCUUACGCGCCUUCCGAUCUCAUAACAAUCAGCCUUAUUCUUUCGAACGGUGUCGACCGCCUCCUUGAUCUGGAGCGCAACCUCGACAAUGUUCCUCACCCUGCCCAAUGCAUCGGACAUCCUCUCUCUAGGGGAUUAUAAUCUGCAGAUCGAAAGGAUAAGGGAGUCGUAUCGAAUCAGACGAACAAGCCUGAUGAACCAACUGGAACAAACAAAAAAAGCUCUUCGAUUUUCUUUCUCAAAGCAAUCAAAGCAAAUAAAGAAGCAAGCAUAAACCUGGCGUCUUCGGCCCUCCUUUACUAGCUGCGUCAGGGAUCUCUUCCUCCAAGCUAUGGUACGCCCGGAGCAUCCGGUGUUCGCCGGGAAUCAAGUCUGCUCGAUGGGCAAGCUUAUCUGAUAGGGACAUAAACAAUUCCGUGAAAAACAAAUAAAGGCCAGUGUGCUCUGUAAGAAAUAUAAACCAAUAAAAUACAUCUUGGCAGAAUGGGGUCAAGUGGGUCUAUAGUCUAUUCUUGUGGCAGCAAGCUGAUCCUUUAUAAUAACGCUGGAUCGGAUCUCGAUCUCCUUGAAUAGCGCUCCACUAACCCACUAAUGCUUGUCUCGUACUCCACCCACCGAUACCCAGCCCAAAAACUAUGCAUCGGGGAUUGACUUAACUUUUUGUUAUUUCGAGGUCUAAUUGAUAACACUGUUUGAAUUACGUAUGGGUUGCCUGCUGCUGGUAAAUACAUCUAUUUAUCCGUCAGCAAAAACAUGCCUGCUGGGAAAUAUUAGUUCUGACUUCUGAGCGCAUACCAGCUGUCAGUUAACAUAUUGUCUGUCAGCAAAUCCCUGCCAGGGCUUACGAUAAGUGGUCUGUCAGAAGACGUCAUCCCCCAACGGGUACAGUACGGCAUAUUACCUUCUUUGUGUUUCAUGAUGAAUGCACGGUUGUCACACCUUGAAAUUUUUGGAUCUCACGAUGUGAUUAGGAAGAAUAAUUAAACAAUGAUUUUUCUCAUAAUUUUAAAAUUUGCCAACAUUUGUUUUCUUGAUAGGAAAUUUAGUGUAGGAAAAUAAUUGGUUGUUUUUCCUAAACUAAAUGAGCUUGUUCUAUGUGUGUGCAUUCAUGCCCAUGCAUCUUGGUGUUUAUUGAGUGCAAAGGUUUUAAAAAUAUCUUUAGACGACGACCAGGUUCUUCUGAGAAUUUACCAAUUUUUUCUGGAAAUUAUUCUCAUUUUCCUAGAGCUAAAUCCUUUUCCCAAGCUCCAGUAAUUUUAUUUAGACUCCUCGUGUCCCAAACUAUCUCUAGGAAUUUUCCUGGAAUUUUUAGGAUUUUCAGAGUAUUUUUUGUGGGUUUUAUUGAAUUAUCUGGAUUUUUCUUUAUACGGGAAAUUACUUCUGAAAAUAAAAAGAAAAGAAAACCUCAACCUACCCUUUUGGGCUAAGCCCGCACCCAAAAGCUCUACCAUAGCCCAACUCUCCUUCCCUCCCUCGAGCCUCGCUAGCUCAGCCCAGUCCAGGCCCGACCAGCCAAGCCAGGCCCGAUUGGGACCAUAUGCUCUGCAGCUCUCUCCCAAGCUGCACAGGCAGGCAACGCCACCGCCACGCCCUUUUGGUGUGCGUGCCACGCCAGGCGCAGCCACCCGCGCCCUAUCAAUAGCGAAGCCCGACCCCCGCACGCCCCUGCCAUCCUCGCAAGCCACCCUGCCUCGCCUGUGCUGCGCCGCCACCUUGCAAACCCGCCAGCCGAGUCGGGCGCCGCCGCCAACUUUCCACUCGAUUCACCAGCUCCGCUGCCCGCCGGAUGAAACCGGCCCCUUCUAGAGCUUCGGGACGUCGUACAACGGUAGAAGCACCAUCGGUGUAGCCUGGGAGGAUGAGCCACAGCGACGGCUGCGUUCUCUCACCGUAUUAACUCACGUACACGUAAGAUGAACUAGCUUUGCUGGCGGUAUACAGACGCCCUCGCAACCACCGUGUACGUGCCCUAAUCUGUCCUGAAAAUUCUAGAAUGCCUUAUAUUAGGAUAGAGGGACAGAGGUGGUACUCUUCAAAUAUCUAGCCCAAAAACCAUGUCAAGAACUUACAACAUGCCUAUAAAUACCCGACUCAAUUCAUUGCAUGCUGCGACACUCCUACCUUUUGCCUUUUUCUUAACAAAUCCUUGCAAUGUAAAUAUAAAUCAUAAGCAAAUCAAAUCAAUCGAAAUUUUUUAUAUAUCGUUUCUUUGUAAAUAGCCACACCAAGAACAAUGUCUUGUAGUCUGAACAGACGAAAAUGGUGGAUGCCUUGGCUUGCUCAGGUGGCUUCUCAAACUUGUAGUCUUAAUUGAUGAAAAUGGUAAUUGCUUUGACUUGCUCGGGUGUUUUUUUGAGCCCUGGCAACCUGCCAAUUGCCUCACCAAACAAGUUGAUAGCUAGAGUUGCCCAAGCUCAAAAAGAUUAUUGUUCUUUUCUCCUUCAAUAAUGAUUUUGCUCCCAUGUUUUGUGAAGCGCUUUCCACGAUUGUUUUCACAACAUGUUCCAUACUUAUAGCUCAAUGCAAUGCAAAAGCAUCCACAUAUUCCAAUAUUAAUUCACUGGUAUGUGGAAUAUCCAACACCUUCUUGGAUUCUAAAAAUUUUGUGCCCAAGUAUCAAUAUCAGGUGCAACAUUUUCGUGUCAGUUUACCUGUCCGCAUUGCUUCACAUAUCCGUACCUUGUCAAGAAAGGUCUAUUUUCCUGACAGAGAUUUCAUUACCGUCAGUGCAAUGUGACCUUCCACAAUAGCCUGUUGCCGCUUGGUGUCCAUUGUGCUGCCACGGACGGAGUGAUCCCUUUUACAGUUUCUUUCUUUUGUUUUCUGUGGAGGACUUGAGAAGAGUCCGGUUUUCUAGAGAAUACUUUGUGCAAAUGAACAGAAGUAACGUUCCUCCCUUCUAUACGAAGUUCACGUUAGGUGAGUACUCGAUCAUGUUAUUAAUUUAAUACUAGAUACUCCUCGCUCCAUAUGGUUGCGUGAGUCCGCGAAACUUGCUGACAUUGGCUUCUAGAGCGAGGAAAUAUGUUAACAAGAAUGAGAAUAUAUAACAAGCAGCUCGUACAACUAAGUGCGCGCCUUAUCACCUAAUCACCUAGCCAAGCAUCUAAUCACGUGGGGCACCUUUUUUUAUUUGUCUCCUCUUUGAGUAUCCUAUGCUUGACUUGAACCUAGUCUUGCGUAACCAAUCCAUCUUCUCCCGGGUUACUUUACAAGUUUUGAACUGAAUCAACACAGGAAUUUUCGUGGAAUUUUUAGGAUUUUUUGAGUAUAUUCCGUGGCUUUAAUUGAAUUAUCUGGAUUUUUCUUUAUACAGGAAAUUACUUCUGAAAAUAAAAAAAAGAAAACCUAAACCUAACCUUUUGGGCCGAGCCCGCACCCGCGAGCCCAACCAUGGCCCAGCUCUCCUUCCCUCCCUCUAGCCUCGCUGGCUUUCCGCUCGAUUCACCGGCUCCGCUGCCCGCCGGACGAAACCGGCCCCUUCUGGAGCUUCGGGACGUCGCCCCGCACACCCGCCGCUACACCCUGUCGUCGUUUGGCCGCCGGAGGAGCCCCGCCCUGUGGAGCCCGAACUAGCCGCCGCCUCCACAGUCCGCCAUCGAUUCCGGCCGGUGCCGUCGUCCUCUACCGUCGGUGAGCACGCCCCCGUGACCCUCUCGACCUCCUCUAUCUCCUUCGCCACCCACCUAAGCCCCUACCUCUCAACCACCGGCGAUUUCAUCUCCCAGUGCGCCGUCCGCCAUGGCCAAAAGCUCCUCGAGCUUUUCCGUGGAGGCCCCUGAAGAAAUCUAUAAUUAUUCCAAGAUCUCUGUGUCUUGGAUCUUUUUUGAAAAGCCCCCUAGAUCUAUUAGGUUCCUUCAACCGAGCCCAAGCCGUGAUCUAUUUCAGAUCGAACCCUGCUCUUUAUCGUAUUCACGGGCACUAUGUGUCUCGGGAAUCUUCCUCGCUAGCCCUUGUUCUCUAGGGUUAAUCGCGAUUAGACCCCUGCAGCUUGAUUAGCUCGUAGAUCUUAUGUUUCAACUCCGUUUAACCUCUUUCUUGUUGCGUUAGAUUCAUAUCAAUUUAAAUUACGCAUUAGAAGCAAUGUUAAUCAUUUUAUCUAUUUUAUAAUUUACUUCAAAUAUUAAUAUGAUUAAGUACUUACAUACUUGUUUUUCUAAUUAAAAUACAAUAGAGUUUAACCCCGUGUUUUCAUGCUAAUGUUAAUUUGUUUAAUGCUUAUCUAAAUAAUUUUUCCAAUUAAUAGCUAACUAGAGUUAUACCUCGGUUUUCAUAGUCAAACUUAAAUUGAUUAAUGUUUAUUCAAUUUGCUUUCUAAACAAAAGUUGCAUAGGUUCUAUCUCGAGUUUUCGUAAUUAAAUGUUAAUUUGGUUAAAUAUAAAUAUAAAUAUAAAUGUGUUUCUGAAUUAUAAUUUGUCUAGUUCAACACGAAUCAUAAAGUUAUGCGCUUAGAUCUUCCCACCUAAGUUAUUUUCCAAAUAAAUGUUUAACUAGUAUAAUUUAUACAUGAACAUUUAUAAAUAAAACUUGAGUAGGAUUUACCUCGGUUUUUGCCAAUAGAGUAAAAUUUGCAUUAUUUCUAAAUUAGGGUAUUUUCUUUCCAAAAUAUCCUUUAGAUAUGUUUUGCUAAUUAAAAUAAAUCCAGCAUAUAGCCUUGUGUGCUCUCAUAAUUGUUUGAUAGCCGUCUUUGUUAGCUUUAGCUUUGUAUCUCUUUUGUAGAUCUAGUCUUCUGUAAAGCUUUAGAUCUUUGUAGUUCCAGAUCAAGCUCACACUCAGUUUCUUUCACAAAUCUAGCCAAGCCUUUCCUUUUCAAGCACGGUUUGUGUGCUUUAGUGAUCCAAAUAGUUUAUCUUAGAGUUUUUGUUCUGCCUAAUAGUUUUGGUCUUCAUGAGUAGUUUGGUGCUGCUCAUUUCCCUAGCUAGUAUAUUUUUUAUCAUGCUUGUUUCCUGUUCCUCUUAGAAACCUGUUUAUCAAAAGCUAGCUCAUAAUUACUAUGUCCUAGUUGUCUCUUUGUGAGUCAGCUAUGUUCGUUAUGGCCAAACCUUUCGCAGCCAUCUCUUUAGAGCUAAUCUUGUUAGUUGUGUCUCUAUCGACCAGUUCAGUUUAGCUUUGACUAGUUUGUUAUCUUUGCAACCUAGUUGCUCUCUUUGUAGACUAGUUUUCCCUAAACCAUAGUUUAAGGUUUUCUUCUGCGCUCUAAAGUCUGAUUUUGAUGUUCUUGUUCACUUAACCAUAACUUAUGCGAUAGCAAUGUGUAUUGCCUGUUGCUUGUCUUUAAAAUCAAAAUUGAAUGUCAAUUUGACUAAUACUUAUUAAACCAGUUUUCUAAUUAAAAGUUUACUAGUUAUACAAUAUGGGAUUUCAUAUAAAAUUUUAAACUUUACUAAUUCUUAUUCAAUUAGUUUUCUACAUAAAAAUUUAUUAGGUUCUAUCCCGGAUUUCAUAAACUAAGAUUUAAUUAAUUAAUUCCUAUUUAUAACUAGCUUUUCUAAAUAAAAUAUACCUAGUGUCAUACAUCAUUUUCCAUGAAUGAAGUUAAUAUGCUUAAUGGUAUUAUAAACACCUUUUUCACAUUAAUAUGUUUAGCUGAACACAAAAUACAAAGUUAUUCGAUUAGAUGUCUUAUACAUGCUCUGUGUUUCUAAAGUUAACUGUUAAAUUGGUGUAACUUGUACUUCAAUAUUUACAAAUAAAAUAUGAUUAAAUUUAUCACGUUUUCAAUGUUCAAAUAUACCUUCUGUUAAUUCCAACUAAGGAUAUUUCUCUAAAAUAUCUACGCAUUGUUUUUUAUUAAAAUCUAAAGUUAACUGUUAAAUUGGUGUAACUUGUACUUCAAUAUUUACAAAUAAAAUAUGAUUAAAUUUAUCACAUUUUCGAUGUUCAAAUAUACCUUCUGUUAAUUCCAACUAAGGAUAUUUCUCUAAAAUAUCUACGCAUUGUUUUUUAUUAAAAUAUAUCAAGCAUAUAGUCUUUUUAUUUCUUUGAUAAUUCAAACCUCUCGAUAGCUUUGUCUUUUCAUCCAUAGUUUCAUUUUCAGCAUUUUUUCUACGUUGCGAUCUUAGAAUCAAGCCCUAUCCUUUGGUAUGAUCUUUUAAAGCUUUUCUUUUGAUUGGUGUACUGUUCUUAGUUGUGCUUGUUUGUUUGCUCUGUAUGGUUGUGCCGAUGAUUGUUUUGAGUAGAAGGAUUGCUAUUCGAAAGCUUUGAAGAUUAAGAGUUUCAAGAGAGCAAGAGCUGAAGAGCAGUAAGAGUAAUUUUUCAUUGGAGAAAGGCAAGUGUCCCCAACCUUCCUUCUAUCUAUGAUUAUUUAAAUACCAUGCAUGCAUUAAUUGGAACAUUGAGCGACCACCCAAGAAAACAAUGCAACCACAAGAACUACAUGGCUCUAGUCUUGGCUAAUUAAUUAGAUACUCUUGUUUGAAGCGGUCUUACCGAAAGGGCAAGAGGGGUGACGGCAGAUGGGGUAUAACCCAACCCUCAGACCGAUAUGCUCAAUGGUAGCUUCGCAGUCUUGAGAGAGGUUUACGCUCUGCUACUUAUCCGGAAACCUUAGCUGGCUACAUCUUAUUAGGGAAUCUUUGUAGAGGUCUUAUAGCUUCCCUAUGCAGUCACAUCUCGGUAGUGUGAUGAGUGCUUGAUUAGCACAGUAUGGUUGGGUCUAAAGUUUUUCUGAACUUCUACGCAACUUGUGGUGAAAAUGUACAACUUCUGCAGAGUGUUAUAUCAACUGUGCUCACAGUCAAGAGUGGCCUGAACCCUCACAUGAUUAAUAAACUUGAAGAUAUACUUAAAUCAUUAUUUUGGUUAUUUUUUGUGUUCUUGCUGAGUAGCAACCAUAAGUGUACUCACCCUUGCUAACCGCUGCUCAGAAUAAGGUGUCUGAAGUUAUUGAAGAUGAUGCUAGGCGUACGCAGCCCCAAUUGAUUGCUUGUGAAGUCUGAAGUCUUUGUUUUCAGGAUUAAGCUGUAUAUCUCUGAUAGACUCGUAAAUUUUUAUUUAUAUUCCUUUACGUGAUACUGUUACUGUUAUUCACUGAUAAUGUCACUAUAUGUAUGAUACUUGAUUAUGGGAUACAUAGGUAGCACUUGGUUUUGUUUUAAAAUCUGGUGUGACAUCGGUUCACAUCAAGCGUGACGAUAAGAAUUUAUAUAAAUGUUGCCCAACCACCCGAAUAUCAUAAAUUGAAGGUAUGUUUGAUUUUUUUACCAUACUUACCUGUGGCUAAACUCCAAAUGCUAGUUUUAGAAUAGUCGUAAUGGAAUUGCCAAGGGCGAGAGAAGAAUUGUUACUGUUGUGCCAUAACCCACAUUGGCUUAUGUGUCUAGACAGCUUAGAUGUCCAGCGUGGCCUAGCGCAUUUUAUGUAAACAUUUACAGGUGCACUGCUGCUGAUUUUAUGUAAUUAUUAAACCUAAUGCAGUUUCAUCAUGGCAAGAUGCAUUAAAGAAAGAAAGGGAAAGACAAAAUGAAAUACACCAAAGAGUUCAGUUCCAGCUGAAAACGUGUCUGCCCCAAGCGAGCUCCUAUACAUCUUCUGUGUUGAUUGCACAGCCCAUAAGGCCCAGCAAUUUACAGCCCAAGCAGCAAUAAUACACAUGCGCCGCAGGCCCCAAUACGAAUAUGUAAGUAUGGGGAAAAAAAAAGAUACGUACCACCUAAGCAGCAUGCCACGGCAGGCCCCAUCAGCCACCAGCCGAAGAUACGUGUUGCUUUACUAUUUUUAUUCAUAUUCCAUUCUACAGUAAUCCUCCUAAUACUAUAUUCAACAUUUUGUGCGAAUUGAUUCAAACAUUCAAAAUAACUAGUUAAACAUUUUGAUAAAACGAAUGCAAAAUUUUCUUAAAAUGUUGAAAUAGUAUAUUAAAAAUGUUGAAUAAAAUGUUGGAAUAGUGUAUUAAAUUUCAACAUUUUUUAUAAAUGCAAAUUCAACAUUUUUAAUAAAAUAUUGAAAUAGCGUAUUAAAAAUGUUGAAAUAGAAUUUAUGAUCUAAUAUAUUCAAAUAAUAAACUAAUAUAGUUAACAUUUUAAAUAAUAGAUUCAUCAUUUCUUUGCAUACUUAACUGUUGGGUAGUUCAUCAAAAAUUUUGAAUUUUAAAAAUUAGCAAAGAUAUAUUCGGAUAUCAUUAUGUUCGAUUAAUUCUCAAUAAUGUAGUGGUUUAAACGAUUAAAAAGGGUUCCCAGUUUGGGAGAAAAAUGCAUUUGAAGUUUGGAAUCCAAAAGCACCAUGCAACCACCACAAGAACCACACUGUCUGUCCUCCCCAUCAGCCGUGCAUGUUCUUUUCUACCUGGAGCCAUGGUGCGCCUGGGCUGUUGCUGUCAAUUGUGGUGGAAAAGGCAAAAUCAUUCCUACAGCUUGGAGAGUACGACACAAGUCGCGAGCAUUGGAAGAUGCUUAAGAAAAAAUUCUUCAAGAAGACACAUAGGAUUUCCAGCCCGGUCCAGCCUAGAAGAGUUUGACCCGCCCAUCAGUCUGUUCAGGCCUAUUAACUUCAGGUCCAAUUAGAAUGUGGGUCGUCCAUUCUCUCUCCUCUCAUAAAAAGACUCGUUCUGUCCUGCGUAACCCAUGGGCCGGCCCAGCUUCCUGUCGCGCUCGUGCCCAGAGCUCGCAGACGGAGGACGGGGAGCCACCAGUGUGGCACUCCGAGGGGCGACCGCGGCGGCGGGGGCACUGAGCAGUGAGCACAGCACAACCCAAUGCUAGCGCAUCGGAGAAGGGCGCGGAUGCCUCGACGAUCUCCGAAGGGUCCCACUGUAAUCUCGUCCGCCAUGUCCGACGGCCUCCUGCAGCCGCGUGCGUUCAAGCAGGUGAGAUCCCACAACUAAGGUUCGUGGCCACGGUCGGAUUCCCGGCCUGAAAGAAACUUAUCAGCCACCUCGUUCUGUUCAUGCUUCUUUGUGCUCUCCAAAUUAAAGUUUCCCCAAUUUUGAUGUAAAUUUCGGUCACGCGCAUGUGGUGUGGCAGUCACCGGAGUGUUGGCAAUACACAUAAAAUCGACAAAUACAUAGACAUCGUAGAGUCUUGGCACUAUGCAUAACUAAUAUCUUACGAAUUUCCCUGUAUGGUCUAACAAGUGCCCUGAAAGGUUGUAACAAGUCUAAGAUGGUGUAGCUUAGUCUCCACUUACCGUCCAUAUCGACCGAGUCUGAGGAGGACGUUACUUCUUCCAGAUGCUGACAAACAACUGCAGAGCACUCCGUCCAUCCUUCUUACUCGCAUUGAGCCCCUUCUCUCCUUCUCGAGACCAAUUCCAAGAGGCAAAACUUUUGGAAACUUUGGAGCAAUGGCAUGGUGCUUAAGUGUAUUAUUGUCAUGCGGUGCAGAACCUGAUUCCUUUCACCCAUUAUUAUUGUCAUGCGGUUGAUUCUGAAAACUUUAUUUUGCUCAGGUUCUAUUUCCAUGUUGCAGAGCCUCCAUGCCUGGUCGAGGCACUUUGUCCUCAACAUCAACUAAAGGUGUGUUUGGAUGGAGGGACGUGACGGAAUGGGAUCAUCCCACUUUUACAUAUGUUUGGUUGGAGGUUAGGUGGGACGAGGACGGCAUCAAAGUAAAAUAUUCUUCGAAAAAGAGGGAUGAAACAGUUCCUCCAAAUCGGUCGGACCAAUCCGUCCCACUUCGAUGACACAAACACCGUGACGAGCAAGACGACACAAACGCCGUGACGACACAAACGCCGUGACGAGCGAGCGCCUCGAGCGCAAGCGCACGUCCAACUCCAGCGCAGCGCCACGAGAAAAGCCAGGCGGCAGGGGCACGUAGCUCGGGCGGUAGAGGAAUGGAGCUGGGUGGUGGGGAGGGUGGAGCCCGGUGGCGCAGGGGACCGCCAGGAGGAGACGGGGAUCGACCUCCUGGGUUCCAGUUCCACCCCACCAACGAGGAGCUGGUGGUGCAGUACCUCCGUCGGAAGGCCCUGUCCCGCCUGCUGCCCGCUGCCAUCAUCCCCGUCAACCACGACCAUGCCAGGCUGGAUCCAUGGGACCUCCCUGGUGCGUCCGCACGCUCUCUUUCAGAUUAAUGGGAAGGAAGGCUGAGACAGAGUGUUCUGAUGUUCCUUGAUUGAUUGGUGUGUGUACAGGAGCGAGCGAAGGGGAGGGGUACUUCUUCAGCGCGCCUUCGUCGAGCAGCGGCCGCUGGAGGAGAGCUAGCAGCGGGUACUGGAAGGCCACGGGGAAGGAGAAGCCUGUGUUCCUGCAGUGCGGCGGCAAGCGGCAGCUGCUCGUGAGCGUCAAGACGGCGCUCGCCUUCCAUCGCAGCGAGCCGUCAUCGUCACAGGGGACCGCCGGUAGGAGACGGGAGGGCGAAGCCUGGCGGCGCGGGGUGGUGUGGGCCUCGGCUGCGGUGGCGCGGGUGAUUGCGCCGCGACACGCCGAGAAGGGGAUGAGGCUCUGAGGCUAAUAGUGAGCUCCGCGGCUAACGGAAUACAAACACCGUUUAUUUCAUCGGUCCUCAUCCCUCAAACCAAACAACGAAAUUAGGAUGUUCCCAUCUUUCCAACCAAACAUUAAGUGGGAUCAUCUCAUCCUAAAAAAGAGGAUGAUCCUAUCUCAUCCCACCUGUCCCUCCAUCCAAAUACACCCUAACUGCGCCGGUCGAUGUGAUUGCGACUGCUUGUUCUUACCGGACUGGUUAUAUGAAGCUGGCAUCAGAAGUAACCAGGUUCUGAUCCUCCCUGUGUUGAGUUCCAGCUAAUAUCACUCUAGGAUCAGUGCAAUGAAUGGUUUCUGUGAAAUCCAUCUUCAUCUCCUUUCGUUCCAAAAAACUAUCCUGUUAUCUAAGGAAGCUCCCAACUGCAAUCCACUCCUCCGUAUUUUUUGGGUCCCGGAAGAUAGAACUCUUUUUCAGUGUACAUUCUAUUUUCGGUAUAAUUAACAUACAUUAUGAAAAUCUAAGAAUGAGGCCCCCUCCCCCCGAGAGAGGCGACGCCCAUGGUGACACCCCGCCCGUACACCAACCUCGUCCCAGACCCCCCACCCCAGUAACCUCCACCAACCAACCGGCCCCAGAUCCGAGCGCAUCUGUAGAAGACCUCCAAGCUCGUACUAGCCGUGUCGUGAGGGAGCAAGAGAAGGAGGAGAUCGAGUUCACUCAGAAGAAGGUCCAAGAUCCAGAUCCCAUCGGUGAGGUCGCAGUACAGGAGCAGUUAUCGCCGGAAGAUCGACAGUCUGGCCAAGCUAUGCAUACCCAGAGGCUAGAGGCAGCGACGGAGGCCAGCAUCCUCCCGGAUCUCGUCCAAGAUUUGCGAGCACAAGCUAGCCUUAAGUCGACGCGGCUGGAAACAGGCAUUGAAUGCGACGAGGCAAAUCACACGCCAAGCACAAGCAUGCCAGUGAGGCUGGCGAGGGGCUCGACGAGGAAGAAGAAGACCGGUGGUUCGCGCCCUCCUCCAACGGCUUGUCAAGCAAGAGAAUCCACAAAAUCUGCCGCACAGCAGAGUUUUUGAGCCUGUAAAGCAGAAGCUCACCAGCGCAGUGAAAGGAAAAGGAGCAGGGACAGAACGGCAACCAUGCCAGCCAUCAAAUCUGCAUCAGAGAAGGGAGCAGAGCAUUUCAACAAGCAGCUGGCAAAAGCAGCGGGGUCAAUGCUUGAGAGAAGGGGAGGUGGGUAACCUUCAAUUCCCCUCUCCUCCAUUCAGGUCCAGCUCAAGGAAUAGACAGCAAUGACAUCAGCAACAAGAUCCGACCAUGGACAAAUCUUCAAGGACACAACACACUGCACUGCAGUCAGAGACCUGGAUUGAUGAACACGGCUUCCAAGUGGUAAAACCAGCAUAUUGGUGGCGAAGGACUGGAGACCAUUCAAGAGAAGAUUCAAGGCUUCACCAACCGGACAUGGAAGAGCAUAGGAGGAAGAGGUACAGGGAACAUGUCAGGGGAAAAUGUCUCAAUUGUUUCUCCACAGAACACAAAGCAGCUGAAUGCAAGCAACGCACUAAAUGCUGAAGAUGUCUGCAGACGGGGCACAAGGCCCUCGCCUGCCCAACCUGGAGAGACCAUGUUAAAAGGCCACCACCGGAGACUUAUUCUCAUUCUUGUCAAACCAAGACCAUCCCCACCACCACAUCUUUCCCCCCACUCCUGCUGGCCGGACCGUCUGCACGGCCGGCCGUUUCUACCUUCGGGCAGCAAAGGGCGAGGCAGCUCCCAUGGCGACAUACCCGGGUGACCCGCGUGCCCGCCCAGAAUACGCGGUCUGUGCGCUCUCAGCGACUGGGCACAUCAAGCGCAAGCAGGAGUCCAUGAUCGGCAAGACAGCAGUCUGUUGGCUCAACGGCAACAGCCACGACAUGGAGAUAUGCCACGUCGCUGAUGCCCUUGAAGAACAGCUCCUCAUCAGCCGCCAUGAAGUGCGCGUCGUCAAGCACUUCCCCGAGCAAUAUCUGGUGUUCUUCACCGACUGCCGAGCAUACCAUCGCGCUAUCGACCAGUGGGGCGUCCACAAAUGAGGAAGAGUCUUCAACUUCGAGCCAUGGACAGAGCGUUGGAACGUCGUGGAGAGCAAGCUAGAGUUCCGGGUCAGGCUGCGCAUUGAGGGAGUGGCGCUGCUGCAUGCCUGGUCCGAGGAGGUGGCGGCCCAAGUCAUUGGCCAAUACUGCGCCAUCCACUACGUUGAGGAACACGCACGCCAGUAGGAGUGCACACGAACCUACGAUCUGUGGGCGUGGUGCUCCAACCCCCAAGAUCCCUAAGAAGUUGCUGCUCACCAUCACCGACCCUGACAGGGAGCAGCCGGCAAUCGACAUCCCGCGGCAGCUCGUCAACCCCAACCACGACACACCUGAUGACAUCAAGGGCGCGUACAACUACAAGCUGCACAUCCACCUCGACGUGGUCGAGGACCUCUCCUUCCUCAGAGGGAGGGACGGAGGGGACGGAUAGCACAACAGGAGGCCAUGCCGUGAGUUCCUCUGAAACUACGGGGCACCGGACUCCCAGGGGGAACGGCGCAGUGACCAGUACCAUGAUAACUUUGCAAGCCGCGACUACCACCCACGCCGUGACAGAGACGACCAUGACGACCAGCACCAUCGAGGCACAAGGCGCCACCGUAGUGCCUCUUCCUGGGGGCGAGUGACGCGCUGCCGCGGAGCCAUGGAGGACUGCUACAGCUCCACACACCGCAACGGCAACUAGGUACACUCGGGUCGCCACAACAGAGUCCAGAACAACACAGCUGGCCAGGACAACAAAAGCCAUUCUCUGAUGGCUUGGCGCAAGAAGAGCACAGGAGGCAAGAAGGUCUCCUUUGCAAAUCCUCUGGUGCAGAUCAUGGGUGAGUUUGAGUUUGACCCUAGUUGCUAUCAUUUCCCAGCGCCUUCGAAUUCUGACUUGGUGGGUGAGUGGUUUGACCCCAUGAGGGAAGAGAUGCUCAUCCCUAAUAUUUUUGUAGGCGACCCAGGCAAGGAGGAUCGUAUCCUGAACAUGCUGCACUCGGCAGUGGGAUGGACCCCGGUUGCUUCACCAAGGAGUGCUCCGGAGGAAGGCGAGCUGCCGGAGCCAGUGACCGAGCUGCAGGAACCAGAAGGGCACAACAUGCAUUCGCCAAUCACCAACAAGCAGUCACAGGUCUGUCUGGUUUCUACUCCUCUAGAUGCAUCAGUGAGGCACACACAACAAGCUCAAAUUUCAGAAACUGUCAACACGGAAAACACUAGCUCAUCGCCUUUUGCACAGUACACCAACAGAGUAGAGCCCCCUAAUGUCAACAGAGAAGAGGUGAACGGUAGCAACAUCAUUAGUGAAAAUAACAACAACAUAGCAGCACCGCACAACACCGUAGCUACUUCAGUUAUAUGCAAUGAUCAAGAUAUGGUAGCCACUUCUGUUGAAAAUGGGGAGGGUAACAUAGAGGUCGGUGAGGGUCCUAAAUUUGACGACCUUUCAGCUUUCAUUGAUUUCAUAGCCUGCAAGCCAAAUGCGCAUAUUGUUUGCACUCCACCCAGAGCAAACCCCAUCACAUCAGGCAACGAAAAUCAGGGCCAAAACACAGCACAAAGAAAAAGCUCUAGGCUAGCGGAUAAAGCUAAGCUAAACCCGGGCAAGGACAGCACCCAACUUGCCCAAAAAGUCCUUAGUAAUAAGCUUGGGGAGCUGUCUCCAAAGUCGAAAGUUAAUUCUAAUGCUGAGGUUGAUCAUUUGGUGCAGCACCUUCCAAAGCCACUGACGGACCUGAAGAUGAUGGCCAUCAAAACCUUGGUGGAGCAGGGAAACCAGGCCAAGCACAAGAACAUGAAGAGGAGCAAGAUCACUCCAUCAGCAAUUGGAGAGAUGGAGGCCCAAGUGGCCUGAGGGAUAACCAUCCAGGGAGGAAGCGUUUCAGUGGUUUUUACUUCCCUAAUGUUAGGCAUAAAAUAAUUGAACUUAAACUUAGUCGAAUCUGUAUCUUUAAAUGGGCCAACAAUUAGGCCCUGCGACUUCAGCGGUGCUUUGUAUCGGGCAGAAUGCCCAGCAUCGACGUCCACGAAGCUCGCCAAGCUCUCCUCGAGGCAAUGCUUUAGUGAAAAAACAAGUCUCCUGGGACUUCUCAGCUUUGUAUCAGGACCAUGCGCCAAGCAAUGUUGUCCGCAGGUUGACGCUUUCCAUGAGUCUACUAUUAGUUGUGCACCUCUGAUCCAUGUCACAAAAGGAUUGUAAUGUGUUGUGUUGGAAUGUUCGUGGGCUUAAUGUGGCAGCUAGGAGAGCAAGUGUACGAAGCACGAUUCGUUCAUCCGGAGCAACGAUAGUAUGUCUGCAAGAGACCAAAAUAGCACACUGGACAUCUAAACUCGUGGCAGACACCCUGGGCAAUAAUUUUGCAAAGAACUUUGCUGUGUUACCAGCCCUUGGCACAAGAGGAGGCAUCCUUAUAGCGACAACGGUGAACCAUUUUGAUAUGCACAACAUCCACACCAUCGAUCACACAGUAUCCACAACAAUCACUAUGAAAGUAGACAAAAAAAUCUUGGACACUCACUUGCGUCUAUGGCCCUCAGGAUGAACACGACAAGCUACUAUUUCUAGAGGAACUGAAGAGCCUAAAAGAACAAGUUCUCACGGAAUGGCUCAUAGUUUGUGACUUUAACCUUAUAUAUAAGGCAGAGGACAAAAGUAACAAUAGGCUCAACAGAAACUUGAUGAAUCGUUUCAAGCAGGCAAUUGACAAGAACCAACUGAUGGAAAUCGACCUCCACGGAUGGUGUUUCACCUGGAGCAACGAACAAGAUCACCCAACAUUCACAAGGAUAGACAGGUUCUUCGGUACACCAGAAUGGCAUCUUCUCUUCCCAAACCUUGACUUGCAAGCCUUGCCAACCAUGGGCUCAGAUCACUGCCCAUUAUUUUUAACAGGUGACGUAGAGAGACAGAACUAUAUGGGCUUUCACUUUGAAUCUUAUUGGGUGAACAUGCCAGGUUUCUUAGAGACUAUACAAGAAGUCUGGAGCCAGCCAGUGCAUACUCAAGAUGCCAUACUGCGUAUGCAUGUCAAACUCAUUCGCACAGCAAAGGCACUUAAAUUGUGGAAGAGAAAAAACCUUGGCAAUCUAGCCCUUAGACUGGCAAUAGCCAAUGAGGUGCUAUGCUUCUUGGAUGCAGCUCAGGAACAAAGAGCCCUUACAACAGAGGAAUUAGAAUUUCAACGAUACCUAAAAGCGAAGUCGGUGGGCUUAGCAACGGUUCAGAGAGCCCGUGCAAGACAACACUCCCGGCUCACAUGGAUGCGAAAAGGAGACGCAUGCACACGCCUGUUUAUGCUGCAUGCUAACAACACAAGAAGAAAUCUACACAUCCCGUCCUUAACCACCGUAAAUGGAACAACAAUCAACAACCACCAGCAAAAAGAGGAAAUAAUAUACGAUCACUUCGUAAACCUGUUGGGCAAAACACAAGAGAGAUCCCUCAGCCUAAACUGGACAAAUCUCGGAUGUCAUCCACAUGACUUGACCGACCUGGAAGCACCAUUUGAGGCAGAAGAAAUAAAAAAGGUCGUCAUGCACUUACCAGCAUAAAAAUCACCUAGCCCGGAUGGAUUUAUUGGUCUAUUCUAUAAGAAGUGUUGGGAUGUGAUCGGAGAGGAUCUGAUCCAAGCUCUUCAUGCCUUCCACUCCCUUAGGACCAGACGCAUGGAAUUGAUUAACGAGGCCAAUAUCAUUUUGCUGCCAAAGAAAGAAGGAGCAACCAUGGUUGCAGAUUUCCGACCCAUCACUCUCAUUAAUAGUCUAGCCAAGAUCAUAACAAAGGUGCUAGUAGAUAGGUUGGCUCCGAGACUGAAUGAGCUAGUUUCCGGAUGUCAGAACACCUUCAUCAAAAAAAGAUGCAUUCAUGACAACUUCGUCUACGUACAUAGUGUAAUCAAGGCGUUGCACAAAUCAAAGAGACCGGCACUCUUUGUAAAACUCGAUAUCUCAAAAGCAUUUCAUUCGCUUAAUUGGGUAUUUCUCAUCGAAACAUUACAGGCCCUAGGUUUUGGCCAAAAAUGAGAGAUUGGAUUACAACACUAUUAGCCACCUCAUCAUCCAAGGUGCUACUUAACGGGAGACCUAGGAAAAAAUUGAAGCAUGCUAGAGGCCUCCGUCAAGGAGACCCACUAUCACCCAUGUUGUUCAUCCUUGCCAUUGACCCACUCCAUAAAAUGGUGGAACUAGUAGCCGGCAACAACAUCAUAAGACCAAUCCUCCCCAGAGCGGCAAAGCUACGAUGCUCCCUUUAUGCAAAUGAUGCAGCUAUUUUUACAAACCCAGACAGAGAAGAACUACAACGUAUCGGACAGUUGUUACAUAUCUUUGGAGAAUGUUCAGGACUCAAGAUAAAUAUGACUAAAACGGAAAUAUUCCCUAUCCGGUGUACCAAUGAAACCAUCUUAGAAGCUCUAGAGCACUUCUCGGGAAAAAUUUCCUCCUUCCCUGGAAAAUAUUUGGGCUUGCCUCUUCACAUGCGCAAACUCCGAAGGGUGGACGUCCAACCAUUAAUUGACAAGAUCGGUGGAAGGCUUCCUGGAUGGAAAGGUAAAAUGUUAUCGUCGGCCGGGAGAGAAACACUGGUGAAGAGUGUAUUAACAUCACAACCAAUAUAUCACCUCACAGUUUUCCCUACUCAAAAAUGGCUGAUCAAACAGAUUGAUCACCUACGUCGCAGUUUCCUUUAGAAAGGAGAGGAACCAAAAAAGGUCAAUGGAGGACACUACUUGAUUAAAUGGCCAACAGUAUGCACGCCUAAGGACAUGGGAGGGCUCGGGAUUCUCAACCUCGAGAGACUUGCGAGGGCUCUAAGAAUGAGAUGGUGCUGGUUCCAGUGGAAGUAUAGUGAGAUACCUUGGGUAGGACUUGAUAUCCCGUGCGAUAAGAAUGAUAAAGACCUAUUCUAUGCGUCAACAGUAGUAAUGGUGGGCAAUGGAAAGAAAGCAAACUACUGGAUAGCGCAGGUUUACCCACUCAUGACAGGAGAGGAAAUCAGAGAGUAUGUGCAGCUAUUUGAGGAAAUAAACAUGCUACAACGUGACACUAAUGCGGAGGAUGAAAUAUCAUGGAGGUGGACGCAGGACGGGGAGUAUACCACAAAGAGUGUAUACCGUAUACAAUUCCAAGGCCAACUGAAGAAGUUGAGUAUCACCUCAAUAUGGAAAGCUAGAACUGAACCAAAAUGCCGGAUCUUUGCCUGGCUUCUCCUGCAUAGGAAAAUCUUAAUAGCAGACAACUUGGAAAAGCUGGGGUGGCCUAAUGACCCUCAGUGCAAGCUAUGCAAUUCGGACCUGGAGACACCCACACACCUGUGCAAAGACUGCCCUUACACAACGGCAGUCUGUGACCGGCUGCAGGGAUGGUUUUCUCUUAACCACUUACCCCCAGGCAACACAUCGCUUUCGAUCCACAAGUGGUGGAAGAAAUGUAGGAGCAUGAUCGACAAAAGGAACAAAACUUUCUUUGACGGCCUCAUCAUAUAUUUCUAGUGGAACAUUUGGAAAGAGCGCAACAGACGAAUCUUUAAUCACGAAACCAAACUGGUGGAAGACGUCGCGUUCUCUAUCAAAGAAGACAUCCAACAGUUCCAGUUCGCCAAUAAAACGCAUGAAGCUCCCGCGGUUGAGCCAACCUAGCAGCAUUUUUCAUCUUUUAAAGUGGGGUUUUGAAGUGGAGCUCGUAGUUGUUGUUGUUUUUUCCUUUCUCCCUAGGGAGUGCUAUUUAGUUGGUGCAGUGAGAGCCAUGUACAUAGAGUUAUUUUUUGUUUUAUUUUCUUGUCUUGUUUGGUUUUACCUCUUCUAAUAAAAAUUCGGCAAAGCUUUUGCCGUCCGUUAAAGAAAACAUACAUUAUGAUAAUUUUAUAAAUUUUAAUGGAGACGGGGAUGCAUAUGAUAUACUCCCUCCAUCUAUAUUUAUAAGGCGUGGAAGGACUUAGCACGGUCUUCCAAAUAACACUUUGACCCUUUAUUUAUCUUAUAUUAUAGUAUUUAUAGUUAUAAACUUAUAAUCAUCGUAGAGUAUAUUUGAUUACGAAUCCAACUAUAUAAAUUUUGAAUUAUAAAAAUAAAAAAAUAAUAGUUAAAUUAUUGGUCAAAAAUUGUAAAGUUUAAAUCUUGAUAUGCGUGUGCGCCUUAUAAAUAAAAACGGAUGGAGCAUAUCCCCCAAAUGUUUCUAUAUAUUGUGGAACUCAACUUAACUGAAGGAUAUAAAGACAAGAUUUUCAUAGGAAAUCGAACCAUUUUAAGAGGCGGUUCACACGAGGGAUCUCCUAGGAUAAUGCUAUUUGUGCACAACCAUACCCUUACAUGAACCGUCUCUGGAACCAGAAAUCAUUCCGUUUUCACUUACGGCAGACACGAGUGUAAUGGAGCCGUACAGGUGCAGGAGGGCGAUCCCCAUCUAGACUUUAAUUUGGCCAUGUGGAAGUAGGACACACUAUCUCUAGCACCAGCACCAUGUGUAGUUGGUCCCCCGUGUAUGCAUCAAUGCUGCACCUAUCGACUGUGACCUGGCACCUAACCGGACAGUUGGUUACGGUAGCCAUUCUUGUGAUUUCACAACUCAAAGGCAUCGUUUAUCCUCCCUCUCCCUGCUGCUGCUCAUCCUCCCUUCACUGAACUACUUGUUGCAAUCAGAAGAAAGAUCAAUCGAGUUGAAGAGACAGAUCGGAAGCUAGUCAACGUUGAUUGGUUCGUGAGUGAUGUUAUGAUCCGUCCCUCUGUUAUAACCAUCCAACCCAGCUGGUGCAGAAGCUAAUUACCUGAAGCAAUAUAUUUGUAGAAACGAAUAGUAAUAUAUUUAUAGAAACGAAUAGUACUGGUUAGUUCACUUAUUUCUUUGCUCAAACUUAGCCGUUUGGCAAGGCUUCGUCUUGGGUUAAAAUGACUCCGGAGCUUCGGCUCAUCAAGCAACUUUUUAUAUCUCUAGCUCAUCCUAUUAAAAAAUAUUUGGUAAAAUGAUUUCUCCAAAUUAGUUUGAGGUUGAUAGAAAGAUAAAAUGUCCAAAAUACUCUAAGAACAUAUAUUUUUCAUUCCAUUUUUUUCUUUUCCAUCAUUCUUUUAUUCCAUCUACUAUUUUUUCCUUACGCUUUUUUUUUUGGCCAGGUGUGCCUUAUCCGCUUCGGCCCUUCCCACCAUGCCUUUUUUCCUAUUUCUUUUCUUGCCGAGCGUGCUUUAUCUCCUUCGUUGACUUCAGUAGCACCUGUUGCGUUCGAUGCUCGCGCGGCAGCCCGGGGACCUCGACCUCGCCCGCCUAGGAGCUCCAGCAGCCGGUCCGCUCCGCCGCCGGUGCGGCAACCACGCCGUCGUCAGACCGCCUCACGCGGCCACCGGUCGUCCCCGCGAUACACCGCCGCCGGUGCGCCGUGCGCGGCGGCGCUGUCCCGCCGCUCCGCCGCCUACCGUCGGCCUGCGCCACCACCAGCGCACCGGCAGCACCGCGAGCUGCCGCGCCGCCCCGACAUUGGUCCUUCCCGAGCCCGGUGUCGUCACCAGCGUCGCGGAGAGAAGGUAAGGGGAGUGGCAAUUUUGCAGUAGUUUUGACGAACUUGAGGAGCAAAGUUAAAGCACAUGGCUGUGGGGAAGAGGAGAAGCGGGGAAAGCUACUUUUUAUGACUCACGCUGCUCAGUUCGAUUUGAUGAUUGGCUUCACACCGGCUUUUCCUGUGAAGCCCUUUUCAACUCACCCGUUUGGUAGGGUUUGGCCUGAAGCCGGUUCAUAAGCGGGAGCCAGAGCCCUACCAAAACUAUUUGGUGAGACUAUGAGCCGUUUGGUUCUCUGACUUAUUUUUAGCACAUGUCACAUUGAAUGUUUAGAUACUAAUUAGGAGUAUUUAACGUAGACUAUUUACAAAACCAUUACACAGCUGGAGGCUAAAUGGCGAGACGAAUCUAUUAAGCCUAAUUAGUCCAUAAUUUGACAAUGUGAUGCUACAUUAAAUAUUUGCUAAUGAUGGAUUAAUUAGGCUUACUAGAUUCAUCUCGUCGUUUAGCCUCUAUCUGUGCAAUUAGUUUUAUAAUUAACUCAUAUUUAGUCCUCCUAAUUAGCCUCCAAAUAUUCGAUGUGACACGGACUAAACUUUAGCUCAAGGAACCAAACCUCGCAUAAAUUAGCUGCUUAUUCUGCUGGUUGCAUGCAGGAGAUCGAGCUGCGGGCACACGGCCGGAUCGGAGGAGGACAUAUCAGCCGGGUUCCUGUUGGUUGUGUACUUGUGUUCCUGCCAGCGGAGAAGCAACCAUGGCCGAGUUAGUGAUCGGGCCACUGAUCUCCAUGGUGAAGGAGAAGGCAUCCAGCUACCUGCUGGACCAAUACAAGGUGAUGGAAGGCAUGGAGGAGCAGCGCAAGACCCUGGAGCGCAUGCUGCCAGCAAUCCUGCAAAUCAUCCAGGAUGCGGAGGAGAAAGGAGCCUCCCGACGAGGAGUAGCAGCUUGGCUCAAACACCUCAAGACAGCAGCCUAUGAGGCCAACGACGUCUUUGAUGAGUUCAAGUACGAGGCGCUUCGGCGAGAAGCCAAGAAGAAGGGCCACCACAGCAAGCUUGGAGUGGAGGUAGCAAGACUCCUAGUCCCCACUCGUAAUCCCAUUGUAUUCCGUUACAGGAUGGGCAAGAAGCUACGCAAGAUUGUGCAGACCAUCGAGGCCUUGGUCACCGAGAUGAAUACAUUUGGUUUCAGGCACUUGCAGCAAGCAAAGCCAUCAAGGCAGUGGCGACAGACAGAUUCCAUAAUCAUUGACUCCGACAGAGAUAUUCUUAGCAGAUCUAGAGAUCGGGAGAAGAAGAAAAUCGUGGGGAUGCUCCUUGAUCAAGCUAGCAACAUGGAUCUCAUGGUUCUUCCAAUUGUUGGGAUGGGUGGGAUGGGCAAGACCACCUUUGUGCAACUCAUUUACAAUGACCCUGCAAUCGAGAAGCACUUUGAGUUUCGGAGGUGGUGCUGCGUAUCAGAUGAUUUCGAUGCAAGUACCAUUGCAAGCAACAUCUGCCAGACCAACGAGAAAGGACGUGAAAAAUCAUUGCAGGAGCUCCAGAGUAUAAUAAUUGGAAAAAGGUACCUCAUUGCGCUAGCUGAUGUAUGGAAUCGGGAUGCUGCUAAGUGGGGAAAACUAAAGACCUGCCUUAAGCAAGGUGGCAAGGGCAGUGCAGUACUAACAACAACUUGUGAUGCAGAAGUGGCUUGCAUUAUGACCAUGGGUGUAGCUGAAGCCCAUAAUAUCGAGAAUCUGAGUGACAAGCAUUUAAAGGAAAUUGUCCAAAGCAGAGCAUUCAGCUUGCAAAAUCCAAAUAUUGAAGAGCAAGAUGGCAUUCUCAGUGGAUUUGUUCGUCGAUGCGUUGGAUCUCCCUUGGCUGCCAAAGCCUUUGGCUCUAUGUUGAGUAACAGGACUAGUAUAAAUGAAUGGAAGGAUGUAUUAGCUAAAAGUAACAUUUACCGAUCCUCAAGCUCAGCUUUGAUGACCUAUCCUCAGAUAUGAAGCAAUGCUUUGCAUUUUGUGCUUUAUUUCCUAAAGAUUAUGAGAUCGAUGUGGACCUCUUGAUUCAACUGUGGAUGGCACAUGACUUCAUACCUGUGCAGGAGGAUGACAAUCCAGAAACCGUAGGAAAAUAUAUUUUCGAGGAGCUAACUCAGAGGUCAUUCUUUCAAGAGGUCAGGCAAACACAUCCAAAGUGCUAUUAUGGAAGUCUUCGUAAGUCAACCAUAUGCAAGAUACAUGAUCUCAUGCAUGACAUUGCUCUAUCUGUUCUGGGGAAAGAAUGUGUCACUAUAGUUGGUAAGCCGAGCAUCAACAAGGUGUUGCUAAAUCCGACCCGCCACGUCUUCUUAUCAACAAGGUGUUCUCAUUUCUGGAAAGAACAGGUUACAAGUCUACUGGAUCAUCUAUUGAAGAAACAAACUGCAAUGGUCCACACGUUGUUUUUUACAGAUUAUUCUGACCCCCUUGAUAUAUCAAAGUACACUUCACUGCGAGCAUUACACCUUCCAGCAUAUAUAUUCUCAUGUGUAGGACAGGAGCAGCUUACAAGACACAUACAACACCUAAGGUAUCUUAAUCUGUCGUCACAUGAGUUCGAGAAACUUCCUGAAGGUAUAAGCAUUAUGUAUAAUCUACAAACGUCGUCACAUGUUCAGGACAGGAACAACUUACAAGACACAUACAACACCUAAGGUAUCUUAAUCUCCCACCUUCCCUCAAACAAUUAGGCAUCUGCAGCUGUGAGAAGCUCUGCUCUGUGUCAGGAGACCUGCGUGCACUCGAGGACCUACAUAUUUCUGACUGCAAUAAGUUACAGUCAGUCAAUUCCUUGGGAGACCACCCAUCAUUAGAAACACUGAUUCUUUCUCGCUGCCGAUGCCUUGCAUCUUUAGGAUGUGAUGGUGGUCGUGGGAGUUACUCUGCUCUUCAGAGCCGUAAGAUUGUAGACUGCCCAGCCUUAGACAUGAAGCAGUUUUACUAACGCCAUCAAACAGCUGCUUGACAGCUUUGAAAAUGAAGACGUAUCACACGUUCAUUCAAGCAGCUCUGAUGAAGGUAUACGACCUUUCACUUUCCUCUUAUUCAAUUUGUUUCCUUCAAAUUUCCCUGCUUUGCAUGCCCUCCUAUUUUGUUGACGAACUGGUUGAUAGAUGGGUUUGCGGGGUGGGAUUUUGGGGUUUCAUCUUCAUUCCGGCUUUUAGACGGUCCUUUCUCACUGAUGUAAACCCACAUAUUGUUGGUUUAUACGGCUAUUAAUUGGUUUUCAGUCUUGGAUGCAGUUGACGUGCAUAGAGAAAUUCUGGAAAUAUGUGCUACCCCUUGGUGUUGAGAUCAGCUGAUGCGGAAUCAUUGAAGUACUACUGAAACGACAUCCUGAUCGGUCUCAGUUUUGGAGAGCAAUUUGUGGUGAAUGGAAGCAGUCCCAAGGCUUGAAGAACUCAUGGAGUCGUGCUUCAAGAACUCAUGGAGUCGUGCUGUACCAUUCUCCACUGCUAGGGCCUAAACUAGGUACGUGGAAGGCGCACUGUGUUUUGUCAACAACACAAUUCCUUUAUAUAAGUUGGGAUAGUAAAAAACCAUGCCUUCGUCUGUGUUAAUCAAAUCUCAUUUAGCACAUAUAUGGGGGACGUGUUGUUAACUUGUUACCCCCAUGCUUUUCAUUUUUUCUGUGCAGACAUCACCCAUUUGUCCUUAAAUUAAAGCAUAAAGGAGGGGCACUCACUUGUACACAUGUUCUUAAGCACUGCAACGACUGCCAUUUGUAUACUCAGCUUCAUUGCAAGCCUUUGCUAAUGACGACAGGCCUUCAGUGGAUGACAAAAACGACCAAGUUUGUUUUCACGGCACUACUAGCUGCUGGUAUUCUCUCGUCACUAAUGUACAGAACUCCAUUCUGUCAUCCAUCAAAGCUGUGGACAAUAUGAUGUCACUCUUGUUUUAAACGAAACCGGCAGGAGAGCUGCCCCGCUAUAUUAAAAAGAAGGGAUGCCCGAAGGGCCAGAGAAGUGUACAUGAAAAAGAGUGUUAAAACCCCUUGACAAGGAAGAAAAAACUAUACACACUAAAAAGAGAAACGGUGCACAAAAACACCCUCAAGAAAGCUGCAAUAAACAUGCCAGGUGCUUAGCCCUGACCGCCACCCAAGAAGCGGCCUCCCCUUUUAUCUUUGAGAAAACUUGUAAUGAAGAGGAUUCUUUGUGGUCGAAAAUUCUUGCAUUCCUUUCAAUCCAAAGUUCCUAACAGACCAAAAUGAUUAGGCUCCUCAGCCCACUCCUAUCGACGCUUGGUGUCCUUACCCGCGCUGUCCACCACUCAUGCACCAAAGUGCACGGCUCCUAGUUUUAAGACCUUCAUUUGCUACCCAUGCAGCGAUCGCAUCCCAAAUGCGCCUGGUAAACCGGCAGUCAGUUAGGAGAUGCAUUUCAGACUCUUGAACCGUGCAACACAAAGCGCAUGUGUCAUUGUGAGGCCAAUUUCAUUUUGCUAACCUAUCUGACGACGUCCAUAUCCAAUUUUGGAUUACCAACCACCUGGAAAAUUUGCACUUCGGGAGCACCCACGGCUUCCACAUGAUCGCUUUGAAGUUUGUGAAGGUGGAGCCGACACGGUGUAUUGAUUAUUCUCUGUUAUUUUCCAUACAAUGUUGUCUGGGUUGUCUGGUAUGAGUUGAACCUAGACUACCACUGUCCACAAAUUGCAGAACUCCAUAAAAUACCCCAAUGCUAAAUUUACACUCGAUCGGACGUUCAUAUCGUCGUGGUCGACGUGCACCAGUCCUCCCAUCAGCCCAUCACGUGGGCUCCACUCCACUUUUCCCCUCGCGCUCUCUCCCCCCUCUCCAUUCCACUUCUCAUCCUUCUCUUUCUCGAUUUCUCCACGAGAUCCACCUAAGCAACUCUGCGCAUGGAGCUGUUUCGCCUAGCGUUGAGCACAACGGUGGCAGGCCUAGUGGCGGGCGGGGAAAGCAGCGAGGCUCCGCCUUGCAGCACACGGUGGCGCUCGAGAUCAUCCGACGAGGCACGGAUGUGGGCCUGUCGGUGCGCGGGGGAAGGAUCACUAGGACCAUCGAGGGCACCUCCGCGCCCCGACGGUGAGUAGCCGACGGAUCCUGGCGAGCUCUGCGGGGGUCGCGGUCGACAGCGAUCUGUUCAUUUUUUCCCUUCCUUUUUUCUCUUCUACUUUUUGUCUCAAAAUCUUUUGUCUGUAUAAAGUUUUUGUUUCCAUUUUUUUAUUUCUUUGCAUCGUGAAUUUUUUCUCCAUUAUUUUGCUUCAAAACUUUGUGGACAAAAUUUCUUUUUCAAAACUUUUCCAAAAAUUUUGUCUCAAUUUUUAUUUUCUGAGUUUUGUUCCCAAAAUCUUGCAAAAUUUUUCCUCCAAAUUUUUGUUCGCAAACUUUUGUUUCCAAGUUUUUCAAAAAAAUUAUCCUCAAACUUUUGUUUUCCAACUUUUUUUAAAAAAAAAUUCUCAUUUUUGUUUAAUGAGACGGGAAUCGCACGUGGGAAGCCGUUCCGACGUGUGGUCGGAAAUCGAUCGCACGGAAGGCUCCCACUAGUCGCGUGUAAACUUGCGUCCCCCAUAAAAUAAAUCUGUGUGAGGCUCGAGGCUGGAGGCCUAAUAAGGCCAGCUACAAGACUAUGCUUGAUAGUAGAGAGAAGUUUUGGUUGCUAGCAGUCGAUGCUGAGUUAGAGCCCCAAUGCUUGGUUAGUAAAAUAUUGCUCCAUAGCAGGAAACAGGCGUCGCUGGGCAAAGAGAAGUGCAGGAGAACCAAAAGGAAAUAGGUACAACUAGCUAAAGAAGCCAGCAGAGAGUAUUUAUGUAAGGUUUCUUAAUUUAUAGGAACCAAAGCACACUCAAACCAUAUUCCAGAAUCUUAUUACAUGCAGAACCUGAAGUAAGGGAGAUUGAAACAUAGGGCACGCAUGCAUGCCUUUAAUUACACUACUACCAGAAAUUAAAAUACGCUGCUGCCAGAAGUGCUAUAUAUUGAGAGGUAGCUGGUGCAGUGUCACGCCAACAUAUGACGCAUGGUAAUGACGGGGAGGACCUGGACGUAGUACUCGAUCCUGUAGGCAACCUUGAGUAUGAGAUCGGGUUGCUGCCAAUCGUAGCCGCCGUCGACGCCGCAGAGGAAGGUCUGCGCGAUCCUGUAGUCGAUCUUGUGCUGCUGGUUGUGCAACACGAUCUUGUACGCAUCUCGGAGAUGUUCUUUCAGACUGCUCACCAUCGACCUGGUGUUCUGGUCCCGCGACAGCUUCCAGGACUGGGGCUGCUGCAUCAGGUCGGCUAUCUGCUGUACGAAUUGUACCAGCUGCUGGAUCUCCCCCCUGUUCUGCCUCAGCGCCUUCGCCUCCUGCACGAUAGAAAGUGCGAGGCGCACGACCUCAUCAUGGUCGCCGGUUCGAGCCCCCUGCUGGUCUCCACGUUCUCCUGGACCUACCGACAACGUGCUGCUCCUCACUGCAUUCACGUCCCUGCGCAUGCAUGCCGAUCAUCUCUGGUUAAAUUUUUCGUUAUUUACGUACUCCAUAUAGGAAGUACUAUAUGAAUGUUUUAUAUAUCAGCACACGAUGAAUACCCGUCCGUGAUGUCCCUGAUUAUCAACUCAAUCACACUUUUAGCGUCGGAUGACAUAUUGUCCAUGUUAGUCAAGUUCCUGAUAGAUGACUUCAGCUCCUCUUUUUCAGUCUGAGAGUGGUCAGAGUACAAAAAAUCCAAAGCUUCCAUGCAUGUUAAAUAUUCAAUAAGACAUGCAUAUAGUAUGAAUAUAGUCAUAAUGAUCAUGUCAUGCAUAAGCUUGGUCAAAAACUAUUAAUAUAUCGCAAAAUCAGGCAACAAUGUUAAUCUACCGCUCCCUCCAUUCUCUUUAGAUAUUAAUCCUUUUCGAACACUAGUACAGUCUAGUAUUGUGCACCUAAAAUAGUCCAACGUGAUGUAACAUGGUGCUGUCUAUAAAUCGUCAGUUUAUGUUUUGAACUUUACUACCUUUUAUUUUUUUAGAUAAUGGAUAAAUAUCCGGCUUCACCCUCCUCUUUCGACCAGGCGGAUCAGUCCACAAUUAUUACAAAAGAAAUGAAUUCACACUAUGGUUUCGACCAAUCAAACCGACUCAAAGAAAUCAAUUCUGGAAUCAAAAGGUAGCUUGUCACUACCUUUUAUUUAUGUUGCAUUGUUCAUUGCCACAAAUUAUUUGCAAAUAUGAAUCUUAUAAUGCUAAACUUUUAUGGUACAAUCUACGUACAGUUUCUUUCUCAAGUUUGCUGUAGUUGUUUGCCGUUGAGUAAUAUGUAAUUCCGAUGGAUUCAAGAGUCUAGCUAGCUAGAUUUUGGUACCUGUGGAAGGCGCUUGCAAGCACCAUUUCGAAGCAGCUUCUCAAGCACGUUCAUGAAGAAGCGCUCCUUAUUGAUGCUUACAAUGAGGAUCAUGUUGGCAAUGUGGAACGACUCCAGGAUUUUGGAUAUCCGUGCAUCAACGGCGACGAUCUUGUUGGCUUUCUUUUUGGUUUUGAAGACAAGCGACCAAGUCCUCUUCUCCCUGCAGGACUCAACGAGCGCCUUCCCGUCGUUGAGCGCAUCUUCAAGAUGUUUCAGCAUGCUGUAGGUCACUGGGUCCGGCAUCCACUGGCUUUUCAGCUCCGUCAGGAGGAGGUUAAUCAUUUGCACGUGGUCUUUUAGCAUAGUACAUUUCUCCCUGUUGCGCUGAGCCGCCUCCGCCAGCCGAUUGAUCUGUUCCACGAUGCUCAUCAACGACGAAAUAAGCCCAAUUGCUUCGGCCACCCCAACCAUCUCGAUCGAUUGCGCUGCGCCUGUAUGCUUGCAACGUCAGAUUUGCACGUAUAUGAGUAUACAUGUCUACCCUCCGCCAUCCAAAAACAAUUGGAUGCCGACAAGUGGUAUUGACAAGUCUAUGCACAACACGCGAUGUCAUGUCAAAUUUUAGCUAAUUUUAGCUUUUCUAGAUUCAUAGAUAGUAUUAUGUAUCUAGACAUCCACUAUAUCUAGGUGCGUAACAAAAGCUAUGCAUCUAGAAAAUUCAAAAUGACCUACAAUUUGGGAGGGAGUACACCCUAAUAAAAAGAUUAAUGGUGGAGCCUGAAGCACAAUUUAUCGUAUAAAAAUAAUACUUGUAAAUAUAUAAAUUUAUUAUAAAAUAUAGAAACUCGAUUGACUAUCUUCUUAAUUAAUGGAGAAAUAUAGGCUGUGAAUUUUCAAAAGGAAAAGGAAAAAGUGUAUUUUUCAUCCUUCAAGUAUUGCAAAAGUGUAACAUUCCUCCUUCAUGUUUCAUUUGGUGCAAAUCAAGCCCUUAACUAACUAAAUCGGUUGCAUUUAUCAUCCCCACCUUAGUUUAAUAAUUGUUUAGUGUCAUAUAACAUCGCUUUAGGCCAUGUAAUCAUCUUACUAAUCAGUAUUUAGCCAUGUAUAAUAUUUAGUCAAUUGAUUUAAUAGUUUGGUGUGAAUCGGUUCCGUUAAUUUUUCCGAUAAAAUAGUUAUAUGGUAGUCAAUUUAGAGGAUUUACUUUUUUUGUGGGCUUUAUAUCUUUGACUUAACAUAUUACAUCACUAAGCAGUGAUUUAGAUGAAUACAUGGCAUAAACCUUCAUUAGAUGUUACUAAACCAAUUGAACUAACGUGAGGAUGAUACAUGCACUGAUAUAAUUAGUUAAGGGGUUAAUUUGCACCAAAUGAAACAUGAGGGAUGAAUGUCACACUUUUGCGGUACUUGAGGGAUGAAAAAUAAACUUUUUCCAAAGAAAUAACUUGAUCGAUCCUGGUCCCAACUAUUUUAUAAAUCUCUUUUAACAUGAAUUUUGUUGAGCUCGCAUGAACACAAAUUGUGGCAAAAUUAAAGAACAUCUACACCGUUCAAUAUACCUACAAUCCCAUACUGCAUGCAGCCAUUUUAUAAAUUUCUUUUGAUGUGAUUUUUUUAGUUCCUAACGCAGACUAUCCUUCAAGAGAAAAAAAUGGGCUAUGGAAUAUAUGAUUAUAUAGUACGAUAUCUCCUGUACAAUGUUAGUAUAUGAGUUGAACCGGUCUUGUACGACAAGAUGAUCCAAGCAAAUGGACUCAGUAGGUAAGGUACAGUUUUGUAGCCACACAACUUUGGUGUGCAAGGAUAAACAAACACUUCAAAUGGAUUCCGUUAAAAUAACUUGUAGGGGAUGCAAUAUGGCAGAUCUGCUGGAGAUGAUCUAAACUUACAUUCACAUAUAUAGGAUAAACGAACACUUCAAGUGUUAACCCUAGCUAAUGCUUGCAAACAGAAACAAUGGAGGUUCCUUGACAUUUGACUGGAUAGUAGUGUAUUGUAGAAAAAAGGGAAAUCAAUAACCUGCCAUACCUUCUCAAAGCUCCAACCAAGAAAUAGCGCUACCUCACCCAAUAGGCUGUGUCGCCUUGCUUCAGCACAAGGUAGCGAGCACACGGCUAUUUAUACAAAUAACAUUGUAUAAAUGAACGCAUGCAGAAAAGUAUACUUUGCCUAGGUACGCAUGGAGACUUGCUUAGAUUGACCUGGUUACCUGUACUGUACUCACUUCAUACUCUUGACAACGCAAUUCAGCUACCAAGGAGUACGACCUGCGUCGACGAGACGAAGACUUGUUUAUACUCAGGGCAACGCAAUUCAGCUACCAAGGAGUGCGACUUGCGUUGACGAGACGAAGACUUGGACCUCGUCUUCGACUGCAUGCAUGCAUUGGACUAAUCUAACCACGCGGCGACUCGCCCCGGCCCGUGAUGACCCUGUAUAUGGAAUAGUGUGCAUGGAGGAUUAUUCACUCACGCUGCGCUGCCGACAAUGAAAGUACCGCAUGCCCAAACAGUACGUUGCUCAUGGUUGAGUAAAUGUAACUAAGUACACCCAACGUCCUGAAAUAUACUUACGGUAUAUUUAAGAACGGAGCUGUACUUACGGUAAAAAAUCAUUGCUCAUGGUUGAAACUUCAAAACAGACGGUUUUUGCCCACCAGCAGCGAUAGCCGGGACCGUUUCCGCGCUCAUCGGUGCAAAUUGCGCAACUAGCAGGACGAGACAUGCACGCAAACAGCUGGUGAAACAUGCAUGCACCUAGCAUGGCUAGUCGUCGGGCAGCAACUAGCACGAGACUAUAUGUUCAUGCAAGUGUCUCAUUAAUCAUAGCGCGACCUAACACCAAAACACAUCAACCAGCAGCGUAUCUAGAUUUUCGACCUAAUGUUACUAAUACAGACUAGGCUAUCACCGUCAGCUUAUCACCACUGGUUUUCGGUGAAUCUGCGGUGAUAGAGUGUCACCGCCGGUCCAAUAUUUAGUCGUACUCAAUGUUCAUUGGUCAUUAUGUCUUUACUAGAGAACCGGGCUUCAAUCCCGACCCAUCAAUCCUGAAUGCCAAUGCUCCCGGUUCAGUGGCUACAUAUCACGUCCGGUUUCUAAACAAAACCGGUAGAUGAUCCGUGGGGCUAACAUCUCUCCUAAUCAGUGGCUCAAACCUGCUGUCAAGUCCGCUACUGCUUGCUCAUCCUCCCAUGAAGUUAAAGUGAAAUCCAGUUUGGCUUAAAUAAGAUUUAUAUUUUUUUGGCCUGUUAGCUUGAGCUUCUUCCAGCGGUUGCGGCUGUUGCUCAUCUUCAGAGUUACCAUCCUCGCUCUUCAUGUUCACCCUUCCCAGCCAUUCUCAAGUCACCCAGAGGGGGGGUACAAAGGCUCUCCGCUAGAGUUCGGAGGCCGGACAAUGCCCGUCACAUCCGCCUUCCAUGAAGGUUUUUGCUGGCAGCCAGGCAUUUCGAGGGUAACAGAUCAAGUGGUGGAAACCUUUAGUAGAAUGCUUAUCACUCAAUUGACUCACAUCUCUUUUGUUUAAGGAAACCAAGCCCACUACUACAAAAUUAAUAUCAAGAUAAUAUGUUAUAAAACUUAUUUGUGAAAACUCAAGAUAAGCAUGCACAGGAAUUUCAGGAAAGUGCCGGGUGCCUCACAACCAAGCUCAUUAAUACCAAAGAAAGAUCAACAAACAAAACAAAUGGACACAACGUUCAGAACCCAAUCAUUUGCCCACCAAGAAUGCCAUACCCACACCAGAACAAAUAAGAACAGAAGUUUAAAAGGGUAAAAAUUGGUUGAUGAUGCAUGGAACGAAACGUAUAGAAUGCUUAUUACUCAAUCGACCCACAUCUCUUUUUUUUUCUAGGAAACCAAGCUCUCAUUACUACGUUGGAACAUCUAACCAACCAAAUGGACGAAAUUGUUUAUUUGGCCUCCAAGAAUGCCAUACGACCUGAAUAACUGAAAGCGCUAACAAAGCCACUUAUUGUUGUGCAUAGCAGCUAAGCUUGACUUAUUUGCAAACGGGUGCGAAAUGCGAUACAAUAAUUCAUAGUUCUAGACGUCAUGAGCCACGCGUGGGAUAAGAAGAAGCUUCUCCUUACGGUGCACAUCAACCCCAUAUGACUCUGUCAUAUCGAUGCUUGUCGACCCUGGUGGAAGCUCGGCUUGCAGCUUGCAGCUUGUUCAUUGAUUGGGGAUUCUGCAUCAGCUCAGCCAUGGCGUAGUCGAGCGCUAUGUACGUUGUGUCUGUCCCAGCUUCGAACGUGUCCUACACGCAUGUAUCAACAAAAUUCAAUCAAACUUUAGCAAACUAGUCCAUGAAACAUGUCCUAUGUACGUCUUGUAAGGAUUAGCUUGGAAGCUUCAAAAGAAACCUUCAAUUAGUAAAAGUUUGAUUUUUUAAAAAAAUUUGAAGUUUAGUUGCAUACAUGCGGUCGGUAGAAAUGGAACUCUGCAUAUACAUACCAUCAGUAUUGCCUUGAUAUUAUCUCUGGUCAGGCCGUACUCUUGUUGAACGGAGAGCAACACGUCGAUAAAGUCCCCCUCGUCCUCACCAUCCAGCGUCUUGCUCUUGUGCUUGUCGAUGAGGCUGUCCAAAAGGUCAUCCCAUCUCUUCAUGUGCUUCACGGCCUUGGCCGACACCAAAUCAAACCUUGCCAAGCUCGGGAAGUAGUCAUCCAGGUUGAAUCCUCCCAGGAGCUUGGUGUUCGUCUCUAGCAGCUCCCGGAAGAGCUGGUUCCGGCCUUGUUCCCUGGGGAGCCUGCCCGUCAUGGCCUGGCACACAAUGUCAUUGGCGAAGAAGCCCAAGAUUUCGCUGACGUCGAUCGCCGUGCCCGCGGCGGCGGCGGCCCUCACCCUGGCUAAGACCAGCCGGACCUCCUGCUCGCGGGCGGCGCGGUAUGACCGGACCUUCGCUGCGGUGAGGAGGUGGGUGGUGAUGACCUUCCUGGCUCGGCGCCAAUACUCGCCGUAAGGCGUGAAGCUAACGUCAGUGGAGCCGUAGAAGAGGAUGUCAGCGACCACGGAGUGCGGUCGGGAGGCGAUGACGUGGUCGUGCGUGCGCAGGACAGCCUUGGCGGCGCGGGGGGAGGAGACGACGAGCGUUGGCACGGCGCCGAGGCGGAGGAGCAUCACGUCGGGCCCGUGCUUCUUGGCGAGGUCGCGGAGGGAGUGGUGGGGAAGGGAUCCGAUGAGGUGGAGGUGGCCGAUGAUCGGGAGCUUGAACGGAGGCGACGGUAGCUUCCGGAGCAGGUUCUCUGUUCUGGACCUUGGUGUUGCCAAGUGCACGGCGACGAGGAAGAGGAAGAAGAGGAGGGCUAGGGACUCUGGAGAUGCGUGUUCGUAUAGAGGUGCGCUAGCGCUGGAGCCGCCAUGGCUGAUCAACCUGCUCGUUGCAGUUUUUGUAGAGCUCGGAAGUCGUGAUCCGUCAGACAGCAAGAAGAGUAUGCUACCAUUUUUUUUCUUUUCUGCAUCACCGCCAGAUCAGAUCAGACAGGAUUUUAUGAGAGAAUCCUAUGGAAUCAUCAUCCUUUUUAGUAAACUUCACCAGACGCAGGAACGCGAGCCGAUUAAUUGGCAAGCUUUUCUCUCAGAAUAUGUGUUUGGUGCUGGAUUAAUUGGCGUGCAGGUUGAAGAAAGGCUGCUUUAUAGAUUAGCCCCCGAAGAAAAAGGAAAUUCCGACGGAAAGUUUGUGUCUUGUGGUUUUGCAAAAAGGACCCUGGAAAGGCUAGAUUCUCAAGUUCCAGUCCUACCCGAGAUCUUUUGCAAAUAUAACCCUAUAAAUUCUGUUAUUUGCAAGUACUUUUACGUGUGUCUUGCAAAUCUUUCUUGCUAGCCCCUGCCGUCUAUGGCUAAUUGCAUCUGGGUCCCUGCCACCUUGUUUGUCUCAUAACUUCUUCCUUCUAGCUCCAUUUUGAGUGAUUCUUUCGCUCACACGUUCGUCUUAACGAGUAGAUUAGUUUGGUACUGCUUUUAUGGUACUGCUUUUAAGUAAUAUUUUUGAUGAUUGGUGUACUGUUUUUAAUUAAAUGCAUUUGUUUGCUUGUAUGUGCUUGUGUGACGCGUAUAGAAGAAGCGUAGUUCGAGGAAUCCAAAGAGGAGGGAGACUGAAGACUCUGAGCAGCAGAAGGGCUUGGAGGAAGGCAAGUGUCCUUGGUCAUUCCCGUUUAUACCUAAAUGACAUGCAUUGAUUCACAAUAUUUAUUUAUCGCAAGCAUUAAUAUGAUGGGUUCCUAUUAAGGAUGAUGCCUAGUUUCUUUUGAUCAUACCUUGCAGCCAGGUUGUUCAAAUAAUCUGGAGGGUAGAUGAUGCUUAGUUUGCUCAACUGGGUUGGUAAAUAAACAAUAUGGUUAAUUUUAUUUAUUUACUCUAUGUUCCUUUAUGUUGAUUUAAUUACAAGACCAUAUGUUCUAAACGAACAUGGAGCGACCACCCAGGAAAAUAGUACAACCACAAGGACUACAUGGCUCUGGUCUUGGCUAACUAAUUAGAGGACUCUAGUGUUGGAUUGGUGUUAAGGGGGGGCAUGUCUCGCGGAACCUCGUGCAUUGGAACACACUAGGGAAGUCUUUGUUAAGGCCUCUAGCGUCCCUAUGCAAUCACACCUCGGAAGUGUGGUAUUGUGCCUACUUUUGCACAGCAUGGUUGAAUCCAAAGUUCACCUGAACUUUUAUGCGACUUGUGGGUAAAGAUGUACAACCUCUGCAAAGUGUAAAACUGUUAUAACAGCCGUGCUCACGGUCAAGAGCGGCCUGGACCCUCACAUGAUUAAUUUACUUGAAGAUGAUACUAGUGUGUUAUUUAUGUUCAUGCUUAUGGUAUAUCAAUGCUCUAUAUUAAUUGUGGGAUGGUAUAAACUUACAUUUGCUAGUGAUUAGGUGUUGAAUAAAAACUUGACCAACUAAAAGUGCUAAUCGCAGUUAACCUUGUCAGCCUUCCACCAUAUAAAGCCUUGCAUAUCAUAGAUAUUUCUCUCUUGCUGAGUACGACAUGUGCUCACGCUUGUGUUUUAUAUAUUGCAUCUACAACGUCCGGAUUGCUGCUCAGACCCGGAGAACUUUGAAGAUUACUGAAGUUUUUGGAGGAGUUCUAGGUGAGUCCACCAGUCAGCUGCCUGUGGAGUUGUUGGAGAUGCGCUGCCUAUAUUAGAGAUUUCUAUCUCAAUUCUAGUUACAUAAUUUAUGUAAUUCUCUCUCUACGCUAUAACACAGUAUUUGAUAUUUACUGAAGUCAUCGUAUGUUUGAAACUUGAUCCUGGCAUACAUAUGAUAGUCAUCUGGUUUUACAUUUAAAACCGGGUGUGACAGGAUGCUACCGAUGGCUCUGCAACUUGAUGCAAUUCAUGCACGCUGCUGGGUGGCACCCAUGGUGCGAGAUGUCCAGGAAGAGUGCAUUGGCACUGUGGCGGCGGAUCCGACCAGUAGCAGCAGCUCGCACAGGUCACGACAAUGUGCAUCAUCACAAAAAUCCGAGGCUGCCCGCGCAGGUCGAGCUUUUAUUUGCUUGGAUCGGAUAUUCCUUCCUACUAAUAUCAUGGCUAUCUGUGUGAGGCUCAUAGGCUGGAGGUCUAAGGGUAGCCAUAGACACUACUAUAGAACUGACCGAGGGCUGAUUAGGCUCAUAGGCUCAUAGGCUCAUAGGCUGGAGGUCUGAUUAGCUCAUAUUCUUUGUCUCACCCUAUGGGUAUCGUGGAGGCACGGCGCCAAGCUGGCGGCACGGUGUAGCCUCAAUUCAGAACUUUCCUAGCCAGGGCGUGGCCGAGGGCGAUUGGUUGCUCAACCUGAUGAGAACUUGGGUGGGUGCUCCUAGAUGGGAGAGAAUAGGGUGACGGAUGAGAAUGCAGAUGAGGGACGGGGCUCAGACGAGGGGUGGGUUGGAGACAUGUUUUCACUGUUGAACUCUUAGCGUCAAGAUGAGAGGUGAGAUGAGAUACCGGUAGGACCUGCUCUUACCAUGGCACUUCAGCAACCCCACCCCAACCCCGCGCGCAAGUCAAAAUUUGAGGACCAUAUGUACAAUACGUGUGCAAACAGAACCAUAAUUUUACUAGUAUCGAGGGAUUUUAGUUAUUUCUUCUAAAAAAUCUCUUGGGAAAUCGUAUUUUUGUAGUACAACAUAUAUAGAAAAUAAGUAUUACUCACAAAUAAACUGCCCUUUUCUUUAGUAUUCUUGGUUUUUGUUAUUAUUUUAUUUAAUCUUAAGAUUUAUAUAUGCAUAAAAAAGUAAUUUAGUAUCUUCAAAUAUGGAAACGUGGUCUUAGGAAUAGGGCUCAUAUUUUAUUCUUGAGCAUGCCUAGUGGAAAAAUACUAUCUAAAAAACCGCAAAGAAAUUUAAUACCUAAGCCUUCGAUCCACUCUACUUUUUGUAUACUAGUUUACCUGCAAUCCACUGGCUUGCACAUUAUAUUUCAUCAUACGGAAAUGUCUGAGAUUGUGAACGGAAGCAAUUUCAUCUGUCUGCAACCCUGCAUAGCAUGUGACAGCCCGGGCUGCGUGCCAAGAAACACCCAGAGCUCCUGACACAACCGCGUGAGCACCUUCUCCGACAUGCGCACAUGAGGACCGCAUGCACCCAUAUGCAAGGUUCACAAAUACGUGCGUGCUUAAACUAUAUAUAUAUUAUACAUAGUUUAUUAUAUUUUUGGCAGGGAUAUGAUAAUCAUUAAUUAUUACUUGUAAAGAUUGGAAACGUUACAAACGAUUGUAGAAAAAAUGCGAGUCACCAGGAAGGUAGGUAGUAGAGCAUGCCGUCAGUGUCUUUCCUGUGACCUGUGUUCGUGGUGCACAUGGCAGAAUGCACAGUCUAUACAUAGGAACCAGAAGUUGGCUUCGAAACCAAAUCACUCAUUAGUCCUUCAGUACUGCAGUGAACGCUAUCUAGCUAGCUAAUUUCCCCUUGAAAUCAGUUUUCUUGCGUGGCCAUGGGUAGCCUUCCACUUGAAGCCAUGAUGCCACUGAACCCCGAUUCAUUCGCUGGGGAGUCCAGUGCCGUGGUCGACUUCCUCGCCGACUACUACCGCAACGUCGAUAAGUAUCCGGUCAUGGCCAACACCCAGCCAGGGACCAUCCGUAAGCUUCUUCCGGAGGCAGCCCCGGAGUUGGUUGGUACUCAACAAGUCGUGGGAAAUAGUGUAGUGUAAGGCCAACCAUGAUACCCUUAUACUACCUAUACUACUCAUGUAUACUACCCAUACCACAGGCGUAGGUUUCAGUAGUAUGAAAUUAAUCUUGACCGUCGGAUAUGUUUAUACUAGUCAUUUUCGAACACAAGUAUAGUCUAGUGUUGUGUUCCGUAAAAGAGCUCAUAUAAUAUGUUAUAAAACUUAUUUGUGAAAGCUGAAGACAACACCAGGGGAUAAAUUCCAGAAUAGGUGAGAACAAAAAUUUAAAAGGGCAAAAUUUGUUGAUGGAUGGAAAUGCAUAGAAUGCUUAUUACUCAAUCGACUCACAUCUCUUUUUUCUAGGAAACAAAGCUCUCAUUAGUACUCUACGUUGGAAACAAAGCACUUAUUGUUGUUCAUAGCAGCUGAGAUUGACUUACAUAUAUUUAUUUGCAAACAGGUGUGAAAUGUGAUACAAUAAUUCAGAAAGCUAGACAUCCUGAGCCAUGCGAGGGAUAAGAAGAAGCUUCUCCUUACGGUGCACAUCCAUCCCAUACGACUCUGACAUAUCGACGCCUGUCGACCCCGGCAGAAGCUCCCAGUUGAAGUGGUAGAUGAGGUUGGCAAGAAUGAUUUCGAAAGUGGCGGUGGUGAAGUUUAUACCCGGGCACAUCCUUCGCCCAGACCCAAACGGCAAGAAACGGAAGUCGUUCCCCUGGAAGUCAGAAGCAGCAUCCACGGCUUCUUCCAUGAACCGCUCAGGCAUGAACUCCUCUGCAUUCUCCCAGUAGGUGGAGUCCCUGCCUAGAGCCCACGCGUUGACGAUUACACGUGUCCCAGAGGGUAUGGUAUAUCCCUCCACCUCCCAUUCGGCCAUGGACAAGUGGGGUAUCAAAAGAGGCCCCGGCGCGUGGAGCCGCAUUGACUCUUUCAUCACCGCCGUCAGGUAGCUCAUGCCGCUCAGGUCUUGUUCAGUGACCAGUUCCUUCCCCUUGGUUGCGCACCCCCGCACCUCAGCUUGAAGCUUGGUCAUCACCUUGGGAUUCCGCAUCAGCUCAGCCAUGGCGUAGUCUAGUGCUAUGUAGGUUGUGUCCGUCCCAGCUUCAAACAUGUCCUACAUGAAUAUAUCGGUAAGUAGAACUCCAAAUCAAAUUUAACCAAGCUAGUCCAUGAAACGUCUCAUAUGUACCUCUCGUGAAAAAUAAACAUACCAUCAGUAUUGCCUUGACGUUGUCUCUGGUCAGGCCGUACUCUUGUUGAACGGAGAGCAGCACAUCGAUGAAGUCCUCCUCGUCCUCACCAUCGACCGGCUUGGUCUUGUGCUUGUCGAUGAGGCUGUCCAAAAGGUCAUCCCAUAUCUUCCUGUGCUUCACGGCCUUGGCCGAUACCAAGUCCAACCUCGCCAAGCUCGGGAAAUAGUCGUCCAGGUUAAAUCCCCCCAGGAGCUUGGCGUUCGUCUCUAACAGCUCCCGGAACAGCUGGUUCCGACCUUGUUCCCUGGGGAGCCUGCCCGUCACGGCCUGGCACACGAUGUCGUUGGCGAAGAAGCUGAAGAGCUCGCUGACGUCGACCGCGAUGCCCAUGGCGGCGGCGGCCGUCACCUUGGCUAAAACCAGCUGGACCUCCUGCUCGCGGGCGGCGCGGUUGGACCGGACCUUCGCCGCGGUAAGGAGGUGGGUGGUGAUCACCUUCCUGGCCUGGCGCCAGUACUCACCGUAGGGGGCGAAGCCGACGUCGGUGCAGCCGUAGAACAGGACGUCGGCCACCGCGGAGUGCGGCCGGGAGGCGAAGACGUGGUCGUGUGUGCGCAGGACGGCCUUGGCGGCGCGUGGGGAGGAGACGACGAGCGUUGGCACGGCGCCGAGGCGGAGGAGCAUCACGUCGGGCCCGUGCCUCUUGGCGAGGUCGCGGAGGGAGUGGUGGGGAAGGGAUCCGAUGAGGUGGAGGUGGCCGAUGAUCGGGAGCUUGAACGGAGGCGACGGUAGCUUCCGGAGCAGCUUCUCUGUUCUUGACCUUGGUGUUGCCAAGUGCACGGCGACGAGGAAGAGGAAGAAGAGGAGGGCUAGGGACUCUGGAGAUGCGUGUUCGUAGAGGUGCGCUAGCGCUGGAGCCGCCAUGGCUGAUCAACUAGUGUGCACAACACACGGCUUGCUAGCGCAACAAGUUAGAACCAGCUCGUUGCAGUUUUUGUAGAGCUCGGAAGUCGUGAUCCGUCAGACAGCAAGAAGAGUAUGCUAUUUUUUUUCUUUUCUGCAUCAUCACUAGAUCAGAUCAGACAGGACCGACCAGAUCUGAUCUUUUAUGAGAGAAUCCUAUCGAAUAAUCAUCCUUUUUAUUAAACUGCACCCGACGCAGACUUUCUUUAUUUGCCCAUGUGCUAUUAUAUUAAUUUUUAUCUCGACUAUAUACCACUGUCCUCAUGUAUGUUGUGUACCAAGAGGAACACGAGACGAUCGAGAUUCCAAUAAAAUAUGUGUUUGGUGCUGGAUUAAUUGGCAUGCUUUUCUCUCAGAUGAGCUGCGUGUAGUGACAGCGGCGCUCGCAAUAGUUGGUCGGCGCACUGGUAGACGGGCAGCUCAUGGAUGCUACCGACGGCUCUGCAACUUGAUGCAGUUCAUGCACGCUGCUGGGUGGCACCCAUGGUGCGAUAUGGCAUUGGCAUUGGCACUGUGGCGGCGGAUCCGACCAGUAGCAGAAGCUCGCACAAGUCUAAAUGUAUCUAACUUUGAUGAAUUUUAAUUUCAAAUCUAUGGAGGCUUUUGAGCUCGAACUAAUUGAAAUGGAUCACACUUUAGUAGUGCUUUCAACAUAAAAAAUUGACACAAAAUUUGGCGGUGAGCAGUCUGCCUAGCCCAGGCAGAAAAACAAAGGCUUGAAACAAACAAGCCCUUGGUGUGUGCCUGAUAAUCAUAUGUUCGAAACUCCGAUCCUGUCGCCCUUGAUUAAAAUUCAUAGUAGAGACCUAUUGAGGAUUAGCCCUGGCAUCGAUCCGGCCACAGGAGAGACCGGGAGCCAAGAAGUGAAGUAAGUUGCGUGCGUGCCUGACGGCGAGGAAGCACCUCCAUUGAGCCACGAGGUGGAGUACGAGGCAGAGGCGAGAUGGGAUGUGUUGGGGACAGACUCACAUGACGGAGAGUGGUGCAUCUCCUACCUACCAUCUGCCAUUGCCGAGGGCCUUUCACCGUGCACCACUCCGGUUCGCUCUUUUGCGUCGCUGGGAGGAAAGGGACCGCCGAGCGUUGGGUGCCGCCACCGCUCCUGCGUAGUUCGCCAUGGCCACCUCCUCCGAGAGCGCCCUCACCAGCGGCUCCAGCGCUGCACCUCAUUCCAGGGAUGGGGCAGCCGCUGCUGGGUCACAUCCGCCCGGGGAUUGGGCCGUUGCCGGGGAAUAAGAGGAGCGCGGCAGAGAAGAAAAGGAGAAAACAGAGGAGCCGUGAUUGACAGGGACGGAGGAAAGAUGAUGAGUGCGUACGGUGGGGUAAAAAUGGAAUUGGUUUUUGGUAGAAACAUUUUCUAACUUGUGGUUUUUAUGGGUCUCCACCUUAUCCUCUCUCAAUUGCAUGAUAGGUGGGUCCGACAUGAGCGGUAAGGUGGUUCUGGUUUGGGUGAGAAAGGUUUUCAAUUAUGUUGGAAAACAGGCUUCGCGGAGGCUCAAACACAAUGAGGUUUGAGCAGUCCUUGCAAUUCAAUUCCAAAGAAAUGAACAUAUGUUUACAUCGGGGUAGGGCUCUCCUUUUAUAGUAUCUCGGAGGACAUUUUGCAUUCCGCAAUUACCCUCACUCACCCACUACAAUCCUAGAAUAUGCUUUACAUGGAGGUAACUUGUAUAACUUGGUCUCCUCCUUGGAUCACGCUUCUCACGCCUUUAGUCAGCUCCAUGAUUCAUGCUCUCACAUGGUUCCACAAAUCAUGCCUUCACAUUUCCAACGCCUCCACGCUUCCUGACCUCAUGACCGAAGCCAUCUUAGCUUCGGGAGUCAUGAUCGCCAUAGAUUCGCACCUAAGAGACGCUAGCCUCGCGCCCUGCUCCUUGACUUGAUUCAGCGAUCCUGCAUGAGACACUAAAUAACUCAGCACUCGAGGUUAGCUUCGACUGCUCGAGGUCAAGCUUGGUUAGUGUUUGGUGAUCUGUGAUUGCCUCCGGGCUUCGAGGUAAGAUUCAGGAUAGCGAGGCUAUGAUUACUUUCCACGCCAGAUUAACCACCCAAGGUUAGGGCCCCUCACCCGAUGUUAAUUAUUUUGAGGGGCUAAGCUGUUGACGCUAAAUGUAACGACCUCGAGGGUGACCAUCUUUUUGGGCGAUCCCCAACAGUAGCCCCUCGUGGGCAAGGCUCGACACCGACGACCGAACCCGUGACUUAAGGAUCUGCUCCCAAAAAACGUCACUCUCGAGCAUCGGUUAGAAAUGAGCCAACAGUGACCUUUUUGGUCUUACGUGUCGAUUUCCUAUUGGGUGACCCUUCGUAUCUAGCUCGUGGUUACAGGCGCCAUUUCACGCAUUUUACCAUGCCUAUAAAAGAGGGGGGUGGGGUCGCUUUCGUUUUUACCCUCGCGGCUGAAACCCUUGCGCUCCUGCUUUUGCUCGCUGCUUCCGUGCUUUAAGAUUCAUGCAUUGUAUGCUGUUGUCCUUGGUCUCGAGGAUCUCGAAGGUAACAAUGUUACUUGUGUCUCUCUUUUAGUGUGAGAUUUUCCCUUGCUUGUCAUUUUGGAGAUGAUGUUUCGAUGCCUUGCAGCUGGCUCGUAUUAUGCAAACCGCUAGGCCCAUGACAUCAGAAGAGUUCACUAAACAAGCUGGGCUUCGCAACGAGGCUGCGGAAGACCAGGAUUUGUCCAAGGCUGACGAGAAGCAAGGAAUCAAGAGGAUUGAGCUUUCUUAUGCCUAGAAGAAUAGGUGGGAAGAUAAUUGGCUAAGCUACUAGUUCUAUAUCAAGAUUGACACAGCCGAUGCGUCUGGUAUCAACCAAUCUUUCUAUCCUUCUAUGCACCCCUGGGCCCUAUGGACAUUGCUACUACCCCUGCAUUUACAAGGUCCAAGGCAGUCAAGGAGUGCAAGGGCGCUUUCCUCCCGGACUCGAAGUCGAUCCCCGACUGGAUCUUGUUGAAGAGUUUUUAGCAGCCAACAUUUGGCCCCUUUCUGAUGGGUGGAGUCCAUUGGAGAUUGUGCCAAAAGAGGUUCCGUGGAGUACUAGCCCGCUCCUCUACCCUUGCUUUGGAGUGGAGCUGCCCGUGGAUGCCAACCCCGGUCUUUUUGCAGAGGAUGUUGAGAGGCAUGCUGUUGAUAUAAUUGGCCCGAGUAUUGAGACUGAGCUGACGUUAGCUCGAAAGAUCAUUCACACGAGCUUCGGGUCAACCGUGUGUUCGAGGAACUUGGGGUCGAUGUUAAGCCUUGUCCCAAACCUCGCAAGACCUUGAAAUGGGAACGAGAGGCUGGCGCGACACGCUCGGAAUAGGUUGGCGGCAGUGGCAGGUGGAAAAAGAGAAAGGCCGAGAGCACCGCUCCUAAGGCCGCGGCAGUGACUUCAAAGAAGGAUGACAGCCAAUCGAGGGUCGUGCUCGAGGUGCGAAAGCAAAAUUAAAGACCUCGAGCCUCGAAGCUCAGAAGAAGUAAGAAACAAUUGGACAAAGUUCCUCGAGCGAGGCCGCGCCCCUGUCUCUAAAGCCGUCCGAGUUGCGACCAAGUCCGAACUCGAGGCUGCCGGCGCGCUGGCCGGUAUGAAAGAAAAGAAGUCUACGAGGAAGUCUCGCGUCGGCAAAGCCUUUGAUGAUGAUGAUGAUAUUGUUUUGGAUGUGGACUUGUCUAUGUUCCCUAUAUCGGUCCCCGAGGCUAGUGUUCCUUCAAAGGAGACUGAGACUAAGGUUGUUGCACCCCUUCUACAGCACGAGGCCAAACCUUUGAAGGAGAAGAUCAUGGAUACCAUUGCUAAGGAGAUUAAGGCGUAUACUUCGAAGGUGACAAAGCCAGGUAAACAUGUCGUUGUACAUUUGCCUAGGAUGAGAUUUUUUGAUUUUGGUGAUGCGUCAUUUAGAUUUCUGAUGGAGCUGGAAAAAACCACUGGUGCACCUGGGGAGAUAUACAGGGAACCUCCUCUAAUAUUUAGGGUAAAACCUUAUUCUACAGAUUCUGAACUGUCACCCUCUCUGGAACGUUACAACGAGGCCUACAGCACCAACCUUAGACAGGAGCUCAUUGCUGUUCAUGUGCCGGGUUCAGGUGAGGACGAUAAUCGCUACAACCUACCCUUGUUGUGGGGAGCUAAGGAUGGGAUGCGUGGUGUAGAUAGAGCAGCCAAGGAGGUUUUCAAGAUGUCUGAGGGGGUUGUCGGUGAGGUUGGUGGGCAUGGAGAAAGGGAGGAAGGAGAGGUUAUCCCUACUCGAGGUCUUGGGAAAUCCACUGUGCCUUUUGAGGUUGAUUACGAGGACAAGUCUUUUAAUCCUGAGAGUAAGCGCUUGCUCCUUAGUUUGUUUUGUCUGUACUUAAUUUCUACUUUGCUAUGCUUUGACGUGCCUUUCUUUUGACAGAGUAUGAAAAAUCAGUUAGACGUUUCGAGCAAAAGGACUUAGCUAGGAUGUCAGCUACCAUCGGAUACAAGGUAUUUUGUUCGACGCUUGCUAUUUGUUUCUUAUCUCUCUUUUUUUACGAGGCUUUUCAUUUUGGUGUUUCGAUUUUGCAGUCCAUCAUCCUUGGGAAGAUGCUAUGGAGAAGGCUGCGGCUAAGGAAAAGAGCAUGCUAGCCGAGAGCACGAAGAUGAUGCAGCUAGAGGCUAGAGUUGCAAAGCUUGAGGAGGAAAGCAAGGUUUUAUAUGCCUUGAAGAAUGAGCUCGCCGAUUCUAACUCUGACCUUAAAAACAACAACGUGCUGCUAACAAAUACCUACAGCGAGCUCGUGCAACAAGUUGAGAAGCUGGAGAAAAGACCCGAAGACAAUCUUGGUGUUUUGGAGAAACUCCGAAGCGCCACAGAAAAAGACGCACAGACUAUCACAGAGCAGGAAAAAAUGAUUCAUACCCUUGGUCAGGAUCUCAAAGAGCAAAAGACCUUUGUUGUGGAAGCAGAGCGGGCUCUCAAGGAAAAGUUCGCUGAGAUCUAUGAGGGGUACAAAACUGCUCUUGCAAAGUUUGGCGCAGAGCCUCUUUUGUUUCUGGGUGAUGAAAGUGUAAAAGAAAUAUUUGAUUGGGUGGAAGAGGAGUUCAAAGGCCUGCCCGAGGUUAUUACUGGCAGCAGCAACUUUGCUGCUUCCUUCUGCCUUGAUAGCGCAGUUCAACUCCUUGAAAAGAACAGCUACUCUCAUUUCUUAACACUCGUGGCUCGCACCUAUAUGUUCCCCUCGGCCUCGGAGCUUGACGAAGAGGAGAAAUCUAAAAAUUUGAGAGCCACGAAGAUAAAUUUCUUCAAACAGCUUUGGGCUACCUCCGGGCGAGAGUACACAAGGCUGGUUGCUCAAGAGCGGCUUGCACAGGUUAGGGUUCACAUAACUUUGUAUUUCAUAAGGUUUUCAUUUUUUCUGUUGAUUUCCUGAUGUUGUUCCUCUUGUGUUCGUAGGCCAAGGCAUAGGAAGCAAAAGGCGAAGGUGGGAGCGAGAACGGUGAUGCUGAUCAAGGAGGGCAGUGAUUAUCGAAGCUAGUUAGAGAUUUGUUUUGUGGUUUGGGAUGUUUUGAUAAACUUGAUACUUAGUUGGCUGCUUUUGCAGGCCAGAUUGUAAAUAUUUGUUGCUCAGCCGGAACUUACAUGCUCGAAGCUGGUUACUUUUGGCGUUUGUACCUUCACGGAUUUCUUUUUGUCUUAACGUUUUUAUGUUUGAGUUAUUCUACUCAAAUGGCAACAAAGCUGUAGCUUAAAGAAACGAGCAAUGUUUUAGUUUAAAACGUCACCCCUGCCCUAGUUUCUUUAUGCGUAGGUUUUGUUGACUUUGCACGCUUGUUGUCUAAGCUUAAACGGAGCUUAAAAACGUCACCCCCUUCUUGGCAUGUGGGUCUUACCCGAGGCAAUUCUCUCAUGGAAAGAGGAUGAAAACGAUUUUUGUUUGCCAAAAAAUGUCACCCCCGCCCUUUUAUCCUUUUUUCGAAAAAACGUCCAACCUCACCCUUUUCUUUUGCAUGAACGAGGUUAAGUGAGUAUUGACAAACCACAAGAUAAGUCAAUAGAAAACUUGUUUUCGAGUUAUGUUGACUUAAAAAUAUGACAGUUUGGUUGAAAUCGCAACCCUUAUGAUGUGUUUGGUUGGGCUGUGGCUUUUCAAAAAGCUGCUCUGAGCUGUGGGGGCUGUUGAAAAGCAACUGUGAGAAAGCAGCUGUGGGAAAAGUAUAUGGCCGUUUGGUUAGAGCAGAUGUGGCUUUUGAAUAAAUUUUUGAGUGGACCCUGCAUGUCAUCCACAGUCCACCCCACUCAACUCUCUCCCUCUCUCGCUGAUGAGCGGGUCUAACCCUUCUUCCUCCCGCUGGCUAGUCCACCCCACAGCACCCCGAGUAGCACCAGGGCCGCAAUGGCAUCCACGACGAUGUAGUCCACAAUCAGGGUGAGGUCCAUGACGGCGAUGGCCUGCACCUCGCCUCCUCCACCUCGCACCACGUGGCGGGCACCGUAGCACCAACGGCAUCUAGGAGGCGGUAGCACCCCGUGGGCACGCAUGCGUCGACAAGGAGGUUGAGGCCGGUCUGUGCUGCCAAGAGCCCGCCCACGGCGCCCGCGCAGGUGAGCCCCACCUCGGUGACGAAGUAGGCUGCCGCCGCCAUGGUGCCCUUCGGCGCGGAGGCGGAGAGUGAUGAGGAGACGGAUGCCAUGGCAGCGGCGAGGAGGAGGAGACGCGCGAUGAUGAGUGUGUGCUGCUGGAGGUCGGAGGCCGGGAGCGAGACGGCAAGGAGGCCUGCGGCAUGGGCGAGGAGGAGGAACGACAGGGAGAGGAGGAGUGGGAGGUGGGGCAGGAGUAAUGGGAGUGGGAGGAACGGGAGCAACGGUGGGAGGAGCAGCAGCGGGAGGAGCGUCGUGGAGGCCAGUGGGAGGAAGGCGAACAGGAGCAUGAGGAGUAGCGGGAGGAGGCAGAGGAAUGGGUGGCGGAGCAGGCGGAGGAGGCGGUGGUGGAGGGAGGACGGGGAGAGGUAGGAGACGGUGGCAAUGAGGAGGUGGGACUGGGAGGUCGCGAGGAGGGAGAAUAUAAGGGCAAGGUGGCACGCGAGCAGCAGCGCCUCCGCCAUUGGGGUUGGGCAGCGUGGUCGGGGAAGUCCCGAGGAGGAGGAGCACCAGCCAGCGGGCGGCGGGCCACUGAGGUGAUUGUCGGGUGGGGGGGACUGGUGCGGGUGACGGGGAGUGGACAGGAAUAGAAGGGGAAAACGAACCAUUAUCCUCCAUAACAAGUGGUAGGUGGGUAAUUUUUUGCCCCAAAAGCAGCUAAAAGCAGGGGGAAGGUGCUUUUGAUUUUGGGCAAAAGCACGUAUGGCUUUGGACAAAAGCACGUAUGGCUUUUAGGCCCUUUGGUUGGCUUUUGGCUUUUGCAAAAGCAAAAGUAGGUUGGAAAGUCCAACCAAAGGCACCCUUAGUUGCUUCAACCAUGAAAUUUUGCGAGGUUGAGAAAAUAGGGAAAUAGGGUGCCUUUUUUGAAAAAAUGUCAGUCUUUCUAUUCUAUUGUGAGAGCUUUGGCUGAGGCUAGGGCCUUCGUGCGAAAGGACAAAAUGAAUUUUCGACUCUGAAAAAUGUCACCCCCCUUGUCCUUUUGCGCAGAGGGGGUUUAGACUCAGCAUGGCUUAUUCCGAGUGUUAUCGCUGCCUUUGAUCGCUUGCUGCAGCCUUUCUAUUCUCUGAGUUGCAAGUUCAAGGCCAAUCACUGUGGUGUUUGAGUGAGAAAAUACGUUUAUGUGCAUAUAGUGUGCAUUCAAUGUUAGACUAUGCAGCUUAGUGCUGCUUUAAAAUAUCUUGCGCAGAAACGUAGGUUUUCAACAUGCAGGAAUGUGAGGUUAGGCAAGUUGUUGUUGCAUCUGAGACUUGUGCAGACACGCAAGUUUUCAAUGCACAGAAACUCAAGGUUAGGCAACUUGUUGUUGCAUCUAAGACUUGCGCAGAAACGCAAGUUUUCAACGUGCAAAAACGCGAGGUUAGGCAACUUGUUGUUGCAUCUAAGACAAAGAUCAUAGGGGGAACUUCAUUUCAUUGAAUAAUGGAAAUUUUACAAGGAUCUACCUCAUUAAAAACAUUGCCUCCAGAAAGGAGGCCCUGUAGCAAGGAAAAGAGUGCAAUCCAAAUUUGAAAAUGUAAAGUGCUAUGGAGUAAAUUCAUUACCCUCAGCGUUGUUUAUAACCUUACAAGCCGAGGGUAGUGUUGAACAAAAUGCUAAGGGUAGUACUCACGCAAGCUAUCGAUAUUCCAAGAGUGUGGCAGCUCCGUGCCAAGCUGAUCCGUAAGAUGAAAAGACCCUGGCCUAUUGCUUUGCGUGACAAGGUAUGGCCCUUCCCAGGCUUCCUAUAGUUUCCCGAGGUCCUCCCAAUUUUUCUUCCUCUUGAUGACAAGGUCACCCACUUUGAUUUCCUUGCGCACCACUUUUUUGUUUCUCCACCUUCUCGUUUCUUGAUGGUACUUGUCAAUAUUUUCAGCAGCUUGCAGUAUCUCAAGCUCUAUCAUGUCUUUUUCAAUUCUUAUAUCAUCUGGGUUAACCUCGGGCUGCAACACUCUCAAGCUAUUGUUUUUUAUUUCCUUUGGUGUCACUGCCUCGGAGCCAAACAGCAAUCAGAAGGGUGUGAAGCCUGUCACUUGAGAUGCAGUGGUGUUGUGGGACCAGAUUACCCUCGAGAGCUCAUCCACCCAUUUCCCUUUCUUCUGAUCAAAGAGACAUUUCUUCAUACCUGAGAAGAUCAAGCCAUUUGCUCUUUCCACCGCCCCGUUUGACAGGGGAUGAUAUACUAAGGUGAAUUUUACUUUAGUACCAAUGCUGGCACAAAACUCUUUGAAAUUAUAACAACAAAUUGCUUGUCGUUAUAAACAAUUAGCUCCCUAGGUACUCCGAAUCUGCAGAUGAUGUUCUGCCAAAAGAAUUUUUGGACUGAGCCCGAGGUUAUAUUUGCCAGCGGCUUAGCCUCGAUCCACUUCGUAUAGUCAACUACUACUAUGGCAAACUUGCAAUUUCCUUGAGCUGUCAGGAGUGGGCCUACUAGGUCCAUACCCCAUCUUUGUAAGGGACAAGUUGGUGAGAUAUGUUGUAUUGGCAGCGAUGGCGCAUUUUGCUAGUUUGCUAUUUUUUGUCAAGCUUCACAGCUUCGCACGAGGCUUUGUGCAUCCUGGAAUGUUGUGCGCCAGUAAAACCCCUACCUCAAUGCUUUACUCACCAAGGCUUUCGAUCCGAUAUGCGACCCGGAAAAACCCUUGUGAAUCUUAGCUACUAGCUCUUUCCCGCUUUCUGUGUCUAUGUACCGAAGCCAAGGGGUCGAUAUCCCAGACUUGUAUAAUUUUCCAACAAUAAUUGUGUAGCCCCUAGCUUUUUGCUUUAAUCUAGCUAGUUCAACCUCAUCAUAGGGUUUGAAGUACCCUCUCAUAUAAGCCAUGAUUUGAGCUCUCUAGUCAAAACUUUAGAUUGCAUUUAUUGUCUUCGGGGUUGGAUCUUUUGUCGAUGGCGUGCGAAUGACCUCGUAAAAUACAUCGGGGGGCAUGGGCUGACUCUGUGCUGCAGCUUUUGCAAGUGCAUCAGCCUCAUCAUUUUCCGCCCUUGGGAUAUGUUGUACCGUGAAGCCCUUGAAAUGCUUUUCCAUCGCUCUUACUGCUGCAAGAUACUUGACUAGCUCCGGCUCUCUAGCCUCGCUAUCCUUUUCUAUAUGCUCUUUGAGUCUGUCUUUAUUACGAAUACUUGCUAACCUAGGGCCUUCAUUUUCCUUAGCCCCAUGAGCAGUGCUUCAUAUUCUGUGGUGUUGUUUGUAGACCUCGCAUCAUUUGCAAAGCUUAGCCUUGCAGCAUAUCCCAUUUUGACUGCCGAUGGCGAGGUUACAAUAGCCAAGAUUCCAGUCCCUCUAUCACACCAGGCACCAUCACAGUGUAUAGCCCAUGGAGUCUCGAUCUCGUCUUGGCUAGCACAUGGAGAUGUCCAAUCUACGAUGAAAUCUGCCAGGACUUGUGAUUUUAUAGCACUCCUUCUCUCGAAGUCCACAACAAAUUCUGACAAUUCUGAUGCCCAUUUAGUGAUCCUCCCCGAAGCUUCUCUAUUUGAAAAGAGAUCUUGUAGAGGUUUGUUAGUAACUGCCAUGAUUCUGUGGCCCUCAAAGUAAUGUCGCAGCUUGCGUGCUGCCAUAACCACUGUGUACACAAUCUUCUCUAGCUCCGAAUAAAACAGCCUCGAACCUGAUAGUGCUUCCGAUGCAAAAUAGACUAGGAUCUGUUUUAGCUUUGCCAUCGACUUCUUUUUCUUGAAUCAGGGUGGCGCUGACGGCUGUAUUCGAAGCUGGCACAUAAAGCAAGAGAGGUGAUUUGGCUCUAGAGCGCACAAUUUGGUCAUGUUCGCCAAGUAGUCUUUGAGGUAUUGAAAAGCCUCACUUUGUUACUCCUCCCACUCAAAAUUUUUAGAGUUUCUCAGGACCUAGAAGAAUGGUAAGCUUCGCUUCACGGCUCUUGAAAUGAACCUGUUAAGGGUAGCAACUCUUCUAGUUAGCCUCUGGACAUUCUUCAGCGAGGCUGGCUCCCUCAUAUCAAGCAGUGCCUGGAUUUUGUCUGAGUUCGCUUGGAUGCCUUAUGUUGUAACUAGACAUCCCAAGACUUUGCCUCACUAAACCCCAAACACACAUUUCUCAGGGUUGAGCUUCAGGUUUGCUGCUCUCAAGUUGGCGAAAGUUUCCGCGAGGUCGAGGAUGUGGUCUUUCCUCUUAUCACUUUUCACAACUAUAUCGUCAACAUAAGCGAGAAUAUUUCUACAAAGCUGUUUGGAGAGGAUGAUUGCUAUCAUUAUUGAGAAGGUUUUCCCUACUAUUUUUAGCCCCAUGGGCAUCCUCACAAAGCAAAAGGUCCCGAAUGGUGUUACCAAUCCUAUUUUUCUCUCAUCCUCUUUUUUUUAUUUUGAGCUAAUGGUAGCCUGAGAAUAAGUCCAAUAAUGGUAACAUUUCACUAUUGGCAGCAUCGUCCACCACCUUGUCUACUCUUUGCAAUGGGUAGUGAUCUUUCAGGCAAGCCUUGUUUAGGUCAGUGAAGUCUAUGUACAUUCUCCACCUGCCGUUCUUCUUUUUGACUGGAAUAGUAUUGGCUAGCCAUUCUGGAUAGAUAAUGGGCCAUAUGACAUUAGCCUCGAGGAGUCUUUCAAUCUUGGCCUUCACUACUUGAGCUUUUUCAUCUGACAUUUUUUGAGCUUUUGCUUUUUUGGCUUCAUGCUAGGCUUGAUGUUGAGGUUGUGCUCUAUUAUCUCUUUGUUGACCCCUUGGAGGUCACUUGAGGACCAGGCAAAAACAUCUUUGUUUUUGUUUAAGAAAUCGAUUAACUCCUUCUCCUCCUCGGGCUUGGGGUUGGCUCCUAUUGUGACGUAUUUGUCAACAACAUAGUCAUCCAAGAGGACUCUUUUUGUUUCGCCAUCCACACUUAUUUUUAUCUUCUCUUUGUCCCUUUUGGGCUCAACAUAUGGUUUUUUCUUUUCUUACUCUUCAGCCUCAUUGGGGGUUGUUAGGUGGUGGACAUUCUUUUGUCCUGGGGUUACACCCUUUUCUAUAUUUCUGGCGGUUUGCUAGUCGCCAUAGAUUGUGAUGACUCCUUUCAGAACUAGGAUUUUCAUGCAUAGAAAUAGUUGCCUGAUUGCUGCAUCGAACUUGUUAAUGAACCCUCUCUCGAGGAUGGUGAAGUAAGGGUAGUACAUUUCAAUGACAUCAAAUGUGAUGCGCUCUAUUCUUGCAUUGUCGAGGUUUCCAAAUGAAACUGGAAGUGCUACCUUUCCCAGGGCUUUAACUAGCCUCCCCCUGAAGCCAAGUAGUGGGACUUCUGCUGGCUCGAGCAAGUGCUGGUCAAUUUUCAUCUCCCUAAAGGUGUUUGUGAAGAUGAUAUCUGCGGAGAUGCCAUUGUCCACUAGGACCUUCCCUAUCUUCCAGCCAGUAAUGGUAGCCUCGAUUACCAUUGCAUCGUUAUGCAAGGUUGUUUUCAAUUUGAAGUCUUCUUCUAUGAAAGAACUUGGCAUGUGUGCCCAUUCCGGCUUAGCUGGGGGACCAUCAGGUAUGAUUGUGUUCACCUGCCUAAAACAAUCUCUUUUUUAGCCUUUUGUUCUUGAACUCGAGGGAACAGCCAUCGGCGAUUGGCAUUAUCAUGCCAUAGGUUGGUAUAGCAUUGGAGUUGUCCUCGCGAUGCUCGGAUUGUUAGGAUCCCCCUGAGAUUGGCAUUAUCAUGUUGUAGGUAGGUAAGGCUUUAGGAUUGUUGUUUUGUGGGUUAAGCUCAGCUUUUGGAAUUUCAUUGGGUAGAUUUGGUGGUGGUAGUGGUAUUUCAUGGUGGGGUUGAGAAGGUACGAAGUUUGCAUUCUACGAGGUUGGUUGAGCACGAGGCCGGAAUUGUGGCGAGUGUUGCCACAUCAUGGUGGGCUAAAAGGUUGCGUGGUUGGGGUUUGGGUAGUAUGGUGGAUGUGGCCAAAAGGUUGUAUGGUGGAUGGUUUUGAGUGCCUCAGCCACUUUCUUUUCUUCGGCUAUUCUUUCAAAAACCUUUUUGGCUUCUUGGCAAAAAUCAGUUGCAUGGUCGAGUUGUUUACCAUGGAAUGUGCAGUAAAAUGAUCUUUGUUGGUUACUUUGGUUAUUUCACCUCGGAGGUCCUCUGCCUCGGCCUCUUCCUCUUCCGACAUGGUUGCCUCUUUGGCCGCUUCUGAAAUUGGGUUGAUGUUGGUGGUAUCGGUUCUGGUUUUGGCCUAGGUUUUGGUUUUGGGUUUGGUUUUUGAAUGAGGGUUGGUUAUCCUUGAUGGCCAGCAGUUGGUUUGGGUGCGAGUGGUGCUGUUGUUGGUGACUGUAUCAUGAAGCUUGCCAGUUUUGACCUUUCUCUGCUUGCCUUUGGCGGUUUCUUUCCACGACCCUUCUUUUAUGGUCUUCAUCUGAUCUGCAAUAUUUAUCCAUCUCUGCGAAUAGGGCUUCCAUUCUUUUUGGCUUUUUCCUUGAUAGCUUCGAGGCUGUUGGCCCCGGAUUAAGCCCCUUGAUGCAGAUCGCUAUGACCAUGCUAUCCUCCACAUCUGGGGUUUGUGUCUUAAGUUGGAAAAAUCUUCUCACGUAGCUUGCUAAAGGCUCUUUAUCUUUUUGCACACAAUUGAACAAAUCCCCCUCAUCAGUCAUGGCUCUAUGAAAGCCUUGAAAGUUUUGUAUCAGUUUGGUUUGAAGAUCGACCCAGCUGUAUACAAAUUGCAGCAGGAGUAGAGAGUACCAAUUUAGUGCUACACCCUCACACGCUAUAAUGAAUGACUUUGCCAAUACUACAUCAUGUCCCCCUGUCGAGGCUAUGGCUGUUUCAUAACUCAUGAGGAACUAGCGGGGAUCUGUUUGUCCAUUGAAUUUUGGUAGUGCAACUGCCUUGUAGGUUGUGGGCCAUGGGGCUGUUUGCAGGCCUAAGGAUAGUGGGGAGCUUUUGUCGGUAGUUGUGUAUGCGCUCAUUGUCACUAGGGUGUUGUGCCCAACAAGGCUAGGAUUCGGGUAUAGGAUGGGUGUGUCAUUGGUGUUGAAGGUUUGAAGUGGUGGCUGCUGCGGCUAUUGUGGUGUGUUGCACAAGUAUUCCAAUUCGUUCAACUCUUGCUGCAACUCUGCCAGCUGCCUUUUGGCCUCAUUUAGCCUCACUAGCUUGUUGGCUGCUAGUCUUUGAGCCUGAAGCUCUUGAGCAAUUUUUUCUUUUUCUUUUUUAAUGGCUCUAGCUGCUUGAGUGCCGAGGCCAUCUCUUCUUCUAUUUCACUAAGGGGUUCAUCUUGCGUGCUUGUUUGCUGCAGAGUUUGGUUCGAGGUCCCCGCCUCAACCAUUCCUUUCUGUGAUCUUGUUCUUAAUUUAGCCUCGAUUCUUUUAAACUUUUUCUGCCUUCUCCGUGUUAACUUGUUCGACUGAGACAAGCUGCCUUUCUUGUCCAGCCUCAUCUUCGAUGGUUCUCUUCUUCUUUUGAGGUGGCAUCGUGGGUUUCUUAGUCGCUCAGAAUACGGUGGGUGCCAAUGUUGGGAAACAGGCUUCAGGAAGGCUCAAAAACAACAAGGUUUGAGUAGUCCUUGCAAUUCAACUCCAAAGAAAUGAACAUACGUUUACAUCGGGGUAGGGCUCUCCUUUUAUAGUGUCUCGGAGGACACUUUACAUUCCGCAAUUACCCUCACUCACCCACCACAUUCCUAGAAUAUGCUUUACAUAGAGGUCUUUUUAAGAGGUAACUUGUAUGAUUUGGUCUCCUCCUUGGAUCACGCUUCUCACACCUUUAGUUAGCUCCGUGAUUCACUCUCUCACAUGGUUCUGCAAAUCACACCUUCACGUUCCAAUGCCUCCAUGCUUCCUGACCUUGCGAUUGAAGCCAUCUUAGCUUCGGGAGUCAUGAUUGCCCUAGCUUCGCACCUGAGAGAUGCUAUGCACCAUGCUCCUUGACCUGAUUCAGCGACCUUGCAUAAGACAGUAAAUAACUCAGCACUCGAGGUUAUCUUCAAGUGCUCAAGGUCAAGCUUGGUUAGUGUUCGGCGAUCAGUGAUUGCCUCCGAGCUUUGAGGUAAGAUUCAGGAUAGCAAGGCUAGGAUUACUUUCCAUGCCAAAUUAACUGCCUGAGGUUAGGGACCCUCACUCGAGAUUAAUUAUUUUUAGGGGCUAAGCUAUUGACGCUAAAUAUAAUGACCUCGAGGUUGACCAUCUUUUUAGGCGAUCCCCAACAAAUUAUUUUCGAUCUUUAUAUUACAGAAAUGCAUGCACACGGCUUGCUUGAUGGCGUUGUCCGCUCAUCUUGCCAUGCCUCGCCUCGUCGCCGACCACACCAUCAUGAAUGGAGAAACCACGCAUGCACUGUGAUAAGUUUAGAGCAUCCUAGUGACGGUAUUCAAGGUGCUCAAAUAGUGGUAUUCAACUUAGAAAAAUUAGUAGCACCGGAAUAUUGAACGGUCAUCGGAGCAACCAUCAGAGCACUUGGUAUGAUUAAGAAAUAAGCUUGAGUUGCAGCAAGCACCAGAUGAUCCGACAGGGUUCUGUUUAUAAGUGUCAGAGCAAUUCGCAGAGAAGAUAGAGAAAUACCUAUAGCACCAGAUGUUCCAAUGGCUAGAAGAUGAAGGCGUUGGACCAAGCAUAUUUACAUUGAAAAAUUCAUGAGAGAUUCUAGGGAAAACUCCUUCAGCACCGGGUCUUCCGACGGUACGUCGGAUGAAUUUAGGCAAAGGUCCAAUGGCUAUAUGUGUCAGUAAGGCGCACUAGAUGAUCCCAUGCUUACCUUAAGUGACCAUCGGAUCGUCCGAUGCUCACAUAUUUUACUAGGUGUUGGAGCAAAUGCCCUUUGAGGUUCAUGGGCUAUUUAUGCCCCCUCCACUCGCCCAUUCAGAGUUGCUGGAGUGUCCAUACAUCGAUUGAUGACCAAGGCUCAUCAAGAACAUAUACAUGCCACCAAAAGUGCAAAAGCGAUAAUCCAAGGCUUAGCACGAGCUAAGAGAUUGAUUAGUGCUAGGAUAGGCCUAGAGAGAGUAGUGCAAGGUGCUGAUACCUUGUGAUUGGUUCAAGGAGUGAUCCACUAUUAUAAGCUUGGUGCACCGGUGGCUUGGGGUCUUAGUGGCUCUCCGGCAAGUAUUCGACCCUCCAGCUUGGUGUGGAGCAGCAUCGACGGCCAUAUGCGAGGGACAAGAAGACUCCUUCCUUCGUGGAGCAGCUUCGUACUUGAGUGCCUUGAAUGCCUUUACUUUCUAGAGUAGUACCUUGUUAGGAUUGGCUCUAGGUUGCAAAACUCUUUAUGGGUGGGAAGUUUCACUAGAUCAACCAUAGAUGCACAUGUAGAUAGCAUGAUCUAGUUUAUGUUUGGAAGCAAGUAGUGGAAGUCAUAGGCUAAGGAUCAGUAGUUCGUAUGUGCUAGCAAUCAUCGCCUCCAGCUUCGUCGCCCCCUCUCCAUCACCCCAUCCCCGUCGCCCCCGGCCCCGUCGCCUCAUCGCCUCAGCGCCACCGUGCCCCGGUUGUCUCAAUCCUCUUCGACGUAUGAUGACUCUGUGCUGCCCCAUCCUCGUCGACAUCCUCCUCUCUGAUGUGGCCCUCGCCUCCUCUCUAAUGACUCCACACUACUGCGGCCACUGGCCCUUGGCUCCUUCUCAACCCCGAUGUCGCCCACACCCCCGGCCGUACAUCGACUCUGGUCGUCGAGCUCACCCCUCUCUUUUCCGACUCCGCGUCGUCCGGCCACCGUCAACUACUCUGACACCUGCACCCCCGGCCGUCUCCCCUCCGACGUGUUGCCCAAGCCCCCGUCACCUCCAUCCUGUCUGACGACACCGCGCCGCCCCCUACACACUUGCGGUGACGUAAGCCCGCGACCGCCGUGAUGACGUAAGCCCCUGCGGCUGCCGACAUCAUUAUGUUUCUUCUGAGCUAGAAUAUGUCUACAAAUUAUAGGAAAUUAUAGAAAAAUUGUAGGAAAUUUGUGUAAGUGUUAGAAAUCAUGCCUUUUUUUUCAAUUUGUACGUGCGUAGAGAAUAGCUAGUAAUUAUAAAAAUUGUUGGAGUAGGUAUAAAUUACAUAGAAAUUGUAGGAAAUUAUUGGAAAUUUGCAAAAAAUUUGUAUAAGUACUGGAAAUCAUACUUUUUUUUAAUUUGUACAUGCAUAGAGAAUGGCUAGUAAUUAUAAAAAUUGUUGGAGUAGGUACAAAUUACAUAGAAAUUGUAGGAAAUUAUUGGAAAAUUGCAGGAAAUUUGUAUAAGUACUGGAAAUCAUGACAUUUAUUUUUCUGUUUCAUUCUAUUUAUAUGUUGUAUAAAUGUUAGAAAUUUGUGUAGGCAUUGCAAAUUAUCUAUAAAUAUUGUAUGAGUGAUGUCAUUAUUGUUUCAUCCUAUUUUUGUUGUCAUUUCAUACUAGUGUUUCAUUCUACUUUACAUAUUGUUGUAACAUGUUACAUAUUAUAAGUGUUUAGUUCUUUUAUAUUAUACUAGGUACAAUGGCAUGAUCAGAUGACGAGAUUAUAUAUGACAUGAUUGCUGGAGGGGCCUCUCAAGCAAAUGAAGAGGUCUAUCACAGCCAGGCUAACAUGUACCUCAACCUAGCUGGUGAUGGCAUUGAGGAGCAAUGACUUGCCGAGGGAGGCAACGUGGAGCAACAAGUUCCCGAUAGAGGCAAUGUGGAGCAACCAAUAUUAUACGUAAACAUUAUUUCAAUUACCAUCUUAUCAAAAGAAACAUCAUCAUGCAACAUUUCAAUUGUCGUUUUUAGCCAUCUAGAUCGAGCAAAAUGCCUCAAAAGAAACAAGGCAAGAACAAGAAAGAUGAGGGCCGUAUCAUCAUCAUAGAAAUUGCUAAAAUAGUGAACCGAUUGCCCAUCCCAAAGCUAAGAUCAAGUUGGUGAAUCAUAUUGGGUUCCUUAUCAGAGAUAACAUUCCAAUCUGGUUUCUGAAAUGGAGGAAACCCAAGCGCAUCCGGGUCAUCACAAACCCGCUCCUUUAUGUCCCUGAUCGAGAGAAGGAAAUGUUAUGGGUACAAGUAAAAGAACACUUCAUGUUCGAAAAUGUUGACAAAGCCAAAGUGAAAGAAUGGGGCAUGAAGAAGGGUGCAAUUGUGUUUCAGACCUAUAAAAACUUGACCAAAGACUAUGUAAAGAAGGGGGUUCAACCUUAUUUCAUUGAGCACACUAAGAUAAGGGAUAUCUGGGAUUCCUUUGUACAGUUCAAGGGCACGAGCUGGGUGUCUAUGGUGAUGACCAAUAAACACAGUGAGACCCUCAAGAAAUAAUUCGAGUGAAACUUCCAAUGAAAAACACUUCACGGACAAGAAAAUGCUCAAGCCAGGCAAAAUCUAGGAGCUCUGGGUGGAUGGUUUGCUUCCCAAGGACGGACGGUCCAUGAGCGGUGGACGGUCCAACCUUAUGACUUACACAACGCAGAAUUGUUGAAAACAAAUGCAUGGCCAAAGUUUUGGCCAAAACUCUAUCAAAUCAAGUCCAAAUGCCACCAAAUUUUAGCCAUAGCAUCACAACAACACAUAGAAGCUACUUCUAAGAGAUCAUCCCCAAAAGAUUGGUCAAUCAAUAGGAAAUCCAAAUCUUGUGAAGAAUACCGCUUUUUCAACCUUGGAAACUUGAAUCGCCCUGAUGUAUGAACUCGUGAGGGGUUAGAUGAAUUCCUUUGGUAGAAAGACUUCACUCACAUCCUAGUUCAUUUCCAAAUGAUCGGUUUGAGUCAAGAAUCCCUAGAAAUCACGAAUCGAACAAAAAACAUGAGAAGGGAAAAACGGGAGAAAACAAGAAUGCGAAGAAGACAAGAGAGAUUUGCACAAAGCCGCUGUCCCCCAACACACGGAGGACUCGAGGAGGUUAGGGCUUCCAUUCCCACAACAAAAACUUUAGUUCAAUACAUGAAUUCGAGUUCAAAUCAUCCGCGGACCUCUAGAGAGAGAAAGGAAAAAACCAAAAUGAAGUGCUAGAGAGAGAGGGGGUGAAAGAAAGGUGGAAGAGGUGCUAAAAAUUUCAGCCCCCAAUCUCUAUCUAUAGGCGCCGACAAAGGACUAGACAACCCCUAAUAGCUACUACUAAGAUAACUACCCAUGUAGGGGUAUUUUUGUCCAAGUUUUUGUACGUUCAUCAGACGGACAUGCCACCUUCUCAACUUUGCUUCGCCUUGAUGUAAGCUUCAUGAUGAUGCCACAUGCCCUCCUUUUUGAACCUCUAACCGCACCGAACUCGCUCCCCCCCCCCCCCGCUUUGAGGCCCAAACCGGGAAACCUGCCAACGUGGUGGUUUUGAGGCCCAAACCACCCAAACCGUCCAUUCUUUGCUUGGCCACCAAGUCGACGUGUGUCCUGUCUCCGCCAAGUCUAGCUUUGACGCCUCCAAGUCGUUUGCUCACGGCUCCCGGGCUGCCUACUUGACUUGCCUCCGUCCUGCUUGACUAGAUCGACGCCGUCUCUAUCACCAUCAUGUUCCCUUGCUGUUCCAGGCACCAUGUGGACCGCCUAUGACUCCACCUAGACUCCUCAGGUCCAUCGGUCCAAGCCUACUCACGUUCAUCCUUCACCGCCCUUGGUCCAUCGGCACGAAACUUUCGCUUGACCUUCACCACAUGCCGUCGGUCGUCACAUCGCAUCCUACACCUGCACAUCACAAACCAAGAGCAAUAUCAAUCUAACACAAUCGUUGUCAAUCACUCAUCAUCCAAGGGUGACCACCAUUGGUCCUUAGCUCUGAGCAACCGAACCAGUCAACAAGCAGCUAUUGUAGCAUCAGGGCCACAUGUCGAUUUAAGCCCAACUUAGCAUCGAAGCAGUGUCACUUCAACAAAAGCCUUAGUGGGAAGAUCCACUAAGGUCAUUGAGGAAGGUCACCCCAUGGAUGACAUCACAGGGACAACCCCUAGUAAGCUUGUUACUCCGGUUUAAAACAAGCUCAUAGUGGUGGCUUAUGGUGCGACUGAUCGACCGACACAAGGCCAAAUAAUACAUGGCAUGCUGGUUCAAGCUGGCUAUGCCAAAGUUGCGUUGGACCGAGUGGUCAACGGUUGGAGAACCUAGAACUAGAAAUCCCUAGAGGUGAUGAGGAAAAGAAUCUAGAAUAAGCUGUCCAUGGUUGGAUUCAGUGGCCCAAGCGCUUCAUGAGGAUUACGCAACCGAAUGAUGAGUCCACCUGUACCAGAAAGGGAUCCAAGCAUGACUCCAACUCCCCCUCCCAUGAAGAAGCGUUCAAUUCCACCUCCACCUCCACCUUGUAAGAAGAAGCAGAAGAAGCAGAAGGAGAAGGCACCACCUGAGAAAUUACCUUAUGAGAUGGCACACGAGGAGUCCAAGGCUGCAGCAAAUGCUUAGUUACAAGCAUGGAUUAAGGCUUGAAAAGAAGAAUGGUUGAAGAAACAGAAUCCAGAGAAACCACUGGAUAAGCGUAACCUUCAGGCUUUCAUCAGAAAAAGGAGGUGGAGAGAAGGAAAAAGCCAGUGAAAGCUCCCCUUUCUGAUUAUGGUAGGUAGAUCACAAAAGCAGUCAGCUCAUAAGAAGAAGAAAAGUGGGAAAUCUAUUUCUUAACUCAGAGAUCCACGUGUGCAGCUUUCUAACUUUGAAAAAAAACCUGCUUGAAUUCGCUAAUGAUACAAAUCUGACAGCAGCACAACUUCGAGGGGAGGCUGACAUCCCAAUGCUCCUUGUGCCUGAAAAAUGGAAAUAUGUGUAUGGUAAAGAGCUUGUGAUUCCGAAGUUGCUAAAUUAUCUGCCAACGAAGAUGCCCAAGCUCCACCAAUGGUAUAUGGAGGCCAUAGCAAAAGGUUUGGCCAUGAUGGAAGUUUGGAUUGCUGAUCACCAUGACUUCCGUGGUGAUGACAUCAUAAUGGCCUUACUAUCAGAACUUUUCAUGCUAUUCAAUCAACAAGCACUAGACAAGUCACUCAUCAGUUGAUGGGUCCUGUAAGUCUUUAAUAUAUUCCUCUAACUUCAAAAUCCCUGCUCUAGUCAUUUUGCAGUGUCUUAACUCCUAUUCAAUUUUGUAUCAUGCAGGAUGGAGAUUUAAACUUGUCGCAAAAAUGGAUACAAUGACAUGCGCUUCAUGGACCCCUCAACAAUACACAAGAAUACUCUAAGGGAUAACCUAGAUGAGACAGCGGACAAUAUAUUUUUGUUCCUAGACAAGCACUAGGAUAAGAAAUGCAUAUUAUUACUGUGGAACUCCAGGUAAGCAUUUUUACCAUCUCUUUCUUUUCUGAGCUAGCACUUAUACAUAAUACUAAUUAGCUUCAAUUUCGAUGUACAACAACCAUUGGAUACUCAUUGUUAUUGUGCCCUAUUGGAGUAUCGUGUAUGUCUUUGACUCCUUGAGGAGACCAAAGGAAAGUUACGCUGACAUAAUGAACACUGUGAAUAAAUGCUGGGCUCGAUUCCGUCGAACUCACAAGGGUGAUUUCAAGGAAAAACUUGAUUGGAAGAUAGAUUUUCCGGUAUGUGUUCUCAAUUUUCACAUCUCGUGAAACUUCCAUUAACAGAAAACAUAUUACAUAACUUUUUUUCAAUAUAUACAGUGUGCAAGACAGCCGAAUGGUACUGAAUUAUGCGGAUACUACGUUUGUGAUUACAUCCAUGCCUUGAUCAGUCCGAGCGGCCAUAUCAGCGAACACAAAUUAACAGUACGUAUAUUUUUCAACAAAAAGUUAGUUCAUGUGUAUAUUCUUCAAAAAUCAAUCCAAGUGUAUAUACUUAGAAUAAUUAGAUUAAGUAUUUCAAUUCAUUUGGUUGUACAUCAACAAAGUUUCAAUCGUUCAAAAAUUUUAGCUUAAGUAUUUCUAAUUCAUUUGCCAAUGACACAGAUGAUGACUAGGAAGGAAAGACUCGUAGAUACAGAAAUUUUCAGGGCAAUCCAAGAACAACUAUGUGGAUUUCUUCUAGAUAAGGUCGCAAAUCCUUUGGGGGAGUUGCACCAUGAUGGGACUCCGAUAGUGCACAAACCGGCCUCGGGUUCAUAAUAGCAGAUACGAUAUGUGUAUGCAAUGUGUAAUAUUAACCAAACAUCUGUUUAUGCACAAUACGACAAUAUUAUCUCAAAUGUUAUAUUCAAAAUAAAUAGAAAUUUACAUAUAUUAGUGUAUUAGAAUCAGUAUAUGUAAAGGAAACAGAUAUAAAAUAUGAAUAUACAAUAAAGUAACAGAAAAUAAGAAAAAAAAGGAAAACUGCAUUAGUACCGGUUGGGGAUACCAACCGGUACUAAUGAGGGCACCUCCCCGCGUGGCAUGGCAAGCCCUUUAGUACUCGUCGGUUUACUCAACCGGUAUUAAAGGUUACAAUUUAUUACUGGUUAUUUCAACCGGUACUAAAGGGACCACCUCUAGUACCGAUUGCACAGUACCAGUUACGGUUCCGGUACUAGAGGGGGGUUACUGACCGGUACUACACGUCAUUUUUCCAGUAGUGUAUAAACUGGCGGGAAAGAUUCCUUCAUCACCGCUAGCUCUUGUACUAGACCGUCAGUGCUGAUGGUCCUCUUCACAGCCCAUGGGACAGCAACCGGCGGUGAUGAACUCGCAUCACUAUCCGUCCAUGGUCCGGCUAUGAUAGGCAACCUCAUCACCACCGACAUUUAUGUGCCAGCAGGCCCCCAAACCACCCGUGAUGCAGGGUUUUGGGGCUAGCGGUGAAGGCCUGUUGUGCAGUAGUGUGCAUACAAUGAUUCAAAAUAAACCUAAUAUUUUCCCUUUAUAUCUUUUUUUCUUUUAUCGUACUUUUCUAGGCCUCACUUUGUAGUUUUUCUUUCAAUUUCACAGUGACUGAGGUGUCAGGUGGCUUGCCGACGCUGAAUGAAACAACCUGAGGUGGGCUGGCCAUGACGGGUACCUAAUAAAGGGAGUGUCUGUCGCACAAGCGUUGGAAGAGCAUCUCCAGCAGUUCCCAGUAACAAUGAAAUGGAUAUUGGAGUAACCCCAUGCACUAAUUAUUGAGAAAUAUUUAUUAAGAGAUUGCUGGAGAUGCUCUAAGGUGAGCUCAUACGAGAUACAUGCAUGCUAGUGCUCAUAUGAUGGUAUGUUUCUGUGUCAUCUAAUACCAACACAUGUAUUCCUUUCUCCAUCACAAUCCUCCUUCGCAUAAGGUGUUCAGUGCUGUUGUGAAAUAAGCAUAGCUCAGCUUGUAUAUUUCCUUGUGGAACCCGCCCAUCAAGGUUCGAGUUAUUGACUUGGCACCGGUGCUCGCAUUUUCCUGAUUAAUUCUAGAAUUUAACCAGCACUAUCCUUUCAGUGGUAGACAACAUGCUCGUCGAUAGCGAGGCACCAUAAGUGACUUCGCCAAUCUCGAGGAUCUGUCGGUUCAGUCUCUUGGAGGUGCUUAAAGGUAGGGUUGCAUGUGUACAGACACAGACGCUCACAUAAACUUACAUAAAUUCAAUGGUAUUAAUACACCCUACCCUUAUCAGCACCUCUAAAACACUAAGCCAAUAGGUCCUUGAGAUUGACCCUUAUGAGCAACUCUGGAAAACUAAGCCAGCAGAUCAUGGAGAUUGACAAACUCACCAUGGGCAGCUCGCCAUCGAUGACUAUGUUGCCUACCACUGAAAAAAUAACAUCGGUUAAAUCCUAGAAUAAAUCUAGAAAAAUAGAAGAAGCGCUAGCGUCGAGUCAAUAACUUGAACCCUGGUGGGCUAUUUACCAGCUGAGCUAAUACUGAGUUCUCUACCCUGGUGGUUUUUGGGAGAUUUGCUUCCUACCUACCGGGACUAAUACUGAGUUCUCUACGUGGCCAGAUUUCUACCACCAGAAAUCUAAUAACUGCAGCCUUGUUAAAUUUAAUUAGCAUUCUUAUUCGUGAUAUUCUGAAUAUACACGCACACAUGACACAUAUCACACAUGGUUUCCACUCCCUUUCUUGGCGCUCUCCGCCGCCACGGACAGCGCAAUGGCCGUCUCUAGCCACAAAUUCAACAGUACGAUGCAAGUCUUUUGACAACUCUCCUGAGCUUAUAAAUGGUUGUAGUGCUAAAUUGCUAAAUGCCACAUGUGGAAUUGAAUCUUGGCACAAACUUUAAUCGUGGGAAACUCGCACGGUAUGAGUUUGGCACAAGUUGGGAUUCCCUGCGUCAAGUAAUUGCAGGGCUAAAAGUAGAGUCCCAAGUAUGUGUUUUGUCCUUUGCAAACGUUGGUUGUUGGCAUUACUAAAAAAUUAGCUUUCUAUAUAUAUAUACUCUAUUCGUCUCACAAAAAACACAAUUGUAUGAUUCAAAUUUGUCCAUAAGGAAUGUAAUUGCAGCUUCUACCCAUUUCUUUUAAACUUCUCAUUUUUUGGAGCAGUGAUGUCAUAGGGUGACCCCCGCUACUGAAAAUGACCAUGAUCUGGCUCUACAAAUGCUUCUUCAUAGGUGGGACAUGCAGAAAGUACGGUAAGCCCACCCCUUUUGUAGAAGAGGGUGACCUUUUGGACCACCCAGAGAAAUAAAUCGGGAUGCGCCUACAAAUCCUUUCUGUAGUAGUGAGAGAAAGAGAUUGCGGUUGAAACAACAAUCCUUUCAUGAAAUUACCGCCUCAUAAGUCAAAUUUUAGGACAACAAGACGGCUAGUCCAUAUUUGUACGAGUUGUGGUUACUCUGCAACUCAUAAUAUAUUUUUUCUAUGCACAAAGUAAAAGAAUAGAAAUAUAUAAUUACAUCGAGACUACUUAAAAAUACAACACAAUGUAAAGGUUAUUUGUUAACUUGCCUCAAGAUUACAUGUUCUCUAUUAGGUAACACCAAUAUAUAUACUGGUUCUAAAGAUUCAAUUUAUCAUUAGCUAGACACAUGGCGAUCAUGUGCAUUUAAAUCUAUAGUGUGACUUGGAGAAAAAAAAAGUAAUCUUCAUCCGUAUGGCCGUACAGUGACUCUCGCUCUUGACAGGUAUUAGUGUAAGUAGCAUAUAUAAAGAACCCUCAUGCACGCUUUGGAUCCCCAUCCCUGCUAGCAUAUAUUCAUUCAUAAACUCACGGGUAUUCUCUCAUGGUCAUGGUGCUCCCAAUGUUGCUGGUUUGUAUGGUAGUGACGGUAGUGAUCACCGUUCAUGUCAUCUGUGCCCUAGAUGAACACAAGCGAAAGAGAUUUUCCGGUGCAUCUCUUCCACUGCCCCCUGGCCCGGUCGCUCUCCCCAUCGUCGGGAAUGCCUUCAGCUUCAUCGGGCCGUUCGGCCACAACCCACACCGCAUACUCACGAGCCUCGCCAAAACCUAUGGGUCCAUAGUGUCCUUUCGGCCAGGCAUGGCAGGCAAUUUCGUGGUAGUGUCAUCCCCUGAAGCAGCACGUGAAGCUCUCAUCAAGAACGAUGCCGCGCUCGCUGCCCGGUUCGUGCCGGACAAUACACGCGCCUUAGGCCAUUGCUCGGAGUCAAUGUUCUUCCUCCCAACCUAUAGCCAUUUGUGGAAGCAGCACCGCAUCACAUUGGGUACCAGCCUCUCAACUGGCCGGGGCCUUGACACAACCCGCCCCAUUCGGGAUCGCCAUGCCUGUCGGCUCAGCGAGCACUUAAGGUUCUGCUCUGGCAUGCCAAUCAAAAUUGGAGAGGCCGUCCAAGGCACAGUGCUCGAUGUUAUGUCCAACAUCCUCUUCUCUAAGGACGGGACGCACUUGCGCGUGAAGGGGGGCCAGUUGUUCAAGGACCUCCUGGUGGAGGUCCUCGAGGACUGGACUAAGCCCAACGUUUCUGACGCUUUUCCCUUCUUCGCGUCACUUGACCUCCUUGGCUCACGCCGCCGAAUCUCCAGAGGUUUGGCUAAACUGUACAAGUUCUUUGAUGAAGAGUUCGUCGAACGUCGGUUAGGCAGCAGUGAGAACCACCACGAUUUGUUGGACUUCAUCCUCUCGCAGCAUGCCAAGUCGAAGCUCACGCGUUCAGAGAUCACCAAGUUCUUCACGGUCGGCUAUACAUAUGAUCUCUGAACAUAAAUAUAAUUGCUGUCUUUCUGCUUUCUGUACAUUUUCUUGGGUAACUGAUAUACUAAUUAACUUACAUUUUUUUAUAUGCAUUUCUGUUCUUAACCUAUCAAUAGGAUAUCUUUCUUGCCGCGAGCAACACAAGUAGGAUCACCGUGGAAUGGGCAAUGGCACUCCUACUUAAGCAUCCAGAAAAGAUGAAGAAGCUGCGUGCUGAGCUUGCAGCGAGCCUUGGGACCAAGGAGUUUGUCCAGGAGAGCGACUUGGACAAGCUCCCCUACAUCCAUGCUGUGGUGAAGGAGACACUACGACUGCAACCAUCAGCACCGCUGCUACCACGAAUGGUGUCCACGGACGGCAUGUCACUUGGCGGAUUCUCAGUACCAAUUGGUACCAACAUUCUGAUUAACCUUUGGGCCAUUGGAAGGGACCCAACGGUGUGGCCUCAGGCGGGAGAGUUUCUGCCUGAAAGGUUUCUGGGCAGCCGAUCACUGGACUUCCGGGGAUCAGAAGACUUCACAUAUAGGCCCUUUGGGGCAGGGCGAAGGAUGUGCCCAGGACUGGACUUCGCUGCGCAGUUGAUUCCACUUUUGCUAGCCUCGAUGUUGCACAAGAUCGACUGGAGCCUACCUGAUGGGAUCGUGCCUGAGGAUGUGGACCUCAGGGAUCGCUACAGCAUGGUUCUGGAGCUCGCUAAGCCCCUCAUUGCGGUGCCAGUGUCAACGGUGUGCCGUGCUCCGCCGUGGCUGAUGUAGCGUAACUUCAUAUCAGCCGCCGGUACACAAGUGGUUUUAGAGGUUUGUGUGGGUGAAUAUAGGGAAUUCAUACCCAAAUCCAAACCCAGCUUAAAGGUAUGGGUAUAUAUAUACACACACUAGCAAAUUUGCUCGUGCGUUGCCACAGAACGUAAACCUUGGACAAAAUACCCGUGCGUUGCUACGGUAAAAAAUCAAUUGUAUUUUUUCAAAUUAAUAAUAUUUUUUAUUUUCAUCACUAAAUUUUUAUUCCACUUAUUAGAUAUCUACACAUUUAAUAGAAAACUAAAAGUCCUCCAUCCAGGCCCUACCUCCUCUCCUCCCCUAGAUUCGGCCGGCGCCCUUAAAGGCUAGCUAAGCCAGCAAUUCAACAUUCGCAUCCCACUUUCAUUCUUAAAGGCUAGCUAUGCCAGCAAUUCAACAUUCACAUCUUUUGUGUAAGCAAUACUGUUUGCGUUGUCUCUGACAUGGGACAUGGCUGGUGCAAACAUGCAUUGCAAAGAGAGCUCUUGUUAUACCCCUAGUUUUCUCACACCAAAGAAGGGGUAUAUAUAUUUGUUUCUUUCGGGUAAGUCACCAGCAACAUGGGCUUCAAGCCCACAAACCAGCCCACUAAGCCAACUCUCUGCCCUCUGAAGCUGGAGUCACAAGGCUGGAGUCUGCUCGGACGUUCUUAUCCACGCGCUCAUGACCGGCCGUCGACCCGCGCCCCACCGCAGAGGCCAUAACCUAUAGCCAUGUAGCCCGCUUGUCAGCCACUAGCCAUGCACCACGUUCUCGUCGUCCAUAGUCCAUCCUCUCCAUGUGCCCCACAUGCACAUUUACCGCCACUAAACACCUCGCCCCCACCCCAUUCUCUGCUCCCUCCCAUGCGGGCACGUGGCUCGUCCGUUUCGCUCCCAUGCCACCGCACAGCAAAACCCCGGCCGACCUGCUUACUUCCCUGAGCAGCAGCAGCGGAAUCAGACCACCGGGCUCGGGACCUCGGGUACACCGAGGGAAAGAAUGUUGGAGGCCGCACGCAGUGGCUCACACCCGUGGUGCUGUUCGUGCUCGUGAACCUCAUCAUCGCCACGUCGCCGUCGCGUCCAAGCUGAUGUCGUCAGGGACAGGGACGGCGGCGCCCGGGGGGUCGACGAGGUGGGCGGCGGCAGGUGGAGGGCCCUCCUGCGUGUGCCAUCCCUCACCGUCGACUGCCUCCGCACGUCGUUCAACUUCUCCCGCCUCGGCGGCCUCGCCGCCGACCACUCGCCGCUCUUCGAAUACGCGGCCUCGGAGCUAGCCUUCCCCCAGCUACCGGCGAUGAGCUACCGGUGACGGGGGUCGCGGCGGCGCCGGGAAUGGUGGCCACGACGAUGAGCUCGAGCGCGAGAAGGUGGUGUGCAUCUAGAGGAGCCGGUCGGAGGCGGCCAUGGAGCUUGCGCCCAGCAGCUGGCGUCCGCGGGCGAGGAGGACGCGGAGGGCGGCGGCGGUCGAGGAGCCGGCGCUCGCGCACGACGUUCUCGUCACCCCCGCGUGGCGGCGGUGUCGAGGGAGGCUAGCGCCGUCGCCGUCGCCGGGCGCGGCAAGGUGCCAGCGGUGGAGGUAGACGCGCGCGCGAAUGACUUCAUCCGGCGGUUCCGGGAGCAGCUCCGGCUGGAGCGCCUCGACUCCAUCCUCCGCUACCAGGACACGCUUACGCACCACGAUCAAUAAAUCAAUUGUUAAACCCACCCGUCAAUGUUGGAUGAAACUAAAAGAGUGGAUAUGGGAAGAAAUGGGAUUGGAUUGUGCACGUGUGUUUAAAAUAAAUGUCAAGAACUCAGCUAUGGAAAUCAUGACCUGAGCUUGCUCUCAGAUUGAACCAAGUUGCACGCACCUCUAUUCCCGUGUGUACCCUUGUUUUACGAACGGUAUAUCUUACCGUCACCUAAUUGGAGUCCUUUUCAGUUAAUCCUUUUCUAGGAAAAAGAUACCCUGUUGAAACAUAUAAGAUAAUGUUUUGGUUUCAUGAAAAUUGAAAUUAAGGAGAGUCGCAGCUAUCUAUUCGCAGCUUACAUGAUGUCACUGUCCUCGUCAUCCUCGGCACUGGCAGAGCGUCGUUGGGGCCUUAGAGGACCACGGCCCCCUUGCUUGGUAAAAAAAAAAAUCAGAAGAGCAAAGUGCAAAUUUCCAGUCCAAGUGCAGUCCGUGGCUUCUUGACACGUAAUUCAGCGCACAAUCAAGAAAUCCCACAAGGCAUUAACCAUAUAGGCACAAACAAACAUUGAAAACAAUAGAAAAAAACAUUGAGCCAAUUCCAGCAACUAGCGGAUGAGACAACGACCUCAGCCGUCGCAAGACGGACGCUUCCUUCACAGUUGACUCAUUGAGGUUGUCAUCGUCGGCUGUCGCCACUCGCCAGGGCUGGCGCCUUGCAGCCUGGUGCUAGAACUUUCAUCCGGCCAUUUUUGUUUAAGCCAGUUCAAGUUAGGGCAAGGAGGAAAGGAAAGUAUGGUUGCUUUUCUUCCUUCUUUUGUUUAUCUUCUAAGUUCUUAACACAUUAGAUCCGUAGAAUAUGCAGGCUACUAUUGCCUAAUUAGCUGGUAAUUUGUUGUCAGUUGAGAUCUAUUGUUAUUUCUUUUGAGAAAAUUGAGAUGUUUCGCUAGUUUAUUUGGCCCUAAUCCCCAAAUUGCACAGUUUAUACGGUUUGGUGGUUUUAUAACUAAAUAGAGUUCUGCAAUUUGGUAGGUAGGUACAAAUGGGUAAAGAGAAGCCUAUUGAUUCAUUUUUCAACAGCAAAAGAGAUGAACCAAUUGUGGACUGUCGAGCAACCUCUGGUUCAAGCCAACCAAUUUCCCCCCUACAAUUUGCUUCACGCUCCGCCACUGAUCCUCGAUCCUCGGUGAGAAUUUUUAACCUCUUUGAAAAAGUCGGCGAUUGCGAAUCUCCACCUGCAUUUUUUGUUCUAAACCUUUUUAAACUUGUUUGUGAUUGCGAAUCCAAGGAGAUGUACCUGCAUAACAGAAGCUAUCUUUGCUGCUAGACAGAUCGAGCAGCGAGCUCACCCAUAACUAUUGAAUCCACAGUAGUGGUUGCCAGGACUUGCAGGCGACAUACCUGUACAGAUGAUUUGAAGUGCAAAACCACUCCUAAACUUGCUGUUAAUUCGAAUAUUAUUACCUUGCCCAUCUAGUAAAACAGAUGCAUCUGCGUAGGCAAAGUUGGACCGCAAAACUGGACAGCUCUCUGUGGUGUUGUUUAGAUGGACGCUGCCCCCUCCCGUUUGCAUGUUUUCUUCCCAGCACAGACGCUGUUUCUUGAAAUGGAUUCUGAAAUAUUGUGGCGAAAUGUCCUUUUCUAAGUGGGCCUAGACCCAUAAAUUCGCGAGCUCCGCCCCACUCACCACUGCCACACCGUAACUCCGCCUGUGCUGUCGUGGCCACUUGCUCGCCUCGUCGCUCUCGCGCGUCACAGUAGCAGCAGUUCUUGAGGCGGCACGCUGCCUGAAAGCUAUGCGAGCCCGUCAGCUCGUCAGACACGCUGCCUGCCUCCCGCUACGCUCCACCUCCCCAUCACCACGCUGCAAGCCGACGCCCGCAAGCUGCCGCUCGGCCACAGCGCCGCUGACACUACGGGAAAGCAUAAAGUCGCCGAGUGUAAUAACUUCGCCGAGUGCUUUUUUUCGGGCACUCGGCGAAGAACCGUGUUGCCGAGUGUAACACCAAAAACACUCGGCAAAAAUAAAACACUCGGCGAACAACCUGUUUGCCGAGUGCCCUCCAAAAAACACUCGGCAAACACCCAGGCGGCACUCGGCAAACUUUGACACUCGGCAAACUGACGCCCACGUGACUUCCCCGUGCCGACGGCGGCGCCCCUCCGUGACGGCCGUUAGUGUUUGCCGAGUGUCAAUAUAGGGCACUCGGCAAAGGCACUAGUUUGCCGAGUGCCAUGAUGGGACACUCGGCAAACUAUAGUCUUUGCCGAGUGUCUUGUUGGGACACUCGGCAAACCCUAUAGUUUGCCGAGUGCUAGGGUGUACACUCGGCAAACUAUAGCGUUUGCCGAGUGUUUUUUUACACACUCGGCAAACAUAAUUUUUUUCCCCUCCUCCACCCUCCAAACUUUUUACACUCCACAUGUAUGGCAUUUGGCACUGCAUGGUAGAAGAUGGACUAUUUUUUGACCUGUUUGCUAUAUUUAAUCAAUUAAUUUCAUUUAGAGUAAUUUUUUGAUUUAAGUCAAAUUUGAACUGCAGGUGGUUGGAAUAAUGGAAUAAUAUGAGUGAAAAAAUCAUAUUGAUGUUAGUGAGUCUAAAUUGAUGUCUCACCCAGAAAAUGAAAACAAAUUUCGAACAUGUUGCUAAGGAAACACGACUACGAACGUGUGGCCAAAUGAUUGUUUAAUUCUUAAAAAUACAAACGAAGUUUGAAAAUCAUGAGAUUUUGCAAGAUGCUUUGAUUUCGUAUGCAGAGGCCGUGGUAAAAAAUUGAUAAGGUUUCGCACAAGUUUUGACAUAUGAUGUUUACAAUUCGAAGCAUCUCCGGAGAGGUUUCAGAGAAGUUCAAAGGAUCCGGUAAGAUUUUGAGAUGAAUCGAUAAAUAUAAUUCACAUUGAGUCCAAAUUUUUUUUUAUAGGCUAUAGAGAACAUAGAUAGGUUCAUGUCAAAUUUUGGGAAAUUUUCAGAUCCGUUUGGUAAUUUUUAUUCAUUAAUUGGACGUAUAUGAAUUUAAUAGAUAUAAAUUAAAUAUGAGCUAUAAAUCCAUGAAAUAAUGGUACAAUAUUACUUAAAAAAUGAAAUACGCAAUGUUUAGUGAAUUGGACUAGGGUUACACAAAGUUUACGUCCUUUUAAUUACUAAAAGUGGUGUUGGACAUGCAAUAUAGGUAGGUGUUUGCCGAGUGCUACCUAGGGCACUCGGCAAAGGGAUGGUUUGCCGAGUGUCACAAAUAGGGCACUCGGCAAAGUCACAAAUAGGGCACUCGGGUCCACGUCGCAGUGUCUGGCAAUGUUUCGGGGGGAAAAACACCCUUUGCCGAGUGCCCCGGAUCUAGCACUCGGCACAGNNNNNNNNNNNNNNNNNNNNNNNNNNNNNNNNNNNNNNNNNNNNNNNNNNNNNNNNNNNNNNNNNNNNNNNNNNNNNNNNNNNNNNNNNNNNNNNNNNNNGACGAGGAAGAAGAGGAAGAGAUCUCCAGCAUCCGGGGGAUGACUCGGUCGAGGACGCGUGACCGUGGAGCAAGAGACCACGCAGCAACCAGCACCAUCACCCAGCACAGGCGCUGCUCAUGCACCAGCACGACGCCCGUACCGGUCGUCGACUUGAUGGAUGAUGAGCCCGAAGCAGAUGCCGAGCACGAGACAUGGACCAAAUGGGUGAAGAUAGAUCAUGGCCAAGGAGUGCAAAUGGCUCGACAUCCUCAGGUGGACUUGUCACCGCUUGGGGUACAGCAUGAGGCCACUCUACAAGUCCUCUCGGUUCACCCACCCUCGCUAUCCCACUUUUUACGAGGUGAAGGUUGUCCUUGGUGAGGAGCACGAAGGAGGAUGGUAGGUGAAGUUUAUUCACCAUGAUGUGACCAUGAGGAGGCCCAUGGAGUCCGACGCGCACUAGGCCCCCAGAAGGGCAGUUGAGGUCGGCUCCCACCCGCAGCCCGUGCCACUGGUCCACAGUUACCACCGGUCCCUUCCUUACGCAGCUAGUGGGGAAGCCAGCCCCUCCACGCCCACUAAUCAGCGGGUCGCCCCGCCCACCGACUUCCGCCGCCAGGCGCCGUCCGCCCCCCUGCCGCCCCGCACCGACCGCCCCACGCCCCCGGCCCCGACCCUCGGCCGCCCCGAGCCGUCGCCGCCAGGCCGCGCCCCUGCCGCCGUCCCGCGCCCGCUCCUCCGUCACCCCUCCGGUAAGUUUAUGUUGCCGCUACACAUCGUAAAUUAGAGUAUGCAUGAAAAUGGAAAUUAAAUGUGAAAAUACUAGAGNNNNNNNNNNNNNNNNNNNNNNNNNNNNNNNNNNNNNNNNNNNNNNNNNNNNNNNNNNNNNNNNNNNNNNNNNNNNNNNNNNNNNNNNNNNNNNNNNNNNNNNNNNNNNNNNNNNNNNNNNNNNNNNNNNNNNNGCUUACCAGGGAUCUAAUAAAAUGAUCACGUACACAUCCUCGGGUGGGAUUAGGACCUAUCUUUACCUAGUAGACAAUAUAGGAGCGUGUAUAUGCCAUGUGAAUUUUGUAUUACUUAUUUAAAUGGUAGAGGAUGGAGGAUCGUCAGUGGAUGUACACGGGUCGCACUAGUCAGAAUACGUUGACCAAUGAAUGGCUUGACAAGACGGAUGCUUUCUUGGAACGGGCGUUUGCAAGUGUCAAUGGAGCUCGAUCGACUUGGUGUCCGUGCAGCAAAUGUGGAAACAUGCGUCGGCAAACCAAGCUGGAGAUGGGCAAACAUCUGGUGAAGAACGGAUUUACGUCAGACUACACCAGGUGGAUCUACCAUGGUGAAUAUGACCGUGGGAGAGAGGAGGUCUUGAGACAACGAAUCGAGGAAUUUGAUGAUGAUGCCGGGGUGGGAGAUAUGUUGAAUGACUUUCAUGAAGCACACUUCGAAGAGGCACGUAGGGAGGAGGAUCCAGAGGCUACCGCUAAGGCUUAUUACGAAAUGUUGUCUGCGGCACAGCAACCCCUUCACGGCCAUACCAAGGUUUCUCAGCUAGAUGCCAUUGCACGCCUAAUGGCUGUGAAGUCUCAGUUUAGUUUGAGUCGAGACGCGUUUGAUAUUAUGUUGACAGUUUUUGGAAGCCUGCUCCCGGUUGGUCACAUCUUGCCAAAGAGCAUGUAUGAGGCACAGAAACUCCUUCGUGCACUUAAGAUGCCAUACGAGCAUAUACAUGCAUGCCCGAAGGGAUGCAUCUUAUUUAGGAAAGAGUAUGCGGAAGCAAAAUACUGUGUGAAGUGUGAAUCGUCUAGAUUUCUGGAGGUUGAUUCGGGUGACGGUCAGAAAAAGCAGCUCGCAAUUCCUGUGAAGGUUCUACGGUAUCUUCCUUUCAUACCGAGGAUCCAACGGCUUUUCAUGACUGAAGAAUCCGCAAAACAGAUGACAUGGCACAAAAAUGGCCGUCGCUAUAAUCCAGAGAAGCUGGUACACCCAUCCGAUGCUGAAGCCUGGAGAAGCUUUGAUGCGAUUUAUCCUGCAAAAGCUCUAGAGGCCCGUAACGUACGCGUUGCGUUGGCAACUGAUGGGUUCAAUCCCUAUGGAAUGGCGGCCGCCCCGUACACCUGUUGGCCCAUUUUCGUUAUCCCACUGAAUCUCCCACCCGGCGUCCUAUUUCAACGACAUAAUAUAUUCUUGUCGUUGAUAAUUCUAGAGCAUCCGGGAAAUAAUAUGAGUGUGUAUAUGGAGCCUCUGAUUGAUGAUUUGCUCCGUGCUUGGGAGGAAGGAGUAUGGACCUAUGACCGAUGCACAAAGACAAACUUCAAGAUGCAUGUUUGGUACCAGUACUCACUGCAUGACUUGCCGGCAUAUGGGAUUUUCUCCGGAUGGUGUGUUCACGGGAAGUUCCCUUGCCCAGUAUGUAAAGCAUCUUUGAAGUUUAUUUGGUUGUCGAAAGGGGGCAAAUAUUCAUCGUUUGACAAACAUCGACAAUUCCUCCCUCCUGACCAUCCAUUUAGACGAGACAUGAAGAACUUUACCAAAGAUGUUGUAGUUACAGCCCCCGCACCGCCGAUGAUGACAGGGGCCGCAGUUCGUGCUCAGUUAGACGCUCUUGAGUUCAAUAAUGAAGAAGGUGGUUUUUUAGGAUAUGGCGAGCAACAUGCUUGGACGCAGAAGUCGUGCUUGUGGAAGCUUCCAUAUUUUGAUGAUCUACUUGUUCCACAUAACAUUGAUGUAAUGCACACGGAAAAAAAUAUCGCCGAGGCAAUUUUUGGUACUAUAAUGGACAUUCCUGACAAGACAAAGGAUAAUGUUAAGGCUAGAGUGGAUCAAGCGACAUUGUGCAACAGACCACAGCUAAACAUGGCGCCUCCAAGAGCUGGCAAGUCAUGGAGGAAGCCUAAGGCCGAUUUCGUUCUGACGAGGGCUCAAAGGAGGGAGGUUCUAGAAUGGUUCCAAACAUUAAUGUUCCCUGAUGGCUAUGCAGCGAACUUGAAGAGGGGAGUGAAUUUAGCAACUAUGCGAAUCAACGGGCUCAAGAGUCAUGAUUACCAUAUAUGGCUUGAGCGCCUCCUUCCGGUGAUGGUUCGAGGCUAUGUCCCUGAGCAUGUGUGGCAGGUGCUAGCGGAGUUGAGCAAUUUCUUCCGCCGGCUUUGUGCGAAGGAGUUAUCUCGUACCGUGGUUGCAGAAAUGGAAACAAUGGCGCCUGUGUUGCUUUGUAAGUUGGAGAAGAUCUUUCCUCCAGGGUUCUUCAAUCCAAUGCAGCAUAUGAUUCUACACCUCCCAUAUGAAGCACGAAUGGGGGGGCCUGUGCAGGGUCGUUGGUGCUACUCAAUUGAGAGAUGUCAAAAGGUUCUUCGAACUAAAUGUAAGAAUAAGUGCAAAAUUGAAGCAUCCAUUGCAGAGGCAUACAUUCUGGAGGAGGUGUCAAACUUCACAUCGAAAUACUACGCUGAGAACCUUCCUAGUGUGCAUAAUCCACCUCCUCGUUACAAUGCUAGCGAAGAUGAAUUAAGCCUUAGCAUUUUCCGAGGGCAACUCGGAAGUGCAAGUGGUGCGACCCGCAAGACCCUUAAUCAUGAAGAGUGGCGCUCUAUCAUGCUAUAUGUGUUGACCAACCUAUCUGAAGUGGAGCCGUACAUGAUGUAAGUCACCGACAAACUUAUUUCGACGUAUUAAUGGUAUCUCUUGCCUAAACGUAUCUUUCUCCUUGGCAUAGGCAAUUUCAUCGUCAAUUCUGGCGUAAAUCAAGGCAACCGACCCCGCACGAAGCUGAGACUCUUCUUAAAGAGGGUGCGGGAAAUGGAAUGCCCGAUUUCAUUUCUUGGUUCAAACAGAAGGUAAAAUUUCAUUUCCGCGAACAUUCUAGAUACUCGUGCAUACGAUUAAUAUAACGAACCGCCCUGUUCGUACUUGCAGGGCCGAACCGAUGCGUCUAUGAAUGCCGAGUUGAGACAGGUUGCCAAUGGCUGUGACUAUAGGGUCAGGUCGUUUGCCGGUUAUGACGUCAACGGAUAUAGGUUUCACACAACAAGGCACGAGCAGAGUCGGCCCAAUCGAAGAACCACAAAUACCGGAGUUUUCACGCCAGGCUCCGAUGGAGUCGAGUACUACGGAAGAAUUGAAGAAAUAUACGAACUCACUUUUCAUGGGUGUAAACCUCUUAAUCCAGUUAUAUUCAAAUGUCAUUGGUUUGAUCCAUCUGUCGUGAGACGGGCCCCUAACCUUGGGCUAGUCGAAAUUCGACAGUCAUCCAGGUUACCAGGAGACGAUGUCUAUAUUGUGGCUCAACAGGCCACGCAAGUUUAUUAUUUGUCAUACCCGUGCCAAACCGACAGCCGUCUUAAGGGUUGGGAUGUUGUGUACAAGGUAUCACCACACGGUAAACUACCUGUACCAAACAAUGAAGAUUACAAUAUAGACCCCGACACGUACGAAGGAGAGUUAUUCCAACAAGAUGGGCUCGAAGGGAGUUUUGUGAUAGAUUUAACCGAAGCGAUCGGAAUGGAAGUAGACAACGAGAGGGUUGCUGCAGAAGACGGUGGAGACGAGGUUCAGAAUGUGAAGGACUUAGAAUUACUUCAACGAUUACAGUUAGAUAAUGACAGUGAUGACGACAUUUCUUCUUCGGAGCACGAGCUUGACUAUAUCGACACGCGUGAUAGUGAUGAUGAGACUUAUGAUCCAGCUAAUCCCGAUCAUGAUGAUUAUUUCUAAUACAUGUAUGAUUCGUAAUAAUUUAGCUAUAAUUACUUGUAAUUUGCAUAUAUUUCUAAUUAUGUUUUGUUUGUCUAUGCUGACUCGUGUACUCUUUUUAAUUGCAGGUCAUCAAGCAAUGGUGGGCGGUAUCAGGAAGCUCACGUCGAUUUGCGAGAGACUGGCCGCGGCAGGGACUGGUUCAGGGUCAGGGUCACGUUCAGUCUCGGGUCGAGGGAGGCGUCGAGGCAGGCCUCGACGUAGGGUUGAGGAGGAGGAGGAGGAGGAGGAGCAGGAGGUGGUCCAGAGGCCUCGAGGGAAAGGUAAAGCGGCGAGGCCCCCGUCGCCUGAACCUGAGGAGGAGGAGGAGGAGGAGGAGGAGGAGGAGGUACCUUCCGCACACUCCUCUGGGGACGAGGAGGCGGAGGAGGAGGAGCAGCAGGAGCAGGAGGGGGAUGGGGAGGCAGGGGAUACCCAGGCCAAGAUAUGGUUGCGAGGUCCCUCAUCCCUCCCGAAGCGGCCGAUACCUGAGCAUUUACGCCCGCUCAUUAAACCGGUUGGGAUCAAGUAAGUAACUUUAAAUAUUCUUGAAAUUGUUCUUAUGUUGUAAGUUACAAAAAAUAAUAAUUCAUAUUAAUUACUUGUGCAGGAGUUGGGUUAAGCUCAGCGGGGGUGACCACAACCGUAAGGCCAACGGGAUCCUUGGCCUUUUGUGCAGGGUUCACUUCCCUGGCUUGGUGGUGUACGCCGGACAGCUGCAGCCGGCCUACACGUGGGACCACUACGUCGCCGCCCCCGACGUCCCUGAUCGUCAACAAAGAAGAUUCCCCAACAUAGCGGAGCGGGUCAAGGCCGAGCUGUGGGUAAGUACUCCUCGUACUAAAUUGCUCAAUACAUCACUACUUUCGACAUUCUUGAAAUAAUAAUUGUUUACGCGUGUAUAUGCAGGACUUCUAUAGAUGCCAGGAGGGGUUCGAGGCCAAGGCGAAGGCCGUCUGUGAUGUAGCCGCCAAGAAGCUCGUGAGGGACAUGCAUUACGAGGCGCGCAUCCAGGCCAUCAUAGAGUUCAACGCUCAAUACAAUCAUACGAAGGUUAGAAAAGAGGAGGCAAGAACAAUGAACCUGACUAAGGAUCAAUUCAUGAGGGUAAGUAAAGAACGUUGAUGCUUACUAUUUAUGAUUAAUUAGGCUCAUUUUCUUUUUCAUACGUCACACGCUUGAUGAUGUAGGUGCCUCCGUGGUGGUGUCGUGCGCAUAUGCCGUGCUGGGAGAGGAUGGUCGACGUGUGGUUGGAGCCCGGGUGGUUGGAGACCCACCUUUCUUGCCGGCAGCGGCGUUUGCAGAUGCCGACUGCAUCACACCAUCAAGGCAGCCUAAGCCUUGAUGAAUAUAGAGAAAAAUGGGUACGCAACUUCAAUUCUUUAUUGUAACGUUUAGUUCUACGUAAUUUUUAAUAAUUUUGUAUUUUGCCGCAGUCGGCGUCACAUGAUGGCCGACCUUGCUCCCAGCUCAAGGCAUGGGUCCUCUCCAAAAAGGGCAAGGCGACGGCCGAUAUAGAUUUCAACCCAGACGACCCGUCCGAGGCGUACAGCCACCCUAGCAUAUACAGCCGCGUCAGCGAGUAUACAAAGAUGGCUAGGGAGGUUCACGGGCCAGACUUCGAUCCGAGCUCCGAGGACAUUGAUGGAGAAAUCGUGAUGAGGGUGGGAGGAGGCAAGAAGCAUGGCCGAUAUUGGAUUGGCGACGGCGUCAUCGACACGGCCUCUACUCCCACUCUCUCCCAGAUCCGAGCUAGGAGCACGGACUCGAGCCCGGCAGUACGCCCACGACCCACCGCUGCACACUUCCAGAUGGAGGCUCUACAGGUUCUUUCUCUUCCAUUCAUCGUUCGUUUGUUGUUGUACUUUAGCUUUGCAUUAUAACAUUGCAAUGAAAUAUUGUAGGCCCAGGUGGAAGAAUCAAGGAAGAAACAAGAGGAGAUGGCGGCGCAGAUGGAGGAAAUGCGGCGGAGGAUGGAGGAGGAAAACCGGAUUAGGAUGGAGCAGAUGUUCCAGUACAUGCAGAACUUUGCUACGAGCAUGGGACAGACUUUGCCUCCGCCACCGCCGAUGAUGUUCCCUCCGCCUCAGCCACCCACGACUACUCCUGUGAGUCACUUGACACAUUGUGUUUAAGAUUCAAUAGUUUAAAUUUGACAACUUUAGAUGUUACCUCAGAAUGUCCUAUCCUAUGUGCAGAAUCAAUCGGCGGCUUCGAAUAAUGAAGAUCAAGAUUUGUCGCAGUGGUCUCCUUGGCCUCCACGGAAGUAGACUUGAUUGUGAACAAUGUGGAAACUAAAUUGUGAGAAGAACUUGGAUUUAUGGAUUAUUUCGUGCUUAUGUUGAACUAUGCCUGUGGUGUUUAUGAAUUAUGCCUGUGGUUGUGAAUUAUUCAUGUGGUUGUUUAUUACAAAUGCCUGUGAUAUGUGUAUUGUGAAUUGAGAGGGGUCCGUUAUACGUGGCAAAAUUUCGAAAAAGGGGCGGUUCUGGUCACUUUGCCGAGUGUUACACUCGGCAAAGAUGGGCCUUUGCCGAGUGUCGUGACCAUAGCACUCGGCAAAGGGGCAUUUCCCAGGUGUAGGAAAGGUCCUUUGCCGAGUGCUAUGGUCAAGGCACUCGGCAAAGUGGGCGGCUUUGCCGAGUGCCCUAGCGCCGGCACUCGGCAAACAUAUCCGACUUUGCCGAGUGCCCGGGAGCCGGCACUCGGCAAAGGGACAGUGUUUGCCGAGUGCCGGGAGCCGGCACUCGGCAAAGGGACAGUGUUUGCCGAGUGCCAGGCGCGUGGCACUCGGCAAACUCGCCGUUACCCGACGCCGUCAGUCCGCGGUUCGCCGAGUCCAUCUAUUCGCCGAGUGUUUUUUGGCCGUCGGCAACAUGUUUGCCGAGUGUCCGAGUUUUGACACUCGGCAAACUAGGCUUUGCCGACACAAUAUUUGCCGUGUGCCCUUUGCCGAGUGUUACACUCGGCAAAGGCUUUGCCGAGUGUUUUCGUGCCUUUGCCGAGUGCCCCAGGCACUCGGCAAAAGUUCUGUCUCCCGUAGUGUGAUGCCGUGCGUUUGAGCAGCCUUUUUUUUGUUUUCUAGCUUUUUUUUAGAUUCUCACAAAUACGGAAAUAUUUCAAAAUCUGGAUCCAUAGCUUGACGUCAUCCACACUGUCCACCGUCGUGUUCUUCUCCGUUCUCCCUUUACUCCUCCCCACCGUCCGGCUCUUCGUGUCGUCGUCAGCCUCCCGCCGGUCCUCCCUGCCUUCCACCCGCCGCUGGCCCUCGCCGCAGGGGGCCGCGCCGGCCAGCAGGGUGCCACCUGCACUUGCCGCCAGGCGCUGCCGACCCACCAGCCGCCGCCUCCUAGCCACCGGGCGGAGUGGGCACAAUGUGCCGAUGACACCCCACUUCACCUCCGUGCCCUCUCUCGUUGGAAGGUAAAUUUCUUAUUAGUUUUAAUAGUGAGAUAUAUAGAAUAGGUAGGUAGAAUUGUUAAAUAGAAUUUAGAUAGAUAGAUAGAUAGAAUAGUUAGAUAGUUAGUUUGAAAGAUAAUUAGAUAGAAUUUUCAUCUUAUGUAAUUUUCUUUUUAGAUAUAUAUAGUUAGAUAGAUUAGUUAGACAGAUAGUUAGAUAGAAUUUUAUUCAUAUGUAAUUUUUUGACUUAGAUAGAUAGAAUAGUUAGAUAGAUAGUAAUAUAGUUAGUAUGAUAGUUAGUUAAAUAGUUAUAUACUAAGUUUAUAAACUUGAUGGACAACGUAGUGAGCAUAUAUCAUGAAGGUACCAUGGAAAGAGAUGAUUAUGGAUGUGUUAAGUUUGUUAACAUGCAAAGCAUGGUUGUGUUAUUAAUUGAGAAGCCCUCAUUUAGUGAGUUGGUUGCAAGUGCUCGGGAGGAGCUAUAUUGCCACGAAGAUGAUGACAUCACAGUGGAGGGCGUACUUCACCUAGUUUCCCCUUUCAACAUCCAAAGGAAGAUGAUCCCAAUUUGGUGUGCAGAUAAGUGGGAGAAUGAUGUGAGAUCGGUUAUGAAGCGCCAGUUCUAAAGUUUGGACGUGGUUGUGCGUCGGGUGUUAGUUGAUCCCAUCCGUCAUCGGUUUUCCCGACCAAUGGGUCAGCAUGCACACUUUGACCCUUUCAUCCCAGAACCUAUUAUGGAUGUGGAGGUUGCACGUACGGUUCCCGAUGCUGAAUCUGCCCCCAAUGAGGUAGUUGGAGAUGCUUGUCGGACACUUGAUGCUGUGGUAAAACCUCCUCAUGAGAUCCCUUUGACACAAAAUCGUCCGAGUAAGUGUCUUAUCGGCACGCUUCUUGGGAGCUAACCUCCUUCAUUACAUCAAUUUUUUUUCUUCCUUUCUCAUAUUUCUAUCAAUGUUUUAGGAGACAUUCCUGAAAAUGUGGAUGUGCCCCCAGUUGCUACUCAACUGCACUGUGGAGAAGGAUUACGUGGCUCUAAUAGUGUUGAAAUUAUGAAUGAUUCGGAUGCAUAUGAGAUGGGAAUGUAUCUUGAUUCUGAUAAUGAUCGCCCUAUUGGAGAGAUGACAGAGAGUGAUGUUGAGAUGUUCAGGCGUAUCUUUCCUGGCCUUCGUGAUCCAAGAGUUCACGAGUUCAGUGAUCUUUCUCAUUCUGAUCAUGCGUGUGUAGAGGGAAGUGAUGAUGAGCUCCUAGAAGCUCCUGAGGCUGGACCUAGCAUAGUGAUUGAGGAGGGUAGGGUAUUCAAGGAUCUCCCCACAUUGAAGAGGUGGUUACAGGCGUUUGCAGUGAUACAGAAGAGACCUUAUAAGGUCUUGCAUUCAUAUGCAGAGCACCGUUACACAGUUGUGUGUGACAAGUAACAGUGCCCAUGGACGAUUUGUGCAAGGAAGAAAAAGAUCACCGAGAAGUGAAAGAUCACAAAAGUUGUUGGGCCACACAAUUGUGCUAACACUAGAACAUCGAGAAGUGGAAGAUCACUGGAUAGAAUGGUAAGUCAAGUACCUUACUUUCCCAUGUUAAAUUACUUAGUGAUUUACUGGUUUACUUUUUAUGGACUUUGUGGACUCUUGUUAUGAACUAUUUUGGACUUUCAUUAUGGACUAUUGUGCAUAUAGACAUUCAUUAAUGAAGUUUUGUGUGUAUGAACUAUUGUGGACUUUCAUUGUGAAUUAUUAUGUGUAUGAACUAUUGUGGACUUUUAUUAUGAACUAUUGUAGAUUUUCAUUAUGAAUGUGGCAUAUGUUUGUAUGUUUGAACAUGUUGUAUUCAGGUAAAAUAUUCAUCUCAUAAUUGUGUAUGAAUUACAUCCAAAAAUACGGGAAAUUCUGCCGAAAUUUCACAAAAAUAUAGGAUUGCAUUUCGCUUACAAAAAUUCUCCACCAUGUAAGCUUAUGUGCAUUAGGCAUGUGCUCACAUAUUUCUCGCAAAGAAAACGACAUCGCACAUACUACUAGGGUGUCCAUACUUAAAGUGCAUUACAUGACAACAUAAUGAAAAGUCCAACAGUAGACAACAUGUUUCAUAAAUAAACUAUCAGACUACAAGUAAUGGAGACUACUGAGUGCAACGAGUCCACUUUCCCUUCCUCAAUCGCUGCUUUCGCUCGGCGCGCAUGCUCAAGCUUCUUCUCCCUCUCCUACCUAUCGAUAGCAACACACCUCCUUUCCUCCUCUUCCUUGUGCUCCUUUUAUGCAGCCUCCUCUCUGAGUCUCUUCUCCAUCAUCUCCUUCCUCUCUGCUUCCAACCGCAAUAUUUCUUGUAUCUCCUCCUUGUCUUCAGGCUUGAUCUCGGUGUUGAUCCACUGCUCAAAAUCACAGAGCGGUGCAGGGGUCUACAAAAAAUGCAAUUGUUAUAAAAUAAAAAAAAUCAUGUAAAAUAAUUAUAACCCAACAACAAUUCCUCACAAUCUUGUUAAUGCAGUGUUGACGAAGUGUAGGCUCAAACUUAAAAUUAGAACACAUUUAGUACCUCUACCUAUACGUGUCAUCUGCAUCGGACUUGGCUACCUUGCAAGGAUCGCUGCAAAAGCACAUGGGUAUUGGAACACCACUAGGCAGAGGCAAUGGGUCAAAGGCAUUUCCGGUCAUCCGGGCAUAACUACAAUUUAGUCAUUUUCGUUGUAAAAACCGAAAGCAGUUAACAUUAAACCUACACCUAGGGUUUCCAUUUGAUCCACAAGAAUGAAUCCAUAACAUAACUACGUGCGCUGACCUUACCUUUGUUUCCUAGCUUUUCCACGCCUUGGCAUCCUAUGGUUGCACGAAACCCUAUGUUCAAAAAUCUGACUAAUAUAUAGCGAAUCGAUGUGAAAAAAAACUUGGAGGGAGUGGAUAUCUUGCUCUCGAAGAUCCAUGGAUCAAAUAAAAGUUUCUAAGAUUUAAUAUGCCGAUUCGUGGUGUAGGGCGAAGGGGGGAGAGAAAAAACCUGAGAGGGAGGAGAAAGAGGAGGAAGAAGCUUCGGGCAAGAAGAAAGGGUGCGGCCUUAUGGUAGCAGGUUUGGCUCCAGGCUGGCUGGCACAAGGCCACCACUAUGUCAGCUGCCCCGUCAGCAGCUGUUGAGUGACCUAGGUGUUGGGAUAGCCGGCGCCGAGAUGCCUAAGCUUGGCGCCAGCGUGGAUGGCGCCAAGUUAUGGGUCCAGAUUUUGAAAUGUUUCCGCCAGAUGCGUAUUUGUAAGAAUCUUUCAGAAAAAAGGCUAAAAACAAAAAAGUUAGAUGUUUGAGCCGCUCCACAGCCCUUACCAUCACCGACUAUAAAAGGCAGGGUCGAGCGCCUCUCCGCAACCGAACUUGCCGAGCCGCCAGCUCCGCUGCUCAACUUCUUGCAAUUCUGCCUGCAAUUUAUUUAUGGAGUGAUCGAGAAAUUGAGCGAGUUUGGAGGCUAGUGGUUGAUACGUUUUUUGCAUCGAAUUGACAUUGAAUUAGUUUUCUUUGAACUGCCAUUUCAAAUGUUUUUUCUAUAGUUGCAUGUGAAACACGUCUAUUGCCGCUAAUCAAUCUGUCGACGCUUUUUUGGGCCAACACAUGAAUGUACGCGAUUGUGCGGCGCGUGGAGGGGCUCACUGUAGCACGUCGAUGCAUGCCGGUUUGACCACUUACGGUCUGACCGGUUGUUAGGCCACCUAGUAGUAGAUUGGAAAAUUUAGGGAAAAAGAAUAAAGGAAAAGACAAUAAAUAGUAGCUUGGUUUUUUUCGAUUAGGUUGGAUGCCCUCAAUCGGCCGAAUCCCUUUAUAUUUCUAAGGAGGGAAGGUCUUUAUAUUUAUAGGAAGGGAAGGUCUUACCCAUGAGGGAGUCAAAAUCCUAAUAAAAAUCGUGCUAAAUUAAAAGUUCUACUCGGUUUACACUGAGCCAGAUAGGUCAGACCAGCCUGGGCAACCUGUCGGACCAGUCUGCCCGGGUGUAUAUCUUGCGAAGGUCGUAUCUCUCUCAUCCGAACUUCAAAUCGGACGUUCUAUAUAAGAAUCUUGAUCUACUCAACAAGAUACAGGAAAUGGUAGAGUCCAAUCUUCAUUUGGAGCACUUUGAUCCAACCAGUCCGACUGGUGGCAUCAGGACUGGUGGCAUCAGCUGGUCUGACCUGUCUGUACGGGGGUGCUGAUCUUUCCGAGGGCAUAACUCUCAGGUCCGAAAUCCAAAUCGGACGUUCCAUAUAUGCAUUUUGAUCGCCUUGAUGAGAGAUAUGUCCUGGUGAAGUCCAAUUUGCUUUUUGAGAACUUUCCCAAACCGGUUUGACCGCUUGGAAGACCGGUCUAAACAUGUCUGAUCAGAUCUAUCCAGACCUGCCACUUUUCGGCAUCAACACGAGUUUUCCAGUAGUGACAACACAACAACUGUAUUACCCACGGCAUGAAAAUAACACAUAACAAGAAGCUAUGUACCACUAAGCAACACAAUCAAUACUCUUGCAAAGGGGGCGAAACACCAAAGGAAAUGGCGAUGAAAUUGAAACCCCGCCAACAGAGCUUUGCUUGAGCACGUACAGCUCUUUAUUACAGAAACAGUAUAGGAUACGAUCGAUGUGCCAUCAAGCAUAAAGCAGCAACACUUAUUUCUUUUCUCAAAGCAAGCAAGAACAGAACUGGUCAUCAAAGAAGUUGACGGGAUUCAUUCAUUCAGAUGGCCGCCGCGGUCGGUGUGCAGCGGCGCUUGCAGAAGUUAGUGAGGACGUCGACGCACCGGUAGACAGGCGCCUCGGUGGUGCUGGUGUACUUGACGCAGUUCAUGCACGCUGGGUGGCAACCCUGGAACGAGAUGUCCAGGCAACUGCAAUCUGGUGGAUUCUUCCUGUUGCAGAAGCCGCACUGGUUGCAGCACGGCCAGGAGCUCGCGUUCGCGGCGUCGUCAGCGACCGCCGCUCCUCCCUCCUCCCCGCUCCCUGCGGCCACCAAAGAUUAGUCGACGCAUCCAGUUGAGUUGAGUUGAGUGUCAAACUGUUAAUUUCUCACCUUUGCUGAGGAGUGGCAGAGUUGCGAGGACGGCGAGGACAGCCAGUGUGACGAGCAACACCUGAGGUCUCAUGCUUGUUUCUCUUGGUAUGUAGGAAUACAGGGUGUUGCCAGGUUUGUUGUGGUUGGACUUCCUUCCUACUGAUGGGUGAUGGUUAUCUGUAUGAGGCUAGAGGCCUUAUUAUAAGAGGAGGGGGUGCCAUGACAGCUGUGUGCCUGCCAAGUUAAGGCUAGCUUGGCACGGCUCUUGAACAAUGGCUUUAGCUCUAGCUUAUCUAAUGAUCUUGUAUGUUGGAGAAACAAUCUUUUAAGAUAGAUGGAAGAGGUCAAAUAUCCAAAAUACCCUUAUUUAUUUCCUUUCUUUUCUCUUUUCUUUUAAUUUCUUUUUCUUUCCCGGUCAUUUUUCUUCCUUUCUCAUUUUUUCCUUCACCAUUUAUUUUUCUUCCUUUCUUAUUUCCUCUUCCUUCUAUCCUUAUCUUCCUUUCCUCAGCUCCUGCAGAACGCCGCCCCUGCCUCUCAUGACCAUGGCCAUCACCCGCAGCUCUUCCGGCUCGACGUCCCUGCCUCCCCACUCCUCCAACUCGACGCCCUAUCUCCCCUAGCCCACUCCCUCUCCUCAGCCCGAGCGCCCAACAACCCCUUCCUCCCAGCACGUCCGGCCUCGCUUAGCAGUUUGUGCGGCACGCCUGCAGCGUCGCUUGUGCAUCCAACGUGCUCGCCCCGUCCCGCCGUGCUCCACCCACCGCCGGUCAGGUCAGCACCGGCGUUACUCCGUCCGUGCCACUGCACCAUCCGCCACCGCCCACCAACACAGUGGUUUCAAGAAAUUUCAAACAAUUUAAAUAUUUGAUAAAUGAUUUCAAAGUUGUUUCAAACUUUUACAAGUGAACAUAAAUGUUAUUUAGUGAAUGUAAAAAAUAUAAUUUCAUACAUAACACAGAUAUUUUGACUAGUUAGUUCACAUGUCCCUAUAGGUUGAAACACCUCAUGAGUUAUAGGGUGAUCAUGACUUGGAUAUCCAUUUGAGAAAAACGUACUGUUACAAUAUCUCAAAAUUAUGUUAAUAUUUUUUAAUCCAUGUUGGUUCACUGCUGAAGUGGUUACAUGCAAAAUAUCAUGAAAAACAUUCCCCCUUAUAUUUGAUGUUUUUGGAGCGUUCCCGAGCUAAUCUCGGUCAAGCUCCAAAUGGAAGGUUGACUAAGAUAGAAGAUGCCCGCGGUCUUAAAUGGGUACUUGCGUUGCCCGCCAGCACAGAGGCUAGUAUGCUUACGAGUUCUCCCCCGCAGGUCCAAGGAAGAUUUGUGCUGGUGGGUGCCAAUCAAACCCACCAGCACACUAAUUUACCUGUGUGAACACAAAUUAAAUCUGGCGUAGUGUUUUCUUAGUAUCUUUUGCUGUGGUGAGGCAUGUGAGUACUGCUGGCACGAUCAUCAGCUUGUCCUGGGCUGCUGCUAAGCAUGCACCACGAGCCAAAGGUUUUCGGGAUGCUCAGCUCAUAAGGAAUUGACUGAAAGUGACUGUUCGUUGUGUGAGCUAGCUGUCUCCACUGGUGGCUUCUGAAUUAUUGGUCCUAUAUACAUGCACCACGCGCAACAUAAGGGAAAAAAAGUCUGCAACAUGUGCGGCACUGGAUAAUUGAGCUAGCAAUAACAGUGUUGUACGCUUGUCUAUGAGGGAUGCAUGGUGCCUAACAAUCACAAUGAUCUAUACUGACUACUCCCUCCGUUCCAAAUUAUAAGUCAUUCCAAGAAUCUUGGAGAGUCAAAGCAUCUCAAGUUUGACCAAAAUUAUAGAAAAAAUUAUAAAGAUUCAUAACAUUAAAUAGUUAUACUAUGAAACUAUAAUUGAUGAAGAAUCUAAUGAUACUUUGUUGACAUCACAAAUGUUAUUAUAUUAUCAUAUAAAUUUAGUCAAACUUGAGAUACUUUGACUCUCCAAGAUUCUUAAAAUGACUUAUAAUUUGGGAUGAAGGGAGUACAUCAUAGCUUGUCUGCUUGCCUAGUGCGCGUGAACCAUGAGGGCAGGACUAGUGGCUGCACACUACUCCACGAGGGUAGGACUGGUGGCUGUGCAUCGACAGAAUUCACUAUUCGACACUAAAAAAACUAAUCGUGACACUAAACAAAUUUUGGUUCCCGUUUGAUACUGAGUUCAAUUUUCAUUCUUUAUAUAACAUUCUGUUGGAUUUUUCAUAUGAGAACCAUUAAAUGCCCGAUGAAAAGACGAUUUUGCCCUUGUGAGCCCCACCACCCUUCUCCGAUCUACUCACCUUCUCCAUCCGCUCUAUUGUACCUCCCCCACUGCUCCAUCCAUCCUCCUUAUUUAUUUCCAAGAUACCCUUAUUUAUUUCCUUUCUUUUCUCUUUUCUUUUAAUUUCUUUUUCUUUCCCGGUCAUUUUUCUUCCUUUCUCAUUUUUUCCUUCACCAUUUAUUUUUCUUCCUUUCUUAUUUCCUCUUCCUUCUGUCCUUAUCUUCCUUUCCUCAGCUCCUGCAGAACGCCGCCCCUGCCUCUCAUGACCAUGGCCAUCACCCGCAGCUCUUCCGGCUCGACGUCCCUGCCUCCCCACUCCUCCAACUCGACGCCCUAUCUCCCCUAGACCACUCCUUCUCCUCAGGCCCGAGCGCCCAACAACCCCUUCCUCCCGGCACGUCCGGCCUCGCACCUCCGGUCCACUUAGCAGUUUGUGCGGCAUGCCUGCAGCGUCGCUUGUGCAUCCAACGUGCUCGCCCCGUCCCGCCGUGCUCCACCCACUGUCGGUCAGGUCAGCACUGGCGUUACUCCGGCCGUGCCACUGCACCGUCCACCACCGCCCACCAACACAGUGGUUUCAAGAAAUUUCAAACAAUUUAAAUAUUUGAUAAAUGAUUUCAAAGUUGUUUCAAACUUUUACAAGUGAACAUAAAUGUUAUUUAGUGAAUGUAAAAAAUAUAAUUUCAUACAUAACACAGAUAUUUUGACUAGUUAGUUCACAUGUCCCUAUAGGUUGAAACACCUCAUGAGUUAUAGGGUGAUCAUGACUUGGAUAUCCAUUUGGGAAAACGUACUGUUACAAUAUCUCAAAAUUAUGUUAAUAUUUUUUAAUCCAUGUUGGUUCACUGCUGAAGUGGUUACAUGCAAAAUAUCAUGAAAAACAUUCCCCCUUAUAUUUGAUGGUUUUGGAGCGUUUCCCGAGCUCCUCUCGGUCAAGCUCCAAAUGGAAGGUUGACUAAGUUAGAAGAUGCCCGCGGUCUUAAAUGGGUACAUGCGUUGCCCGCCAGCACAGAGGCUACUAUGCUGACGAGUGGUCCCCCGCAGGUCCAAGGAAGAUUUGUGCUGGCGGGUACCAAUCAAACCCGCUAGCACGCUAAUUUACCAAUGUGAACACAAAUUAAAUCUGGCGUAGUGUUUUCUUAGUGUCUUUUGCUGUGGUGAGGCAUGUGAGUACUGCUGGCACGAUCAUCAGCUUGUCCUGGGCUGCUGCUAAGCAUGCACCACGAGCCAAAGGUUUUCUGGAUGCUCUGAAAGUGACUGUUCGUUGUGUGAGCUAGCUGUCUCCACUGGCGGCUUCAGAAUUAUUGGUCCUAUACACAUGCACCACGCGCAACAUAAGGGAAAAAAAGUCUGCAACAUGUGCGGCACUGGAUAAUUGAGCUAGCAAUAACAGUGUUGUACGCUUGUCUACGAGGGAUGCAUGGUGCCUGACAAUCACAAUGAUCUAUACUGACUACUCCCUCCGUUCCAAAUUAUAAGUCAUUCCAAGAAUCUUGGAGAGUCAAAGCAUCUCAAGUUUAACCAAAAUUAUAGAGAAAAUUAUAAAGAUUCAUAACAUUAAAUAGGUAUACUAUGAAACUAUAAUUGAUGAAGAAUCUAAUGAUACUUAGUUGACAUCAUAAAUAUAAUUAUAUUAUCAUAUAAAUUUGGUCAAACUUGAGAUACUUUGACUCUUCAAGAUUCUUGGAAUGACUUAUAAUUUGGGAUGAAGGGAGUACAUCAUAGCUUGUCUGCUUGCCUAGUGCGCAUGAACCAUGAGGGCAGGACUAGUGGACGCACACUACUCCACGAGGGCAGGACCGGUGGCCGUGCACCGACAGCAUUCACUAUUCGACACUAAAAAAUCUAAUCGUGACACUAAACAAAUUUUUGUUCCCAUUUGAUACUGAGUUCAAUUUUCAUUCUUUAUAUAACAUAUGAGAACCAUUAAAUGCUUGAUGAAAACACGGUUUUGCCCUUGUGAGCCCCACCACCCUUCUCCGAUCUACUUACCUUCUCCAUCCGCUCUAUUGUACCUCCCCCACUGCUCCAUCCAUCCUCAUGUCCAGGUGAGAGCUUAGGCACCAGGAGCUCACUACAGUUCUAUUUGUGUGGUUAUUGUCAUCGAGGAUGGUCGGGACAGUGGAGCUCCAAGGGAGGGGGGUCAUGGCAGGCUGAUGGCUCGAGUCACCAAGGAAAGGAUGAUUCCCGGCGGGGUUGAGCUCGUCCUAGCCAACAAGCAGGUCGGGGAGGUCGAGCGCAAGGUGAGGGAGGUUUGGGUGCGACGGAUUGGGUUUUGGCAGAGGUGGUGAGAAUUUGGCUGGCGAUGAGGUUCGGUGGCUGGUGGCAGUCGCAAGACAUGGAAUUCCCAGCACUAAGUAGUUUGUGAUUGGGCUGGAACUAGCCUGGUGUCGGGGAUACAUCCCCAAUACCCGCAAGGAAGGAAGAAGUCAGACUCCUACUAGGAUUCCCUUGUAAUCCGACUAGGACUCAUACCGUGUACUCCUACUAGGACUCCUCCUUGUAAUCCGACUAGUACUCUGCCCCCUGGAGUAUAUAAAGGAGGGUAAGGGUACCUAGCUCGGUAGGUCACACCUCAACACCCAAGCGUAGGGCGCAGUAUACAAAUACCCCCAAACAGGACGUAGGGUAUUACGCUACUCCGGCGGCCCGAACCUAUCUAAAUCCGUGUCUUGUGUCCUCGCUUUUACCUUCAAGUUCCAGGUCCGGCGAUCCCCCACUACACAUUCUGCUACCUCGGGUACCCCUUGGUAGACGGCCGAUAUAAAUCACCGACAUUGGCGCCCACCGUGGGGCAGCUCGUCGAGAUCAUCAGGCGAGCUUGAAGGACCUCAUCUUCAAGCCGGCGUUCGCUUUCAAAGCGGGCACAACCUUCGUCUUCGACUCCUGACUUUGCAUCACCGACGGCACUGGGUCCUUCCAAUGCUGCAUCAUCGACAACCAGGAGAAGAAGCGCCUCGACGGGAACUCUCUUCCACAAGAAGCAGAAAAUCUCAUUGAGAAAAUCGACAAAUUAAACCUUGGAUCAAGGUUCGACUGCAAACUCGUACUCCAACGGCGACUUCGGGUUCGACCAUGAUUCGAACUCGAACUCCGACGGCGACUACGGGUCUGACUACAACGCGGAGUCCGACAGCGACUCCAGGUCUGGCUACGACUAUGAGUCCGAUGACGACUCCGGGUUCGAUCGCAACACGGAGUCUGACGGCGACUCCAGCUUCAACUCCGACUCAAAGUCUAACAGCGACUCUGAGUUCGACUACAACUCAAAAGUCCGACUACAUUGCGAGCCCUCCGACGACUACAGGCGGCUCGUCGAUGAUUUCUUGGACUAUGUUGCGGGCACGCCGACGACCACGGUCGACUUGCCGACGACUCUGUUGACUACGGGCAGCUCGUCGACGACUUCAACUACGUUGCAAGCUCGCCGACGACUACGGGCGGCUCGGCAAUGACUUUGACUACUUUCCUCGACUACUUCGCUCGGCAACACAUUGAUGACUACUUCGUCAUGACGCUCGCCGACGACUUCUCCGAGUACGUCACGGCGCUUGCCGACUACUACGGGCAGCUCGCCGACGACUACUCCGACCACAUCGCGACGCUCGCUGACGACUACUACUCGUCUCGACUACAAGGCUAGUCGAGGGCGGAUUACAACUCGUCUUGACUAAAAAAUUAGUUGGGGCAAACUUCACAUCAUCGACAACUAGUCAGAAUCUCCUCCGACUAGUCGAUUUCGUUAACAACCAUUACGGCUUCAUCAACGACCAUCACGGCUUCGUCAAACAAUCAUCCACGAAUCAAGCUAAGUCACUUUUCUAAAUUAUUUUCCGGCUUACUUUCCGCUUGCGCGCAACACGCGCUCUACUCGCUGGAAACUCUCGCGCACAACAUGCGCUCUAUUCGCCGGAGGGCAGCAAACUCUUUCGCGCUACCUCGCUCUCUUUUUAUCGCAACAGUGACUAUUCCUUUUUGUCUUCUCUUAUGGUCACUACUCUUCUCGAGCAGAACAUGCCUUAACUCGUGAAAGCCUCAGGCGCAUCUGUCACGCCUAAGCCUAUACGUGUAUACGAGACAAAGGUCUCACACACGCAGUGGCAACGGCUACCCAGAGACUGAGAGUCUAAGCAUAACAGGCUAACUACUCAGGAAGAGUAUGACUAAAACAAGAGCUUGACUCGCAAUCAUGCAGUCUCUUUCUUGUCGCAGCAGCGACUACUCUCACUUUUGUCUUCUCUUAAGGUCACUACUCUUCUCGAGCAGAACACGCCUUAACUCGUGAAAGCCUCAGGCGCAUCUGUCACGCCUAAGCCCAUACGCGUAUACGAGACAACGAUCUCACACACGCAGUGGCAACAGCUACCCAGAGACUGAGAGCCUAAUCGUAACAGGCUAACUACUCGGGAAGAAUAUGACCGAAAUAAGAGCAUGACACAACAUUCAUAUUGAUCACUGAAUAAAUUUCAGCAGUUUCAAAAUCCUACAAAAAUGCUACAUAAUGUAUGCAUCUUUUCUUUCAGAUCGAGCUUCAGUGACACUAAGCAUGCCUCCAAUGGCACAGGCUAGUUCCCGAACUCGGGGGCUAAGCACCAAUCAGUACUCGGAAUAUCUCCAGUGGCUCAGCUAGCUCCCAGGCUCGGGGGCUGGAUGCCGCAAAACCACUCGACGUGGCUCCAACGACUUACCUGGCGCACAAGCUCGGGGGCUGGACGCCGCAAGACUACUCGAAUGAUGACCUGAGUGAAGAUUCAAGACCCUCGGGUUGAUUAUUCAAUCAAUCAAAGGCUCGGGGGCUGAUAAGCUACACCCAACAAUUGAUUUUUUCAAGUCAAAAGAGGAAGAUUCAAGAUUUUGACCCUCAGCCUGAUUCUGCGAUUCAACCUAAGGCUCGGGGGCUACUCCAUAUGGAGUGUGACUUUCACCGUCCUCCAUACAUGAAGACUUCAAUAUCAUGUUGAUCAAGACUUUGAGCACACCAUAGCCUCAUGGUGGCUUUGAGAAACAUUGAAAGAUUCAGUCUGACAAAGUACUCGAAGAGCACCAAAACUACCCGGCGAAUAUCUCAAGACUACUCGAAGACUGCUGCAUUCGACUAUGAAGCGCUCGGAGGCUUGUCAGGAAUACAUCCCCACUACCCGCAAGGAAGGAAGAAGUCAUACUCCUACUAGGAUUCCCCUGUAAUCCGACUAGGACUCAUACCGUGUACUCCUACUAGGACUCCUCCUUGUAAUCCGACUAGUACUCUGCCCCCUGGAGUAUAUAAAGGAGGGCAGGGGUACCUAGCUCCGUAGGUCACACCUCAACACCCAAGCGCAGGGCGCAGUAUACAAAUACCCCCAAACAGGACGUAGGGUAUUACGCUACUCCGGCGGCCCGAACCUGUCUAAAUCCGUGUCUUGUGUCCUCGCUUUUACCUUCAAGUUCCAGGUUCGACGAUCUCCCACUACACAUUAUGCUACCUCGAGUACCCCUUGGUAGACGGCCGGUAUAAAUCACCGACACCUGGGAGGGAGAUUGGAAUUUGGAGAAUUCUUGUGUGAGACCACGGGGCACCGUCUCAUACACCAGCCUUGCCGUGCUGAAAUCAGCGAGCUUCACGCCGUAGCCUUUGGUGUCGCAGCAGUCGAGGAGCACGUUCCGGCCCUUGACAUUCUUGUGCACGACGGCCACCCUCCUGAGCCCACACACCGAGCUCACUGUAACACCCAAAAAUUCCAUCAUAAACACAAUAUAAGCAACAUGUGGUCUAGCUCUUUAUUUUCUAAGAACUAAAUAAAAUACUAAUAUUAAAUUAUGGCCUUUAAAAAAUUAAAGAACACUUGAAAUAACUUUUUAGAGACAAGUGCUUGUUAGGGUUCUUCGUUUGCUUCCCUUUUUGUUUGCGUUUGCAAAAUUUUACAUGAUGUCACUGUCCUCGUCAUCCUCGGCACUGGCAGAGCGUCGUUGGGGCAUAGAGGACCAUGGCCCCCUUGCUUGGUAAAAAAAAAAAUCAGAAGAGCAAAGUGCAAAGGCCCAGUCCAAGUGCAGUCCGUGGCUUGUUGACACGUAAUUAAUAAAUCAAUAAAUCCCACAAGGCAUUAACCACAUAGGCACAAACAAACAUUGAAAACAAUAGAAAAAAAUAUUGAGCCAAUUCCAGCAACUAGCGGAUGAGACAACGACCUCAGCCGUCACCCCUUCGCAAGAUGGACACUUCCUUCACAGUUGACUCAUUGAGGUUGUCAUCGUCGGCCGUCGCCACUUGCCAGGGCUGGCGCCUUGCAGCCUGGUGCUAGAACUUUCAUCCUGAAGGUAUGGUUGCUUUUCUUCCUUCUUUUGUUUAUCUUCUAAGUUCUUAACACAUUAGAUCCGUAGAGUAUGCAGGCUACUAUUGCCUAAUUAGCUGGUAAUUUGUUGUCAAUUGAGAUCUAUUAUUAUUUCUUUUGAGAAAAUUGAGAUGUUUCGCUAGUUUAUUUGGCCCUAAUCCCCAAAUUGCAGAGUUUAUAUGAUUUUGUGGUUUUAUAACUAAAUACAGUUCUGCAAUUUGGUAGGUAGGUACAAAUAGGUAAAGAGAAGCCUAUUGAUUCAUUUUUCAAAAGCAAAAGAGAUGAACCAAUUGUGGACUGUCGAGCAGCCUCUGGUUCAAGCCAACCAAUUUCCCACCUAAAAUUUGCUUCACGCUCCGCCACGGAUCCUCGAUCCUCGGUGAGAAUUUUUAACCUCUUUGAAAAAGUCGGCGAUUGCGAAUCUCCACCUGCAUUUUUGAAAUGGAUUCUGAAAUAUUGUGGCGAAAUGUCCUUUUCUAAGUGGGCCUAGACCCAUAAAUUCGCGAGCUCCGCCCCACUCACCACUGCCACACCAUAACUCCGCCUGUGCUGUCGUGGCCACUUGCUCGCCUCGUCGCUCUCGCGCGUCACAGUAGCAGCAGUUCUUGAGGCGGUACGCUGCCUGCAAGCUAUGCGAGCCCGUCAGCUCGUCAGGCACAGUGCCUGCCUGCCGCUACGCUCCACCUCCCCACCACCACGCUGCAAGCCGACGCCCGCAAGCUGCCGCUCGGCCACAGCGCCGCCGCUGAUGCCGUGCCUUUGAGCAGCCUUUUAUUUGUUUUUUAGCUUUUUUUUUUUUGAAGAUUCUCACACAUGUGGAAAUAUUUCAAAAUCUGGAUCCAUAGCUUGACGUCAUCCACACUGGCACCAAGCUUACACGUCUUGGCACCAGCCGUUCUGGUGCCUAGGUCGUUGCGCAGCUGUUGAUGGGGCAGCUGACGUGACGGUGGCUUGGCGCCUGGCUGUUUAACACACGGCCUCCGCCUCUAACUUCUCCCACCGGCUGCCGCCUCCUAGCCACCGGGUGGAGUGGGCGCAGUGCGCCGAUGACACCCCACUUCGCCUCCGCGCCCUUUCUCGUUGGAAGGUAAAUUUCUUAUUAGUUUUAAUAGUGAGAUAUAUAGAAUAGGUAGGUAGAAUUGUUAAAUAGAAUUUAGAUAGAUAGAUAGAACAGUUAGAUAGUUAGUUUGAAAGAUAAUUAGAUAGAAUUUUCAUCUUAUGUAAUUUUCUUUUUAGAUAUGUAUAGUUAGAUAGAUGGUUAGAUAGAUAGUUAGAUAGAAUUUUAUUCAUAUGUAAUUUUUUUACUUAGAUAGAUAGAAUAGUUAGAUAGAUAGUAAUAUAGUUAGUAUGAUAGUUAGUUAAAUAGUUAUAUACUAAAUUACAUAGUAACUCGACAUAGUUAGUAGUAUUUAGUAGUUUGUAGUUAAUAGAUAGUAUCUAUUUAGUUAGUUGGUACGUAAUGAAGAUUUUAUACUUAGAAUGCUUCAUUUAUAUUGGACUAAAUGAAUUGUUCUGUUUAUAACCUUGAUGGACAACGUAGUGAGCAUAUAUCAUGAAGGUACCGUGGAAAGAGAUGACUAUGGAUGUGUUAAGUUUGUUAACAUGCAAAGCAUGGUUGUGUUAUUAAUUGAGAAGCCCUCAUUUAGUGAGUUGGUUGCAAGUGCUCGGGAGGAGCUAUAUUGCCAUGAAGAUGAUGACAUCACAGUGGAGGGCGUACUUCACCUAGGUUCCCCUUUCAACAUCCAAAGGAAGAUGAUCCCAAUUUGGUGCGCAGAUAAGUGGGAGAAUGAUGUGAGAUCGGUUAUGAAGCGCCAGUUCUAAAGUUUGGACGUGGUUGUGCGUCGGGUGUUAGUUGAUCCCAUCCGUCAUCGGUUUUCCCGACCAAUGGGUCAGCAUGCACACUUCGACCCUUUCGUCCCAGAACCUAUUAUGGAUGUGGAGGUUGCACAUAUGGUUCCCGAUGCUGAAUCUGCCCCCAAUGAGGUAGUUGGAGCUGCUUGUCGGACACUUGAUGCUGUGGUAAAUCCUCCUCAUGAGAUCCCUUUGACACAAAAUCAUCCGAGUAAGUGUCUUAUCGGCACGCUUCUUGGGAGCUAACCUCCUUCAUUACAUCAAUUUUUUUCUUCCUUUCUCAUAUUUCUACCAAUGUUUUAGGAGACAUUCCUAAAAAUGUGGAUGUGCCCCCAGUUGCUACUCAACUGCACUAUGGAGAUGGAUUACGUGGCUCUAAUAGUGUUGGAAUUAUGAAUGAUUCGGAUGCAUAUGAGAUGGGAAUGUAUCUUGAUUCUGAUAAUGAUCGCCCUGUUGGAGAGAUGACAGAGAGUGAUGUUGAGAUGUUCAGGCGUUGCUUUCCUGACCGUCGUGAUCCAAGAGUUCACGAGUUCAGUGAUCUUUCUCAUUCUAAUCAUGCGUGUGCAGAGGGAAGUGAUGAUGAGCUCCUAGAAGCUCCUGAGGCUGGACCUAGCAUAGUGAUUGAGGAGGGUAGCGCAUUGAUGAGGUGGUUACAGGCAUUUGCAGUGAUAAAGAAGAGACCUUACAAGGUCUUGCAUUCAUAUGCAGAGCACCGUUACACAGUUGUGUGUGACAAGUAACAGUGCCCAUGGAUGAUUUGUGCAAGGAAGAAAAAGAUCACCGAGAAGUGAAAGAUCACAAAAGUUGUCAGGCCACACAAUUGUGCUAACACUAGAACAUUGAGAAGUGGAAGAUCACUGGAUAGAAUGGUAAGUCAAGUACCUUACUUUCCCAUGUUAAAUUACUUAGUGAUUUACUGGUUUACUUAUUAUGGACUUUGUGGACUCUUGUUAUGAACUAUUUUGGACUUUCAUUACGGACUUCGUGGACUUUCAUUAUGGACUUUGUGGACGUUCAUUAUGAACUAUUGUGCAUAUAGACAUUCAUUAUGAAAUUUUGUGUGUAUGAACUAUUGUGGACUUUCAUUAUGAAUUUUGUGGACGUUUAUUAUGAACUAUUGUGUAUAUGGACUUUCAUUGUGAAUUAUUAUGUGUAUGAACUAUUGUGGACUUUUAUUACGAACUAUUGUAGAUUUUCAUUAUGAAUGUGGCAUCUGUUUGAACAUGUUGUAUUCAGGUAGAAUAUUCAUCUCAUAAUUGUGUAUGAAUUACAUCCAAAAAUAGGGGAAAUUCUGCUGAAAUUUCACAAAAAUAUAGAAUUGCAUUUCGCUAACCAAAAUUCUUCGGCAUGUAAGCUUAUGUGCAUUAGGCAUGUGCUCACAUAUUUCUCGCAAAGAAAAUGACAUCGCACAUACUACUAUGGUGCCCAUACUUAAAGUGCAUUACAUGACAACACAAUGAAAAGUCCAACAAUAGACAACAUGUUUCAUAAAUAAACUAUCAGACUACAAGUAAUGGAGACUACUGAGUGCAACGAGUCCACUUUCCCUUCCUCAAUCGUAGCUUUCGCUUGGUGUGCAUGCUCAAGCUUCUUCUCCCUCUCCUACCUAUCCGCAGCAACACGCCUCCUUUCUUCCUCUUCCUUGUGCUCCUUUUAUGCGGCCUCCUUUCUGAGCCUCUUCUCCAUCAUCUCCUUCCUCUCUGCCUCCAACCGCAAUAUUUCCUGCAUCUCCUCCUUGUCUUCAGGCUUGAUCUCGGUGUUGAUCCAGUGCUCAAAAUCACAGAGCGGUGCAGGGGUCUACAACAAAUGCAAUUGUUAUAAAAUAAAAAAAAUCAUGUAAAAUAAUUAUAACCCAACAAUAAUUCCUCACCAUCUUGUUAAUGCGGCGUUGACGAAGUGUAGGCUCAAACUUAAAAUUAGAACACAUCCAGUACCUCUACCUAUACGUGUCAUCUGCAUCGGACUUGGCUACCCUGCAAGGAUCGCUGCAAAAGCACAUGGGUACUGGAACACCACUAGGCAGAGGUAAUGGGUCGAAGCUAUUUCGGGUCAUACGGGCAUAACUACAAUUUAGUCAUUUUCAUUCUAAGAACCGAAAGCGGUUAACAUUAAACCUACACCUAGGGUUUCCCAUUUGAUCCACAAGAAUGAAUCCAUAACAUAACUACGUGCGCUGAGGUUACCAUAGUUUCGUAGCUUUUCCACGCCUUGGCAUCCUAUGGUUGCACGAAACGCUAUGUUCAAAAAUCCGACUAAUAUAUAGCGAAUCGAUGUGAAAAAAACUAGGAGGGAGUGGAUAUCUUGCUCUCGAAGAUCCAUGGAUCAAAUCGAAGUUUCUAAGAUUUAAUAUGCCGAUUCGUGGUGUAAGGUGAAGUGGGGAGAGAAAAAACCUGAGAGGGAGGAGAAAGAGGAGGAAGAAGCUUCAGGCAAGAAGAAAGGGUGCGGCCUUAUGUUAGCAGGUUUGGCUCCAGGCUAGCUGGCACGAGGCCACCACUACAUCAGCUGCCCCAUCAGCAGCUGUUGAGCGACCUAGGCGCCGGGAUAGCCGGCGUCGAGAUGCGUAAGCUUGGCACCAGCGUGGAUGGCGCCAAGGUAUGGGUCCAGAUUUUGAAAUGUUUCCGUCAGAGGCGUAUUUGUAGAGGCGUAUUUGUAAGAAUCUUUCAGAAAAAAGGCUAACAAAAAAGUCAGAUGUUUGAGCCGCUCCACAGCCCUUACCAUCACCGACUAUAAAAGGCAGGGUCGAGCGCCUCUCCGCAACCGAACUUGCCGAGCCGCCAGCUCCGCUGCUCAACUUCUUGCAAUUCUGCCUGCAAUUUAUUUAUGGAGUGAUCGAGAAAUUGAGCGAGUUUGGAGGCUAGUGGUUGAUACGUUUUUUGCAUCGAAUUGACAUUGAAUUAGUUUUCUUUGAACUGCCAUUUCAAAUGUUUUUUCUAUAGUUGCAUGUGAAACACAUCUAUUGCCGCUAAUCAAUCUGUCGACGCUUUUUUGGGCCAACACAUGAAUGUACGCGAUUGUGCGGCGCGUGGAGGGGCUCACUGUAGCACGUCGAUGCAUGCCGGUUUGACCACUUACGGUCUGACCGGUUGUUAGGCCACCUAGUAGUAGAUUGGAAAAUUUAGGGAAAAAGAAUAAAGGAAAAGACAAUAAAUAGUAGCUUGGUUUUUUUCGAUUAGGUUGGAUGCCCUCAAUCGGUCGAAUCCCUUUAUAUUUCUAAGGAGGGAAGGUCUUUAUAUUUAUAGGAAGGGAAGGUCUUACCCAUGAGGGAGUCAAAAUCCUAACAAAAAUCGUGCUAAAUUAAAAGUUCUACUCGGUUUACACUGAGCCAGAUAGGUCAGACCAGCCUGGGCAACCUGUCGGACCAGUCUGCCCGGGUGUAUAUCUUGCGAAGGUCGUAUCUCUCUCAUCCGAACUUCAAAUCGGACGUUCUAUAUAAGAAUCUUGAUCUACUCAACAAGAUACAGGAAAUGGUAGAGUCCAAUCUUCAUUUGGAGCACUUUGAUCCAACCAGUCCGACUGGUGGCAUCAGGACUGGUGGCAUCAGCCGGUCUGACCUGUCUGUACGGGGGUGCUGAUCUUUCCGAGGGCAUAACUCUCAGGUCCGAAAUCCAAAUCGGACAUUCCAUAUAUGCAUUUUGAUCGCCUUGAUGAGAGAUAUGUCCUGGUGAAGUCCAAUUUGCUUUUUGAGAACUUUCCCAAACCGGUUUGACCGCUUGGAAGACCGGUCUAAACAUGUCUGAUCAGAUCUAUCCAGACCUGCCACUUUUCGGCAUCAACACGAGUUUUCCAGUAGUGACAACACAACAACUGUAUUACCCACGGCAUGAAAAUAACACAUAACAAGAAGCUAUGUACCACUAAGCAACACAAUCAAUACUCUUGCAAAGGGGGCGAAAUACCAAAGGAAAUGGCGAUGAAAUUGAAACCCCGCCAACAGAGCUUUGCUUGAGCACGUACAGCUCUUUAUUACAGAAACAGUAUAGGAUACGAUCGAUGUGCCAUCAAGCAUAAAGCAGCAACACUUAUUUCUUUUCUCAAAGCAAGCAAGAACAGAACUGGUCAUCAAAGAAGUUGACGGGAUUCAUUCAUUCAGAUGGCCGCCGCGGUCGGUGUGCAGCGGCGCUUGCAGAAGUUAGUGAGGACGUCGACGCACCGGUAGACAGGCGCCUCGGUGGUGCUGGUGUACUUGACGCAGUUCAUGCACGCUGGGUGGCAACCCUGGAACGAGAUGUCCAGGCAACUGCAAUCUGGUGGAUUCUUCCUGUUGCAGAAGCCGCACUGGUUGCAGCACGGCCAGGAGCUCGCGUUCGCGGCGUCGUCAGCGACCGCCGCUCCUCCCUCCUCCCCGCUCCCUGCGGCCACCAAAGAUUAGUCGACGCAUCCAGUUGAGUUGAGUUGAGUGUCAAACUGUUAAUUUCUCACCUUUGCUGAGGAGUGGCAGAGUUGCGAGGACGGCGAGGACAGCCAGUGUGACGAGCAACACCUGAGGUCUCAUGCUUGUUUCUCUUGGUAUGUAGGAAUACAGGGUGUUGCCAGGUUUGUUGUGGUUGGACUUCCUUCCUACUGAUGGGUGAUGGUUAUCUGUAUGAGGCUAGAGGCCUUAUUAUAAGAGGAGGGGGUGCCAUGACAGCUGUGUGCCUGCCAAGUUAAGGCUAGCUUGGCACGGCUCUUGAACAAUGGCUUUAGCUCUAGCUUAUCUAAUGAUCUUGUAUGUUGGAGAAACAAUCUUUUAAGAUAGAUGGAAGAGGUCAAAUAUCCAAAAUACCCUUAUUUAUUUCCUUUCUUUUCUCUUUUCUUUUAAUUUCUUUUUCUUUCCUGGUCAUUUUUCUUCCUUUCUCAUUUUUUCCUUCACCAUUUAUUUUUCUUCCUUUCUUAUUUCCUCUUCCUUCUAUCCUUAUCUUCCUUUCCUCAGCUCCUGCAGAACGCCGCCCCUGCCUCUCAUGACCAUGGCCAUCACCCGCAGCUCUUCCGGCUCGACGUCCCUGCCUCCCCACUCCUCCAACUCGACGCCCUAUCUCCCCUAGCCCACUCCCUCUCCUCAGCCCGAGCGCCCAACAACCCCUUCCUCCCAGCACGUCCGGCCUCGCUUAGCAGUUUGUGCGGCACGCCUGCAGCGUCGCUUGUGCAUCCAACGUGCUCGCCCCGUCCCGCCGUGCUCCACCCACCGCCGGUCAGGUCAGCACCGGCGUUACUCCGUCCGUGCCACUGCACCAUCCGCCACCGCCCACCAACACAGUGGUUUCAAGAAAUUUCAAACAAUUUAAAUAUUUGAUAAAUGAUUUCAAUGUUGUUUCAAACUUUUACAAGUGAACAUAAAUGUUAUUUAGUGAAUGUAAAAAAUAUAAUUUCAUACAUAACACAGAUAUUUUGACUAGUUAGUUCACAUGUCCCUAUAGGUUGAAACACCUCAUGAGUUAUAGGGUGAUCAUGACUUGGAUAUCCAUUUGAGAAAAACGUACUGUUACAAUAUCUCAAAAUUAUGUUAAUAUUUUUUAAUCCAUGUUGGUUCACUGCUGAAGUGGUUACAUGCAAAAUAUCAUGAAAAACAUUCCCCCUUAUAUUUGAUGUUUUUGGAGCGUUCCCGAGCUAAUCUCGGUCAAGCUCCAAAUGGAAGGUUGACUAAGAUAGAAGAUGCCCGCGGUCUUAAAUGGGUACUUGCGUUGCCCGCCAGCACAGAGGCUAGUAUGCUUACGAGUUCUCCCCCGCAGGCCCAAGGAAGAUUUGUGCUGGUGGGUGCCAAUCAAACCCACCAGCACACUAAUUUACCUGUGUGAACACAAAUUAAAUCUGGCGUAGUGUUUUCUUAGUAUCUUUUGCUGUGGUGAGGCAUGUGAGUACUGCUGGCACGAUCAUCAGCUUGUCCUGGGCUGCUGCUAAGCAUGCACCACGAGCCAAAGGUUUUCGGGAUGCUCAGCUCAUAAGGAAUUGACUGAAAGUGACUGUUCGUUGUGUGAGCUAGCUGUCUCCACUGGUGGCUUCUGAAUUAUUGGUCCUAUAUACAUGCACCACGCGCAACAUAAGGGAAAAAAAGUCUGCAACAUGUGCGGCACUGGAUAAUUGAGCUAGCAAUAACAGUGUUGUACGCUUGUCUAUGAGGGAUGCAUGGUGCCUAACAAUCACAAUGAUCUAUACUGACUACUCCCUCCGUUCCAAAUUAUAAGUCAUUCCAAGAAUCUUGGAGAGUCAAAGCAUCUCAAGUUUGACCAAAAUUAUAGAAAAAAUUAUAAAGAUUCAUAACAUUAAAUAGUUAUACUAUGAAACUAUAAUUGAUGAAGAAUCUAAUGAUACUUUGUUGACAUCACAAAUGUUAUUAUAUUAUCAUAUAAAUUUAGUCAAACUUGAGAUACUUUGACUCUCCAAGAUUCUUGAAAUGACUUAUAAUUUGGGAUGAAGGGAGUACAUCAUAGCUUGUCUGCUUGCCUAGUGCGCGUGAACCAUGAGGGCAGGACUAGUGGCUGCACACUACUCCACGAGGGUAGGACUGGUGGCUGUGCACCGACAGAAUUCACUAUUCGACACUAAAAAAACUAAUCGUGACACUAAAUAAAUUUUGGUUCCCGUUUGAUACUGAGUUCAAUUUUCAUUCUUUAUAUAACAUUCUGUUGGAUUUUUCAUACGAGAACCAUUAAAUGCCCGAUGAAAAGACGAUUUUGCCCUUGUGAGCCCCACCACCCUUCUCCGAUCUACUCACCUUCUCCAUCCGCUCUAUUGUACCUCCCCCACUGCUCCAUCCAUCCUCCUGUCCAGGUGAGAGCUUAGGCACCAGGAGCUCACUACAGUUCUAUUUGUGUGGUUAUUGGCAUCGAGGAUGGUCGGGACGGUGGAGCUCCAAGGGAGGGGGGUCAUGGCGGGCUGACGGCUCGAGUCGCCAAGGAAAGGACGAUUCCCGGCGGGGUUGAGCUCAUCCUAGCCAACAAGCAGGUCGGGGAGGUCGAGCGCAAGGUGAGGGAGGUUCGGGUGCGAGGGAUUGGGUUUUGGCGAAGGUGGUGAGAAUUUGGUCGGCGAUGAGGUUUGGUGGCUGGUGGCAGUCGCGAGACAUGGAAUUCCCGGCACUAAGUAGUUUGUGAUUGGGCUAGAACUAGCCUGGGAGGGAGAUUGGAAUUUGUAGAAUUCUUGUGUGAGACCACGGGGCGCUGUCUCAGACACCAGCCUUGCCGCACUGAAAUCGGCGAGCUUCACGACGUAGCCUUUGGUGUCGCAGCAGUUGAGGAGCACAUUCCGACCCUUGACAUUCUUGUGCACGACGGCCACCCUCCUGAGCCCACACGCCGUGCUCACUGUAACACCCAAAAAUUCCAUCAUAAACACAAUAUAAGCAACAUGUGGUCUAGCUCUUUCUUUUCUAAGAAUUAAAUAAAAUACUAAUAUUAAAUUAUGGCCUUUAAUAAAUUAAAAAACACUUGAAAUAACUUUUUUGAGACAAGUGCUUGUUAGGGUUCUUCGUUUGCUUCCCUUUUUGUUUGCGUUUGCAAAAUUUUAAAUCAAAAAUCUUAUCAAUCUUCUUUCUCUCUUUCUGUAAAACUCAGCAGGCCGGCCCACCUUUCCACUUUCUUUCCCUCCCGGCCCGCUCUCUUUUUCCUUCUCCAGCCGGCCCACCUCCUCAUUUCUUUGCGCAGGCCCAAGCUGAUCCGCCGGCCCAUCAGCAUCUCCCCAGCCCAACCCCCCCUCUCCUCCCACCGAUAGGUGGGGCCCACCUGUCAGGCGCGUCCUCAACCUCCAGCUGCACCGCAACUCCAGCACUGCCAGCAGCGCCUGCUCGCCUCCCAUCGCCACUCCAUCUCCUGCGUCCCUCCACUUGCUGGAACUACAUCGCCUUCCCACGCGUGUGCGCUGCUAGCGCCCUCUCCUCUCCUAACUCCAGUUACAGGCGUCCCAUUUUCCACUCGCGAUUAAUGGCCAUCGGAGCUCGUUUCAUCUACCCAAGCGCCGUCUCAACUCCUCCUCACGGCCUAUAAGUAGCGCCUACUCCCUCUCCCCGGCUCCAUUCUCCCAUUCUCGCCACCACCAACGCUACCCGCACCAGAGCGCCAGAGCGCCACCGCAUCUCACAGCACCGCCACCGUCCAAAUUCCUCCGCCGCUGGGUACAACGCCGGCCUUUCUCGCCCGCCACAGCCGCAGGUAUGGCCUCCCUCGCUUUCCCCUCGCUCACCUCCGUCGCCUGCGCCACCCGCUUUGCUCACCGCCGCGCCUGAGCUCGCCGGCGAGCCACCGGUCAUGCGAGCCACCGGUCAUGUGCCUAUGCGCGUGCGCGAGAAAGGAAAGAGGAGGAGGAUAAGGCUAUUUUGCAAUCUAGUCCCUAAACUCUCUGAUAUUCUCUUGCUUGAUUCAUGUGUCUAGUAAGGCUUGCAAAGAAUCCCCUGCAAUCCUUAGAACCUUUCUUUUUAACCUGAGCUCUACAAUCUUGCAGAUCUAACCCUAUACUUUUCUAUAUUUCUUAGUUGUUCACUUAGUCUUGUGAAACUUCCUUGGUAGCCCCUAAAGUAUAUAGUUAAUUCCGUUUAAGCCCCUAAAACUUGUUUACUACAUAUCUUCAUCAUUUCAACUCCGAUUUCAGCGAUUCUCAGCUAGGCACCAUACCACACUUUCGAGGUGUAAUUGCAAAGGGACGUUACGAGGCCUUUACAAAGAUUCCCUAAUAAGAAGUAGUCCGCUAAGGUUUCAUGAUCAGUGCAAUGUAUAACAGUCCCCUAGUGGGUAUAGUGUCUUAGCAAAGCCCACUUCCUAAGAGAGCGAGUGCUAUACACCAACUACUGUCUCUCCCUCUUGCCCUUUCGGUAAGACCGCUCCAAAAUAGAGUUUCUAAUUAUUCAGCCAAGACCAGAGCUAUUUAGUCUUGUGGUAGCACUGUUUUCCUGGGUGGUUCUCCAUGUUUCAAUUAACAUUAUUAUGAUAUUAUUAACAAAGCAUAGGUAGAAGGUUGGUUAGGGACACUUGCCUUUUCUCCAACGAAAAGUUACUCCUACUGCUCUUUAGCUUUUUGCUUUCUUGAAACUCUUACUCUUCAAAACUUCGAAACAACGAUCCUUCUACUCGGAGCAAACAUCAGCACAAACAUACAAGCAACAAACAAGUACAACUAAGAACAAUACACCAAAACAAAAGACAGGCUUUAAAAGAGCAUACUAAAGGACAUGGCUUGAUUCUAGGAUUACGCAGAUGCAGGAACGCUUACAACGUAACUAUGGUUGAAAAGAUAAAACUAUCGAAAGAUUUGAAUUUUAAAAGAAAGGUGAGAGUUACAAACUUCAUUUAUUUUAGUUGAGAAAAAUAAUGUAAAGAUAUUUCAGAGAAAUAUCCUUAGUUAGAAUUAAUCAAGUCAUAUUUAUAUUUUCAUAAGAAAAGACGGUGUAAAGCUUAGCCCAAAUUUAUUUAUAAAUAUUUAAGUACAAUUUAUGCAAAUUAGACAUUUAAUUUAAAAAUAAGAUACAUGUAGACAUAUAAGCGUAUAGCUUUACAUUUCGAGUUCAACUAAGUAGAUUAAAUUAAAAACACAUUUAUAUUUAUAUUAGCUAAAUUAACAUUUAAUUAUGAAACUCGAGAUAUAACCUAUGUAGCUUUUAUUUAGAAAACAAAUUGAAUAAACAUUAAUCAAAUUGAAUUUAAUUUAUGAAACGUCGAGGUAUAACUCUAAGUGGCUUUUAAUUGCAAGAAUUAUUUAGAUAUGCAUUAAUCAAUUUAACUUUAGUUUAUGAAAAACCGAUAUAUAACCUAAUUGGCUUUUAUUUAGAAGAGGGUAUGAAGUAAGCAUUAACCAAAUUGAUGUUUAUUAUCAAAAGCGGUGUAUAACUCUAAGUAGAUUUUAUUUAGAGAAGACGCAUGUUUAUGUGGCAUUAAUCAAAUUAAUAUCAAAUUUAUUUUUUUAAAGACAUGCAUGAUCGCAAACAUCACUACUAACACGUCAUUUAUGUUAUUAUGAAUCUAACGCAACUUGAACGAGGUUAAACGGAUCUAAAACGUGAAGUAUAGGAGCUAAACAAGGUUGCAAGGGUCUAAAUGUAAUUAACCGUAGACUUGGAGGGUUAGUUGAGAAGAUUACCGAGACACAGGGAACAGGACUCAUGAAAAGCUGAAAACACUAGGUUAGAUCUGCAAAAGGUCAAGGUUUGGAUUAGAUUGAAAGGAUCUCAAAGUUACAGGGGAUUUUCUACAAGGUUUGCAAGACACAAGUAAUAGGAACAGAAAUUAACAGAUUCUCCAGGGGCUAGAUCGAAAAGCAGCGCUUCAUCUUCUUCCUCACGCCACAAGCAUGGCGCAGCUCCAGGCCGGUGGUUUGCCGGCGUUCCGGCGCGGCGGAGGCCUGGGCGGGUGGUGCAGGUGGCGAUGGCCAGGCUAGGGGCCAAGGGCACGGCUGUACACCUCGGAAGUGUGGUAUGGUGCCUAGCUUGCACCGUAUGGUUGGGUCCAAAGUUCUUUGAACUUUUACGCGACUUGUGGGUAAAGAUGUGCCACCUCUACAGAGUGUAAAACUGAUCGAUCAGCCGUGCUCACGGUCAAGAGCGGCCUGGACCGUCACAUGAUUAAUUAAACUUGAAGAUGGACUUAAAUCAUUAUUCUGGUUAUUUCUAGUGGCCCUGCUGAGUACCAACCAUAAGUGUACUCACCCUUGCUUACUGCUGCUCAGAAGAAGAAGGUACGCAACCCCCAGUCGAUUGCCUGUGAAGUUUGGAGCCUCCAUUUCCAGUAUUUAAGCUGUGUAUCUCUGAUACACUCACCCUCACGCGACCGUCUCUGCAUGACUGUUAGUUUUAGGAGUUUGUUUUAAGUCUUUUUUUUUCUCAUGUUUGGUGUACUAUUUUAUUUAUUGUUUAUUUUGCUUGUGUCAUCGUGUGGACGACAUGUCAUUCAAGGAGAUUUAGCAGCAGCAGCCGUUCGACGAAGAGUUCCCUCAGUUUUUCAAGGAAGGCAAGUGGUCAUCUUCCCCUGCAUAUUCUUUUUUGUCCCAAUAAUAGCAUGCUAAAUCACUUUACUAUUUUCUUGUAUGUGUAUAAUUUGAUGGGAAUACCUAUUAAGGACUUACCUAGUUUUUAAUCCUGAUCCUUGAACAAUGGUUUUAAUCAUGUUGGGUAGAAUUGCUUAGUUGCUUAAUUUUGGGAUGGUAAUAAUUUUGAGAAUAUUAAUCAUGACUUUAUUAAUGCUAUACCUAUGUUAUUACAAGAUCACUUGAUUUAAUCGGAACAUGGAGAACCACCUAGGAAAACAGUGCAACCACAAGUACUAUCAUGACUCUUGUCUUAGCUAAUUAAUUAGAGACUCUAGUCUGGGGUAAUCUUACGGAAGGGCAAGAGGGGUGGCGGAUGAUGGGGUAUAACCCGCUUCUCAAACUGAUCUACUCUAUGGAAGCUUCGCAGUCUUGAGAGGAGCUUAUGCUCUACUACCGAUCCAGAAAUCUUAGCGGGUUACCACUUACUAGGGGAUCUUUGUAAAGGCCUCAUAGCGUCCCUAUGCAAUCACACCUCAGAAGUGUGGUAUUGUGCUUGGCCAGCAUAGCAUGGUUGGGUUUACAGUUCUUUUGAACUUUUAUGCUACUUGUGGGUAAAGAUGUGCAACCGCUGUAGAGUGUAAAACUAAUAUAUCAGCCGUACUCACGGUUAAAAUGCGGCUUGGACCCUCACAUGAUAAUUGAACUUAAAGAUGAGAAUAAAUCAUGGUUCCUUUAUCGUUGGGUUUUUUAAAUGCUUUAUGCUUAAGUGGGUUGGUAUAAACUUACACCUAAAAAUUAGGUUCUUGCUAUGCAUUCAAUUUUGUCCAAAAAUCGGGUGUGACAAAAGUGGUAUCACAGCUGUGUUGACUGUAGGAUAUAAGCCUAGAUAAAAAUGGUCUAAAUAAGGACUCAUUUUCUUAGCAAGCCAUGUCUUCUCAAAAAUAUCUUAUUUUUCACAGAAAAAUCUAUUUUAUUUUUGUUCUUUGCCACAAAAAGUUGUCUCUUGUUGGCUUUGUUUUGAGUAUCUUUUCUUUCUUUGUCAGAUGGCUAAGACCAGGUUGACCGCUCAUAAAAGCACUAGAGGAUACUAGGUUGGCCUUGCCCCUGCUUAGCCAGCUGCUCUGAUUCAGCAUGUAGAGGAGGUUGAAGAAGAUUUGGAGGAGGUCUACAAGCUGCCCCAGCUUCAUACAGUCCUGCAUCAAUUGCCCCUACAUCAGAUGCUCCAGCACUAGCUGAUCUAGCUCCACCACCUGCUACCGAUGGUGGAGACCCGGACGACUCUGGGAAUGACAGCAAUAGUGAGGAUAAAGAAGAUGACGAUGACGACUACAACAAAAACAAUGACCACAAUAGCAACAAAGACCACAACAACAACCAUGAUAACAAUAGUGGUAGAGAUGGAAAUCAGAAUGGUGGACCGCAGAAUGUGACACCAGCUUGUGACUACCACACUUUGGAGGAUGAGUCUGGAUACUUUCCCACACUGCUCUGGGAAGUACUAUAGAGUUUGGGAAGCACCAUGAAGCCCCUCUACGACACUCAUCGUGUCUCCCACUCCACCAUGGAUGACUACUACGCCAGUCAGGUCCACAUAAGGGAACGGUUGGCGACUUCCAGAGUAUUGAGGACUUGCUCAGCACACGACUCCACUACGGCCCACGCCACCUAUGCCUCAGCCAUCAGCGACGCCGCCAGGAGAGCUCUGUCUUCCCUCUGCUUCACCCAUCUCCAGGAGUUGAGCAACACCAUCUACCGUAACCUGCCUCGCCGAGCUAGUGGCACUGAGGACACAGCUGUACAGUUGGGAGAAGCAGGAGAAGACUGCAUCAACAUCCUUGCUCGAGUCACCACUGCUCUCAACACCAACCUCGACGGAGCUAUUGCAGAGCUUGCCAAGACCAAUGAUAAGCUGCAAGAUGCUCACGCCAGGAUUGUGUAGCUUGAGGCACAGCUUGCCGAACAAGAGCCACCUGAGGAGGCAGCCGAGUUCCACUACCCCACCAUUUCACCACCCCGCAAGAGGCUUCGCUAUGGCGCGUCUGGCUCCAUCACCGGUCUUUUAGACUAGGUUGUGCUUUUAGGUUGCCUUCCAAAGUCUUUCUGUUAGAGCUGUUACUGUGAGGACGUGCGAUGUAAUAACGUUUGCUGGUUGAAAACAUGUUUGAUUUGGACCUUUGUAUUUUCUAGGAUAUUUUGUGAAGUGAUGGCCACAAAUGCAUCAUUACAGAAAAUAAAGUUUAUUAGUUUAUUGGGUCUAAAUCUUGGUUCUUUGCCCCUAUAUCUACCUUAUCAAAUCAUGACUCUUAUCCGAGAUUUAUUUGUCUAAUACUCAGAUGGUAAACACCAGGUCAGGAGGAGGACAAGACAUUCCAAGUGAGAGGCAUGCUCACAUAAUUAAUCAGCAGAAUCAAGCACCACCUCCACCACCAAGUUCGACAAUGGAACAAUUUUUGGCUGCUUAGAUGCAACUACUGCAGAACCUCACUACUACUAUUUAGAAUCUACAAGCUUAGCAGAAUCAACAACCACCACAAGCACCUCAGGCACCGAGAGAUAAGCAUAGGGAAUUCAUGAGCCACCACCCUCCUCCUUACUCUCACUCAGUGGAUUCAUUGGAUGCUGAUGACUAGAUGAAGGUCAUUAGUAAGAAGCUAGAUAUUACACAGUGCAACGAUCAUGAGAAGGUUUUGUAUGCUGCAGGAUGCUUGGAAGGAGUUGAAGCCAACUAGUGGGAUGCCUAUACUACUGCCCACGCCAAUGUUAAUGCUAUUACUUGGGAAGAGUUCACGAACAACUUUCGCACACACCCCAUUCUAGCUGGUGUGAUGAACCUCAAGUAGAAGGAGUUUCGAUCAGCGAGUAUUGGGACAAGUUCACAUAGCUGUCUUGUUACACGCCAAAUGAGGUGGACACCAAUGAGAAGAGACAUGAAAGUUUCCUGGAUGGACUGAUAGGGCCACUUAACUAUCAACUGCAGAGUCACACGUUCCCUAAUUUUUAGACACUACUAGACAAAGCCAUUGGUUUAGAGAACAAACAUAAGGAGCUCGGGGAACAAAAGCGGAAGUUUCAGUCGCAAGGUCAAUCUAGCAGGAACACCCACCCUUGCUUCAACUUAUCGCAGGGAUCACAAUUUCAUUCAGGAGGACAAGGUUGAAGCUAUCAACAGAAUCAGCAAUUCCAAAGUACCACUCAACAACCAUAGCGAUUCAAUCAACAAGCAUAGUACACCUCAAACCCACAGCAAAACCGAGCAAACAAUACCACAGGAGCACCCGUGUGUAACAAUCCAAUUACCCUGGUUCGACCCAAUGGAUGCUUCAAGUGUGAUGAAGUGGGACAUUAUGCCAAUAACUGCCCCAAGCAUGGAAUGCAGACCCCUCAGAAGACCAAUGGUUAGAAGUCUGGUCAGCAACAGUUGCAAGCGCGUAAUGGAAAUCCAAACUCUCAGGGCAACAAGGGCUAGCAGAACUUCAUGCAUGGUAGGGCGAACCACGUGAGAAUUGAGACAACUGAAGAAGCUCCAGAUGUUGUUUUUAGUAUGUUCCUCAUGAAUUCCGAACCUGCGUCAGUUUUAUUUAAUUCUGGAGCAUCACACUCAUUUAUAACCAAUCAAUUUGUGGCAAAACAUAACAUACCUAUGCAACCUAUGAAGAAAACUUUGCUAGUUAGCUCACUAGGUGGUGAUAUAAGAACAAGUCAAAUAUGCUCGCAAGUCAAUAUGAAAAUCAUGUGGGUAGAUUUCAUAGCCCACCUAGUGGUCCUAAACUCCAAAGGUAUUAAUGUGAUUCUUGGAAUGAACCGGUUAGGAGUAUAUGAUGGAAUUAUCCUAUAUGCCAAGAAGUCAGUGCUUUUAACUACCCCUCAGGGGACAAAAUUGAGUUUGUGGCUACUACCUCAUCUGAAGAAAAGGGUAUAGUCAAUCAAAUAAAAGGAAAAUCUUUGGAGGUGUUGACGCAAAAUCCUGAAGGUGGUGGACCCUGCAUCACCACAUGAGGACCUGGGAGAUCUGCUUAACUCCAGUGCAGAAUCCAAAUCGGCGCGCAUGGUGUGCGCGGGCAUGCCAUUCAGUUUGACCAUUCAACUGACAAGGUGGAGAUAAUUCUCUCGAAGUUCGAUGGAGUCGGCCGAUCGGGCCGAUUUAAUAUAAUUUACAAUAACCAUUAGCCAUACGGACGAUAGGAAACACAAUGCUGUUGAGUUGUUGCUCCACCAUAGCUAGAGCCACAAGCCGAUGAGAUCAAAACUAACAUCACCACCAAUAUUUUUAGGUGAAACCAUAGCGAUGCGCCCGGUAGUUGCAGUCUAGAAAUAUUUAGCAAGACGUUAAUCUGAACCCCGCCAGCUGAUGAAUCCAAUCACAAUGGAACUUACUCCCAACAGCACUCGAAGGGGUAACCAAGAUUAAGAUGCAACAGGCUAUUAAAUGAUCUAUCGUCUAUGAUGAACCGAUCUAAAGCUAAUUAAAGCAAACUGAACAGCAAGACGAAAGAAUAGAUAAAUAUCAGCCGAUGCAAGCUUAAUCAAGGCGUGAUAACUGGUGAAUACCGUAGAUCGAGACAGAAGCGAUGCGCCGUAAGUUAAAGAUCCAAGAUACUUGAUAAUUGGUAAAUGAAACUAGACAAAACCACAGCGAUGCGCCCGGUGGUUAAAGCCUAGAACACCUGGUGAUGGAACUUGCAGCUCGCCGGAGAUCGAGGUCGAUGCAGCCCAGCUUGCUAGAAGGAACUCGUCGAGAAUCUACAUUACUCCUACUCCUAGGGCAAUGGCGUGAAGCUGAAAGGUAAAGGUAAAUAUGUUGUAUUAUUGAUCGUGUGAUGAUUCCUUACAAUGGCCACGUCCCUUUAUAUUUAUAGGGCGGACGUUACAUAAUUGGCAUCUAACCACGCACAAGGCAAGUCACGUACACAAUCUUUUCUAAUAAAAAACUCUAUCUCUAACUAACCCAACUCUAUCUCUAAAAUAUUUAAUUCUAUGAAACAACCUCCCGUACAUGCACAGAUCGGCCGCAUGUAUAAUUAUUCUGGAAGCCUCACACGCAUGGCAUGCAAAGUGCACCAGAAUCCAUGUUGUAUAUUCUAAUCAUUUUUAUCCAUACGUGCUGGCCUUUCCUUUAUAUCAUCCUUGCCUCUCCUUGCCGAUCAAUCCAAUGAAGCCGAUUUGGACUCCGUGCCCAUAUACACGCAUGCUACCUUUUUAUUGUUGUACGUGACUCCAAUUAUCUUGUACUCCGAAUUUAUAGGAUUGGUCAAAAUCCGGUGUCAACAGGAGGAUAUCAAGGUUGUAUGCGAAUACCCCAAAAUGUUUCCCAAGGAUUUACCAGGUACGUCGCUUGACUGAGAUAUUGAGUUCUCCAUUGAUCUUUUACCUGGCACUUCACCAAUAUCUGAAAGACCUUAAACAAUACAUGUUAAGGAUUUGGUUGAGUUAAAGAAACAAAUAGAAGAAUUAUUAAGUAAAGGUUUUAUCUGUCCUAAUUCUUCACCUUGGGGAGCACCUGUAUUUUUUGUUGAUAAAAAGGAUGGCACCAUAAGAAUGUGUGUGGAUUAUAGAGCUCUUAAUGAUGUGACCAUUAAGAAUAAAUAUCCACUCCCUAGGAUUGAAGAUCUGUUUGAUCAGAUGAGAGGUGCAAAAGUCUUUUCCAAAAUCGAUCUAUAAUCAGACUAUCACUAGUUCAAGAUCCCAGCAGAAGAUAUACCUAAAAUGGCGUUUACAUCCAGAUACAACCUAUAUGAGUACACUAUGAUGUCUUUUGGAUUGACCAACGCUCUAGCAUAUUUCAUGUACUUGAUGAACAAGGUGUUUAUGGACUACCUAGAUAAGUUUGUGGUAGUGUUCAUCAAUGAUAUAUUGGUAUUUUCUUGAAAUGAAGAAGAGCAUGAGGAGAACUUAAGAUUAGUGUUACAGAAGCUUCAGGAGAAUCAAUUAUAUGCCAAAUUGAGUAAGUGUGAGUUCUGGUUGAAAGAAGUUUCCUUCCUUGGACAUGUUAUCACCGAUGGAGGAAUCACAGUAGACUCAAGCAAAGUUCAAGAUGUGCUGAAUUGGAAUCCUUCCAAGAAUGUGUCUGAAAUCAGAAGUUUUCUUGGAUUAGUAGGUUAUUACUGCAUGUUUAUUGAAGGUUUCUUGAAGAUCGUCAAACCCCUCACUUCAUUGUUAGAAAAGGGAAAAGAGUUUAAAUGGGAUGACAAGAAGUGAGUUUUGAAGAGCUGAAGAAGAAGUUGACUACAAACCCUAUACUGAUAAUGUCUGAUAUACACAAAGGCUUUGAUGUUUAUUGUGGUGCUUCACGUCUAGGUAUUGGAUGUGUACUAAUGCAAGAAGGUAGAGUAGUAGGUUAUGCCUCAAGACAGUUGAGAAACCACGAGAAAAAUUAUCCAAGUAAUGACUUGGAACUAGCUGUCGUUGUGCAUGGAUUUGGAGAUAUUACAUGAUCGGGAACAAGUGUCAGAUCUUCACUGACCACAAAAGCCUAAAGUACAUAUUCACUUAGAGGGGUCUUAAUUUAAGGCAACACAGAUGGUUAGAGUUGAUAAAGGACUAUGACUUGGAUAUUCAGUAUCAUCCCGGCAAAGCAAAUGUCAUAGCGUACGCCCUAAGUUGAAAAGGUCAAGCUAAUGUGACUAUAGUACUGUUGAUAUCUCAAGAGUUAUGUUGGGAAAUAGAGCGACUCAAUUUGGGAAUCAUUGCCCAUACUGAAUCCAUGACCAUGGAAAUUGAACCUACACUGGAACGAGAGAUAAGAAAAGGGCAAUUGACGAAUGCUAAAAUCUAGGUAACCAAGAUCCAAAUUGGUUUAGGAAAGCCCCCCAACUUCACUAAAGAUGAUCAAGGAAUGGUUUGGUUCAGGAAAAGGAUCUAUGUACCAGAGAUCGACCAUCUUCGUGAAUGCAUAUUGAAGGAAGCACACGAUUCGGCUUAUUCUAUUCACCCUUGUAGUACUAGAUGUAUCAAGAGACGUAGCAACCCACGUUGCUUUGUGUGAUGUAUGUUAGCAAGUGAAAGCAGAGCACCAAAGACCAGCAGGUUUACUUCAGCCAUUGAAAGUACCUGAGUGGAAAUGGGAAGAGAUCGGAAUGGAUUUUAUUGUUGGGUUACCCCACACUCGGGAUGGCUAUGAUUCCAUAUGGGUUGUUGUGGACAGAUUAACUAAGGUUGCUCAUUUCAUUCCAGUUAAAAUAACCUAUAGUGGACCAAAUUUGCAGAGUUGUAUAUGUCAAUGAUUGUAUGUUUACAUGGUGUUCCUGUUGCGUUCCAAUCUCUUGCGAGGUUAAGAAACAACACAAUAGGUAGUAAAUGAACUGCUCUCUAUUAAAUGAAGUGUCUGAAUCUCGUUACAUGAGGGGACGACCCCCUUUUAUACUGUCCAGAGGAUACCUACAAUUUACAAUUUUACCCUCUCUCACCCACUACAUCCUCAGUAUAUUCUGUACACAUUUGUCAUCUCAUGAAGUCACGUGUUUUGUCCUCCCAACAAUCCCAUAAAUCACACUCUCACAGGGUAUCGUAAUUGGUGUUGUCCUGUCGGUCAAGUCGCCUUCCCCCUUAGCUUCGCGUCUAUGCCCUAAUUCGUUCGCCACUCCUUAAUGAUGCUCCCAUAGCAAGUUGGCUUCAGUCUCUCGUGUUAUACUGACUUCGGGCCCACAAGUCCCCUGGCGAGGUUGAUGCUGCUCCUGCGGGCACCGAAGACAACGGACGGGCAAUGAGUCAGAAAAACAAAGGUUAGCUCAUAUUACCUUCACCUUUGAUUUUGGUUUGUCCCGAAGCUGGGUAAUCACGGCCCCGACCGAAGCUGAGCCCUUGGCGUGAAGUUGCAAAGUCCGCUGAGCCCUGGUGCAUAGAAAAUAGAGGUUAACCCACCUUGCCUUCGCCCCCGAUUUCGGUUUGUCCCGAAGCUGUAAAGUUCACCGAAUCUUGUCGCAUCUUUCGGGAGAGAGAUGACCUUGAGGGGGGCUGUUUUGGGCGAUUCCCCAACAGUUCCAAAGAAGAUAGUAUCUGAUCGAGGUACUCAAUUCAUGUCACGUUUCUAGUAGAAGCUACAUGAAUCAAUGGAUAGAAAGCUUAAUUUCAGUUUGGUGUAUCAUUCACAAAUGGAUGGUUAGACUAAAAGAAUCAAUCAAAUAUUAGAAGAUAUGUUAAGAGAUUAUGCUUUAAAGCAUAGAGGUAGUUGGGAUAAAAGUUUACCAUACGUAGAAUUAUCUUAUAACAACAAUUAUCAAGCCAGUCUUAAGAUGGCCCCGUUUGAAGUGUUAUACGGAAGAAAGUGCAGAACACCAUUGUUCUGGAGUCAGACUAGAGAAAGCCAAGUCUUUGUACCGGAAAUUCUUAAAGAAGCUGAAAGACAAGUUCAAAUAAUUUGAUAUAAUCUCAAGACUGCAUAGUCACAACAGAAGAGUUAUGCUGAUACUCGGAGGAGAGAAUUGACAUGUGAUGUUGGAGAUUACAUGUAUCUCAAGGUAUCACCUAUUAGUGGUCUUCGUCGAUUCAAGGUUAAAGGGAAGCUAUCACCUUGUUACAUUGGUCCUUUUCAAAUUUUGGAAAGAAAAGGAGAAGUGGCAUAUCAGUUAGACUUACCUGCUCAGCUAUCAGAUGUUCAUGACAUGUUCCACGUAUCUCAGUUGAAGAAGUAUCUAAGAGUACCUGAAGAACAAUUACCAUUGAAAGAACUCAAUGUGAAGGAUGAUUUGACUUAUUUAGAGUACCUUGCCAAAAUACCAGAAAUAUCUCAGAGGGUCACUCAGAGCAAGGUAACCAGAAUGUGCAAAGUAUAGUGGAGUCAUCAGUCAGAAGAUGAAGCUACUUGGGAAAGAGAAGAUGAGCUUAUCGAAUAAUUCCCUCAGUUGUUUUCCAAUCUCUCUGAAUCUCGAGGACGAGAUUUUCUUUAAGGGGGUAGGAUUUGUAACACCCAAAAGUUUCAUCAUAAACACAAUGUAAGAAACAUGUGGUCUAACUCUUUCUUUUCUAAGGACUAAAUAAAAUACUAUUAUUAUAUUAUAGCCUUUAAUAAAUUAAAGAACAAUUGAAAUAAUUGUUUAGAGACAAGUGCUUGUUAGGGUUGUUUGUUUGCUUCGGUUUUUGUUUGCAUUUGUAAAAUUUUAAAUCAAAAAUCUUAUCAAUCUUAUUUAUCUCUUUUUGUCCAACUCAGCAGGCCAGCCCACCUUUCCUCUUUCUUUCCCUCCCGGCCCGCUCUCUCUUUCCUUCUCCAGCCAGCCCACCUCCUCAUUUCUUUGCACCGACCCAAGCUGAUCCACCGGCCCCUCAAGCAUCUCCCCAGCCCAACUCCCCCUCUCUUCCCACCGACAGGCAGGGCCCGCCUAUCAGGCGCGUCCUCAACCUCCAGUUGUACCGCAACUCCAAUGCCUGCUCACCUCCUGUCGCCGCUCGAGCUCCUAUGCCCCUCCGCGUGCUUGCACCACGUCCAUCCUUCCUCGCAUUGAGCCCCUUCUUCUCUCCUUCUCUCUGUGCAGGUGCAGGAGGGCGAUCCCCAUCUAGACUGGCCAUGUGGAAGUAGGACCACCACCAUGUGUAGUUGGUCCCCCGUGUAUGCAUCAAUGCUGCACCUAUUGACUGUGACCUGGCACCCCGACAGUGAGCCAUGUGAUUUUCGCAUCUCAAAGGCAUGGUUUAUCCUCCCUCUUCCUGCUGCUGCUCAUCCUCCCUUGACCCUUCACCAAACUACUUGUUGCAAUCGGAAGAAAGAUCAAUCGAGUUGAAGAGAUGGAAGCUAGUCACCAUUGAGUGAUGUUAUGAUCCGUCCCUCUAUCAUAACCGUUGGAACCCAGCUGGUGCGAAAGCUAAUUACCUGAAGCAAUUGGUAGAAACGGAUAGUACUGGUUCGUUCACUUAUUUCUUUGCUCAAACUUAAUUUCUGCUUAAUGUUUGUGCCUUGUGGUGAGACUAUAUUAGCUGCUUAUUCUGCUGGUUGCAUGCAGAAUAGUUAAAUCAAGGCACAUGUCUUCAAUUUCUGAGCUAGUGCUGCGUGUCCGUGACGCAGAAGCACUGCCUCAGAUAGAUUAUCUUUGGGUGGCGCAGAAACUGGAACUAUCUUUGGGUGGCGCAGAAGCCGCACCUCUGUCACAACUGAGCAUAUCUGGCUGCAACUUUUUCUUCGUAUCAAGCCAGUCACAGCUAACACCUGGGGUCUGGAAAUGGUUUGAACAUCUUGCAAAUUUCAUAAUUGAAAAAUGUGAUGUGCUCAUCUACUGGCCAGAAGAAGUGUUCCAAAGCUUGGUAUCUUUGAAGAACUUAUGGAUUCUGUCCUGCAACAAGCUAAUAGGGCCCACAAAAGCGAAAGGUGGCGAACCUACACAAACAACAGAUCAAAUCUACACAAACAACAGAUCUAAAAAUAAGAGGAUGUGAUAGCCUGGUAACACUUCCAAAUCUACCACCGUCCCUCAAACAUUUUUUUAACUGCUGUGAGAAGCUGUGAGAAUCAUCAGCAGCUGUGAGAAGCUCUGCUCUGUGUCAGGAGACCUGUGUGCACUCGAGGAACUACAUAUUUUUAACUGCAAUAAGUUACAGUCAGUCAAUUCAUUGGGAGACCACCCAUCAUUAGAAACACUGUUUCUUUCUGGCUGCCGAUGCCUUGCAUCUUUAGGAUGUGAUGGUGGUCGUGGGAGUUACUCUGCUCUUCAGAGCCGUAAGAUCGAAUACUGCCCAGCCAUAGACAUGAAGCAGUUUUACUAACGCCAUCAAACAGCUGCUUGACAGCUUUGUAUAGGAAGACGUAUCACACGUUCAUUCAAGCAGCUCUGAUGAAGGUACGACCUUUCACUUUCCUCUUAUUCAAUUUGUUUCCUUCAGAUUUCCCUGCUUUGCAUGCCCUCCUAUUUUGUUGAUGAACUGGUUAAUAGAUGGGUUUGUGGGGUGGGAUUUUGGGGUUUCAUCUUCAUUCCGCGGUCCUUUCUCACUGAUGUAACCCCACAUAUUGUUGGUUUAUACGGCUGUUGGUUUUCAGUCUUGGAUGCAGUUGACGUGCAUAGAGAAAUUCUAGAAAUAUGUGAUAUCCCUUGGUGUUGAGAUCAGCUGAUGCGGAAUCACUGAAACGAGAUCCUGAUCGGUCUCAGUUUUGGAGAGCAAUUUCUGGUGAAUGGAAGCAGUCCCAAGGCUUGAAGAACUCAUGGAGUCGUACCGUACCAUUCUCCGCUGCCAGGGCCUAAACUAGGUACGUGGAAGGCGCACUGUGUUUUGUCAACAACACAAUUCCUUUAUAUAAGUUGGGAUAGUAAAAAACCAUGCCUUCGUCUGUGUUAAUCAAAUCUCAUUUAGCACAUAUAUGGUGGACGUGUUGUUAACUUGUUACCCCCAUGCUUUUCAUUUUUUCGGUGCAGACAUCAACCAUUUGUUCUUAAAUUAAAGCAUAAAGGAGGGCACUCACUUGUACACAUAUUCUUAAGUACUGGAACGACUGCCAUCUGUAUACUCAGCUUCAUUGCAAGUCUCUGCUAACGAUGACAGGCCUGCAGUGGAUGACAAAAACGACUAAGUUUGUUUUCACGGCACUACUAGCUGCUGGUAAUUCUCUCGUCACUAAUGCACACUACUCCCUUCUGUCAUCCAUCAAAGCUGUGGACAAUAUGAUGUCACUCUUAUUUUUUUUAAAAUGAAACCGGCAGGAGAGCUGCCCCACUAUAUUAAAAAGAAGGGACGCUCGAAGGGCCAGAGAAGUGUACACCCUUGACAAGGAAGAAAAAACUACACACACUGAAAAGAGAAACGGUGCACAAAAACACCCUCAAGAAAGCUGCAAUAAACAUGCCAGGGGUGCUUAGCCCCGACCGCCACCCAAGAAGUGGCCUCCCCUUUUAUUUUUGAGAAAACUUGCUAUGAAGAGGACUCUUUGUGAUUGAAAAUUCUUGCAUUCCUUUCAAUCCAAAGUUCCAACAGACCAAAAUGAUUAGGCUCCAUUCGUUCAAAAAAAAAUUUAUUCGUUCAAAAAAAAAUGAUUAGGCUCCUUAGCCCACUCCUAUCGACGCUUGGUGUCCUUGCCUGCGCUGUCCACCACGCGUGCACCAAAGUGCACGGCUCCCAGUUACUAGCAUUAAGACCUUCAUCUACCCAUGCAGCGAUCGCAUCCCAAAUGCGCCUGGUAAACCGGCAGUCUGUUAGGAGAUGCAUUCCAGACUCUUGAACCGUGCGACACAACGCGCAUGUGUCAUUGUGAGGGUAAUUUCAUUUUGCUAACCUAUCUGACGACGUCCAUAUCCUAUUUGGAUUGCCAACCAACUGAAGAAUUUGCACUUCGGGAGCACCACGGCUUCCACAUGAUCGCUUUAAAGUUUGUGAAGGUGGAGCCGAUAAAUUGUGCUUGGUAGGCCGAACUCACAGUGUAUUUAUUAUUCUCUGUCAUUUUCCAUACAAUGUUGUUUAGGUUGUCUGGUAUGAGUUGAACCUGGGCUACUGCUGUCCACAAAUUGCAAAACUCCAUAAAAUACCCCAAUGCUAAAUUUACACUCGACCGGACGUUCCCAUCCUCGUGGUCGACGCGCACCGGUCCUCUCAUCAGUCCAUCAUGUGGGCCCCACUCCACUUUCUUUUCCCCUCGCACGCGCUCUCUCUCCCCUCUCCAUUCCCCUUCUCAUCCUUCUCUUUCUCGAUUUCUUCAUGAGAUCCACCGGAGCGACUCUGCAUGUGGAGCUGUUCCACCCAACGUUGAGCACAGUAGCAACAGGCCUGGUGGCGGGCAGGGGAAGCAGCGAGGCUCCGCCCUGCAGCACACAGUAGCGCUCGAGAUCAUCCCGCGAGGAGCGGGGGAAGGAGCACUAGGACCAUCGAGGGCACCGCCGUGGUCUUGACGAUGAGUGGCUGAUGGAUCUUGGCGAGCUCCGCCGUGGCCGCGGUCGACAGCGAUCUAUUCAUUUUUUUCCUUCCUUUUUUCUCUUCUACCUUUUGUCUCAAAAUCUUUUGUCUGUAUAAAGUUUUUGCUUCCAUUUUUUUUUAUUUCUUUGCAUCGUGAAUUUUUUCUCCAUUUUUUUGCUUCAAAACUUUGUCAAAAAAAUUUCUUUUUCAAUACUUUUUCCAAAAUUUUGUCUCAAUUUUUAUUUUCUGAGUUUUGUUUUCACAAUUUUGUCUUUUAAAAUUUUUUGUCCAAAUUUUGUUUCAAAAUUUUUGUUCGCAAACUUUGGUUUCCAAGUUUUCUAAAAAAAGUUAUCCCCAAACUUUUGUUUUCGAACUUUUUUAUAAAAAAUUCUCAUUUUUUGUUUAAUGAAACAGGAAUCACACGUGGGAAGCCGUUCUGACGUGUGGUUGGAAAUCGACCGCACAGAAGGCUCCCACUGGUCACAUGUAAACUUGCGUCCCCCAUAAAAUAAAUCUGUGUGAGGCUCGAGGUUGAAGGCCUAAUAAGGGCAGCCACAAGACUAUGCUUGAUAGUAGAGAGAAGUUUUGGUUGCCAUUAUAGCCGUCGAUGCUGAGUUAGAGCCCCAAUGCUUGGUUAGUAAAAUAUUGUUCCAUAGCAGGGAACAGGCGUUGCUGGGCAAAGAGAAGUGCAGGAGAACCAAAAGGAAACAGGUACAACUAGCUAAAGAAGCCAGCAGCAGUAGCGGAGGGAGGAGGGGGGGGCACGGGGGCCUGGCACCCCCCACCCUCUGCGGCAUCCGCCCCUGCCCCUGGUGGCCUGGGCCUCUCCUGGCAGGCAGGCACCCCCUGAUGGCCUGUGUGCCUAUCGGCCUGUCACCAGUCACCCCUGGCGAGCGGCCUGCCCGGCUGGCCUAAUAAAAAAUUAGAAGCACCUCCCAGGAGUCCUGGCCCUGGAAUAGUCCGCCCCUGGUAGCAGAUUAGCAAAUAGGCACAUCAGGUCAAAUCAUAUUCCGCUCCUGGUAGCAGUUUUUUGUUCCUAGCUCGCGCCGCUAGUCGAAUCGUAUUCUGCCACCACCAGUCAAAAAAGCAAAUAGGCACAUCAGGUCAUCCGUCAUCAGGACAUGAGCACGAAGCACCAGAGUACGAGGACAAGGAUGAAUGGAUCACUGACAUGACUCGCUGUUGUUUUCUUCGCCAGGCGUCAGAUUGUUGCUGUCCGCAGGUAAUCCAUAAUCAUAAAUCAUCCAAUGAUAUUCUCUUAUCUAAUUAACAGUCACUAGUAAUUCUAAAUUUCCCCCUCUAAUUUAAGUAUUGAUGAUAUUAUUACAGCGUACGAUCUUGCUGCUAGUCGAAGAGCUAAAUUUAAGUUGAUAGAUAUGUAAUUUUAUUUUAGUUAAGACUUGUGAACUAUGCUAUUAUUAUAUCAUUAUAUGCGACUAAAAUCAGCUCACGUGGCUAUCAGUUCUACGUUGCUUUGUCCAUUGCUCCCCUUACCUCAAAUCCUAGCUCUGCCCCUAGCCAGCAGAGAGUAUUUAUGUAAGGUUUCUUAAUUUAUGGGAACCAAAGCACACUCAAACCAUAUUCCAGAAUCUUAUUACAUGCAGAACCUGAAGUAAGGGAGAUUGAAACAUAUGGCACGCAUGCAUGCCUUUAAUUACACUAAUACCAGAAAUUAAAAUACACUGCUGCCACAAGUAGUAUAUAUAUUAAGGUAGCUGGUGUCACGCCAACAUCUGACGCAUGGUAAUGACGGGGAGGACCUGGACGUAGUACUCGAUCCUGUAGGCAACCUUGAGUAUGAGAUCGGGUUGCUGCCAAUUGUAGCCGCCGUCGACGCCGCAGAGGAAGGUCUGCGCGAUCCUGGUAUUGUUCUUGUGCUGCUGGUUGUGCAACACGAUCUUGUACGCAUCUCGGAGAUGUUCUUUCAGACUGCUCACCAUCGACCUGGUGUUCUGGUCCCGCGACAGCUUCCAGGACUGGGGCUGCUGCAUCAGGUCGGCUAUCUGCUGUACGAAUUGUACCAGCUGCUGGAUCUCCCCCCUGUUCUGCCUCAGCGCCUUCGCCUCCUGCACGAUAGAAAGUGCGAGGCGCACGACCUCGUCAUGGUCGCCGGUUCGAGCCCCCUGCUGGUCUCCGCGUCCUCCUGGACCUACCGACAACGCGCUGCUCCUCACUGCAUUCACGUCCCUGCGCAUGCAUGCCGAUCAUCUCUGGUUAAAUUUUUCGUUAUUUACGUACUCCAUAUAGGAAGUACUAUAUGAAUGUUUUAUAUAUCAGCACACGAUGAAUACCCGUCCGUGAUGUCCCUGAUUAUCAACUCCAUCACACUUUUAGCGUCGGAUGACAUAUUGUCCAUGUUAGUCAAGUUCCUGAUAUGAUAGAUGACUUCAGCUCCUCUUUUUCGCUCUGAGAGUGGUCAGAGUACAAAAAAUCCAAAGCUUCCAUGCAUGUUAAAUAUUCAAUAAGACAUGCAUAUAGUAUGAAUAUAGUCAUAAUGAUCAUGUCAUGCAUGAGCUUGGUCAAAAACUAUUAAUAUAUCGCAAAAUCAGGCAACAAUGUUAAUCUACCGCUCCCUCCAUUCUCUUUAGAUAUUAAUCCUUUUCGAACACUAGUACAGUCUAGUAUUGUGCACCCUAAAAGAGUCCAACGUGAUGUAACAUGGUGCUGUCUAUAAGUCAUAGUUUAUGUUUUGAACUUUACUACCUUUUGUUUUUUUAGAUAAUGGAUAAAUAUCCGGCUUCACCCUCCUCUUUCGACGAGGCGGAUCAGUCCACAAUUAUUACAAAACGUAGCUUGUUGCUACAUCCACACUAUGGUUUCGACCAAUCAAACCGACUCAAAGAAAUGAAUUCUGGAAUCAAAAGGUAGCUUGUCACUACCUUUUAUUUAUGUUGCAUUGUUCAUUGCCACAAAUUAUUUGCAAAUAUGAAUCUUAUAAUGCUAAACUUUUAUGGUACAAUCUACGUACAGUUUCUUUCUCAAGUUUUGUAGUUGUUUGCCGUUGAGUAAUAUGUAAUUCCGAUGGAUUCAAGAGUCUAGCUAGCUAGAUUUUGGUACCUGUGGAAGGCGCUUGCAAGCACCAUUUCGAAGCAGCUUCUCAAGCACGUUCAUGAAGAAGCGCUCCUUAUUGAUGCUUACAAUGAGGAUCAUGUUGGCAAUGUGGAACGACUCCAGGAUUUUGGAUAUCCGUGCAUCAACGGCGACGAUCUUGUUGGCUUUCUUUUUGGUUUUGAAGACAAGCGACCAAGUCCUCUUCUCCCUGCAGGACUCAACGAGCGCCUUCCCGUCGUUGAGCGCAUCUUCAAGAUGUUUCAGCGUGCUGUAGGUCACUGGGUCCGGCAUCCACUGGCUUUUCAGCUCCGUCAGGAGGAGGUUAAUCAUUUGCACGUGGUCUUUUAGCAGAGUACAUUUCUCCCUGUUGCGCUGAGCCGCCUCCGCCAGCCGAUUGAUCUGUUCCACGAUGCUCAUCAACGACGAAAUAAGCCCAAUUGCUUCGGCCACCCCAACCAUCUCGAUCGAUUGCGCUGCGCCUGUAUGCUUGCAACGUCAGAUUUGCACGUAUAUGAGUAUACAUGUCUACCCUCCGCCAUCCAAAAACAAUUGGAUGCCGACAAGUGGUAUUGACAAGUCUAUGUACAACACGUGAUGUCAUGUUAAAUUUUAGGUAAUUUUAGCUUUUCUAGAUUCAUAGAUAGUAUUAUGUAUCUAGACAUCCGCUAUGUCUAGGUGCGUAACAAAAACUAUGCAUCUAGAAAAUUCAAAAUGACCUACAAUUUGGGACGAAGGGAGUACACCCUAAUAAAAAGAUUAAUGGUGGAGCCCGAAGCCCAAUUUAUCGUAUAAAAAUAAUACUUGUAAAUAUAUAAAUUUAUUAUAAAAUAUAAAAACUCGAUUGACUAUCUUCUUAAUUAAUGGAGAAAUAUAGGCUGUGAAUUUUCAAAAGGAAAAGGAAAAAGUGUAUUUUUCAUCCUUCAAGUAUUGCAAAAGUGUAACAUUCAUCCUUGAUGUUUCAUUUGGUACAAAUCAAGCCCUGAACUAACUAAAUCGGUUCCAUGUAUCAUCCCCACCUUAGUUUAAUAAUUGUCUAGUGUCAUAUAACAUCGGUUAGACCAUGUAAUCAUCUUCAUAAUUAGUGUUUAGCCAUGUAUAAUAUUUAGUCAAUUGAUUCAAUAGUUUGGUGUGAAUCGGUUCUAUUAAUUUUUCUGAUAAAAUAGUUAUGUGGUAGUCAAUUUAGAGGAUUUAGUUUUCUUUGGGGCUUUAUAUCUUCGACUCAAUAUAUCACAUCACUAAGCAGUGAUUCUGAUGGUACGGAAUAUCCCUAGGAUGUAGUGGUUAGGCAUGGGUAUAACAGGUAUACGGAAAUGUAACUUUACAACACUAUAUAAGGAGGGGAACAGCCCACUAUAAUGGACACUAUUCAUUGAUAAGACAGCGAGUGAUAUCUUGUUUCCUUCGUGUUCGACUGUUACUUCUUCCCAUUUAUUGUGACCUCGCCUGCCCGUGAGGUUAGGUCCUAACACUCCCCUUCACUCCCGUUGUUGGCCGUGCCCGGUGCCAUCUUGAAGCCGAUGCUGCUCAAGCCUAGUGAGCGAGUGAAGGCCGGAGGUGGUUGGCGUGGGCCACGGAGGCCCUCGGGCGGCUACCGGGAGGAAGGCAUGGCGACAGGCCACCUGGGAGUGGCACGGUGGUGCAUAAGUGGCGUCGUACUUAGGAGUGGCAUGGUGGUGUGCGGCGUGGGUGUUGGCAGCAGCACGUCAAGGAUGCAGCUCUGUGUGGCUUGGAGGCAUUGUGGUAGCGCAACCAAGGGUGGUUCGCGCGAGUCUUGCUAGCGACACCAUGGUGGUAAAGCCAUGGAGGUGUGGUUGGGCAGCAACUAGCACGAGACUAUAUAUAUGUUAAUGCAAAUGAAAACUGUAUAAAUGUUCAUGCAAGUGUCAUAUAUGUGUGUGUGUUCAUUCAAAAAGUCGUAAGGCAGCAACUAGCACGAGACUAUAUAUAUGUUCAUGCAAAAGGUCGUAGGGCAGCAACUAGCACGAGACUAUGUAUAUGUUAAUGCAAGUGAAAAUUGUAUAAAUGUUCAUGCAAGUGUCAUAUAUAUAUAUAUAUAUAUAUAUAUAUAUAUAUAUAUAUAUGUGUGUGUGUGUGUGUGUGUGUGUGUGUGUGUGUGUGUUCAUUCAAAAAGUCGUAGGGCAGGCACUAGCACGAUACUAUAUAUAUGUUCAUGCAAGUAGUGUCUCAUUAAUCAUAGCGACGUAACGCCAAAACACAUCAACCAGUUGCAUGCGUAUAUCUAGGCGUUUUUGACCUGGUGUCACUACUACAUACAUAGUUCAGCUAUAACCAACGCUUUUAGAAAGAGUGAUAAUUUCGGCACCGUUACAAAGACCGCAAAAGACCUCUUUCAGAAAGAGCUUAUAAUGUUGCCAUGAUGCACCCACAAACGUCGAUCGCAAAGUCAGGACAGCAAGACAAUUAAGCAAGGAAUCAAAUACUCCUUGGCAUCAUCAACACCCGAAUCACCCUACUAGCUAGCUAGCUACUUGUACAUUCAGAAUUCAGAGCAGCCCUGAACUAUCCUGCUGGGGAAAAGGGGAUAGCCGAGAGACGCUUGCUACCGGCCAGACUCCAAUCUCAGGCCACCGACUGGAUCAAAGCUACCGUACCCUUGAUAAGAAUCCUAAUGAGUUGGAGAGAGAGAGAGAGAGAGACGGAGCCCAAGAACUCACCUUUCUGCAGGGGUCUGUAGCCUCUGGACGCUUCCUCCUCGUCCUAUACUCUUCCGAGCCCAGGCCUCUCCUUCCCCUUUGUUUCUUCCUCGAACCCCUGCAGUUCUUGGAAGUUAUAUUAUGCCGCACUCGCUUCGCAAGAACCCCUGCAGUUGAAUUUUAUGUUAGAAUAUUGUAUGGGCGAAUCAAAGAUGAUAUGACCAGUUCGUUCAAAAAAAAAGAUGAUAUGACCAAGGCAUAUAUAAUAAUCUCUAAUUAAAGGACUCAAGCUGUUUCGCGUACCAUAAUUAUUCUCGGAAUUUAUAUCAAAAGAAACUCUUAAUUUUAAUUCUUCACACAAACUAUUUUAAUAGAAAUAUUCUAGAGAAUACACAAACUAUAGCACAUAUUUACCGUAGCAUCACAUAACCAAGCCAUCACAUAUUUCACUACUUCAGCAGACUGAAUAUAUAUAGAAACUCCAUGUACAAGCAAGAGUGCGUUGCACGUAGGCAAAGGCAGACACUUCUCCAAAUUUUGGUCCCAGCAGAACCAAAAGAUUAAUUAGAGCCACGCGCUUAGGACACAAAAGGUGUCUUUCCCUAUCAACUUGAUCUUUUGUACUACUUAAAUGGUCCAUGACGAUGAAACUCGAUGCUUGAAAUAGGAGAGCCCUCAUGAUUACACACAUGAGUUCUUUCUGUUGGAACAUGAAGAUGUGAGUGUACUGAAUUCGAUCUAAUGAUCUGCAUGAGGUGUUCUGUCAAAGCAUAUAAUCAUUCACCUACAACGCUUCCAAGUUCUGUCUUUCUGAGUAUAUAAAAACCAUGGUAUGUAUGAAUCUAACUCUGUCCAUACGUCUGGUAGUUCAGUCCCUGCUAUUUUUACUAACCUUGUCCUCUAGGUAGAAGUACGGUGGACUUUCAGCGUUGGGUCCUGCAGAGCGAUGGACUUUUCGGUAUGGUGCAGUGUGCUCCUUUCUUGACUUAUGCUAACAGUCUAACACAAAGUUAUGAUUAGGAGAUUGACGACCGUGUGUGUGAUCUGAGGCUGACAACGGCAUGGUGGAGAAGUUCUAGUAGCUACACGGCUUGCAGCGGACUGUGGCGGCCAGUCCUGCAUGGCAGCGACUGGUUUGGCGUGGGGCAUCAUCAGAAACGAUGGCGCUGGCGAUAAGGGCUACUUGCCGGCUUUUUCUGCUAGGUGGUAGUGGUGCAGAGUGGUGGUGGUGCGCAAUGAAGCUUCCAUAUGGCAGUCGUGUGUACAUGUGACUAUGUGAGUCCCCUCCUUUAUGCUUUUCCAGAAAAAAUGAAAAGCAUAAAGAGGGCACUCACAUGCCUCCUUGAUGAAGCUAGCAGCGUUGGGAUGGGUCUCAUGAUUCUUUCGAUUGUUAACAUGGAUCUCAUGGUUCUUUCGAUUGUUGGGAUGGGUGGGAUGGGCAAUGCCACCUUUAAUUUGUGCAACUCAUUUAUAAUGACCUUGCAAUCGUGAAGCAUUUUGAGCUUCAGAGGUGGUGCUCUGUGUCAGAUUAGAAAAAAUCAUUGCAAGGAUGCAUAUUAGUGAUGGAAACUUAUAGAAUGUUUAUCAUUCAACUAACUCAGAUUUUUAUUUGUUCGGUCUGCCUACGCGUCACCUGAGUGAAACAUUAGCCUUCCUCACUCGAACCUCACUCGAACAUCCGAUCCGACACCUUUCCUUCAUCUUCUAUCUUCUAGUGAAGUAUAUAUCUAGGCACGUAGCAAAAAUUAUGUAUCUAGAAAAAAUGACCUACAAUUUGAAACGGAGGGAUUACGUUGGAACAUCAACCAAACAAAUGGACAAACCCUUUAAAUUAUUUGGCCUCCAAGAAUGCCAUACGACCUGAAUGAAUAACUGAAAGCUAACAGUGCUUGUUGUACAUACCAGCUGAGCUGCUUGACUUAGCUAUGUUUAUUCGGUCUGUUCGUGACCCGCGCGUGAUCUAGAGUAUUCGUGUGUUGGCUAGAAAAAGCACCAACACUAUAUUUAUUUGCAAACAGGUUUUAAAUGCAAUACAAUAAUUCAGAAAUCUAGACAUCCUGAGCCAUGCGAGGGAUAAGAAGAAGCUUCUCCUUCCUGUGCACAUCCAACCCAUACGACUCUGCCAUGUCGAUGCCUGCCGACCCCGGCGGAAGCUCCCAGUUGAAGUGGUAGAUGAGGUUAGCAAGGAUGAUCUCGAAGGAGGCGGUGGUGAAGUUCACACCCGGGCACAUCCUUCGCCCGGACCCAAACGGCAGGAAACGGAAGUCGUUCCCCAGGAAGUCGGAGGCAGCAUCCACGGCUUCCUCCAUGAACCGCUCCGGCAUGAACUCCUCUGCACUCUCCCAGGUGGUGGCGUCCCUGCCGAGAGCCCACGCGUUGACGAUCACACGCGUCCCAGAGGGUAUGGUGUAGCCCUCCACGUCGCAUUCGGCCAUGGCCAGGUGGGGUAUCAGAAGAGCCCCCGGCACGUGCAGCCGCAUCGACUCUCUCAUCACGGCCUUGAGGUAGCUCAUGCCGCUGCUCAGGUCGUGUUCGGUGACCAGUUCCUUCUUCUUCCCCUUGGAUGCUGCACACCCCCUCACCUCGGCUUGAAGCUUGGUCAUCGCCUUGGGAUUACGCAUCAGCUCGGCCAUGGCGUAGUCUAGGGCUAUGUAGGUUGUGUCCGUCCCGGCUUCAAACAUGUCCUACAUGAACAUAUCG
rnacentral:lncRNA from 1 species